CUGUAUUGAAGGAAAAUCAUAGAACAUAAGUUGAGCCAGCUAGGUCUCAAAAGUGCGAUCUACUGCUUCUCAUCAAAUGCAACACAUAACUAGACAAUGAUAAAAUAAAGAAAAAGCAUCCUUGGAUAGAAAAUUGAAUUAGAAUUAUUAGUAGAUAGAUGAACCCAUGAACCCUGCGCAAAACAAGAGAGCACUUCAUGCAGCAAAUGUCAUGAUGACUGAGAAAUUGCAUGUGCUUGAUGUAACAAGACUCAAACGAUCAGAAUCAGUUGAUGCCAUUAUAAAGGCUCAAUACCAGCAUAAUACAUGUCUUGCAAGCUACUUCAACAACUGAAAAAUAAUUUAUGCAAUCCCAUCAUUUGUUACCUACUUUUUGAUACAUAUGUAGUUUAUUCAAUAUUGUGCAUCCAAUGUUAAACAGUUUCAAAUCAAGGAAAAUUCAUGUCUAGCAUUUUAUUGUCUACCUUGAAGGUUAUUAUAUAGUAUCCGUACUAAAUGCUUCAUAAAAAAUGUUUGUCGAAGUGUUCAUAAUGACCAUGCAAUUUGUAGUAGCAAUUGAUAGUUAGUGUGCUAUCGGAAAAGAAUACUUUUUGUUAUCAUAUAAUACAAAAUUAUUACCUUUUUUUUCCGCCAACACAAACACACUGGUUAAAACUGCAACACCAUCUAAUUCAGUAAAAAAAAUGCACCAAUGAAUAACAUACCGGUAGUGACUCAUAAAAUUAGAUAGAUUUCACAUGACCACCUUAUAAUUACUAUUGAUGACAUGGUCAGUGACCCCGUAUUAUCAUGCCCCCUCUUUGAAGUAAUGGAAUCAAAUUCAUAAAAAAAAGAGAAGGCAAGGUGUUGCACCUACUGCCUUCGAGAAUAUAUCAAAACCUGUAGUUUUCUAAUUGUCGUUACUCUCAAAUAAUUCAAAAUCUCUCCAUUUUGCUGACAAAAUCAAGGAUCAUAUUAGCACUACAUCAUUUAACAACCCAAAACUCGUAGUAAAAUCCUCACGGAUGGACCAGUUACAGGAACAAAUCAACGUUGAAGACAUCUAGACAAAACAUCAAACAGGUAACGAAGGAAAGAGGGAGGCUGGGGCUGGGCUUUCUUUUUGUUUGGUUCUAUGAUGGGCCAAGGAAAUACAAAAGGAGAUGGGCUAAAAAGGAAAUGAAGAGAUGGGCCCAAAGAAUUGAAACAAAUGGGUUGGACUAAUGGAGGGAGGGGGCUUAGAACUCCUUAUAGCCAUUAGAAAUAAUAGGCCGGUUGUUAAGGCCAUUAGGGAGCAUACGUCGAGGACCACACGAAGGCAACGACUGAAAAAUUCGCAAAAGAGAUUAUUUUAUUUGGCGCCUUAGCUCAACACAAAGCCCAGCAAUUUGGGCUCCUGCCAUUCACGGAAAUGAUUGUAGGAUUUUAUGAUAAAUAAAACAUACAUUCAAAAGGUUACAAUUAUUUAUAUAUGAAAUGAAAAAGAUCCACAGCCCUCGGAUUAAUCCUGCGAUGCGAUUAUUUUCAUCCAUUACAUAAGCGGUAAAGUGAGUCUACACAAUCAUGUCAGAAUACACAGGUACGUUUUUCAACAAUAUGCAUGAGUUCACAGUUUGUUAUAGGUUUGUUAUGUUUAAAAAGAAAAAGAAAGACUCUUAACUCGAUUCAGUUACAACUAGCUACAUCUUAUGCGGCUAAACAUUCAAAAAGGCAAAAUGCCAAAUAAAGCACCUUUGACUUCAGCUUUUUGGCUCUUCGUUAUCAUAUCAUCUCGCAAAUUUCUUUGCGCUCUCUGGCUCCAUUAUUGAACUCCGUCCGGUGAAAGCUGAGAAAAUUUACGAGAGCAUACACCAAAGGAUGUUUUCUUCAAGAAAAGCAAACGUCAUGUCAUUAUCAACAAAGCUUGACUUGAAUAACUACUACUGCCAAUCCAACAGCCCUUUUCAUCAUCAUAUUACUUCAAUUAGACAACAGUUUCAUGAAAACUCUUUCAAGCCAAGAACAAGGGAAAAAAAAAGCAUAUUCACAUAAAGACUCGCUAUGACAAUACUUAUGAAUUGCGCCUUGAAAUAUCAUAUCAACAGGGAACAAAGUAGCGUUAUAGUACAGAUGAUUACAUUAGAAUUUUUUUGAUACGAAGUUUUUCGAAAAUAGAUGGUGCGCCACACCAUUGACCCACCGAAGAGAUUGUUCUACCCGGCUAGGAGUACUCAGGCUCAUGUCCCUCGCCAACGCCAAGAUCUUGAGUCCAUGAUUUGUUACGCUUUUUGGUUUCUCAAAUGAACAACAUUUGGGUAGAGGCAGUAGCUUAUUGCAAUCAGAGAUGAAAGGAUACAAAGAUGGAUUUCCACAGCUAAGCGGUAAACAUUGUCUCCUCACUUUGAAUGCGAUGCUCAAAGCCAAAGAAGCCGUGGAAAUAGCAGCUGCUGUGAAAAGGCAAUCUUUUCAUCCUCAUUUCUUCGAUUUUCUAAUGCAAAGGGAUCGCCCCAGCAACUGCUCACUGUUUGAAUUUUCAGACUGUAAACUGAAAAACCAACCUGAGCAUGCCAUCUUAUUGAUUUACUGGCCAAGAUGAAUAUCCUAGACAUGAAGAUGAAAAUGUUGUUGGCAAGGAUUAAGCUGUUUGACAUUAUUGGACUCACAAAAAUUAAUAAUCGAAUAAACUACUAGGCUUGGUAGACUAUUCAGAGGAGGUAUGCUGAUCAAUGAUCUAUUCACGUCCAAAGAUGCGUUAUAAGCAACUGUCAAAUUCCCCAGUUGAAUAUUUUGAUUGGAGAUGCACAAUUUGUAGUUUUGGGUAGAGAUGAUAGAAUUCAAAGAAUGAAGAGAACUUUUGUGGAGUCUUCUCUUCUCGGCAUCUGAGAUUGACGAGCUCGCCUUUGAAGCAGCGAACUUCAGAAGAGAGUCCGUUAUAACUGUCUUUCCCGCGCUUGAGAACUCUCUCCGCUUGCAGCUGUGCAUCUGGAAGCAGAGCUUGAAGAACCGUUGAUUAUGAUUAGAUCAAUUAGUGUAGCAUCCAAGUCCACGUCACUGGCCAAAGGAAGCUGCAUGAGGGCAUUGAAGCAGACAAUUAGCAAAACUUCAGCGACGCCCAUUGUUGCCAUUUUAACUGCUUGAUUAUGUUGAACAGUUGUAAUAGGAUUAAAUGAAUUCGCACAACAUGUUCCUCAUUAGUCUCAAGAAAAGAAAAAGAGAGGGAUGACAAUGUCUUUGAAAGGUUUAUACAAAAUGAUACCCAAAGGUAAGUCCUAGUCCUGCUUCAUAAAAAAAAAGCUGUAAAGGCCUUUUCAUUUUUUUCUUAGCAACAUCAGUAGGUGUCAGAUCUUAGUUUCAAGGUUCGAGGUUGAAAGUGAUUUACCAUUGCACAUCUAAACUUACCUAAGCCUCACCCAAGCGGGUUGUAAAUCCAACCCACAACGCCUUUUACAACGUUUUCUUCUAAAAGUAUUGUGUCAGAUGCCUCGAGUUCUAAACAGGAUCUUCAGCUGCUCAAAUUGACUCUGUUUCUAGCUCUCCCUAUUUUUCUUUUUUAACAAUUCUCUGUUCAUAUGUAAUUUUUCCGAUGCACCUCUCAAAAAGUUAUGCAGAUAUGAAGUUCUUUAACAAAGUAAUCUCAUAAAUUUCAAUCCCUACAACCUAUUUCGAACCAUGUCAGAGAUGAAUAAACUAAAAGCAAGUGCUGGCAAAUGGAUGGAAGCUAAUUUUUUACCUUCCUUGAUAAAAAUUAAAGGAUAUCCAGCCUCUCCUGUAUUGAAGAAAAAUCACAGAACAGAAGUGUUCAAGCCUGCCAGGUCUCAGAAGUGCACCAUCAAGUAAGUCCUGGUUUACUACUUCACACCAAAUGCAACUCGAUUAGAACUAAAAGCACAUAAUUGGACAACUACGAAAUUAAGAAGUAGGAUCCCAAGAAAGGAAAGUGAAUUGGAGUUAUUAUGAGAUAGAUGAACUCAUGACUCCUAAGGAAAACAAAAGACCACCUCAUGCCACAAAGAUGUCAUGACAGGCAUGAGAAAUCGCCCUAUGCUUGAUGUCACAAGACUAUCAAAAUCCAUUGAUGGUGUUGUAGAGGCACAAGUCUAGCUUAAUACACUUCUUGCACGCUACUUCAUCAACUGAAAAUUUAUGCAAUCCCAUCUUUUGUUGCCUUCUUUGAUACAUAUGUAGUUUAUCCAGUAACAUGUAUAUGAAGUUAAACAGUUCUAAAUCAAGUAAAAGUCAAGUCUAGCAUUUUAUAAUCCGCCUUAAAGGUUAAUAACAUAGUCUCCAUGGUAAAUGCUUGGUGGAAAAUGUUUGCCAAAGCAUUCAUAAUGGCUGUGCAACUUCAAAUAGUUUACAGGUAGUGUGCUAUUGGAAGAGUGUGCUUUUGUUACCAUGUAAGAUGAAAUCAUUACCUUGGUAGUGUGAACGGCAAUGGACUGGUUAAAACUUCAACACCAUCUAAUAUAGUAAAAAACUGCACCUAUGAAUAACAAACCAUUAGUGAGUCAUACCAUUGAAUAUAUGUCACUUGACCACCUUAUAAGUGCUAUGAAUGCAAGAACCUGACUUGAUUGAUGACAUGGUCAGUGAAACCCUUAUUAUUUCUCUUUGGAGCAAUGAAAUCAAUUUCAUCGAAAAAGAGAAGGCAAGGAACUGCAGCUGCUACCUUUGAGAAUAUAUCCAGAACCUGUAUUUUCUAAUUGCUGUUGCUCUCGAAUAUUCAAAAUUUCUCCCUUUUGCUGACAAAAUCAAUGCCAUCAAUGUGCAAAAUAGAAAAUCCAAUGGACAUUUGAUCACCACUUCCAAAUUUUUAGUGGAGAAAACCUCCAAAUAUUUCACAUCUUUAAUCUUUCUCUUAAUCAAAUAGUCAUAGACGAUCCUCUCAUUCAUGCAUUAGAAACUCAUCAACCUUUUUAACUUGGCCUAUUUAGUGGCUAUGGGAGGAUCCUCAUUGCUGCUGCUAGUUAUCCUAUUUCAACUACUAGCAUACCUGAAGAGACUCUAUUAAAUACAUACAAAAGCAAUAGAAGAAAGCACAAAAAUAUGAAAUGUCCGGAAAUAACAAAGUAUAAUACAAGAUUGCACAAUGGAAUUCAAUCAGCAUCAAUGCAGUUGACAAUAAGCCUCUUAUAGCUUCCUCAGCGAUACCAAUAUACUUAUUCAACAGCUCAGUCUUUCACUGAUAUGGAUUGAAGAGAACAAGAUGCUGCUGCAGCUACUAGCAAUGUGUGUCUUACCAAAGCCCAGAUAUCCAUUUAAAAGAACAUUUGACCAUGGCCUUAGAGGAGCUUGCCCCAAAACAUUUUUUCAGCAAAUAUAAGAAUGAUAGAUACGAAGAUGAACUAGGUUUAUUUAACAAGUUAACAAUGACCACAUUUUAGCAGAGUGAGAUAGAGAAAGAGCAAGAUGAGGAAAGGUGUAAUGAGUCACUAGAAAGAAUAAACAAAAGCUACAGCUGAGAAACAACCAAUGUAGUUAUACAAGCUUUCUUGAACAAAAUCCAUGCAUAAUUUAGCUCACUUGCAAGAAUGCAUCAGGGAAACAAUGGUAGGUAGUUAAGCCCCACAAUCUCAGGUAAUCCCAUCAUCUCAGUGAAGAUUUUGUAGAGGAUGACCAUGAGCUCCCUUCACUGGAUUGUCAAUCUGCCAAAAGAGGUUUAGAUAGCUUAUCAUCAAAAGAUGACUUAGACAUUGCAUGGAAAGUCAAGCACUUAAUGGAAGACAGACACUUGAGAACCUACGCAUAGAUUAGUAUUGCUCAUCCAGAUACUCAAUCAAGAAAGACACUCAUAAAAUAAUAAUAGGAUCCUCGGACAUGUUGAGUAUGAGGAACAACUCCUUUUUCUAACAAAAUAACAAAUUCUUCAUCCAGCAAGAUAAAGUGAAUUAAGAGAUCAAAUAUUAUUAAGUAUGUGGGAAGCACACUCAAGAAUAUAGAGGAAGUCACGGACCUUCUAAGUUUCAGUCCCCCAAAUGUCUACUACUUGACUGACUUACCAAGGCCUAUAAAAUAAAUUAUGUAUUUGAUUAACCUAAUUAUGAAUACAAAGAAUAAGUACUUCAGCAAACAAAAGAUAUGGUUAAGACUCUGUACAUUAAGCCAUUGAAUGCCUAAGCGAAAUGGGACAAUUAGCCUGCAAAAGUUGGCCUAGCAAACAACUUUAAGUUGCUCAUAUAGAUCCCCACCUUUACACCUGAAGACAUUUCAGCAUGAAUAGUCGACUACAUUCCAGGAAUCUUCAUAAAUAGAUGAAGAAAGCUAAUAAUUAUUGCUAGAGAACCAGAACUUCAACUUAAGAAUGGGAAUACUUGAAAAUUGCAACUAUAACAAUUCACGUCAGAUGUGGAGUAAAGUUGAUAGUGAUCUUUGGUUGUGCAACAUUAGAUAAUUCCAGUUAUAACUCUAGAACUAUAGGAAACAAAGAUUAUACAAAAGGGAGCAACCCAGGUUUUGCAUAUGCCUAAUUUAAUUCAUCUAGGAGUCAGAAUCAUUAAAUUCCCAGACCCAACUAAAAUUAGCAAAGGAAAAAGAAAAAUACAUAUCAUCAGCACAACAAAUAAGAAUUCAAGAAUGUAAAUGCCUUAUCCGGCAAAAAAUAAAUCUCCCCAUGUUUUUCCCCAAAUUCAAAUUUAGAUUAGUUCUUUCUAACACGCAUGACCAAGGUGAAAUGAGACAAAAAAUAUAGACCAUAUAUCAACUCAAAACUAACGCACAACAUAAAAAGUGAAAACUCAAACCCAAGAGGUUCUCAAUAAAAAUCAUUUUACACGGCAAGCUUGUUGUAAUGCGGUAAAUCUCACUAAACCUAACCAAAAUCACUUGUCAUCUAACCCUUACAAUCACAGGGCAACACAUAAUUCAUUCACCCAAUCGAAAUGGGGAGAACAAAGUCUCCAAAAGUACACAUUGUGCUACCUUGAUUCAAGUUGCAAAACUAAAGAAUACUGUCCUACAACAACCUUCGAAUUUUUUCAAGUUCACAUAAGUGCGAUAUUACUACCCUCCAGGCUGUCACAAAUUAACACGUCUUCCCAAUAUAUAGCCUCAAGCCAGUAACAAAAACCACAGCAACAGUAGUUCAACAACGAUGGACCUACCCCAAACUGACAUAGCAAAGAGCUUGAAACAAACAGGGACCUCCAAGUUCCCGAAAAAUUCCGACUUACCUGCGUGGUUGUUACUUGGUCCCUUAAGAAUUGUAGAUUAGCAACAAGAACUUCUAAACUUUGCUUUAGCAUUUUCUAGGUCCUUUUGUAGAAGAAUUGUGACCUCUAGCAUGAAUUAAUGUAAUUAAUAAGAUACUUGACAUCAUUAAUAGAGAUAAAGGGACAUUGCUUCAACUCGAGUACCUCUUUGCAUGACUACUGCAGCAUAACAUUUGCUCGAAGCCAUAAACAUACCGAAUCAGUAUGUUCGAUGUGAGCUCGUGAAUAUAUGCCUUUGGAGACUUCAAAAUCAACAAGCAGUGCCUGCAUCCACAAUAAAGAGCCAUAAAAAUCGGUCAGUUUGGCACCUAUUAUUAUCUUCUGUGUCUUAGAAGUUUUUAUGGUCUUAGGUUUUAAAGCCCAAUAUAAUAAUCCAACCCCAUUUUGCUUUUUAAUAGGACCUUCAAACAUCAAAGCAUUAUAUUAUUGGCAAUAUUCAGGUGUCCAAAUCUAAAACCACCACACAAUUAUUGAGAUCAACAUGGGUUCUUCGAAGCACUAACCCAGAUUCUUAGGAACAUUGCUUCCAGAAGUGCAUUUGCAAUGGAAAAGACAAUCCAAUAUUCCAUAUUUAGUCAAGUGCACUAGAAGUAGUUCCUAGUAUGGCAAGAAUGAGACUACCAUAUCCUCUACCUGCUUUGUUAAGAUAAAAAGGACUGAUAUGAUCAACUAAGAGAACAUCAAGGAGCAAGAAGACAUUUUAACAUUCAAAUUUUCUAGCAUGAUAAGAUUAAGAGAAAAUUUUAGUUCACAUCACACAUGAAAGAUGAUUGAUAGAGUGUCGAGGAUUCCAAAUGAAAAAGAGAACCUGUAGAGUAAAAAAUUGGUGUUUUAAUGAUAGUAAAAAGAACUUAAAGGGAUAAAAUGAGAAAGAACUUCGCAUUGGAAAAACAUUCGGUUAAAAUACAUGCACUGAGAAGCUUUCGGCUUGAAUUUCAAUCUUAAAUUCUAGUUUUGAGGCUAUGGUUCAAUCUUUCAGUAGUAUAGAUGCAUGCUUGUUGCACACACAUAAUCACAUGCUCCAUCACAGGUCACUUUGCUAUAGUACAUCUAACCAUUCCUCUGGGGCUCAAAGAAAACUUCGGAUCCAACUAGUGAGCUAUUGAGUACAGACUUGCAGAUUGGAGAAGUGAAUGUCAAAAUAUGGGAGGGUCACCUUGGUAUAAAGCACCUUUUCUAAUCAGCCAGUUUGCUUCAGUCAUAAUGCAGUUCCUAGUUGAGUAUCAAAUAAACUAGAGCCUAAAAAAGAGGACAUCUUUGUGGCCGAAUGGAGUGGGGAGGUGAAGUAAUUGUUGCAUCAAGGUGGCCCAAUUUCAAAUGAUUGAUCAAUUCAAAUCUUGGAUUUUCGUAUUGAGAGAGAUAGCACACCUUAUUUAUGUAAUAUCAAAGAGUUAAAGGUUGUAGCAUAUUUGAGGUAGAAAACCUUAGUGCAGAGAUAGAUGGAGGCUGUGACAUCCCAGAUUUUCGACCAUGUUUUCCAUUGAAUUAAUUGGGCAUUUCAUUGUCGCGUCUAUAGGGCUGUUCUCAAUGCCGAUUACUCUUGAGACAACUAGACUAUCCAGGGAAGCAAUUAAGGAAUUUUAAGGCAAUAGACUUGAGAAUUCGACCAGGAAUCGACUUCUCGACCAUGCUCAUCUUUAGAGUCCAUUUUGGCAUAGUAUAAAAUCGAUUUGAAAUCAGAGAUAGGUCUAUUCUACUGAGAUGUGUGGUCGAUUGUGGGUGACUCCACUAAAUUGGAAAAUUCUCGUCGACCGGCACUAAUCUGAUUUUACUGUCGUUUUGGUACCCUGUGUCCAUAAUUGAAUUCUCGAGAUUUUCACGAAAAUCGAGAGUCGUCAAUGAGUCAAGUGGGUUCAUAGUGGCUCGAAGAAAAUCAACCACAUGUCAUUUGCCCUAAAAAAUUCUGAAAACUACCCGAUAAUUUAGGUUACACUAAAAACGCGUCGAAUGGAAAUUAACCGUGAGUUCGAGUCCGAUUUCAGAAAUUGAAAGUCUUGUCAUGUCACGACCUAUUUUAGGAACGUCGACUCAUCUUUUGAAGAUUUUUCAGAGAUUCCGGGAUUUUUACGGAAAAGCGUUUCGGACGUUGCGGAAAAUUAAUGGAAUUUCGGAUGGGCCAAAUUAAAGGAAAUUUGGACUUCCAAGCCGAACCUUUGAGUGUUGAGGACUUAUAGAAAAUUGUUCAGGAUUUUUCUUCAACGAAAACGGACCUCGAUUUGGAUAAUUGGAGAAGAAAUUGAAGCCAAAUUAGUGAAAUUAGGAAUUUUGGAAGGGACUAUUAUUUUGGCUUCAAUUUGGAUUUAAGUGGGACAUUAUCUUGUGAGAAAGUAAUAGGGGAACAUGUGUUUAAUUAAGGGGAUAAGAUUUGCUAACUUUGGGUCCCCUCUUCAAGCUUCUCUAGCACGUCUUCUUCGAUCCUUACCCCUCCGCAGCUUCCUUUGCUUUCUUUCAUUUCCUUCAACAACCCCACACGUUUCUGUCCCCCAACCAAAACCCCAUGCCCACGAAAUUCUCCACCGAAGCCUUCUGUUCCUCCAUCUUUCUUCCCUCUUCGUGUCUUCAUCCAACUACACGAAGACAAGCGAACGGUCCACCUCAUGUCACGCCAGCCCACGUUCAAGUCAAUGGUGCCAUCCCCUCCAUCGGUUUGUUGUUCCGUUUUGCUGUCUUCCCCUCACGCCAAAAGUCUUCCACUUGGUCACCGCCUGCCUCAUACGUCAGCUCACCAGCCCUCCGGUCAACAAACGAAGCCCCUCCCUUCCCCUUCAUUGACCGCAAGCAGGGAUCGAAGCUGCGUCUUGCAGCUGCCGUGAAGUCAGUCGUCCGAAUCAGCUGUCGUCCACCUCCUCCUUCCACCGAGUGAAGCCUUGUUGACCGUCUUCACCGCUCACGAUUCCACCGAAGCUCCUCCUUCUGCACAUGUCUUCAACCCCAGUGCAACGCCAGUGAAGCUCGCCCACAGCUCGACCAACAAUCCAGCGAACUCUCCUCCUUCGCCGUUGAUCUUCACAAAGCGAGCUCAACAUCUUCGAGAAUUCCAGCAGCCCAGUACAGCAGUCAGCUAAUCGAGUGAGCCCAGCGUCUUCAGAUCUUCAGCCCAGCAAAACCCUCAGCGGCUCACGCAAGUCAGCAGCCCAGUUCAGUUUUCGGUCUAGCAAGCCCGCAAUUCCCAGCCCAUUCGAAGACAGGCCCACUUGAAUGUGGCACCCCGAAACACCUGGCAUCGCCACAGGUACCUAUCGCUCUACCUAAUGAAUACUAGUUACAUCUUUUGGCAGAAGCACCGUAGUUCAUAGCCAUUUUUUUUUUUUAAUACGGUCCUAGCGCAACUUAUUAGCGGAAGCAUAGACAAGUCUCACCAUUCCUCCCUCCAAUAACCAUAAUACAAUGCACACCAACUACACACCAUAUGAAAAAGAUGAAGCCGGGCCACUUUUAUUUACAUAUUUUCAUGAUGGAUUUCUCGGGUCGGUACAACCAAAAAGAAAAGCCAAUAUUUUUCAACUGAACUUGGCCACAGCUCAAAACAGAUCUCGACCCCUAUAUCGAUCACAUGUCAUCCUCCAUCUACAAGUGUCGGCUAUCCUCAAAAAGUGUUAGCUCUCCACUCCUCACGCAGGCCAUCACACCCACCCUGGUGCGUCAGGCGGUGUCGGCGGCAACAUCCCCUGAAUCACUCCGUCAUGGCGGACGUGGACAGACAAGAACUCCUGGAUGACUGAGCCCCCAGCUAGGCCCACAUGAUACAUCACUAGCACACGAACCCAUAUAAAUGUCAGACCAGGGAUGGUGACACAAUCAAUCUCCGAACACUCGACCUUUACGUCAGAUGGAAGGCCGUAAAAGAUACCCCGCGUGACUGGAGGAAGAAACAUCUUUCUAAUAUGAAAUAUUAGUCCCCAAAGGGGUGAGUACAACCACUCAGCAUGUAAAAGAUCCAUUAAACUACUCAAUGCAUCACACAGAACAAUUAAGGCAUCACAACAAAGCACAUAUCAUUCAUGCAUCCAAGCAUAACUUACCUUGCAGACAUGCAAAUGUCGUCAUACCAUAUGUGUAUACACCAUCAUGUGCUCAUCAUCAAGCAUUCAUGCAUAUCCAUGCCUCAUGUGCAUAUGUUCCUUGCAUUCAUACAUAUCAUAUCAUACAGCCAUGCAUACAUGUCACCAUACCAUGCAUGAUUUAAUUUCAACUUUUUAUCUUUCAAUUGGGUCACCGCAUUUCUCUUUCCCGAGACCAGUGAUUGCAUCCCAUAUUUUAUCGCUCGCGCCCCACCUGGCAUCGCAAGGAACCUCCUGCACACACCGCCGGGCAUCCGGCACCCCCACAUCCCGGGCAUCUCGCAUCCCAACUGGUAUCACGAGGUAUCCCCUCAGCACACACCUUCGAGGCUUCCGACACUCUCACAUCCCGGGCAUCUCGAAACUCCCGAGGACAUCCGGCACCCCCACAUCCCGGGCAUCCGGCACUCCCCUUUCCGGGCAUCCUGACACUCCCGGGGCAUCGUCGGCUCACCCCUCCGACGAUAUUCUCAUUUAUCAUAACUCAUAUUUAUAAGUUAUGUCUCAAUAUCAACAUGGUACAUGAUGUGAUGGCAAUCAAGUCAAUUUCAGCUUUUCAUUAUAUAUCUAAUGCCAAAUAUCAUCACAUGUGCAGCGAGAUUCAAUCACUUUCAACAAUACAAUUUAUGGGGCUCAUGCAAAACAGGGUAGUCAAUGCAUUACAGCUUUUGAAAUUCGCACAAUCUAGCUUGCACAGUUUUAGAAAAUAUUUCCAUUAAAUACCCAAAUGACCUUUAAAAAUUAUGAAAUUAGAACAUGUGAUAGCCAAGACAUAAAGACAGAUAUUUCAUGAAGAACACUACACCAAAAGACCUUCAUAUCAUUCAGUAUAGACCAAACAUCACAGCACCAUUAUUCUAAUAAUUCAACUUGCUCAGUUUUUGAAAUUGUUUUAGUUAAAUAGGCAACUGAACUUCAAAAAUUAUGAAAUUUGAAUAUGUUUCAGGGAAGACAUAAAGAGAGAUACUUCAUGAAGAACACUUUGCCGAAAGAACUUCAUACAAAAUGAUAUAGCCCACGCAUUGAAACUGACUAAGUCCGAACACGUCAGAUUACACAGUUUUAGAAACAUUUCCGAUUAAAUACCCUAAUGACCUUUAAAAAUUAUGAAAUUAAAUUAUGUGGUAUUCAAGACCCUAAGGUAGAUUUUUCAUGAAGGAAUCAAAGUCAGAUUCGUCCUAGAUAAUUAAAUAUAGGCAGUUAAAACUUCUGUUCCAAGUACCGAAAUUUCCAGAUCCAACACCCUUCGAAAAACCACGAUUUCACCUACCUAUUAUCGUUGGUUUUCCCUAAAGUUUUGAUAUGUUAAACCUCAGGAUGUCCUUUACAUAUUUUGUUAAGAAAUCAAAGUGAACUUUCAACAAAAAGUUGGCCUUACAGUCCAUGCAUUCAUCAAAGGUAGUUACCGAAAUUUCUAGAUUCAGUCUCUCCAAAGAAUAAAUAUUUCACCCACUUAUGCUUGUUCGUUUUGUCCCAAAUUUAAGUAUGUUAUACUUCAGAAAGUACUUAACAACUUUCAUUUAGAAGUCAUGGCCAAAACCCAACUAAAACAUCACAUGCAAACCACUAGAACAUCCAAGGUCGAACUGUUUUCUCAAGAACAGUUUACUAACCUCAAACAACCCUUUUAAAACUUCAACUUUUCAUACCCUAAGCAUCCGAAAUUUAUCACCAUUCAAGCACACAUACUAGGCACAACAUGCAAGAGCAGAUCAAGGAUCCCACUUGCCUCUAGACCGAGCAAACACAGCAAGCACGAAUAGAGGGCGAGGCGGACUCGACGGCGGUGAACAGCGGCGAUCAGCUUCAUUCCUUCUUCUCCCGCACGCUCACUCUCCCUCUCUCUCGAUUUCUCUCUUUUUCUCGGUAACCCUCUCUCUCUCUCUCUUCUCGGUCGACACUCCCCCCCUUUCAUCAUCAAACUGGUUCUCCUAUUUUCUUCCCCUCAAUGAUGAGCAAUCAUUUGAUUGCAUGCAUGACACUUGGACUUAGGGGGAUUAACACUUGUCAAUUCUCCCAUGCACAAGAUGGGCUUCAUCCGGCCAGGCUUGGGCCAGCCAUGGGCCGACGGCUGCUUCUUUUCCUUGGGCUUCGUGGACCGGCCGAAGAUGGGGUGAGGAAAUGGACUGGUUUGGGCCUUUAAUUGUCCAGCCCAUCCUCAUCCUAUUAAUUCACCUAAUCCUUAAUUAUAUAUAUACACCUAAUUGAGAUUUAUCUUUCACCAAAACUUUGUGACCUAAUUUAAUAAAUUCCAAUCCAUAAUCCCACAUGGCCAAAAAUAGAAUUUUUCUAUCAAAUAAUUACCCACCAAAAGCUUGGCCAAAGUUUUAAUGCAAGACAUGAAUUAGAGCUCUCCUAAAGAUUGGCAAGGAAUUCUAGGAUGCCACAUUGAAUCCUGCGACCUUGAAGCCCGCUUAGUUCAAUCCAUUUUCAGUAGGCCCAAGCCCAAGUCUAAGCCCAGAAAUUUCUGUGGGCUUGUGAAGCUUUUGGACCCAGCUUGAGUGUCCGCCGACGCCACCGAAAAUCUGGAAUUCAACUGCCGUCGCGUCGUCGUCGAGGUGAUCCGGUCUCCGCUUUUAAUUAAGUGAGUUUUGCUCACUAAUGCUUUCUUAGUUUUCUAAUGAUUAUUAAGAGUUGAUUAGAUUUAAUUAAGUGCAAUUAGGUGGUUAGAUUAGAGUAGAUUAGUGAUUAUUAAUUAAAUGUGAUGCAUGUUAGGCAUUUGACUAGUGUAAUUAGCUAGGGGACAUCCUAUAUUAUUUAUUGAAUGUAUCUUGAGAUUUUUCCCGACCCUUCUCGGGCUUCAAUUAGGCAUUACGGGCCUAAAUUGGAUUUAUUAUAUUUAUUUAUUAAUUUUCGAAAUUAUUUAAUUCAUUAUUUAUUUUUCGUAAAUUAGGCGGGGAUAACCGGCGACCGAAAUUUUAUGUUGAUUGUCGUGGUGCAGUCCAUUUAUUUAUUUAGGCACUACAUUGUGCUGAAUUGAAUUGAUUGCACAAUUUUAGAAAUUUAUCCUAAAUUGAGUGAAAUUGAAUGAUUGAUUGUUAGAUGGCCGAGUAUGAUUAUUUAGCAUUUAUAAUGCAUUUAUGAGUUGUAAAGUGGAGAGAAUUGUGAAAGUGAACUAGGAAUAUUCUUGGCUGAGACCAAUCAGAUACGUGGUUCAGUGAUUGGGAAUAUCAUUGGCGAAAAUGGCGCCUUAAAGAACACACGUAAAAGUAUGUCACAUUAGCGAAAAUGGCGCCAGAGAGAGAAUGUACGUGACUUAUGGACAGGUGUUGUUCGGUGAUUAAGGAUAUCACUGGCGAAAACGGCGCCUUAAAGAACGCACGUAGAUUGUCUAUUACAUACAUCACCUUGGCGAAAACGGCGCUCUAGAAAAGACACGUGGUUCGGUGAUUGAGGAUAUUACUGGUGAAAACGGCGCCUUAAAGAACGCACAGAGUCGGUGAUGGUAUGUCAUUUGGCAAAAACGGCGCCCGAGAGAGUACAUGUAGUUUGAUGACUAAGCAUACUAUUGGGAAUAUUAUAAAGUAUGGAUGGGAAUGACCUAGAAAUGGUCCGGUUGACAUGUAAUCGACUAGGUCGAUUGAUCAUUGUUUUGAUCUGACGUUGUGAAUUGAUUGAAUUAAAAUGACCGAUGAAUGGUCCGAUUGACAUGAAAUCGACUAGGUCGAUUGAUCGAGAUAUCGAUCUGUGAUGUGAAUGCUUAGAUGCCUAUUGAAUUGUGCUAAUAUGCAAGUGGAAUCUAAGGCCAAGGUAAGUCUAUGGCAUCCCAAAAUUCAAGACAACCUCUAGAUGUAUUAAAGCCUAUGAUUAGGUAAUGAAAUUACCUUUGGUUUAUGCUUUAGCCAUUGGUUUUCUUUUAAGACCAAGUGUUAUGUAUCGUGUUCAUGAGUUAUUAAAAUUAGUAUUAUAGGAUGAGUUGAUAAGAAAAAUUGUUCUUGGCUAUGCACCUCAUAGAUUUGAUCCCUAUAGUUUAAAUGUUACAAGAUUUAUGGCCAUAUGAAAUUGAGAAUUUGAAACCUAUAAAAGAGAGAAUUAAAAAUGAAUUAUUAAAAAGUGAAAUUGGGAUUUAUUAGGAUUGAACUUUAGGCCCAAGGGUAUUGGACCUAAAGUGGGCCAAAUUGGCUUGGCCCAUGAAGCCCAUGAAGAAGGCUGCCGUCAACCACAAGGGGGAGGGGCCGGCCCAAUCUUCAAGCCCAUCAUGCAUGGGAGUUGCCAAGUGGCAAAAAGAGGGCUUCACCUAUUGGUCAUUUUGGGUGGCUCCUAAUGAUGGCUAAUGAUUGAAUUGAAGGGGAAAUAAAAGGAAGGGGUGACCGGUUUAGGGGGUUGUCGACCAUAAGGGAGAGAGAGAGAGAGGGUUGUCGAGGGAGUGAGGAACUGAGAGGGAAGGGAAGAGGCCGCGCGAAGGAGGAAGCCCGCCCGUCCGUCGCCUGUCACCGUGCGUCAAUCGUCCGCCGUGUGCUCGUGGUUGCUCGGUUUGGAGGCAAGUUGGGAUCCAUAUUCUACUUUUGCAUGUUGUAUCUUGCAUAUGUGUUUGAAUGGUGAUGAAUCUCCGACGUUUAGGGUGUAAGAAACCGAAGCUUUGAGUGUGUUGCUUUGAAGUGGUAAGCUGUUUUCGAGUAUACCGCCUGACCCAGAAUGUUGUAGAGGCUUGCAUUCGGGGUUUGAGUCGGAUUUUGGCUUGGACUUCUUGACGAAAGUUGUAGAGAACAUCCUGAAGACUAACAUAGUCAAGUUUUAAGUAAAACGAACAAGUGUAGCCUAGUGAAACGAUUUUUCCUUUGAAGACGAUAGAUCUGGAAGUGUUGUACUGGACUCCAGCGACUUCGUGAACUAUAAAGUGACUAUCCUUUGAGAAUAUCACCUGGAUCCCUCAAUGAAAGUUGUAGUAUUCCUCUUGAGCCAAAACAUAUAAAAAAUUCAGAGGAAAUGAAGGAAUAUAAGUAGGUGAAACCUUGAUUUUUCGGAGAUAGCUAAACCUGGACUGUUCGGUACUAGGAACAGGGGCUUCGACCGUCCAUAGUUAAUUAUCUAGGACGAAUCUGGCCUGGAUGUCUUCAUGAAAAAUAUAUCUUAGGGUCUCGACUAUCACCUGGUAAAAUUUCAUAAUUUUUUAAGGGCAUUCGGGUAUUUAAAUUGAAAUAUUUCAAGAACUGCACAAUCUGAUGUGUCCGAACUUUGCAAGCUGUAAUGUGUGAGCUAUAUCUUUUUGUGUGAAGUUAUUUUGGGAAUGUGUUCUUCAUGGAGUUGCUACCUUUAUGUCUUGACUAUCACAUGUCUUGACUACCUUUAUAUGUUUUCUGAAAUUGUACAAGCUGGAAUUUGGUAAAUUUCAAAAAGUCAUAAUGUAUGGAUUAUUCUAAGUUGUAUGGACCCCAUGGAUUGUGUUGUCAUAAGUGAUUGGAUUUUGCUGCAUAUAUUGUGAUGAUUGGAACUACAUAUAAUAAUCAAAUACUGAAAAUGAUCUUGUUUGCCAUCAUAUCAUAUGCCAUGUUGAAAUUGAGUCAUAAUUGUGAAUGUGAACUAUGAUAAAUGAGAAGGCCGUCGGAGGUGUGAGCCGACGAUGCCCCAGGAGUGUCGGGAUGCCCGACCAGAAAGUGUAAAUGCCGGAUACCCGGAGGGUGUGUGCCGGAUGUCCUCGGGAGUUUCCAGAUGCCCGGGGUGUGGGGGUGCCGGAAGCCCGGAGGUGUGAGCUGGGGGAUACCUCGUGAUGCCAGUUGGGGUACGAGAUGCCCGGAGUGUGUGUGCCGGAUGCCCGGAGGUGUGUGCCGGAGGUUCCUCGCGAUGCCAAGUUGGGUGCGAGCGAUAAAUGUGGGAUGCAAAUACUGGUCCCGGGAAAGAGAAAUGUGACGGCCUAAAAUGAAAGAAUAAAAUUGGGAAAUUGAAAUGGAAUUAUGCAUGGUAUGGUAACAUGUAUGCAUGAAUGCAUGGAUGUAUGUGCACCUAUGGCAUGAUGGUAUAUGUGACAUGAUGAUGGUGAGUGCAUGGAUGUAUGUGCACCUAUGGCAUGAUGGUAAAUGUAUGACAUGAUGGUGAUGAUUUCAUGAGGAUGUAUGUACAUGCGGUAUGAUGACAUAUGCAUGGCUUCAAGGUAAGUUAUGCUUGGAUGCAUGAAUGACAUAUACUAUACUAUGAUUGUUAUGGUUGUAUUGUGUGAUGCAUUGAGUAGUUUAUUGGAUCUUUUACCUGCUGAGUGGCUGUACUCACCCCUUCGGGGACCAACAUUUCAGAUUAGAAAGAUGUCGCUUCCUGCUGUCAUACGGGGCGUCUUUUAUGGCCUUCCUUCGAACGUGGAGGUCGAAGUGUGUGGAGAUUGACUAUCCCACCAUCCUUGGUCUGACGUUCAUUCGGGUUCAUGCAUUAGUGAUGUAUGACGUGGGCCUGGCUGAGGGCCCGGUCAUUCAGGAGUUCAUAUCUAUUCACGUUCGUCGAGACGGAGUGAUGUGGGAGAUGUUGCCGCCGCCACCGCCUGAUGCACCGGGAUGGGUGUGACGGCCCGUUGCGUGAGGAGUAGGAGCUGCUACUUUUUGGACAAUAGCCGACACUAGUAGAUGGAGGAUUUUGCAUGAUUGACAUAGAGGGUGGAGUUUUUUUUUUUUGGGGUUAGGGCCAAGUGUAGUCAAAAGUUUUGGCCUUUUUUUUUUUGUACCGCCCCGAGAAAAUCUUUCAAGAAAAUAUGUAAAAAAAAGUGUUUUGGCUUUAUAUAUAUAUAUAUAUAUAUAUAUAUAUAUAUAUAUAUAUAUUUUAUGGUGUUUAGUGGUGUGCAUUGUAUCAUGAUUGUUGGGGGGGGGGGGAGAAUUGGUAGGACUUGAUUAUGCUUCCGCAAAUAAGGUGCGCUGGGACUGUUAUAAAAAAAAUGCCUAGGAACUAAGGUUCUUCUUUGGUAAUCUGUGGUGACCUUAGGCACUUCGGGGUGCCACAGCCCCUUUUUGGUAUCAGAGCGUCAUGUUAUUAGGGAAAGUGAAAGGUAAGCGAACUGUGGCGACCCCAAUCGGAUCGGGAGUCGUCGAGGGGUGCCACAAAGUCCUCUGACCCGUGAGUGCAUAUGCAACCCAGUUAGCGUAUUGGUUUACUAAUUGAGUCUUAAGGGGUAGAACUUACUGAGACGUGGUCUCAAUAGUUAUUGUAUAACCAUUUCAAGACCAUGAUGAGGAGCCUGAGGAGGAGGCAUCUGAAGAGGAGAACCCUGAUGUGAAACCUGAAAAUGAGGGAGAUUUUGAAGAAGAAGAUGAUCCAGAGGAGGAUCUCGAGUACGACCCGGAUGAGGACUGAAAUCCCAUCCUGUUUUGCAAACUUUGGAUUUUGAUCGGGUAUAUAAUAGAUCAGACUUGUGUGGUUAUGUGUUUUAUAUGAUACUAUAGUUUGCCGUGUAUAAAAGUGUGGUUAUGUGUUUUCAUGUUGUGAAAAUUAUGGCCUACUUUUCUAUCCCAAUGUUUUAUUGUUUGGGGAUUAUUAUCUGCUUCCGCAUGCGUAUUAAAAUUAAAGGGGUCGGUGAUGCGUCCUAAGACGUCUCUAUUAAUCAGCCAAGUGAGGGAUGAGCACGUGAUCAAGGAUCAGGGCAUGACAGAGGCAGGACAUAGUAUUAUUUGUGCGCUUUCUCUGUGUUUUGGUAGAGAGGCUGAGAUGCCUAGCUACCUUGUAGUUGAUUUUUUUGAAGAACUAAUGGUGUGAAAUAAAUCUAGUAGAUUCUUGUGUGCUACAGAGAUAUGCAAAAUUACAACAUGUAAACAGGAAACUUUGUUGAUGGCAGAAAGUACUGGAAUGUACAAUUUACCACUUGCAUGGAGACUAGUGACCGGACGAGAACAAGAUUGUCAAAAACAUAAGUUAGCUAGUGUGAAAGAGACGGGGAAGGACUAUCCAAAGAAGGCAAGGGCUAUUAGCUGCUUACAAGAGGAAAACCACAUGGGACCAUUCAGCAUCACAGGUUUUCCAUGAGUGAUUUCCUUGGGAGUGUUUAAAAGUAGCCGAUAUACAAAAAGAAAAAAGAAGGAUGCAUGCAAAUCGAUACUAGCUAUAUGUUGUCAUUGGACUAAAUCUCUUUGGGACAUGGAUCUAUCAAAGAGCCAAAGAUAAGAUGGUGACCGCGGAAUUGAGUCAUAUACAAUCCAAAUAUCGACAUUUUUGUUAGUUAAGAGAUAGAAGUAAGAGAGCCUUUCAAUCUUGCAUUAAGGGAAGUUGGUUUUAGACUUCACAUUAUGAUUUACUCUUUUUACGAUUAAUUUCUUGCCUCGACCAUGUCAGAUUCACUCUGGUUUAAAUAAUUAUGUUAAAAGGUUUGCUCCCACUUGGUGUGUUAGCAAUUAAACUAUUGCUUUCUAAAUAAUAUUACAAUAGCAAUGAAGCAUUGUCCUAUUUGAAUGAAGGGACACAUGAAAGUUGGUACCACCAACUCUAAGCUCCCUUAAGUGUUCAGUGAAAAAUUGAAAACAACCAAUAUGAAACAAUUUUAAAAAAGAUAAAACAAAAGAACUCCUGAAUUAGACACAUUUUCACCUUUCUUUUGUCACUAUUUUGAAACAAAAUAACUCCUGAACUCCACAAGAAUGCAUCUGGGAUUUCAAUGGUAGGCAGUUAAACCCCACAAUCUCAAGUAAUCCCAUCACUGAAAUUCUGCGAAGUCUAACCACAAGCUCCCUUCACUACAUUGUCAAUCUACAAAAAGGUUUAGACAACUUACCACCAUAGGAUGACUUUAAUGUUACAUGAAAAGUAAAGCACUCGAUGGAAACCACUUGGGAACCUAUGACAGAGAUUAGUAUUGCUCGUCUAGAUACUCAAUCAGGAAAGACACUCAUAAAACAAUAAUAGGAUCCUUGCAUGUGUUGAGUAUGAGGAACUACUCCUUUUGUCAACAAAAUAAUGAAUUCCUCAUCCACCAAGAAAAAGUUAAUUAUGCGAUCAAACAACAUGAAGUAUGUGGGAAGUACACUCGAGAAUAGGAGAGGAAGUCGUGGAUCUUUCAAGUUUUAGUCCCCCAACAUGUCCACUUCUUAAUUGACUUACCAAGAUCUAUGAAAUAAAUUAUGUACUUUGAUUAAGCUAAUUAUGAGUACUAAAAAAUACUUUAGCAAACAAAAGCUAAGGUUAAUGCUCAAUACAUUAAGCCAUCGAAUGCCUAAGUGGAAUAAAACUAUUAGCCAUAGAAAGUUUGGCCGGCAAACAACUUUAAGUUGCUCAUAUAGAUCCCCACCGUUACAUCGGAAGACAUUUCAACAAGAAUAGUUGACUGCAUUCCAGGAUUUUGCAUAAAUAGAUGAAAAAAGUUAAUAAUUAUGGCUAGAGAAGUAGAACUUCUACUUUAAGAAUGGGAAUGGUUGAAAAUUGCAACUAUAACCAUUGGCAUCAGAUGUGGAGCAAAGCUGAUAGUGAUCUUUGAUUGUGCAUUAUCAGACAAUCCCAAUUCAAUCUAUGGAACCGCAGGAAACAAAAAUUAUACAAAAGGGAGCAACCGAGAUUAUUGCAUUUGCCUUAUUAAUUCGUCAAUGAGUCAGAGUUAUCAAAUUCCCAGACCCAGCUCAAAACAGCAAAGGAUUCAGAAGUCAUCGGCACAACAAAUAAGAAUUCAAGAACAUAAAUGCCUUAUUGGGCGAAUUGCAACAUCUUCCUCAAUUGUGUUUGGUAAUUUAAGAUGGGAGGGAAUGAAUGAAUAGCAAACAAACAAACAAAUAAAAUAUAAGUUUAGAAGUAACUAGAAAAGCACCUUCAAUUCUUCAUGAAGGAAGUCACUAAAUCACUCCUACUGCACAAAAGGUAUCAACAAUUCACUCUUUCACUAACCAAGCAUUAAUUCUUUUAUUUCAUUGCUCACAAAUCAUGAUUGUACUGUAGUGAAAUUGAAAAAACAUUCCAUAAGGUAUGACCGGUACUCUCAACCACCUUUGCCUGUCAACAAAACCUAGCAUUUGUCAGCAUCUUCAGUGUGCUUACUAUCUAAGCAAGUUGCGUGCUGCCAAGCAUGUCAACCCCAACAUUAUGCUAAAGCACAACAUAAACCAGCUAAGCAUCGCCACCGUAGAGGCAAGUGAAAGUACCGCAUGUUCAUGACAUACAAAAAAGGAAUUUUGCUCAGAGAUAAGAGGAUGAACAAAUACAAGCGGUGGUUCUAGAACUAAGAUGAAAGCUUAGCUGAAAGAAAACUCACAAAACAGGACGCAACAAAAAACAAACUCUAGUUCUAUGGACUUUCCAUCAUUGACUAUCUUUGCCAAUUAAAUGAUACAUACCUUUCCAUCUCUAUGGAGCUUCGGGCAGUCAAUGAUGAUGAGUUCACAGAUUUUGGCACACCCAAACUGAAAGGAUCGACAUCUGCUGAUGCUGUGAGAGCUAAGACUAGUUUAAUACACUUCUUGUAAGCUACUUUAGCAAUUGAAAGUAAUUCAAGCAAUCUUGAUGUUUGUUACCUUCUUUGAUACAUAUGUACUUUAUCCAAUACUAUGUAUCGAAAGUUAAACAAUUCUAAAUCAAGGAAAAGUCAUGUCUAGCAUUUAAUAGUUUGCCUUGAAGGUUAUUACGUAGUCUCCAUAUCAAAUGCUUCAUAGAAAUUAUUUUGGCAAAGCAUUCAUAAUGGCCAUGCAAUUUCCAACAGCAGUUUAUAGUUAGUGUGCUAUGGAAAGAGAGUACUUUUUGUUACCAUGUAAGAUGAAAUUAUUACCUUGUCCCUGCUAACACAAACACACCGCUUAAAACUUCAACACCAUCUGAUUCAGUAAAAACUGCACCAAUGAAUAACAUACCAUUAGUGAGUCAUACCAUCAACUAUAUUUCACAUGACCACUUUAUAAGUGCCAUUGAAUGCAAGAAACUAACUGAUUGAUGACAUGGUCAGUGACACCCGUAUUAUCAUGCCCCCUCUUCAACACAAUGGAAUCAAAUUCAUGAAAAAAGGGAAGGCAAGGUGCUACAGCUGCUGCCUUUGAGAAUAUAUCCAAACCUGUAAUUUUAAAAUUGCUAUUACUCUCUAAUAUUCAAAAUUUCUCUAGUUUGUUCACAAAAUCAAUGCCAUCAAUGUGCAUAAUAGAUGAUCCAGUAGACAUUUGAUCACAAAUUUCAAAUUUCUAGUAGAGAAAAACUUUAAAUAUCUUACAUCUUAAUCUUUCUCUUAAUCUUCAUAGAGGAUUCUCUCAUUCAUGCGUGAGAAAACUCAAGAAUUGUUUUAACUUGGCCUCUCCAUUGGUUGUGGGAGAAUCCUCAUUGCUGUUGUUUAAAAUAAUAUAAUUAGAAUCUUGGCUGCAAUGGUAGGAUCCUCAUUGCUGCUGCUAGUUAUCCUAUUUCGAAUGCUGGCAUAGAUGAAGGGACAUCUAUUAAAUGCAUACAAAAGUAAAAGAAGAAAGCACAAAAUUGUGAAAUGUAUGGAAAUAACAAAGUUCAAUAGAAGAUUGCAUAAUAGAACUUAAUAAAUAUCCACGUAGUUGAAAAGAAGCCUCUUACAGCUUGCUAAAAAUACCAAUGUACUUAUCCAGAGCUCACCCUUUUACUAAUAUGGAUUGAAGAGAACAAGUCGUUGCUGUAGCACCAACAAUAUGUCUUGCCAAAGCCUAGACGUCCAUGUAAAAGAAGAUUUCACCAUGGUCUUGGAGGAGCUUGUGCAAAAGCAUUUUAUCAGCAAAUGUAAAAAUGAUAGACACAAAGAUCAACAGGUUUAUUUAACAAGUUAAUAGUAACCACAUUAUUAGCAGAGAGAGAGAGAGAGAGAGAGAGAGAGAUGAGGAAAGGUGCAAUAAGUUGGCUGAAAGAAUAAACAAAAUCUAGUCUUCAACAACACAAAGGUGCUCUUUCCUAACACCAAAAAAAAAUUGCAGAAUGCAUAAUUUGAUGCAACUAAGCCUACUCUUCAACGAAAUGAUGGCUUGACCAUAUUGACAAGUUUACUUCAAUAUCAAUUGUCUCCUAGCAUGAAUUUCACACAUAAAUGGCUAAAUACUAGAAUGAAGAAAGACGGUUCACAAAUCACACCGUGACUCAAGACUUGAAGCUUUUGCACUUCGGUUAAAAAGUAACUAGAAAAACACCUCCACUUCUUCGUGAAGGAAAUAACGUAAAUCACUCAUAUUGCAUAAUACGUAUCAACGAUUCACUUUCCGCUAUCCAAGCAUUAAUUCCUUUAUUUCAAUCCUCAUAAAUCAGGAUUGUUCUCUACUAAUAUUGAAACACUCCAUAAGGGAGACCAGUACUCUCAAGUUUCAACCACCUCACCCUUACAACAAAAACCUAGCAUUUGUCAGCAUCUUUAGUGUGCUUACUAUCUAAAAGUUCCCUUCCACUCUAUCCAUUUUUUCUAAGCAAAACAGGUGCCACGAAGCAUGUCAAUCCCGACGUUAUGCUAGUGCUCAACAUAAACCAGCUAGGUAUCACCAUCGUCAAGUAGGCAAGUCAAAGUAUCACACGUUCCAGAACCAAGAUGAAAGGUUAGCUGAAGGAAAACUCACAAAACAUGACACAACAAAAAACGAACUCUAGUUCUAUGGACUUACCAUCAUCAACUAUCUUUGCCAAUCGAAUGAUACAUAUCUUAUCCAUCUCUAUUGAACCUCGGGCAAUCAUGGACUAUGAGUCGACAAGAUUUUGGCACACCCAACACCCUCUCCAAUAAUUCACAUUUAUAAAACUCCAAACUUUUCAGAUUCUGUAGAUUAGAAAGAUCAGAUUCGUUUAACCUUUUGAUUGAAUUGCAAGACACAAUAGACAAAUUUCGCAAUGAUUUCAAGUCUCCCAAACCCUGAAUCUCAAUUAGCUGAGGCAAUCGAAUCAGGGACAAAAACUGGAUCUCCUUCAAACAAGGUAGAACGGGCAGCGUCUUGAGCAAUGGACAGUCCUCCAUACACAAUUGAUUGAAUUUCCGUAGCUCUCCAAGCACCUUGAAUCGAAUCUCUCCCGACGAAUAUCCAUAGAUAGACAGCUGCAACAAAUUCUCCAAGUUGGAAAAGACUGACCAAUCUAUCGGUGACUGGACAUCGUAUAACCACAAAUCUUGAAGGCUGGAUGGGAGCCCGAUAAGAGAUUGGGGCUUAGCAUAAUUUAUGCUGAGGCCUUGUAGCUGAGAGAGGGAACUAAAAUCAGUUUGAGGCAAGGCCAUUUUUCCAAUGUGGAGGGUCAUUCGUUUUAGAGCAGGUAGUCUCACGAUCCCCUCUGUGUUGGGUUCUUCGAUUGAAUCUCCAAUUAUGUCAAGGUCAACUAAUUUGGUUAGGUUUGAGCAGUCGGGGAUCGUGGUCAGUGAAUUCGAUAUAAGGCUUAAAGAAAUUAGACUCUUGGGAAGCUCUGGCAAUUGUUGGAUUGAAUCACGUAAAUGUAACAAAAGUAUUUGAAGAUUUGUAAGCUGAUUGAUCGUUGUGGGCAAUCCACUAAAGCGACCUUUGGAUAAGUCUAUAUAUUUCAACGAGGAUAGUGCCUUAAUUUCACUUGGAAUUUCCCCCAGCAAAUGUUUAGAGUCGACAUAUAACUUUUCCAGAUUUUCCAACAUUCCUAUGGUUUUCGGAAGUUCACUUAUGUAACUACCAUCGAGCUUUAGUACCUUCAACUUUUUGAGAUUUCCUAUACAAUCCGGUAAGCUCCCGAUUCUUGAAUCACUCAAAUCCAACUCAACCAAUGAUUGGAGCCUCCCAAUCGAGUCUGGUAGCUUUUCUAGAUAGGAAUUCCAUAUGCGUAAAACUUUUAACCUUUCAAGAUUUCCAAUAGAAUGAGGUAAUUCACUAAAUUUUAAAUAUUGGACAUCUAGCUCAAGUAGUGACUCCAAUUGUCCAAUAGAGUCGGGAAGCUUUUGAAGUUCCUUGCAUGGCAAGAUUAGAGAUUUCACCUUUGCUAAAUUGCCAAUCGAGUAAGGCUUCCUUGAGGGUGUCCAAUCUAUUCUUAGCACUGUCAAAGAUUUUAGACUGCCAAUGGACUCCGGUGGCAACUCAAUAGCUUCACUCUUUAUCUCUAGGUAAUCAAGAUGUUGUAGAUUGCCGAUGGACUUGUCAAUCUUUCUUAGUCGAAUGCAUCUAAGAAUCAAUUUCUCUAGCUGCGAGAUUGUGGAGAACUUGGGCAUCUUUCUAAGGAAUGGACAAUCCUCAAGUUGUAGGAUUUUCAAUUGUUUUGCCACCUAUAAAGUAAUUGGUUGAAACUCAGAAAAGAGGAAGAGUAAAUGUAAUGCAAAAGUAUGUUGUGAGAUCAUACCAUGAUUUGACACCAUCCUCCCCAAUCUUCAAUAACGUUAUUCCCAGAUAGCAUGAGAAUCGUUAGGUUUUUCAACCCAAAGUUGGUAGCUCGGAAUUUCGAAGGGCAAUUGCUCCAAGAGAGCCAUGCCAAAUUAAAGAAAACAUUCUUAAAGUCUCCUUCAAAAUUUCCAUGGUCCAAUUGAAGGAACCUAAGAUUGACCAAGCCCAUAAACUGCUUGCGCUUAAAUCUGUACGUCUUAUUCGGGCUAGGUGUACCAAGAUUGAGUGCCACUAUGUCUUUGGUUCCCUAGAAAACAAAAGUAGCAACCAAUGAGUACAUAUGUCACUUUGACUUGAAAUUAGAUAAAAAGGUGGUGACGCUAAUGGAUGCACUGGAAAACAUUUAGAGGUCAAGAUUACCGUUUCUGUCUGCACUACACGGAAGGCAUCCUUGGGAGACCACAAUCUGCUACCCUUCAUAUGGAUUUCACCACUUUCUGGAUGGAUGAUACUCCUUCCAAGGUCUCUAAGUUGGUCGUGCAUCCAUAAUUUAUUAUCGGUCGAUAUUUUUAUUAGAGACAUACGCUUGAGGAUAUUGACCUCACUUUCGGUCGGAUACCCAAAAAUCGCAUUCCAAUAUGUAACCGCAGUUGUUUUCUCUUUGUUGAAGCAGAAACAUGCAAUAUCAAGAAAAAUUUGCCGUUGAUUAAUUUCCAAUGCUUCAUAGCUUAUCAUCAGCUUCUUCUUGACAUCCUCAUUCAUCACCUUCUUUAACUUACAUAGGGCAACUUCCCAUGUUCUUUGGCAUUUUCCGCGAAGUGUGGAACCCACAACAUUGAGAGCUAAUGGAAGUCCUCCUAGUGCAUCGACAAGCUUUUCUGUGAUAUUCAUGUAACUAGGCAGAGGCUUGACACAUCCCAAGGCACGCUCACAGAAAAGUUGAAGAGCAUCAUGUGAAUUCAUCUCUAGCAUAUUGUAGAAUGAAAAUUGUCCACUAUUAGAGAUUGGGAGAUUGUCUUCCUCACCUUCCUUUAUUAGGAAUUCAAUAUUUCUUGUUGUUAUGAUGAUUCUACUACCCCCACCAAACCAGUUGGGCUCGCCUACAAGCCUCAUGAUUUGGUCCCAGUUGUCGAUGUCAUCAAGAACAACGAGGACUUUCUUGCCAAGAAACCUUGUCUUGAUCACUUCAUCAAUGAAGAAGGGGUUUGUGCAACUAAGAUUGAGAACAUCAAACAACAAUUUCUUUUGUAAGCCUAUUAUAUCAUGAGUUCGAACAUCUUUAAGAAAACAGCAAUGAUCCCGAAAUUGAGGGUAGAUUUGCCUGAAGAUGGCCUCGGCUAGUGUCGUUUUUCCGAUGCCACCCAUACCAUGAAUCACAAUAAACCGUACAUCAAAAGCUCCUACAUCGAAUAGCUUCAUAAUGUGAUCCAUUCGAUCCUUAAUUCCCACCAAAUGAUUAGACAUGUCCGUCUGUCUUGUCCAUAGCAAAUUUGAAACCUCUUCCACCAUGAGGUUUGUAAGUUUAUAUAGGCUGCCACAUUCAUAACAUGCAAUCAUCUCAGAUAAAAAAAUCACAUAUGGAAUCUAUGCCUGCAUAACGUGUCAUUGGAAGGUUAUCAUCAAAUUCAAAGUAAUUGGCUUUGAAAGCAACCAGCAUGAAAUGAGUGAUCAUUCAUACUGUUAGGAUUCUUUGGUUCGGUAAAUGGUAGGAAAAAGGUAAUGUCAUGACGAAGGUCUAAUUGGGCUUUGACUAGAAUUCCUCGGUGAAUCCGGCCUUUUUUAUCUCUUCAGCCACUAAGGAUGAGUUUGAAGAUUGACAUAAAAGAAAAAGAUUUUCUCACCGGCAGUUACCUGGAAUUUAGGAAACAAGAAUAAAAGCUCAAAAGCGUUUUUCUUAAUGUACCCGAGUAAUAGGGUAGUAACCGAAAAUGAGGAACACUUUCAGAGUAUUUAUUAGCCUUCAUUUGAGUUGCCAACAAUCAUUUUUCCGAAUAAGCUACCAACUGGUUUAACUUAGCAAUUUCAUAGGUCACAUUAAAUUUGUUGGUAAUCUAAUUGGAAUAAGUUGGUAAGUAACUCAAAUUGUGCUUGGUAUUUUGACAAUUGAGUUCCUAACCUAAGAAUAUUUGUGAACUAUGCUAAUCAAAGUGGGUCCGUUGAUAACAAAAGUUUGUUACGAAGCGUGGGAAUUUUCAACAAAUAAAUAAACACUGAUAAGUGGCUCACAUAGGAAUGGGUGACUUAAAUUAAUCAGUAACUUAAUCAGAGGUUAGCUAGUAGGAAACUCAUAUUUGAGUCAGUAAUUUGUUUCAAGUAUUGGUAAUUUUGAAAUGUGAAGUAAACAAUUCAAAUAAGAGAUGGCAGGUUUUAUAAAAUUUGUAAAUCGGCAAACGAUCAAAUAAAUUUAGUAAAUAACUCAAAUAACACACUGGUCACCUUAAAUUAUUUGUGAAAUAAUCGAAAAGUAGNNNNNNNNNNNNNNNNNNNNNNNNNNNNNNNNNNNNNNNNNNNNNNNNNNNNNNNNNNNNNNNNNNNNNNNNNNNNNNNNNNNNNNNNNNNNNNNNNNNNNNNNNNNNNNNNNNNNNNNNNNNNNNNNNNNNNNNNNNNNNNNNNNNNNNNNNNNNNNNAAGUGAGCUGCGAAGUUAAGAGAUUUAAAUUUUUACUUUUCACACAUAUGUUAUCUUUACUAUUUCAUCAACUCUUAGAUUUUCAUAAAAACAUUUUUUUGCAUUAUUGAUUAAUUAAUUAAGUUAAUAUACCUUGAGACUAUUUGUUGCCAAAACUUGGGAUAAAAAGUGAAAGUCAAUUUGUGCAAAAAAAAACCUUGCUCCCUGAGCAAAAUUCCUGCCUCCCUCACUCCGGCCGAUCCAACCAUACAUCACAUAAGAAUGGACAGCGCCAAACUGAAAGUUAUUAUUUUGGAAAAAGUAUCAUAAAAUAUAAUCUCAAAAUUGAUGAAAUGGAAGUAAACUUAAUGGAAGAAGCUAAUAAUAUCGUAAUCUUUUAGAUUCCGUCCUUUAAUUCUAGCAACCUCUUCUAAAGCCUGCUCCCACUACUUUGCCAUAUCCUUCCCAGAGUCACUGGGUCAAUCCCAAAGGGGGGUCAGCUCUAUCAUUUCUUCCUCUUCGCUGUUAAGUUUUAGAAAAGUAUCCCAAAGAUUUCCUCUAUGUUUCCUGCACAUUUUUUCGUCUCCCUCGGGUACAUCAUACACUAACAAGUAUGAACUAACUAUAACCAUUAAUAGCUCGGACGCAUAAAGAAGCUCCUUACUGAGCUCUCCUAUUUUGGGCCAAUUCUUCCUCAGCUUUCAUUAGUAUAACAAAGGAAAGAAGAUAUAAUAUUAAACUCGAUCUAAUUUUUCAGGCAAACAUCAUAGGCAUAAGGUCAAGAAAAUUGUAACACGUCUUUAACUUUAAUGUACAGAAUGCAAUUGAAGUUAAGAAACUUAAAUAUUUUUAUUUUUCACACAUAUAUAGUCAUAUAUGGAUAUAUUUUUAUUAACACAUCUUAGAUGUUUAUGGAUAUCUUGGUUGUUUUCCAUUAUAUAUUAAUCAAUCAAGUUGAUAUACCUUAACAUUAAUUGUUAUCAAAACUUGGUUUUAAAAAUGAAAAGUCAAUUUGUGCAAGAAACCUCGCCCUCUGAGCAAACUUGGUUUAAAAAAUGACAGAUCAUUGCGUCAAAUCCAACCAAACAUUACAUAAGUUUGGACAGCAGCAAACUGAAUCUAACUAUUCUUUGAAGGAAUAAGAAAUUGAAAUUGUCAAUAAGAAAAUAAAGUCAAUGGAGAAGCAAACCAUACCCGUAAUCUUUUAGUUUCUUUCCACUAAUUCUGGUAACAUCUCUUAAAGCCUCCUCCCACUGCUUUGUUAAAUCCUCCCCAGAGUCAUUCUUGUGCUUUUGGAAGGCAUCCUUAUAUAAAUUGGUCUUAAGCUUGACAUCGUCCACGUCCACGUCGUAGAAGAUAGGGAGGAUCACUUUCUCAUCAUUAUCUCUUGAUAACUCCACUAUGAGUGCCAGCUCACGGAGGCACCACUUACUUGAAGCAUAAUCUUUGGAGAAAAUCGGGAUGUAAAUUCUGGAGUCAUCGAUUGCUUGCAAGAGGCCGCCUUCAAUCUUUUUGCCAAAUCGGAGCUCUUCAUCGUCUUUAAAAGCGCGGAUCCCCGCACGGAUCAAGUCAUUGUAAAGACAAUCAACGAUGGUUAAGCGGGUGUCAGGUCCUCUGAAGUUCAAGAACACCUCAUAACCCCUCCUCGAUCCAUCAUCACGGCUACUACUUGCUGAAGCUGUCCGAGCGGCCUCUUCUCCCUCCCGCUUUCUCUCCAUUCUGAGAGGACGAUGGAGUGAUUGAUCCCUGAACUGAGUCCGCCCGGUAACCCGGGAAGUUUGAGCCUGAUCCUUGCAACAACUUGACGAAGCAAAGGAGUGAAAUCGCUCACUUCCACUACGUUUCCUGGGAAAUCACCUGCGGCUUUCCUUCAUAAGCAAACAAAAGCAUUCAGGCUAAGUUGAGUAAAUAAUUGAUAAAAGNNNNNNNNNNNNNNNNNNNNNNNNNNNNNNNNNNNNNNNNNNNNNNNNNNNNNNNNNNNNNNNNNNNNNNNNNNNNNNNNNNNNNNNNNNNNNNNNNNNNUGGGGGGGGGGGGUGGCACCUUAGAUCUAUGCCAAGGUUUUGUUUAUCUGAAUACAGUUUGUCAGCCAAUUUUUUGAAAAUUCGGUUUCUGAUAAUUGAACCCCAUUUAUAAGUGCAUUUAACAUGCAUUUCUCUAUUCCAAUCUUUUAGGUUCUCAUACCAAUCAGGAAAUUGAAAUAAUUAAAUACAGGCUAAAAAUCACUAGCGAUAGAUUUCGAGCGCCGCCAAUGACCACUUAUCCUUCGCCAGCUAACAAAUUUUUUUUUUUAAUCACAAAAGUCCUUUAGAAAUAUAAAUUUCAAUAAACCUAUUUUGCUUAAAGAUACUUCCCAAUGAACUUACAAAGUAUAAUUUACCAAAUGCACUUUGUAUUUUAGAAAACUUUUUUAACCAAAAGUCAUUUGUAUAAUUUAUAAAGUAAAGUCAUUUGUAUUUCCCCAAAAAUUCAACCAAACACGCCCUAAAUGUUGGAUGUAGCUGGACAACUUUAAGAUGAGUUUCACUUGCCAUUGCUUUGGUACUACGCGUCGUUUGCCUGGAAGCCACCUGCAGCCUUCCUUCGUAAAUAAAAGAACCCAAAAAGCCAUCCAUACUCGUAAUUAGUCGCUUUUGCAAUAAAGUUACAUGAACCUGAAUAUAAACCAUUAUUACAAGUUAUGAUUGCACUUCGAUGUUAGAUUGAACGGUAACAAAAUAAAAUUGCUCGCGGAUUGAAAUUGUACACCAAAUAAAAUUGCAUGCUGAUAUUUAAAUCAAGUGUUGAUUCUGUCGGAAUUUGAUUUGUCUCUAUCAUUUGUUUUUGGUUGAUUUAGCAUUGGACUCACAUCGCUUAAUUGGACGUUGAUCUCUUAUGGAAAUUUCCAAGAAAAUGUGGUCCCUCCUUCACAAUAAUUCCAAUAAAGUUGAGAUUCUUUGAACAUUUUAUUCUCGAAAGCUUGACUUUAAUGAUUUUUUUGAUAAUAUCAACCGCAGUUUCCCGGUAUUUUUCAAGGCCUGAAAUUUCGAAAUGCUCUUUGCCGAUCUUCCGAGUGGGUUGCCAAUCUCCAAACGGAACUUGUAAGUAUUGACAUCUUUGUGUGUGUACUCGUGUGAACACACGAAUUACGAGCCUAUUUGCCGCACAAUUUGGCAAUGCGUAGACUAGUGCAUAACGAGCGAAUUGACUAGACAAAACAAACUUCUGUGCUUUAUCUUUUGCCUUCACACAAGAGGGUCGGACAAAGACUUCAAGAUUGACUUCUGUACAAUAUAAGCAAAGAAAAAAGGCAGGUUCAAUUUUGUUUCUUAGUUGAUCAAAAAAAAAAAAUUGUUUCUUAAGGAAGUUCAUUUUCUCUCCUAACUCAAAUAGGCUUCACUAGAUUAGACUUGCUAGUACUCAAGUCCCCAUAAAUUGGGUCUAUCAAAUCCAUUAGCUAUAUAAAUUACAAGAAUCAAUGGAUGUGAUUGCAUUGAUCCAUAGAUUAUGUAGCUAAGUCCUCACCAUCACCAAGAUUUGUUCUAUAUCUCACAAUUCAUCUAGGCCAAAGUUUUCAUAAUAUAUUGGAAGCAGAACUCCGAACUCGUUCAUAUUCAAUUUUGGAUCCAACACAGUACAAACUAAAAGAACAAGUCGAAUGUCUUUGUAGAACUCCAGAAAAUUUUAUUUCGGCAAUAACGAAUGGACCGAAAAAAGGGUCACCCUCUUUGUUGGCUAACUCCAUCGAAUAAGGCACAGAAAUGGCAAAGCUCGAUUGCUCGACAAAUAAUCACUUGUGGACUGAGCCUCCAUUGCAUCAUUGAACACAUUCGAAAGGUCCCUAAAGACUCAAGCGACCUUUCAGUGCCAUAGCAAAGUUGACCGAGAGUCAAACUUCAUUAAAAGUUCAGUUGAAGGUUGUAAACAAGUGUGCUCGUCAAAAGCUUUCUAAAGAUACCCAAUCGGCCCAAUUCGGACAGCCAGAUCUCAAUAUAUCAAGUUUUUCUAAGCACAGCUGUACGAUCUUGAGGUGUCGGAAACUUUAUGAUUUUAUCUGAUAGAUUAGUUCCACCAUAAAGAUUAAAUCAUAAGCUUUCCAACACCAUCAAAAUCACAAAGAUCGGAAUUUUUAUGACAAAAACAUCAGAACUUUUUGCCAAGUUCAAACUGGCCUGACCGUCCAAAAUCCGCAAUAUGAGGUGAACCGCAUUUGAGCUAAAUUGAAGUCACCAGCUUUCCAUGGGGGGAAAAUCGGUUCAAUUGUACCUUAUACGAAAAAGUUAUGCUUGACCAAAUUCGGUCAAAUUUAGGUAAAAUAUGGGUAACAUUAUUUUUCGAGUUUUUCGAAGAAAAAAUGUCGAUGCUCCGUGGAAGAAGACAAUUACUGCAAUAUGUACUAUUUAUUUAUAAGACACAUUUCUAUACUAUUUGUUGUUUAAUUCAAUUAUUUCGGCUAAGUUUAAAUUAAUUUUUUUGCCUAAGCCUACCUCUAGAUAAAAUCAUUUUUUUCGUAUUUGAAGAUGCUAAAUGUUGACUUUAUCUAUAAAUAGCACUGGAAAAUAACACAUUGCAUAGGAUGAUAUGUAAAUAAUUUGUAAGGUCAUUGGGCUACAUGGCAACACAAUGCCAAGCAUCAUGUCACGUCAUAAGAACAAAGCCAUAGAGAAGUGUCUCGUGAAUGAUAUAGGAGUGACCGGUCUCUCAACUUCAGUUUAACUCUACAUAACAGAUCGGGCAAUUUUAGUUGGUUGACCUUCUUCAAAGUCUAUGUACUUCGAUUUCACCUAACGGUUCAGAAAAUUGAAAGAUAUUGGUUAAAGUUUUCUAUAUUCUUUAAUUUAGGUCCAUGCUAAUGUUAAUCUUUUAUGCAAUUUGAGUUUCACUUUGCAAACUACAUGUACAAAUUUUAUGCAAUUUGAGUUUCACUUUGCAAACUACGUGUACAAAAUAGAUCCCUUUUGUCGAGCUAAAAGGGAUCUUCGCGGGAGACUUUAGCUAAUUCUUUUGUGGAAAUUGUGAAGAAAAUACAAUUCCUCCUCCACAAGGAGAUCAACAAAGUUGAGAUUUUCGAAACAUUUUUAAUCUUGAAUGAGGGUCUUUAUGCUUUUUGAUGAUAUCAACCUGAGUUUCUUGGUAUUUUCCAGGUCCUGGUCCUCAAAUUGCAAAACACGUUGUGCGUGUGUGAACACACGAACAAACAAGCCUGUUUGAUGUGGAAUUUGGCUAUGUGCAAACGAAUUGACUAGACAAACAUACUUCAGUGCUUUUGCUUACACAAGAGGGUCCGACAUAGUUGCUUUUGCUUACACAAGAGGGUCUGACAAAGAAUUGACCAGACAAACAUACUUCAGUGCUUUUUCUUUUGCUUUUGCUUUUGCGUUCACAAGAGUGCUUUCACAAGAGGGUACGACAAAGACUUGACGAUAAACUCGCGUUUAUUUUAAGCAAAGAGAACUUAAGUUCAUCUUUGUUUCUCAAGGGAGUUCGCUCUCUCUCCCAACUCAUAUAAACUUCAUUGGGUUAAGACUUGCAGAAUCCACAUAUAUCGGGUCCAUCAAAAAAUUGUUAUCACAUAAAUUAUACAUGGAUCACCUAAACAUCAAUGGAUGUGAUCACAUUUGGUCUGCAAACCGUGAUCUGUGCAACUAUUUCCAUUUUCUGAUUAGUUGAUGGGUCGAUACCUGUAAUAAUGCAAACUGUAGCAAUUUGUAAAAUCUUGCAAAAGCUUUGUUUUCACAGUGGAGAUCCAUUAUUUUGUGAUUUAACAAUUGCAGGCCCUCCUAGAAUGCUUUUUGGAAAGAUCGUAGAAACAUCCAAGUAACGACCAAAGGGUUUUAUUUCAUUUUUUUCAAUUUUUGUGAGCAAAAUUUUCUUUCUUAUAAGUGCCAAGCCCAAAAUUUUAGCUUAAUCAUGGUUAAAUCAACUACUUUUUGCUAAUAAUCGAUGAUGACGUCUCUAAUGAAUCAAAGGCGUUGAACCUUUCUCUAGUUCCAUUGAAUGCGGUCUAGAUUUACUCUCCAUUUCUGCAGAUUAUUCACAUAGGCACAUACACAAAAUGUGAUCAUGUCCUACAUGUUAUUAUGUCCUUUUUAAGGUGGGCACCAAGUUUGAAAUCUAAUAUUAUGCGAUUGUAUAGAGAGUCUCACUUCACAUACGAGCACAAAGAAAUUUAAAAUGUUUUCUCGAAAUUGACGAUUAAUUUCACGUAAAAAUUAAGCUACUCAUGCAUGCGCCUAAAUCUGAGAAACAAAAAGUGAGGGAAUAGGCUCGCAAAUCAUUUAGAAUUGCAUCUGAUUUUUGUUAUCAGAUAUUUGUAUUUUAAUUUAAUUUAUGCAUUUCAAUCAUUGCAUGAAUCAUGGGAUCCCAGUCUAGACGCUUAUCUUAAUGUUUUUUUCCUUGUAGACAUAUAUAGAAUAUUAAUAACAUAAGAUGAUGUAAGUGGUCUGGCUCCAUAAACAGACGAUUUGGCGUGACCUCUGAGGAAGCAUGAUAGAUGCCCUUUAAUCCUUUUGUCCAUGUUGUUUUUGGUGACAAAUCUCAUCCUCGAUUUCUAGUCUAGAAAAAAGCAUAUUGUAAUUGCUUUUGUUCUGUUCCUCAACUUAAAAAGGGUUAGCUUUUCUCAGUCGGAGCCAAGCUUCCAUUAUUCUUUUGCUAAGCCAAAUGAUCAAUGUUGCCUUUGUUCCAUUGACUACCCUUUUUCUUGUCAUUGUAAAAUUGUGAAUGUCAAAUCAGCGCAGAGUCGCCUUCCGCCCUCGAGAGUCGUAGAUCCACCAUAACGCCUGAUACACUGUUGAAAACCAAUUGUUGGUGAAAUCACACGGAAUUUUUCUAAAUCUAGUGAUGACCUCUGCACUUUACCAUCUGGGUAUAUUCAUGAUGAAGGAAUAAAUAGUGUGCAAAAGAGCUAACAUUCUUUCUAAAUGGAGAAGAAAAUUUUAUCUCAUUGUAACUUUAAUUUCCCCAUUAAAUUUUGGACAGCGCUAGAUUGAAUCCACCACAUUUACACUAAAAAGACUAAAUUGCCUGCAAUCAUUCAAUUGCAAUUUAAAGUGACAAUCACAUUGUUUCUUUUCCUACUUUUUCUAGUUACCGUAAUUACACAUUCCACGCGUUUUAUUUUUCUUAGUGUACUAAAGAAUUUUUGUUAGCGUAUCCUUAAAUAUUACUAUAAUGUAUUGCAUGCUCCAUAUAAAGGCCACUAGUAAGAAAAAAAAACACAAAUUAUUUGAUAUAGUCAAAACCUUGAAAGUCUCUUCUCAUCAUUGCCCUAAUAAAAACUAAUUUUUUCUUUCUCCCUCUUAUUUCAAAAGCUCACUUUCUUGGUGAAUUAUUUAUUUUUUAAUUUCAUUAGUCUAAAAUAUAUACCAAGUCUUUUUAAAGAACUUAUCUUUUACCCAUAAUGUUGGCGAGAUGCUUUUACAUAGAUGUUAGGCGUUGUGGAAUAUCUAGGAAUAUACUAAAACAGUUGUGCAUGAUGAAGCAUCAAAGAUUUUUUUUUUUUUUUUUUUGUAAAAGGUAAAUAAUAUAAAGAGGAAAGGUCAAAAGUACAAAAAAUCACAGCACCAAAAACUUACACUCAAGAUGAAUAAACAUAAUGAGUGGAAGUAUGCCAUAAUGUAAAACACAAGGCAAUGCCUAAAAGAAGGCAAACAGCAAACUAGAUAGGCACAGCAUGAACAACUAGCAAAGAAGCAAACACCUCAGUGAAGGAGGAGAGACGUCGGCUCCAGAGCACUAGAGCACUAGAGCACUAGCAUUUCCUUGAAGCAUCGAUUGAAACCAGGGUUGAUUACGAGUCUUCCGAGAAGAUAAUGGGAUUGAUGCCCCAACUCCUUUGCAACCUUCUAUUUCUGAAGUUAUCCUCAACGUUUUUUAAGGUGCUAGCUCUAUCCCUAACCACCUUAAGAAGAUGGUUCUUCAUAGCCGGGAUAGUAAGGGGUUGUUCUCUGAAUAGGAUGCUAUUCCUAUUUUUCCAAAUAAUGUGACAAAGAGCCCCAAGGGAAAAGCGAGCAAUGCGUUUAGAGAAGUCUUUACCCUUCAAGAAAGAGGUGGCCCACUGGAGAUUCUCUCCCCAAGACCUGUUCCACCAAGGCAGAUUGCAUCUCGCCACCCAAAAGAAAGCAACACCGGCUGUGACAGAGCAAUAAAAAAAUAAAUGAUUUAUGGAAUCAGGCAACCCAUUGCAAAAUGCGCAGGAUCCCCUCUCUAUUCUACCAUGAGCCAAUAACCCAUUGCAAAGCACUGCUGCAGUAACCAGGUGCCCUACCAUCUCCCAAUUUUCUUUAAAGAAUUCGACCAUGAAGCCAUCCGGUCUCGAUGCCUUACCCCUAGCUAGAGAGAAUAAAGUAUCCCGGAUCUCCAACUCCGUAACCGGAUGAGCUAGGAAACUAACCUAAUCAACCAAAAGAGGAUGCUGGAUUACUUCGUGGAUCUCCUCCACUGAAGGUCUAUCUGGCUGAGCUUGCGGUGCCAGGAGGUCUUGGAAGUAAUGAAGAAAGCAUUGCUGGACCCGCUAUAGAUCAAAGAUAAGGUCCCCCUUCGAAUCCUGGAUAGAAAUGACUCUAUUCCUUAACUGUCUCUUUUUGACAUACUGAUGGAAGAACUUAGUAUUGCGAUCUCCCUCUUUGAGCCACUUGACUCUCAACUUCUGCUUGAAGAAAGACUCCUCCAUAGACCUUAGCCUAGCAAAAACACGUUGCUAUUCCUUUUCCAGCACAGCCAGAUAAGCAGAACCAGGCUCCUGCAGCAACUUCGCCUACGUGGUCUCUAAGGUCGUCCUCGCCUCCGACGUUCUGACUGAGAUGUCAGAGAAAGAAACUCUAUUCAGAGUCUUAAGUCAUUGUUUGAGAGCCUUUAGCUUACAUACAAGUCUAAACAUAGGAACUCCUUCCAUAGGGGCCUCUCAAACUUGAGAAACAAUAGCAUUGAACUCCAGAUGCUUCAUCCAGAAGUCAUAAAAUUUGAACGGCUUCCUCUAAGGAAUCGAGUUAAGCACCUUGACCACCAUAGGAGUGUGAUCAGAUAUACCCGACGCCAGGAAGGAAGCUUUGGAGUACGAGAAUUCAUAGCUCCAUUUACAAUUCACUAGAACCCUAUCGAUUUUUCUUGCUUUUCUGGCAGAGCCCACUGAAGUUGUCCAAGUGUAUUUGAAUCCUACAUACUUGAAGUCUUCGAGUUCCACCUAUGCCAAGCACUGUCCAAACUCGUUGAAACACGGUAUCUAAGCAUCGGAUCCGCCAACCUGGUCAGAUGGGUCUUUAAUUGCAUUGAAGUCUCCCAUCACAAGCCAAGUCGAGUUUUGCAAAGCAAUGCUUCUAAGAACAAGAUCCUCCCAUAGAGCUCUCUUGAGCGUGAACGUGUGCUCACCAUAAACCACUGACAUGCAACAAGCCACUCCAGAGUCCAACCAUUUAAGGUUCCCAUGCACCGCUUGAGUUGAAAUAGAGAGAGCUUCAAAGCUAACCCGAGCCGGGUCCCAUCUAACCGAAAUCCUAACCCUAAGGGAGAACUCAUAGUUUGAGAUCCAAGACCAAUCUCUCAACAAGAUCCCGGAGAUGGAAUUGAAGUCAUUUUGUGGAACCUUCAUUUCCAAUACACCAUUCAAACACAAAUGGUUUAAGAUAGCCAGGCUUCGAACCUCAGCCUGUCUAGUGGGGUUAACAAGACCCCUCACAUUCCAACAACCUAUAUGAAGCAUCAAGAUAUUUUUUCAUACGUACUUCAUCAAUGAUAUUAAUUUUUGUCAAUUCAAAAUAAUGAGAUGUCAUCAACUUUUUUAAAAAGUUUUAUAUUUUGUGCAAUUUUUAAUUUAAUUAAAUUUCAUCUUUAAAGUUUUCCAUUGGAAAAUGUAAUUGUGAUCUUAUUUUGGAAAAUCUUCAAACCCUAAAGAGGGUUUCUUUAUCCGAUCAUCCGAUUAUGUGUGGUAGAAGAGAACCCAUAAGAAGGAAUUUUCUUUGGUCGAACGAUAAGGUGUUUGAUGGUGAUAUGCACAACAAAAUUGAAAAUUUGUAAACAAGUGAUUGUGUUAAAAAAAUCUAUAUGAUAAUUUUUUUUUUCUUUUGAGAUUCUACCUGACAAUUUAUCCUUAGAUUUGCUUGACAAUGUUGAAAAGAACUAGGAUUCUUGGAGAUUUCUUUUUUCAACAAAACUAUGUUGUAUGGAAGAAAAAUCUAACAGAGAAAAAAGAAAUGGUGUUUUCAAUUUAUUUGAAAUACCCACAAUAAAAUUUUUUAAAAAUAGACAUGUGAAAUUCUUAAUUAUGGUAAUUGAAUCCUACAUUAAAAUAGAAAAAAUUUAAAAAAAAGUCAAUGAAUUUGGGGCUACCAAUUAAAUUGCAAUUGAAUGAUUUGGUGCACUUUGAUCUUUUUAGUGAAAAUUGGGUGAAUUUAGUUAUACAUGAAAUGGAUUUCUCCAUCAACUUUUUGCCCUAAGCUGGGAGAGGCUUGAUCAUCAUGACUCAUCAAGAAAAUGUGUGUAACCUGGGAAAUAAAUAAAUGUAGGCCUUUAUGGUAAGAAUGCAUAAAUUGCGAGAUGGGAAAUAAACUUUGAAGAUACAAACUUCCGAAGAAUUAGUCAGGAAUUGGUUAAACAAUCGAAACGCCCAAAUCACCACAAGAUCACAAACAAUAGUAGCCGGAUCAUCAAAUGCAUCAUUCUUGCAACAAAAAUCUCUUGCAGCAAGCCACAUUGUUGCUGCACAAUUACCGCAUGAAUAUGUUACAGUAAUGAAGAAAAUCAUUUCCGAAAUUAAGGGGCCCACCAACAGUGAAAAGCUAGUUCCCACCAAUCACAUCGUAACAGAGAUGCAAAAGAAGAUGAUUGGAAUGGGGUCCACCUGUUAGAAGAAGAACAAAAUCACCAAGGGAAGAUACUUGCUAGAAAUUGUAGCAGCAUGUGCAAUAAUACUGGUCACCGUCCAAUCACUGCAGCAGAAUUAUUGCUUACUUUCACUAUGCCAGCGGGCCUUCGGUACUAGCAGACAAGAUACUCUUCACCAUCAGAUGAUUGCAGCAAAAUUAUUACAUACUUUCACUAUAGAACUUUUGCUGCACACGCGCAAUUUCCUUUGUUUUGCUCAUUCAAUUCGGAAGGAUUAGCUUUUGUCAAUUCUACUUUCGCCCAAAAAAGCAGAUCUCCUUAUAUUUAAUCCAAUGUCACACUAAGUGGCACGAUCAAUUUAACCUUGAUCAAAUUGAACAAUAAUUUUAUGUGAUAAGUAUUGUAUUGAAAUGUAAUGCACUAUUAAAAUCCUUGUUGGUCCUUCUUGAUUGAUAACAAAAAUUUAAAGGCCCUUUUGACAAUCUAUCUAAAUUUGUCAGAUUAAUUCAAGAUUUUGAUCUAACACUUUUGAGUCUUUAUUUUGAAAUAAGUUCAAAAUCUUUGCUAGUCCUUCUCGAUUUAUCCGAUCAACCCAUUAUAUAUACAGAAGACUAGGAGUUACGGAUACCUGAAGUGCUAGAAUUUGGCACAAAUGGACACUUAAAUGCCAACAUUUGGAAAAUGAAACUUAAGUGCUAAAAUCAGAGCAAAAUAAAUUAGUGCACUCUGGCCAAAAUGCCGACGUGGUGAUUUUCCGGCGAAGAAAGUACAAAAUGACGUCGUUUUGCACACUGACGUGGCUAGACAAUACAAAAACGGCGUCAUUUUGAUGCUGACGUGGUAAAAAAAUAAUAUAAAAUUUAUUUAAAACAUUUAUAUAUAUAUAUUAAAAAAAGGGGGGAGGGGGGGGGGGGGGCAGGCGGCUGAGGGCUGAGCCCUUGCCACCGCGACCCGGCCGACCAACCUAAUUGCCAUGAUAAACUAAAGGAUAUGGUCCUACAACAAGCUUUGAAUUUUUUCAAGUUCACAUUCGUUCAAACCUACCACACUCCAACUUAUCACCAAUUAACAUGUCUUCCCAAUUUAUAGCCUCACGCCAAUUAGAAAAUUUAGAACAACGGUAGUUCGACCCCAAUAGACCUAGCCAAAACUGACAUAGUAAACGGCUUGAAAUAAACAAGGACCUCCAAGUUCCAAAUAAUUCUCACUUAUCCGCAUGAUUGUUACUUGCUUCCUUAAGAAUUGUAGAUCAGCAACAAGAGCUUACAAACUUGCUUUAGCAUUUUCUAAGUUCUUUUGUAGAUGGGUUGUGGCCUGCAACAUAAAUUUAUGCAAUAAAUAAGAUACUUGACAUCAUUAUUGGAGAGAAAGGGGACAUUACUUAAACUCGAGUACAACCUCUUCACAUGAAUACUCCAACAUAACAUUUGCUCCCAGCCAUAGACAUACUGAAUCAGCAUCUUCAAUGUGAGCUUGAGAAUAUAUGCCUUCAGAGACUUCAAAAUCAGCAAGGAGUGCCUGUAUACAAAAUAAAGAGUCAUGAAAACCAGUCAGCUUGGUGCCUAUUAUCUUUUGCGCCAUACACGUUUUGAUAGUCUUAGGUCUUAAGCCCAAUACAGUAAUCCCACCCCAUGUCAGUUUCUAAUUGGACCUUCAGACACCAAAGCAACUAGCUAAAUAUUACUGGUGAUAUUCAGGUGUUCAAAUCUGAAACCACCCCAUUAUUGAGAUCAGCAUGGGCUCUUCAAAGCACUAACCUGGAUUAUUAGGAAUAUUGCUUCCGGAAGUGCAUUUGCAAAGGAGAAACGACAAUUGGAUAUUUCACAUCAUGUCAACCGUACCAAAAUUAGUUCCUAGUAUGGCAAGAAUUAAACUAGCCUAUCCUCCAUUUGUUUUGUAAAGAUAGAAAGGGGUAAUAUGAUCGGCUAAGAGAGCAUCGAGGAGCAAGAAUAUUUUUUUAAGAUAAUAUUUUUUAGCACAACAAGAUUAUGAGAAAAUUUUAGUUGACAUCAUAAAUAAGAGAUGACUGAUAGAUUGUCGAGGAUUCCAGAUGAAAAACAGAAAUUGCAAAGGAAAAAAUUGGUGGAUUCUAAGACAAUACAAAGAACUCCGGCGGAUAUGAAAAAAUAUGAUCUGGUUACGCGACAUCAAGUUUACUUUGUGAAAAGCCUCAACGUCAGUAGCAUGAGUCUGACAGAUACCCAUUAAGUAUCCUCAGUUUGAAUUUCAAACUUAAAUUCCAGUUCUGAGGCCAUGGUUCAAUCUUACUGUAAUAGAAACUCAAGCUCAUUGUGCACGCAUAUAAUGGCAUCCUCAAUCACAGGUCACUUUGCUAUAGCAAAUAAGCCAGUUUGCUUCAGUCAUUAUGCAGGUUUACACAUCAAAUAAAUAAGAGAGGAGACAAGAGCAUAACAUUGUGGUGGAAUGGAGUGGUGAACUAAUUGUUGCAUCAAGGUGUCCCAAUUUGAAAUCAUUGACCAAUUCAAAUCCUGGAUUUUCGUAUAGAGAGAAAUACCGCACCUUUGUUUAUGUACUGUCAGCACAGUCAUAGCCUAUUUAAUGGAGUAAACCUCAGUGCAAAGAAAGAUGGAGGCAGCACAUAGUAGUACUUGUGUUUGUCCGUGUUUGUGUGUGUGUGUGUGUGAGAGAGAGAGAGAGAGAGAGAGAGAGAGAGAGAGAGAUGGGUCUUGGCAGAGAGGCCGAGUGCCUGGCAACCCAUAGUAGAUGCUAAGGACUAAUUGUGCAGGACAAAUCUCACAGGUUUUUGUCCACUGCAGAGAUAUGGCUAUUAUAGCACAUGAGCAGGAAACUUUGUUGAUGGCAGAAGGUAUUGGUAGGAUUCACCAUUUAUGCAGAGACUGGUAACCAGUAGAGAAUGAGAUGGCCAAAUUUUAAGUUCUCUUACACAAUAUAGCUGGUAACAAAGAGACAGGGAAGGACUCUGUCCAAAGAAGGCAGGGGGUACUAGCUGCUUAGAUGAAAACCAUAUGGAACUAUUCGGCAUCACAAGUUUUCGACAUGUGUGAUUGCCCUGGGAGGGUUUCCAAAUAGUCAACAUACAAAAAGAAGCCAAAAACAAGAAGAAGGGUGCAUACAAACAGAUACUCGCUAUGGCAAAGUCAAUGAGAAUCCUCAGAUCACCCACCAAUGUGUUGCCCUCAGACUCGAUCUCCUUUGGACAUGGAUAUGCUGGAAAAGAUGCAGAUAAGAUGUGGUGAACAUGGAAUUGAAUCCCAAUCCAAAUCUUAGUCUUUUUCUUAGUCAAGAGAUAGAAAUAAGAGAGCCUUUAAAUCUUGCAUUAAGGAAAAGAAUGGCUUUUUAGACUUCACACGCGGUUAACAAUUUCUAAGACUAACUUCUUACCCCAAGUUUGUUAGAUUCACUCUCAUGUAAAUAACUCUACUAAGAGGUUUGCUCUAAUAACUAUUGCUUUCUGAAGAAUAUUCAAUCAGCAAGAAAGCAUUCUCAUAUUUAAAUGAAGGGGCACAUGAAACAAAUGAAUUGUUUAUUUUGUUCAAUACACAAGACACUAAUACCAGCUCUGAGCUUCAUUAAAGGUUCAGCCAAAAAAAGAACAACCAAUGUAAAACAGUUUAAAAAAAAAAAAAAAGGGAAAGAACUCCACAAUUAGAUACAUCUCCACCUUUCUUUCGUCAGUUUUCACAAUACCAUUAACCAGGCUCUGAACUGGAAUAACAUGCAAAACAAUAUCUCUUCCUAUAUUCUUGCACUUUCUCAAAGGAUGAGAAAGAUCUGCUGAAGUGAUUCCUUUCUAAAUAGAACCUAAAUGCAGAUAAUUCCUACUCAUUUUAAGAUAAGCAAUUGAAAGCCUCUAAUGCACAACAUGAGAAAUAAUACCGACGUUUUUCAAUGACAAACCAUUUUAUGUGAUAAAGCAUGAGGAAGAUUUAUAAGGUAUAACAUGCAAUAUGCAACACCUAAUCAACACCUAAUCAGCACGUUCCUGGUACCUUUAAAUGAGAUUAUUUCCUAACGUGGAGAGCAUAAACAAGGCUUACUAUUUAGUGAUGUGCAUCGACGUUCUUCAUUUCCAUAAAUGGGCCAAGCAAGCAUUUUAGAAGGAGAGUCUCUUUCUCAUUCUAAUUACAUGUGAACAUCUCGAUCUAAUUUGCUCAGAGGUAAGUAACUGCAAUCAUUUCAAGAUUCAAAGCCUCGCAAUUUCAACACAAGGUCGUCAAUCAAUUGGCACCGAUCAACUAAAUUACCGAAAUCCACAGCUUGUUGUUAAAAAGCAAAUAACCACCACUUCCCUAUCAACUUGUGGAAAUAAAUGGAAAUUCACCCAAAAUCUUGUUCACAUAGUCAGAAGUAUGAGUUGCAUGAGACAACGAACCUCACCGGAACUCUUCUUGGCCUGUGGAGUGGCGACUAUGUCUAAACACUUCUCAAUAUCAGGAAUUUUUGCCUGGCAUUUAAUAUAGACAUUGGAUUAACAACCCAGUAAACAGCAAAUGAACAAGCAUCAUGCCGACAGAGUAACAAUAAAAUACUAACAAAGUCAUCAAGUUCUGUGGGAACAAAAAACCACGUGCACUCGGAUCUAUCAGGUAAAUGCAAAGAGAAAUUCAUUGUGAGACAUCAAAGAGGUGCUGACCAUCUGGAUUUGUUUUAACUUUUUAUUCUAAAUUAGAUCACAAUAAUUGCAACAGUAAGCCAAUUUCUCAUCCUUUUUUAGGGGAAAAGUAAAGCUCACUCGAAUUUGAGAAGAGGUUUAAGUGGAACUAGAAAAACAGAAACUAGAUAAAAGAAAUAAGGAGAAAGAAAACUGCAAGAGAGAGUAGCAACCUUCAUAAUUGAGGACAUGCCCAUUUCAUUAAUGAAAAAUGUAAGAUACUAAAUAAACAAUGCACUAUGAAAGGCAGAACUCAGAGCCAACAAACUUCUUGUUGUGUUACUUGUUUGUCUCAACCAGUACAUUUCUUUUUCCUGAAACUAAAUAUUCAUCGUGAUUAAGCCUUUGGUAUCAAUAUCUCUGAUCAUGUCUUUAUACCUCUUAAGAAUCAAGAAAAAAGUUGCCCACUCAAAUGCUUCAAAGUUCUUGAGAAAAGUUCUAACCACACAUGCACGUACGCCCACCUCCAUGUUAACCAUUGCAUACAUUUCAACACUGCGUUGGUUACGCUAUAUUGAAAAAGCGUAAAUUUGAAGAAAAAGAAACAAGGUCUAGUGCUAGCACAAGGGCCGACACAAGGGAUAGUGUCUAUGGUAUUCAGCAGUACAUUUGAAUAUGGGUCUUUGUUUGUGAUCACAUGAAGAAAAUGAACAACGAAAUGUAACUCAACAGCGAAUUCAAUAGCAGAUAUAACGAUACAAAAGAAUCAGUCGAUGAGAAAUUAUACACAAACAUCUAAAGGGAUGUCAAUAAUAACAAAUCCCAGCUGCCGUCGCCGUCUCUUCUCCCUCCCUCUUUCUCUUCAUUCUGGAAGGACGAUGCAGAGAUGGAUCUCCGAAUUGGGCCUGCCCGGUGGCUUGGGAAGUCCGAGUAUGAUCUUUGUAGCAACUUGAUAAAGCAACGGAGAGAGAUCUCUCUCACUUUCGCUGCGUUUGCCUGGAAAGUGACAGGCGGCCUUCCUUCAUAAGUGAAAAAGCCGUUCAGAUUGACAAAAUAAUUGCUUCGAAGAGGAAACACGGGGGGAAGAGAGAGAGAGAGAUGGUGGCUUGGCCGACGACGAGGGGUGAUGGCACGGGAAGGAAAUACGACGUCGACGGCGACGGCGACGCAGCGGCGAGGUGGCGGAGGCUUGCGGUGACCGACACGGAGGGAAGAGUAGGAGAUUUUUCGUAAGUCCGGAUUUUUUUUAAGGAAAAUUCGUCAAAAAAGUAAGGGCAGUUGGGUCGUUUAGGAGGGUAACCGCACCAUGUGCACGCGGCAGGUGAACAGAUUUACCAGAGUCGCGUGUUUGGAGUGCUUUGCGAUAAGAAAGGAUUAAAACUAAAACUAGUUACUUUUGCCCAAGCUUUACGCGAACAUAUGUUAAUAAAUGUACUUUAAAUAUGUUUAUUUUCAUUUUUAUUUUUAUUAAUGUCAAUAAUUCUGGAUUGUGUAUAACACUCUCUUCGUUAUCCAUUAGGCAUAAAAUUACCAAGUAAAACCAUUUGUCAAAUCAAACAUGGAAAAUAUACAUGGAAGUUUUAAGUCAAAUUUAACUUUUCAUAAAGGUAUAAUAAAAAAAAUUUAAAAAUUGAAUAUUGAUACUUUCUAUAUCAAUUGAAUUCUAUUUUCAAUUUAGAAUCUGUGGAUUUUUUAUAUUCAGUACCAUAUCUCCAAAGGACAUUUUAAUUCGACCUCAAUAGUUGAGUUAAACCUCAAGACCAUCUCAACUUGUUCCUUGUAUAAAAUUUCCCAUGUGACAUCCAAGAUUGAAAGGAAAACCCAUUAGAAUAAGUCAAUUUUGGAUGGUUGACCGUCAAGACUGAAAAGCAUCUAGCAUCGGGUCUUUAUCCCAUGCUUGCAAUCACUUUACAUCUAUUGCUUGCUAUUAAGUGCUUGUCUUGUAAAAAAGAAAAAAGAAAGGGUAAAAAUCAUAAAAAAAUUCUAAAUUUUAUUUACUGCGAUACAUUUACCCUAAACUUUUUUUGUGACACUAGGAACCCUAAACUUUUAUUUAUGGAACGCAUUUAUCUUAAAUUUGUAUAGCGAGACACAUUUAUCCAAUUUUUUUUUUUGGUAAGUUAUCCAAAACUUAUUUUUUUUUUUGGUAAAGGUAUAUCCAAAACUUAUUUUUAUAACACCAAAAAUCCUAAAUUUGUAUUCGACACAUUUACCUUUUAAAAUUUGGCAUCGAUUUUGAUGUUACAGAAAACAAUUUGGGAGUAAAAAUGUCACAUAGAUAUAAGUUUGGAAUUUUUGAUGUCACAAAAAAAGUUUGUGGUAAAUGUAUCACACAGGUAAAGUUUGGGACCUUUUUUUUGGACUUUUUACCUUUUAUUUUUUUUUAUUUUUCCUUCUCUACAUGGGCCAAAGGACGUAGAUCUUCAUACGUUGACAAGCAGUGAUUCACCUUUGCUCUCACCCGGACGAAAGAGGUUUCUUUAAUUUGCUUAGCACCGACUUAUAUGGAGCACAAGCUCCUGGUUCAAACCUGUCUUACGCAUAUUAUGAUUUCCAUUGGCGUUGUUCUUAAGCUGUAGAAAAUCACCAGGAUGGAGACCAAGGAUUUAGCGCGACUAUUCUCGUUCUUUGAUUUUGGAUGCCCCCAUCAUUCCAAGGAUAUUAAACAUGAGAAGUGAUGAGAUAAAGUCACGCUUUUCUAGCAUCAGCAGCAGCCCUUCUACCCCCACCCCAAAAAAACACUACCGGUAGCCCUUCGUCUCCAGAAAAUGACUGAUUAGCUACAUAAAUUCCCAGUCCUUUCCAUGAUAUUUCUCUCUAAGCUUGGCGUAGGUAUAGGGAUUUGUCUUUUGAUCGUCUAGUACAUAUAGACUCUAAUGAGAAAUUGUUGUUUAAGUUAAUUCGUUUUUUUUCUUCACGCGAGGUCUAGUUGUUUCCGUAAUUCAAAAUGCUGAUAAGAUGAAUUUUGCUGAUAUCAAGAAAGAAAUCAAUAGUCUUGUAAAGAAAGCAAAUGAAUGAUGGUUCCAUCUCAAUUGAUGAAAUGGCAUGAGGUACUUUUAUGAUAUCUUACGAUGGUGUCAACGGGAGCGUUUUGAAUACUCCUAUCAUCCACCCUCCUCAGGUUCGUGACCUUACUGACUUAAGUUGAAAUCCCACGAUGCAACUUUUUCUCUCCAGUUUUUGUGACUAGGUUUGCUCUCUAAUCAGUGGACGUCCAGAUGUAUAAUUUCCUCUUUUUUACUUGGAUGUCCAAAAGUAUAAACCCCAUGAUGCAACUUUUUCUCGCCAGUUAAGAUCUGACAUAAAUUUCUCUUUCAAAUGGCCCACGAUAUUAGGUAUACCCUAAAAAAACCAGUAUCAUGAAUUCAUUCUUAUUCCUAACUUUGAAUGGUAUUCAUUUUUAGGUAUACCUGAGAAAACUGCGGAAUGAUAGAGUGGUUGCUAUUCCAUUUCAUUUCUGCUCCUUUGGCAAGUCCUUUUAGUUGCGGCCUUAUUUGAUAAUGAGCCGUGAUUUUGACUCCAAACCACAUCACAUGGUGAAAGUGGAAUUAUAUUCAAUAGAGGUAUUAUAUUAAAAUGAAAUGCUCUAUUAAAAUCUAUGAAUUCUCUUAAUAAACUGUCUUACCAGAUAGACUCAAGAUUUUGAUAUUACUCUCUCAAUGUUGAUUUCAAAAUAUACUUUGAUAUUCUAGAAAAAUUGGGCAACACAUGUCUACCGUCACCCACACACAAAAUUUAUGACGUUAUAAUGUCCUGAACGUAAAUAUUGUAGUGUUAUUAUGCCUUGGUCAAGGUGGGCACUAAGUUUGAAUUCCAAUAUUGUGAGAUUGUAUAUGUAUAAAUCAUACAAUAUAUGUAUUUUUAACUCUUUUGACUAGAGAGUUGUGUUUAAUCCAAAGUACGAAAAUAAUCAUUGGGUGAAUUCCGGGAUCCCAAUUGAGAUGCUUUUUCAAGGCCUUUCUAGUUAGUGGUUAAUAAAAUCGGGCUGUGGUCGGAACCUAUGGCUGGAAGGGCAAGAACCUCUGCCUCUGCAUAUUUUAAUCGCCAUUCGAUUGUACAUAAUGCACGAUUGAGUCUUUCCUUGACCAUUUCCUCGCCACUUCUGUUAUUAAUCCAGGUGUAGGCACAACCUUUUAUCUCUAGGUCCAGCAAUGCACAGUCAUAAAGAAAUUCCCGAAAGGCAUGCAUUCGGUAAGGUUGAACUGGUCUCUUGCCUACCUUCUCCCAUGGAUGUAAAAUGUCAUUAAAGUCCCCUAUGCAAACCCAAGGUAAAGUGUGCAAGGUAUCGAGACGCCUUAAAUCUGCCCAAAACAGUUGUCGGUGUUGAAAGACCGACGGCGCAUGUAAACAGGUAAGACCCAUAGGUAAGUCACUACCAAUUUCAGUACAUAUAGUAUCUAUAUAGUGCACAUUAGAGCUAUUAAUAUGAAGAGAGAUCUGAUUCGUCCAAAAAAUAACCAUUCCUCCAGCCAAACCUAUAGGAUUAACAACAAAACUGUUAGAGAACUUAAUUUUGCCUUGGACACGCUGGAUAAGAAAUUCUUGAUUGCGAGUUUCCAUCAAAAACAGAACAUCGGGCUGUUCUCGGGCCACUAAGGCCCUAAGUGCUUGAACUAUCAAGGAAUUGCCCAAUCCUUGACAGUUCCAACUCAUGAUCUUCAUUUAUCCUUGGGUGGCUUAUGGGGGCAAGCCACCUCAGCCCAAUCUCUAACGUUUUCAGCCAUUAAGAUGGGAGUUUCCAGUAGUUGACACUCUUCAAAAACUUCCGGAAGAACAGGACGAGAUCCAUAUGGAGAAUACCGCUUGACUUUCUUGACUGGAGAGGUCUUAGUCGGCAACAGAGGUUUUUUAACUUUUUUGGAGUUGGUAACUGAUUGUAUAACUUCUGUUACAGCAUUGGAACAUGUCAGACCUGGACCUUCAGGGGUAAACGAAGUGGAUUCAAGAGCUGUCUGCCCAGUGACAGGGAUGGGAUAUGUUGGCUGCAGAGAUGUGGUGGGAAAAGGGAGAUGAUGAGCCUUCUGAGGGUCUGUUACUACUUGCUUAUUUGUGGAAACUGAUGGACCAGGAGGGAGCAAUAGCAAGCCUUGUGGAGGAGUUUCAGGUACCGAUUCCUCUCCAUCUUCCAUAAAAGGUUUUGUUUCAUAGAAAACCUGCCAGAAAGGGCUAGGGUCCCUAGCUUCAGCCCUGAGCCAUUGGCCAUAAUACAUCGUGUCACGCUUAUCAAAAGUUGACUCUUCAUAAGGGAUAUCUUUGCAAUAGGAAGCAUAAUGACCAAGUACGCCACAAGAAGAACAGAAGGUCGGUAAUCUUUCAUAUCGAAAGUCUAACUAGAUUGAUUUUCCUUCCACUCGAAUAAGCUUUCCUGGUUUGAGAGGCUUCUGAAUAUCCAGAUCCACCCGAGCUCUUCCUAUUUUAAGACUGGAGCCAUCUUUCGCCUCAAUUUUAACAGCCAGAACAGGUCUAAGAUCAUUGACUGCCUUACUUAUCAACUGCUCUGUGCAUCGUUCUAACGGUAAGCCAACUAUUUGGACCCAGAAUGCAUAUGUGGUGAAAUCAUAGCAAUGCAAGGGAGUGUUAGGGAUCCACUGUUUAAAAAUAAUAAGAUUAUUUGAGAAAGACCAUGGGCCACUGUCUAAAAUACGCUGCUUUGUCCCUUCAGAGGGAAAUUUAAAGACAUAAAGACCUGCUUCUCUUUGUGAAAUAUCAACAUUAUCUACAUGCCAUACCUUCUUCAUCGUACUCUGAAAAGCGGGGAAGUUUAUCGGAGAAUUUGCAAGAAUUUUCUCUACAAGUGUUAACUUACAUUCCUCAAUUUUCUCUGCAGGAGGGGCUUCAUUCCAGACCUCAAUAUGCUGAGGAGACCACAGUCGACCCAGGCGAGUACAUAAAGCAUUAAGUCGAGCUUCCUCUUCCUUGCUACCAGUAUCCAUAAAGAGUAGAAUUGGCAAAAGAUGGACCGGAGUGUAUAAAGGCUAAAAAAGCACAUGCAGAAUACCAGUUCGGUAGAAAUUGGGUUGUGGAUUAGACAUGCAGAUGAAUCGGUCGACCCAACCUCCAGAUUAGAGAAGAGAAGACCAAAUUCGACCGAACAGAGUAUGAAAAAGAGCGAUGGAAAGGGUGGAAACAGAAGUAAGAGGAAGAUAGAUGAAACAUAGAAGAAAGGGAGCCGGUACUUCAAAAUAGGGGGGUGCGACUCCUGAAACGAAAUCCAUAAAAGGAAGACGUGGGAUAUUCCGUUGAAAACGCCAUGCGAGAAAGAAAGCUUGAUGUGGGAAUUCUGAAAACUGGGAUUAGGGUUAAGAAGGGAAGAUGAACACAGAAACUACCAAGAGGUAGAGAGCGACUCUACAAAGCGAGAGAGAUUCAGUAGACCUCAAACAAGGCCUUUCUAGUUAGAAAAAUGAAAUUAUACGGUAAAAGCCCAAGUGGACUCAAUUUCAACGUUUCCCACCCUUCGUGGAAAUAAAUGUAGGCUUUUACAGUAAGAAUGCAUACAUGGGACAAACUUUCUAAUUACUUGGCCUAUUUGUGCUCCUUGAAGAUGCUCGCGUUACAAAAAUCUGCAUUUCUCAUCUUAAUUUUGCAAUGAGCUUCAUCCAUUUCAGAAGCAGUAAAAUGAGUCCAUAUAAUCAUGCCAAAGCACAUGGGUCCUAUUUUUACGAUGUCAGUAUCAAUUAUGAGGUAGCUAUUCCUAAAAAUGGAUCAAUUUCAAUAUGGGGCUCACAUUAUAACAAGCAUAAUAUUCUCUGAAAUGAUGAAGGUGUGAGAUAGCUAUUCCUAAAAAUGGAUCAAUUCCAUUAUGGGGCUCACGUUAUAACUAGUAUAAUAUUCUCUGACAAGAUGAAGUUAUGAGGUAGCUAUUCCUAAAAAUGGAUCAAUUUCUUGGGUUGGAUCGUUUCGUGCAAUUCAUGGAACGAUAUGUUGGAGAGACACCACCACUCCCUCUUCCUCCCGUUCUCCCUAGAUAUCUCUCCUCUACUUGAAGAAUAUUCAAACUUGGCAGCCAACAAGUUGCAAAGCUGGCAGGAGGCAAGUUGGCGCGUAAUAUAUCCACCGACUUUAGCAGAAGUGCUCCAUUUUUGGGCGUGGAUCAGGAGGCUCCACCACAGAGAAAGUGGGGUUUGGAGGGUGUGCGUGUGUGACGCGCGAAGUAGAGGGGAGAGAGGACAAUAUGCAUGCGCAUUGCAUGACACCAUACGACAGAAGUGUGAAGCUGUGAGAGUGUCAAGCGUUUGUUCUUGUAACAAUAAAAGAAUGUGGCAUCGACUAUAUGUCCUUGUAGUACUAAGAUAGUGUUUAUGUAGUCAUGCUUCCGUAACGCUACACGAUAGCAGUUCUUUCCAACAAGGGGCGACAACCAUGGCAAGGGCAUCCUCGUUUAUGUCGGCUUGGGUGGUCAAAUGAUCUAUUUGAGCUUAAAGAAAUACAAUAUCUCUUUUGUUGUGAACUCCAAGGAAUUGGCUCCGCUAGGUAAGAUAAAUCGGUCAUGUAUGUGGUAAAGUUUUUAUUUAUUUACAUUAAGCUUGACAUAAUUGAGAUAAUCUUGUUCAGCUUACUGAGGCAAUAAGUAUUAAUACCACAUUGACUUUUGUUUUACUUUUAUAUACGAUGCAAAAACAUAAAAGAAAUAGGUAAGAUUUCAAAAAUUAAAUUAAAUUAUAAGUGAUAAUAAAAGAAAUGAAGACUAAAUUAAAGACAUGGUACAAUCAAGUCCUGUCAACGACUAAUUAGCAAGAAUUGUUAAUGCGGCAUGUGUGAAUUCGACGUGUUCUUCUUUUAAACACUUUUGAGCAAAUGUGGCACUAACAUCGGCACCACAUUUAAAAAGUCAACUAUACAAAAAAAGUAACAAAAGUAACAAAAAAGCCAAAAUCUAGAGGGAAGAAAAAAAAAAACAGCUGAACAGGGAGGGAGGGGUUUGGCGUAGAUGGGGAUCCACACUGUCGAUUGGGAUUACUGCCAUCGGCUGAUGUUGCCGGAGAGCGAAGCCCUCACCCCACGUAGGACUCCGAGGGUCGAGCAAUCCUCCAGCGGUGGUGGCUAGAGGUGGAGUUGCAAGCCCUUGCCUUUAGCCGGCAAGGGUUGCUUAACCCAACAUCAUCUCUUUCUCUCUUUGAUUUUUACUUUUUCUUUUUAUUUUUUUAAUUUACGGCCUUCUAUUUUCAGAUUAUAUAAUUAUUUUGGGUUUACGGGUUUUCUUUAUUUCUUUUUGUUGUAUUUAGAAAUUUGAGUUUUAUUGACGUGGAAAAUACAUUAGCACCACAUCUGUGCCCCAUAUGCUAAAAAAAGCCACACCAAAUUCCCAAUGGCCACAUAAGCCAAAAUGAUUGAGGUGUCUUCUAAAGGACUUAAUUGUAACAAUUUUAAAACAUUUAAAGUUAGAUUCUAUUUUUUUUAACUUCAAAAAUUUGACACAGAUUGAGAUACAUGUUUAGAACUAUCGAUUCAAUUUUUUCAAGAAUUCAUUAUAAGGGAUUAGAAAAUAAGAAGGGGGGUAGGAAAAACAAAAUCAAGGGCCCUUUGUUAAAAUCCCCCCCCCCCCCCCCCCCCCCCCCCUCGAAAAAACUCUUCUUCCAUUUUUUUUUUUUUAAAUGAAGAUUUUCAAUCCCCCCAGGAGACAUUCGAAAAAGAAACCGGUUGGGCUCCCCUCAAGCCCGUUAGGGGUGGUCCGGUUCAAUGCCCAACCCACUGAAAACUCUCUCAAUUUUACCUUUUUUGUGCAACUGACGAAUAUUCAACCUCUCUGCUUUUUCUUCACCUACUUUGCAGAUGAGUACCGUUAUUUAGGCGCUGGUAUUCAUCACAAAAUUAACUGUUGUCCCCCUCAUAUUUUCACUUUUUAUGGAAAAAAAAAAAAACUAAACGGCCCUUUAAUGACCUUUUCUUCCCCUAGACAAAACAGAGCAGUGGACGUACUUUGAAAAGCGCCUUUAAAUGGUGCGAAGUGCCACCACAAGUAAGGAGAACACUUGUUAGAGUACCACGGCAAUUGGGAUAAUAUCCCAACCUAAACCUUCCAUAACUUUUCAAUGUAGUUCAUCUUACUAAUUUUAAUCGGAAAUCACUCGUAAAAACGUCAAUCAUUCUACAUAGUAUGAUUAACACUAACAUAAUGAUUUGUAUAAUUCUUUUACACUUAUAAAUCUUUUCUUUUUUUCCUUUUUCUUUUUCCUUUUUUUUUAAAAUUUUUUUCCUAUUUCUUAGGGCGGAGCCUUAGUGAUAGCCAGUAGAGGUCAUCAGUCCAAAUCUAGCAGGGGCGUCAAUUAGGAAGAGGAUAGGGAGUCAUGGCCUUUGGCAACGACAAGCAUAUUGACAACCGGUGGAGGGAAAAAGGAAAAAAAAAAAAAGUAAAGGAAAGGGACAUAGAAAAAAGAAAGAAAAUUUUAAGAAAUUGCAAAUAUUCUCCAUAUUGGUAUCAACUGAGUCAAGGAGGAUGGCUAGUGCUCAUUGAACUAUCACAUCAGUGAUUUUCAAUCAAAAUUGACUAGAUUGACUCUAUUGGAAAAUCGUCUAAAUUGCUCAAACCCUUCAAAUUUGCUGCUAUACAAUAAUGUAUGAUUUUUUGAAAAAUUUUCCUCAUCUUAACCCUUGAUUAUGGUGCACUUUUAGAGUCACUUUGCAAAAUAUUACUAUUUUGUGCAUUAAGCAUCACAGUUUGUAGCAUUUGUAAAAACGACGAUGAACAUAAGGUGACACUUUAACGCAUCGGUAGAUGUCAUAAAAGUGCCUCCAAAAGGUUGUUCGAUUAUACAUACAACUUCAGCCAAAUAAAAUGAAUGAAGUAGGUGGUUACACAAUGCUAGACUGGUUAGUUUUCUUCUUCCUUUUUUAUUCUUUGACGAAGAGAGAACACUUAAUAAGUUAGUUAAUAAUUUAAAGCUGAUAAAAACAUAAAUUUCUCCUAUUUGCUCUCAACAAAAGUAUUCCAUUUUCCCCCCAUUUCCUAUUUUCUCUCAUCCUUGGCAUAGUAUGGUGCAGAUCUUUCGAUUGGAAGUGUAAAUGCAAGAUGUUAAAACAUAUAUGUGAAGGUAUAGAAGUAAAUUUGAGGUGGAAACCAAAAUUUGAAGUUUAUUUUUUAUUUAUAUAUAUUCAGUAAUUAUGGAUAAGCAUAGUAGGGAAUUUUCAAUAAGUAAGGAUAACCCCAUCGACAUCUUUUCAUUAUUCAAGGAAAUGAUCUUCAGCUGAAUCAACUAGGUGAAGUCGUCCCUUCUAACAUCAACCCAUUUAACGGGAAAAAUUACCAAAAAAGUCAUAAACCUAUUGUAAUUGUGCCAAUUCAGUCUUAAACUUAUUUUUUGACCGAUUGAGUCCUAAACCUUUUACAAUUAUUCCCGAUCAGUCCAUCCGGCCAAAAUUGGCCAACCGGCGUUAAUGUGGCAGCUAGCUGGCGCCGGUGAGUUUUUUUUAAUAAUAUUUUAUUUUCUGAUGGAGAAAAUGUACGUUGUAGCAUUUUAUGUCGAUUAUCGCUAGAUUAAACACUAAAGUUAUAGUUACUUAAGGGCCUUGUUGGCCGUGUUGCCCAACCCCAUUGUGAGCAUAGGUUGAAUCAAGCCCAUGGGCCCUAAUUGGCCGACUAUGGCCUGACAAACAUUUGAUGGACUGGUUGGCCCCAGCCUUGAGGACUUUUGGUGCUUCAUAAAUAUAGUCAUUGGACAGUCGAUCCGUGUUUUAUUAUUUUUCUGCAAUUACUUUGUUUAUUAUUAAUAAUAUUCUUGUAUUUUUUUCAUUAAAAAUUUGAGUUGCAUAGCUAGAGUGGAACUCCGAGCAUCAAUUAUCUAAUAUGAGUUGAGCUUGAGCUUGGCCUUAUUGUAUUGGCUUGACUCGAAUGGUAGUUAUUAUAUAAAAAUAAUAGUUAUCUAUAUAGUAAUUAUACUAUUGUUUAAUAAUUAGUUCAUUUAUUUUUUUUAGUAAUUAUAUUAUGGUUUAAUUAUAUCAAUUAAUAAAAUAAUGGUUACUUACAUUAGACAUUCAAAUAUUGCAAUUAUUUAGAAAUUAUAGUAGGCUUUCAUUUAUUUCCUAUGAAAAUAUGAUAAUAAAAGAAAUUAGAGUUUGAUAUAUAUCAUCAAAGGGUAUUUUGGGUAUUCUACACUAUUCCAAACAUAGUCUUUCUGCUAUCGUGGCAAAACAAACCAGAGAAUUUUUUAAAUCCAUUAUACAAACCAAACUACAAAUUAGCUAUUCCAUUCCUAGUCCUACUCUCUUCCAAUUUUAUGGAAUAACUUUUUCAUUCCUAUCUUAUUAUAUCCCGCAAUCGAAACAUCACAUGACAUAUUUGAGAUAGUUUUUUCCAGUGAAGUCACAUUAUCAUGAGAUUAGAUCUCUCACCAUCAUUCAUAAAGAAACGUAGAAAUGUAAUCCCAACCGUCUAACUUUUUCACUUGAUAUAUAGGUUACUCAUUCUUGUAGUAAAAAUAUCUUAUCCUUGGAAUAAAUAUCUUCUAUAUGGUAAAUGUCAUUUCUUUGAGGUAAAAAGAUUCAUUUGCGAUAAGGGAGCUCGCGAGUGGUCUCUCCAUGCUACAUUUCCUCAUUUUUUAGUCGAUCACCUAUGAUCUUCUGCCUUGAUAUAUUCAUGAUUUAUUUGAAUUACACCAAUUAGACAACAGUUCCAAAGAGAUUCUUUCAAGCCAAGAGCAAAAGGAAAAAGCAUAUUCACCAAAAAAGUCGCUAUGACUAUACUGAUGAAUUGUGCCAUGAAAUAUCAUAGCACAGGUCAUCGAACCCUUUUAAACAAUGACAACAAAUAACGUGAACAGAAUAGAAUCUUGAGCACACGAUUUGUCUCCUCACUCAGAAUGCGGUGCUCUAAGCCAAAGAAGCUGUGGAAAUAGCGGCAGCUGCUAAAAUGUCGUGACUGCUCCAAAUUUGUGACUGGAAAUUGCAAACGCCCCUGAUGAAUUAUUCUAUAAAUGCUGCGCCCCCAUAUGAGGAUGAGAUUGUUGCAAGGAUUAACUACAACAGAUGCAUAAUAAGCCACUAUCAAAAUCCGCAGUUGAAAUUCUGAUAGGGCAUGCACGGUUCUAGUUUUGGGGAGAGACGACAGAAUUUGAUGAACGAAAAGAAUUUGUAUGGAGCCCUUCUCUUUUCAGCAUCUGAGACUGACGGCCUUGCCUUUGAAGCAACAGACUUCAAAAGAGUCGGUUAUAAUUGGCUUUUUCCCAUGCUGAUUGUUCUCGCCCCUGUCGAGAAGAUCAUGAACAGCUUGAAGCUGUGCAUCCGAAAGCAGAGCUUCAAGAUCCGCUCCGCUGAAUCCUUCUGUCAUAUGAGCUAUAGCAUCCAAGUCCACAUCACUGGCCAAAGGAACUGCCCAGGAGCAUUAGAGCAUACACACAGCAAAACUUCAGAAUUGCCCAAUGGUUGCCAAUUUUACUGACUGAUUUGACAGAAUCGGAUUAAUAUAAUUAAAUCUACCAAAGGUAAAGUCUUAGUCCCAUCUCAUGGAAUCAGCUGUCAAGACCUUUCUCAUUUUUCUUUUCUGAGCAACACCAGUAGAUGUUAAGUCUACUAGUCUCAAGGUCCGAGAUUGAAAGUGAUUUACUAUUGGACAUUUAGACUUACCUGAGCCCCACCUUAGCAGGUUGCAGAUCCAACCCACGAAUGCCUUUUACAAUCUUCUCUUGUAAUUCACAAUGUUUAGGGUGAUUUGGCGCAGAAGAACUUUUGAAGAACUCCAUGGGAGAAGGGGUUUUAACUUUUAACUUGACAUGUUUCACCAAAUGUACUCUAUCAGAUGCCAUAAGUUCUAAACAGGAUCUUUAGCCACUCAAUUGACUCUGUUUCUAACUCUUUUCGUUAGUUUUUAAGCAUUUUUCUAUUCAUAUGUAAUCUUUCCGAUGAUUUUUCUUGAAAAAGUAGGAUUGCAGUUAUAAAGUUCUUUAACAAAUAGAACCUGUUUCAGACCAUGUCAAAGAUGAAAUGCUAAAAGAAAAGGCAUUGGUAGAUGGAUGUAAGCUAAGUUUCUACCUUCCUGGAUAAAAGUUUAACAAUAUCUGGCCUCUCCUGUAUAGAAGGAAAAUCACAGAAUUUAUGUUGAGCCAGCCGGGACUCAGAAGUGCAGCAUCAAGUGAGUGCGUUCUACAGCUUCACAUCAAAUGCAACUCAGUUAGCACUACAAGCCCAUAACCUGACAAUUAUUAAAUAAAGAAAAAGCAUUCUUAGAAAGAAAAGUGAAUUAGAAUUACUAGGAAAUAGAUGAACCCAUGAACCCUGAGCAAAACAAAAGAGCACCUCACGCAGCAAAGAUGUCAUGAUGACUAAACAAUUGCAUAUGCUCGAUGUCACUAGACUUAAAUGAUCAACAUCAGUUGAUGCCGUUGUGGAGGCUCAAUGCCAACACGAUACACUUCUUUUAAGCUGCUUCAGCAACUAAAAAGUAAUUCAUGCAAUCCCAUCUUUUGUCACCUUCUUUUUUAUACAUAUGGAGUCUAUCCAAUACUGUGUAUCCUAGUUCAUAAUCCUAGUUUAUGGUGAUCUUUAGUUGUGCAGCAUCAGAUAAUCCUAGUUCAAUCUCUGGAACCACAGGAAACAAAGAUUAUACAAAAGGGAACAACCCAGGUUGUUGCGUUAGCCUAAUUGAUUUCAUCUAUGAAUCACAAUCAUCAAAUUCCCAAACCCAGCUAAAAACAGCAAAGGAAAAAGAAAAAUACAUAUCAUCUGCACAACAAAUAAGAAUUCAAGAAUGUAAAUGUCUUAUCGGGCAAAAAAUACAUCUCUCCAUGUUUUUCCCCAAAUUCAAAUUUAGAUUGGUCCUUUCUAAUACGCAUGACCAAGGUGAAAUGAGACAAAACAGAUGGACCAUAUAUCAACUCAAAACUAGCGCACAACAUAAAAAGCGAAAAGUCAAGCCCAAGAGGUUCUCAAUCAAAAUCGUUUUACAUGGCAAGCUUGCUGUAGUGCAGUAAAUCUCACGAAACCUAACCGAAAUCACUUGUCAAAAUGGGGAGACAAAGUCUCCGGAAGUACAGAUUGUGCUACCAUGAUUCGAGUUGCAAAACUAAAGAAUACGAUCCUACAACAACUUUUGAAUUUUUCAAGUUCACGUAAGUGCAACAUUACUCCACUCUUGGUUGUCACAAAUUAACAUGUCUUCCCAAUAUAUAGCCUCACACCAGUUACAAAAAUCACAGCAACAGUAGUUCAACAACAAUAGACCUACCCUCAAACUGACAUAGUAAACAGCUUGAAACAAACAGGGACCUUCAAGUUCCCAAAAAAUUCUGACUUACCUGUGUGAUCGUUACUUGGUUCCUUAAGAAUUGUAGAUCAGCAACAACAAGAACUUCUAAACUUGCUUUAGCAAUUUCUAGGUUCUUUGUAGAAGAGUUGUCGCCAACAACAUGAAUUAAUGCAAUAAAUAAGAUACUUGACAUCAUUAUUGGAGAUAAAGGGACAUUGCUUCAACUCAAGUACCUCUUCGCAUGAAUACUCCAACAUAACAUUUGCUCUCAGCAAAAAACAUACCGAAUCAGUAUAUUAGAUGCGGGCUCAUGAAUAAAUGCCUUCAGAGACUUCAAAAUCAGCAAGUGCCUGCAUCCACAAUAAAGAGCCAUAAAGGCCGGUCAGUUUGGCACCUAUUAUUAUCUUUUGCGUCUUAGAAGUUUCGAUGGUCUUAGGUUUUAAAGCCCAAUACAGUAAUCCACCCCAUAUUGCUUUCUAAUACGACCUUCAGACAUCAAAACAUAACAUUAUUGGCGAUAUUUAGGUGUCCAAAUCUAAAACCACCGCACAAUUAUUGAGAUUAACAUGGGUUCUUUAAAGCACUAACCAGAUUCUUAGGAACAUUGCUUUUGGAAGUGCAUUUGCGAAGGAAAAAAGACAAUCGAGUAUUCCAUAUUUAGUCAAGUGCACCAAAAGUAGUUCCUAGUGUGGCAAGAAUAAGACCACCAUAUCCUCUACCUGCUUUGUUAAGAUAAAAAGGACCGAUAUGAUCAGCUAAGAGAAGAUCAAGGAGCAAGAAGAUAUUUUAACAUGCAAAUUUUCUAGCAUGAUAAGAUUAUGCGAAAUUUUAGUUCACAUCACACAUGAAAGAUGACUGAUAGACUGUCAAGCAUUCCAGAUGAAAAAGAGAAAUUGUGAACUAAAAAAUUGGUGUUUCAAUGAUAGUACAAAGAACUUUAGGGGAUAAAGUGAGAAAGAACUCCGCAUUGGAAAAAUACUCAGUUAAAAUACAUGCACUGAGAAGCAUUCAGCUUGAAUUUCAAUCUUAAAAUCCAGAUCUGAGGCUAUGGUUCAAUAUUUCAGUAGUAUAGACACAUGCUCGUUGCACACACACAAUGACAUGCAUGCUCGAUCACAAGUCACUUUGCUAUAGCACAUCUAACCAUUCCUCUAGGGCUCAAAGAAAAUUUGCGAUCCAACUAAUGAGCUAUCUAAGUACAGACUUGCAGGUUGGAAAAGUGAAUGUCGAAAAAUGGGAGGGUCACUUUGGUAUAAGGCACCCUUUUCAAUCGGCCAGUUUGCUUCAGUCAUUAUGUAGGUUCCUAGUUGAGUGUCAAAUAAACUAGAGCCUAAACAGGAGAAUAUCUUUGUGGCCAAAUGGAGUGGUGAGGUGAAGUAAUGGUUGCAUCAAGGUGGCCCAAUUGGAAAUGAUUUAUCAAUUCAAAUCCUGGGUUUUUCGUUUGAGAAAGAUAGCACACCUUAUUUAUAUAAUAUUAGAGAGUUAAAGGUUGUAUCCUAUUUGAGGUAGAAAACCUUAGUGCAGAGACAGAUGGAGGCAGGGCAUAGUACAACUUGCGCACCCUAUCUGUGUUUUGGCAGAGAGGCUGAGAUGCCCGGCUACCUCAUAGUUGAUUUUUUUAAGGACUAAUGGUGUAGAACAAAUCUAGCAGAUUCUUGUGCACUAUAGACAUAUGCAAAAUAACAGCAUGCGAGCAGGAAACUUUGUUGACGGGACAAAGAACUGGAAUGUACAAUUUACCACUUGCAAAGAGACUAGUGACUAGACGAGAACAAGAUUGUCAAACUUUGGUUCUCGCACACAAGUUAGCUAGUGUGAAAGAGACAAUGAAUGACUUUAUUCAAAGAAGGCAAGGGCCGUUAACUACUAAUAAGAUGAAAACCACAUGGACUUUAUUGGAAUGGUUAUUUGGCACCACAGGUUUUCCACGUGAGUCAUUGCCUUGGGAGUGUUUAAAAGUAGCCGAUAUACAAAAAGAAAAAAAGAAGGUUGCAUACAAAUCGAUACUAGCUAUAGCACAGGUCACCCAUUUAUUAUGUUGCCGUUGGACUGGAUCUCCUCAGGACAUGGAUCUGUCAAAGAGCCGAAGAUAAGAUGGUGACCAUGGAAUUGAGUCAUAUCCAAUCCAAAUCUCAACAUUAUGGUUGACUGUUAAAAGGUUUACUCCCACUUGGUGUGUUAACAAGUAAACUAUUGCUUUCCGAAGAAUAUUACAACAGCACGUAAGCAUUGUCCUAUCCGAAUGAAGGGACACAUGAAAGAUAGUACUAGUAGCUCUAAGCUCCCUUAAGUGUUCAGUGAAAAAUUGAAAACAACCAACUAUGAAACAGUUUUAAGAAAGAGAAAACAAAAGAACUCCUAAAUUAGAUACAUCUCCACCUUUCUUUUGUCACUUUUUUGAAACAGUCUUAAAAAAGAGACAACCAAAGAACUCCUGAAUUAGAUUCAUCUCCACCUUUCUUUUGUCACUUUUUUUAAACAGUUUUAAAAAACACCAAAAAAUAAAAUAAAAAUAACUCCUAGAUUAGAUACAUCUCCACCUUUCUUUUGUUACUUUUUUGCAAUACCACUAACCAGGCUCCGAAAUAGAAUAACAAGCAAAACAAUACCUCGUUCUAUACGCUUGCAUUUUCUCAAAGGACAAGAGAAAGAUCCACAGCAGUGAUUAAUUUUUAAAUAGAACGUAAAUGCAGAUAAGUCCUAACCAUUUUAAGAUAACCAAUUGAAAGCAUCUAAUGCGUGACCGCCAAACAUGGGAGGUAAUAUCAAUGUUUUUCCAUGACAAAACCGAUGAAUAAGGUAUACCGUGAAAGAUGCAACACAUGUUCCUCGUGCCAUUAAAGGAGAAAAUUUCCUAACAUGGGGAGCAUAAACAAGGCUUAUUAUUUAGUGAUGUGCACCAACACUUUUUCAAUUCCAUAAAUUGGCUAAGCAAGCAUAUUAGGAGGAAAUUCACUUUCUUAUUCUAUUUCUAUGUGAUACUUGAUGUAAUUUGCUAUGUGGUAACUGCAAUGAUUUUCAAGAUUCAAGAACCUUGCACUUUCAGCACAAGGUUGUCCAUCAAGGUACCCCCAAUCAUAUUAUUGGAGUCCAUAGAAAGGGCAGCUUGUCAUAAGAAAGCAAAUAACCACCACUUUCCCAUCAACUUGGGGAAAGAAAAGGAGAUUCCCCCAUAAUCUAGUUUACACAGUCAGAAGUAAGAGUCUCGUGACACAAUAAACCUCACCAAAACCCUUCUUGGCCUGCUGGGUAGCGACUAUGUCUAAACAACGAACCUCACUGAGGGUCAUAGUGGGAAAAAAGAACCAAGUGGACUCAGAUCUACCAAGUGCUGUAGCUGCUGCCUUCAAGAAUUUCCAGAACUUGUAAUUUCCUAAUUGCCAUCAUUCUCAAAUAUUCAAAUUUCUCCAGUUUGCUGACAAAAUCAAGCCCAUCAAUGUGCAAAAUAGAAAAUUCAAUCGACAUUUGUUCACUAAUUUUAAAUUUCUAGAAGAGAAAUCUUCCUCUUAAUCAAAUGGUCAUAGAAGAUCCUCUCAUUCACACGCGAGGAAACUCAUCGAUCUUUUCAUCUUGGCCACUUCAGUAGUGAUGGCAGGAUCGCUAUAGGUAUUGUGAAAAAUGAUAUAAGAACACCUUGGCCACAGUGGGAGGAUCCUAGUCGAUGCUGCUAGUUAUACUAUUUCGACUGCUAGCAUAGAUGAAAGGACCUCUAUUUUUCUUUUAUUUUUUAAUUUUUGGUUGAAAAAGGUACCUCUAUUAAGUGCAUACAUAAGCAACAGAAAAAAGCACAAAUUUGUGAAAUGUCUGGAUUUAACAAAGUUUAAUAUAAAUUACACAAUGGAAUUCAAUCAACAUCAGUGUAGUUAAAAAGAAGCCUCUUACAGGUUGCUCAGAAGUUCCAAUGUGCUUAUUUAACAGCUCAUCCCUUUCAUAGAUAUGGAUUGAAGAGAACAAGUUGCUCCUGUUGUACGAACAAAGUGUGUCUUGCCAAAGACCGUACAUCCAUGUAAAACAACAUAUGACCAUGGCCUUAGAGGAGCUUGCCCAAAAACAUUUUAUCAGCAAAUGUAAGAAUAACUGACACAAAGAUCAAAUAAGUAAAUAAGUUUAUUUUAGAAGUUAACAUUAACCACAUUAUUAGCACAUAGACGUAGAGAGAGGAAAUGUGUAAUGAGACACCAGAAAGAAUAAACAAAAGCUACAACUUAGACACAACCAACGCAGUUAAAUAAACUUUCUUGAACAAAAUCCAUGCAUAAUCUCGCUCACUCACAAGAAUGCAUAAGGGAAACAAUGGUAGGUAGUUAAGCCCCAUAAUCUCAGGUAACCAAUCCUCUCAUUGAGAUUCUGCAAAGCCUAACCAUAAGCUCCAUCCACUAGAUUGUCAAUCUACAAAAAGAUGUUUAGACAGCUUACCACCAAAAGAUGACUUUGAUGUUACAUGAAAAGUAGAGCACUUAAUGGAAAACAGACACUUGGGAAUUGACAACAUAGAUUAGUAUUGCUUGUCUAGAUACUUGAUGAAAGACACUCACAAAACAAUAAUAAAAUGACAAAUUCCUCAUCAGCAAGAUAAAGUAAAUUAAGCGAUCAGACAGCAUGAAGUAUGUGGGAAGCACACUCAAGAAUAUGAAAGAAAAUGGCAGAUCUUUCAAGUUUCAGUCCUCAAACAUAUCUACUACUUGACAGACUUAAUCAUGAUCUAUGAAAUAAAUUAUGUACUUUGAUUAAGCUAAUUAUUAGUACUGAAAAUAAGUACUUCAGUAAACAAAAGCUAAGGUUAGUACAUUAAGCCAUUGAAUGCCUAAGCGGAAUAGGACUAUCAACGAGAAAAGGUUUGCCCAGUAAGCAACUUUAAGUUGCUCACAUAGAUCCCCAACCGUUAUACCUAAAAACAUUUAAGGACUCUACAGAAAUAGAUGAAGAAAGCUUAUAAUUAUUGCUGGAGAAGUAGAAUUUCAAUUUUAAGAAUGGGAAUACUUGAAAAUACUAUAACCAUAGGCAUCAAAUGUGGAGUAAAGCAAAAUGUAAUCUUUGAUUGUGCAACAUCAGAUAAUUCUUGCUCAAUCUCUUGAACUACAGGAAACAAAGAUGAUACAAAAGGGAGCAACCCAGGUAAUUGCAUUUGCCUUAUUGAAUUCAUCGAUGAGUCAAAGUCAUCAAAUUCCCACACCCAACUCAAAACAUUAAAUGAAAAAGAUAAAGAAAAGGACAUGUCAUCAACACAACAAAUAAGAAUCCAAGAAUGUAAAUGCCCCGUCAGGCAAUUUGCAACAUCUUCCAUAACUAUGUUUGCCAGUUUAAGAUGGGAGAGAAUGAACAAAAAGCAAACAACCAGAGAUGGAAAAUGUAAUUUCAUUGUCUUUUGGAGAUGAACAUUGAAGAGAGAUGAUGUAGAGGAAAAUCGAGUGAGUUGAUUUUGGAAACUAUGUCACGCCCUAAACCCCAGGUAUGCGCACAUCCCUCGGCGGUCGAUAAAAAAAAAUGCGACGUCUCAGGAUGCAUCGCCGAUCCAUUCGUUUUAUCUUUCAAUUAAGUACAUGCGGAAGUGAAUUAAAUAAACACCCGGCCAACAAACAACCACAUGGAUAGUAAAACAUGCUAGUGAUUUUCACAAACUACGAUUUAUACAUAUAUCAAGUUAACCCUAGGAGUUUUACAUACACAAGUCUGUCUCAAAAAGAACUCUUAGGCAACCACACCCCGAAUCCCUCCAACUCGGGCUCAGGAUCCUCCACGACACCGUCCGGUAUAUUGAUGUCCAUGGGGUGACCUACCUCCCCAUCCUCUGUUCCGAUGGGCGGUCUGUCAAAACCCUACAAGGGACUCUCCCGAGCAUCAUUACGCUCGUUAAGGAACCACGCUUUGAAGCGAUGAGGCACCAAAUGAAGGAGGCCCUCAUUGACCCAAAUCAUGGUCACAACUAACUCGCGAGUCUGAAGGUAGACAAUUUUGUUGGCUCGUAGUCCAUUUCCCGGGUGUGACAUCCUGAAUUUCAUGUUCUGAUUUCGAUUGGAUAAGAUGGGCCUUUCGUCAACGUUACUAUAGUGUUUUUCUCUGAGUUGGCCACUCAUGUGACAACUGGCCUAUUCGGUGAAGCCAUUCAGGGAUUUUAAACGCAAUAGACUUGAGAAUUCGACCAGGAAUCGACUACUCGACUGUGCUAGUUUGCAAGGGUCAUUACGGCAUUGUCAAAAUCGAUCAGAGAUCGGAGAUAUGUCGAUUCGACUGAGAUGUGUGAUCAAGUGUGGGUGAUGCCACCUGAUUGCAAAAUUCUCAUCGGUCGGCACUAAACAAAUUUUCUGUCAUUUUGGGUACCUUGUGCCCGUAUUUGAAACCUUGAGAUUUUCACGAACAUCGAGAGUCACCAAUGUGUCGGAUGGGUUCAUUGUGGUUUGAAGAAAAUCAACCAUGGGUCAAUUGCACAAGAAAAUUCCUAAAAGCUACCCGGUAGGUAAGGUCACACUAAAAGCACGUUCGAUUGAAAAUAACCGCGAUUGAAUUCAAUUUCAGAAAUUGGAAGUCCUGUCAUGUCAUGGGUCAUUCUAAGAGUGACGACUCACCAUUUGAGGAAAUUCUGAAGAAUCGGGAUCUUUUUCGGGAAAUCAAGAUGGACGAUUCGGAAAAUAAACGGAAAUAUGGAUUGGCCAAUUCGAAGAGAUAUUUGGCAUCUGGUGUAGGCGAAUCGGUAAAUGAAAGUUGUUUGGGCUUUUUUCAGAUUUGAAUUGGACCUCAAACGGAUUUGUUUGUUCAGAAUAUCAAAUGCCAAGAAAAGCGAGGUAAAAGUCAGAUUUGAAGAAAAUUCGUGGGAUUAAAGGACCGCCUUCAAUUAGAUUUCAAAUGUGCAAUUGAUGAAGAAUUUGGCCUAGGAUGACCAAUCAAUAAUGUUAAUUGAAGGUGAGUAUAAAGUGUUUUAUUCAGCAUUUUGGUUCCUUUUCCCUUGGACACUCUCGGCUAUGUAUACCUCUUCUCCAUCAUGCAUGCUUCCUGAUCAUCUGAAGCUCAAGCAAGAAUAUUUAAUUCUUUCUCAUCUCCCUAUUUCUUUUUUUUUUCUUUUGUUGUGUGCCCCUCUGGCCGACGUUGCCCCCGUCUCACCCGCACACUUAUUCUCUCUCUCCUUCCCCCCUUCCACGCACGUUCCUUUUUACUUUUCCUUGUGCGUGAAUACCAUCCGCACAUCCUCUCCCUCUCGGUUCAUGCCCCACCGACUGUCUCUCCCUGCAGAAUUCAAUUUCCCUGUUUGACCGAGUCUUUGCUUAUCCCAUAAAUAAAUAUCUCUCUCUCUCUCUUUCUCUUGGCGACGUGGACAAACGUCCCAUUCAGUUUCUGCACUGUUCGCCGUCUCCCUCAUCAAGAUCGAAGGAGUCUUCUCUCCUUUGGUGCGGUUGCUGUCCACUUCCUCGCAUGACUUCUCCCAUCUGCACGUGCUGUCUUUUUCCUUAAUCAGUCGAAGCAUGGUCCACCAGAAUCGACGACGCUGCUUCCUUUGAUUGUGCGGUUGUUUGUCCCUUUUCGUGCUUAGUCUGCCCCUCCACAGAAGUCGCGGACGCCCCCACUUUGGCAGUCAGCCCUCCAGCGUGUGGGACUCAUCUCCAACGUGGAAGUCGUGGCCCCUUCGGCAGCAACUUCUGCCUUUCUGUUUUCAGUAGCUCGGCCCAACCCACGUCUACACCGAUUCAAUUCUAUGAGGUCCGUUUGAGUGGAAGAAGGCAACCCAUUUCAGCAGUCUAUUUCUUCAGUUUCCAGCAAGGGUUUGAAGACCCCGUGGCCUGUUUUUGAGCCGUCUCGACCCCAGUUGUCAGAAUCGCUUUGGAGAGAAUCGAGCCUUGUCGCGUGCUCGUCGAUUUGAUCCGAUCAAAUCUUUAAUCAAGUGAGUAAUCUCACUAAUCCCUGCUUAGUUUAAUAAUUAUGCUUAGGGGUUGGUUAGGUUUAAUUAAAUGCAAUUAGGUGGUUAGAUUAGAGUAGAUUAGUGAUUAUUAGACAAUUGUGAUGCAUGUUAGAUAUUUUGGUUGUGUAUUUAGCAAGUAGACGUGGUCUACUAAUUAUUGGAAGUGCCUCGGGAUUUUUCCCGACCCUUAGUGGGCUUCAAUUAGGCUUUUCGGGCCUAAGUGGAAUUUUUAGUAUUUAAAUAUUAAAUUUCGAAAUUAAAUUAAAUAAUUAUUUAUUUUCCGAAAAUUCAACUGAGAUGGUCCGGAACCGGAAUUUUAUGCUGAUUGUCGUGGUGCAGUCCGUUUAUUUAAUUGAGCUUUAUUUUGUGCGAAAAUAAUUUAUUUGGGAAUUAUUUUAAGUAAUUUUGGAAAAUUAAUUGGAAAUUAACCGAGCAUUAGUUAAUGAUACCAAAAUGUUUUAGUGGAAUACAGAAUAUGAUGGGAUUUACAAAAAGGAGAUUAUUAUAUUUUGGCUAGGGUCGAUUGAGUACCCACUCAUGGCAUUUUAUCGGAAAUGAUAAAACUGGUUAUUUGAUUGUUUGCUUGGAAUGACAUGUAUACCAGCUCGAUGACUCUACGGAGCAUCUGGAGACAGUAUGGUAUGAUAAAUUGUGUGUAUACCAGCUCGAUGACUCCACGGAGCAUCUUGAGACAUGACGGUAUGAUCUACCGGCUCGAUGACUCUACGGAGCAUCUGGAGACAGUACGGUAUGAUAAAUUGUGUGUAUACCGGCUCGAUGACUCCACGGAGCAUCUUGAGACAGGACGGUAUGAUCUACCGGCUCGAUGACUCCAUGGAGCAUCUUGAGACAGGACGGUAUGAUCUACCAGCUCGAUGACUCUACGGAGCAUCUGGAGACAGUACGGUAUGAUAAAUUGUGUGUAUACCGGCUCAGUGACUUUAUAUGUCAUCUUGAGACAGGACAGUAUGAUCUACCGGCUCGAUGACUCUACGGAGCAUCUAGAGACAGUACAGUAUGAUUUGAUAGCUCGAUGACUCUAUAUGUCGUCUGGAGAUAAGAUAACAUGCUAUCUAUAUAUCACCUAGGGUGAGUAGUCUUGGAUGUUGAUCAGACUUAUAGAAAGUAUGGAAGGGGUCAUUGCUUUGAUAUGAUGCUGUGAAUUGAUUGAUUGGAUGGAAAUGACUGGGAGUGGUCUUGUUGGCUUGUAAUCGACUAGGUCGAUUUGAUCAAUGCUUCGAUCUAUGAUAUGAUUGCUUGGGUGCCUAUUAUGAAUUGUACUGACUUGCAGGGGGGAUCUGAGGCCAAGGUACUUCUUCUGCCCUGUGCGUGUAUAGGCAGCCUAUAGUAUAAUGGUUUACUAAACGGGCUUAGUGGGGUAGAACUCGCUGAGACGUAGUCUCAUCCCAGUUUGGGGAAAACAUUUCAGGAUCCCUAUGAGAAGUUGAGGAGGAGAAGUCUGGGAAGGAGAACUCGGAGGUAAAACCUGAGGAGAAGGAUUUUGGAAGAAGAAGAUAAUCCCGAGAGGGGCCUUGAGUACAACCCGGAUGGACUGAGAGUCUAUCUUCUUUUGAGAAUUCCAUUUUGAAGUGAAUAGUUAUGAAGUGGUUUGUGUUUUGUAUAAAAGUUUGGUUAUAAAUUUCAAUAUGAAAAAUAUGGCCCUGCUUUUCUAUCACAUUGUUUUAUUGUCUGGGGAUUUUAACUGCUUCCGCAUGUGCUUAAUAAAUGAAAGGGUUGGCGAUACAUAGUCCUGGGAUAUCGCAUUAUAAAAUCGACCAAGUGAGAAGGAUGUGUGCGUGCCCGAGGAUCAGGGCGUGACACCAGGGAUAGGGAAAAAGGUAGACUUUUAGUCCAUUUCCCACGGAACCCCGAACCGGAGUGGACGUAUCUCCAUACUAAGGACUUGAAAAAGGUUAACCACGACGGGGUGAGAUAAAUCUCAGUGAGUCAAAACCCUAAACCCCGAUUAGGUCGCAAAUUCGCCUCGAAGGUAGUCCUAAGCAUGCACCAUACAAAACUCACCUCGCCUCGGCACGUCCCUGCAUAUUAGUGCAUCACAUAUCCCAUUAUCAAUACAACAAGCGUGAUUAAUAACCGGAACACAUAGUUCUAGCCCUUCAAACAUUCAUAUGGGUCUUGAUUAUAAGGUAAAACUGUUAUGACACGUCACAUACCGUGCCACACAAUUUUGCCCCAUAAUCAAGCGCAAACUAUCACAACCAUUCAAGCGUGUUCUGAUUAUUACGACCCAUUGGCUAUGGCCAACUCAAAAGUUGGCGGUCAUCCGGCAUAACCGGGCAUCGUCCCGCCCCGUCAGGCACAACAACGUCUAGCACUACCCGCCUAGACGGCAUUCCAUAAAGGAGCAUCGGCUCGGCCUCCACCGCAACUUGGCAUCCGUUGACGUGGGGAAUCCGAACUUAAUUAGGCAUCGCCUCCCCAACUCUCAUCAGGUGAUGAGGUUCCAAUAGUGACCAUACGAGCACAUAUUUGGCCAAGGACACCAUGCUUUGCAUUCAAAUACCUCCUUUUCAAAUAAUGAACUUGGCCACUUUUUCUUCAUAUUAAAAAUCCCGGUAAAAUAAUCGUGCGUGGUCACGUAUUUAAAAGCGAACCAUCAAACCUGGUACUCUCCUAUUUUGAAACUCCACGAUUUUAUAUAGUAUAUAAAAAUUGGCGUCCAAAAACCGACACCUAGCAUUUUUCUAUUUAAAUGCCCAUAAAACCGAGUUUUACAGCUAGUGUGCUAUGGAAAGAGAGUACUUUUUGUUACCAUGUAAGACGAAAUUAUUACCUUGUCCCCGGUGACACAAACACACUGCUUAAAACUUCAACACCAUCUGAUUCAGUAAAAAACUGCACCAAUGAAUAACAUACCAUUAGUGAGUCAUACCAUCACAUGACCACUUUACAAGUGCCAUUGAAUGCAAGAAACUAACUGAUUGAUGACAUGGUCAGUGACCCUGUAUUAUCAUGCCCCCUCUUCAGCACAAUGGAAUCAAAUUCAUGAAAAAAGAGAAGGCAAGGUGCUACAGCUGCUACCUUCAAGAAUAUAUCUGAACCUGCACUUUUAUAAUUGCCGUUACUCCCAAAUAUUCAAAACUUCUCUAGUUUGUUCACAAAAUCAAUGCCAUCAAUGUGCAGAAUAGAUGAUCCAGUAGACAUUUGAUCACCAAUUUCAAAUUUUUAGUAGAGAAAAACUUCAAAUAUCUUACAUCUUAAUCUUCAUAGAGGAUUCUCUCAUUCAUGCGUGAGAAAACUCCAGAAGCAUUUUAACUUGGCCUCUUCAUUGGUUAUGGGAGAAUCCUCAUUGCUGUUGUUUAAAAUUAUAUAAUUAGAACAUCUUGGCUACAGAAGAUCCUCAUUGCUGCUAUUAGUUAUCGUAUUUUGACUGCUGGCAUAAAUGAAGGGACCUCUAUUAAAUGCAUACAAAAGCAAAAGAAGAAAGCACAAAAUUGUGAAAUGUAUGGAAAUAACAAAGUUCAAUAGAAGAUUGCACAGUGGACCUCAAUAAACAUUCGUGUAGUUGAAAAGAAGGCUAUUAGAGCUUGCUAAAAAGUACCAAUGUACUUAUCCAUAGCUCGCCCUUUUACUGAUAUGGAUUGAAGAGAACAAGUCAUUGCUAUAGCACCAACAAUAUGUCUUGCCAAAGCCUAGACGUCCAUGUAAAAGAACAUUUCACCAUGGUCUUGGAGGAGGUUGUGCAAAAAAGUUUUAUCAGCAAAUGUAAAAAUGAUAGAUACAAAGAUCAAAUAGGUUUAUUUAACAAGUUAACAGUAAGUACAUUAUUAGCAUAGAGAGAGAGUGUGUGUGACAUCCUGAAAUUCGACCCCGUUUCGAUAAAGUGAAAUGGGCAUUUCAUCAACGUGUUUACGGUCAUUUUUCUCUAAGCUGAUCACUCACGAGUUAACUAACCUAUUGGGUGAAGCUGUUAAGGGAUGUAUCUGCCGUAAAAUCCCUAAAAGCUACUCAAUUUGUUGGAUUGGACUAAAAUCACAUCUGAUCAAUUUUUAACCACGAAAUUGAACUCGAUUUCGGGAAUCGAAUUUUAAGCGCGGACAAUUCUUAUUUUUAGGAUCCUAUCUCAUCAUCCGUCAAAUUGUUGACGAGUUCGAAAUUUCAAUAAAGAAAUUAUCGGAGGAAAAAUUGAAGAUCGAAAGGAAAUAAAAAGGGAAUGAGAAAAGGAAAAUAAUAGAAGUAAUAAGAAAAUUAUGUUUUCUUAUUAAAAUAGUAUUUUCUUUUCCUUUUUCUUUUCUCUCUCCUCUCCCCCUCUCCCCUUCGUGCGAAUUGGCCCCCAUUUCCACCGAAUAGUGGGCUGUCCCCCACUUGUUUUUCCCCUUUCCCUUUGACCAUUCAAACCCAUCUUUUCUCUCUUAUCUUCUUCUUCUUCUUCUUCUUCUUCUUCUUCUUCUUCUUCUUCUUCUUCUUCUUCUUCUUCUUCUUCUUCUCUCUCUCUCUCUCUCUCUCUCUCUCUCUCUCCUUCGCACGCUCUCUCCUCCCUUCCGUGCAUUCCAGCGAACGAAGACAGAAGAAGAGCAGACGUUGCAGCUCGCCGUCACCGCCUGUCCCGCCACCCACGCGCGCACGCCCCGCGUCCGCCGCUCGCCGCCAUGCACUGCCUGCCCUCUCCUCCGCCCAGGCACCCCUUCCUUGCGCGAGACAGGCCGUUCGGCCUCUGCUCAGCCCUCGUUUUGCCCCGUCCGGCCACCUCCGGCCGCCGUUCAACCCCGCCGGACCUCCACCGGCCUUCCCUCGUGCCUUGUCGCGCUUGUGGAAGUGGUUUGUGGCUGUUUUGUGUAUGUUUUCAGCCAUUGCAGCCACCCCACGAAGUGGAUUUCCAGCCCCUUUCGGGCUCGUUUUGGGCCGUUUCCGGGCCCCAAACCUGAGCCGUGCUUUGGGAAGAAUCGUUCCUCACGCCGCCCCCAUCGGAUUGAUCCGAUUUGCACGUGAUUUGGUGAGUAAUCUCACUAAUCCCGGAUUAGUUGGCUAAUUAUGCUUAAGGUUGGUUUAGUUUUAAUUAAUUAUGUUUAGUUUUUUAGAUUAGAAUAAAUUAGCAAUUAUUAGUCAAUUGUGAUGCGAUUUAGAUAAAUUGAUUGCGCAAUUAGCAAGUAGACGUGGUCUACUAAUUAUUGGAAGUGCCUCGGGAUUUUUCCCGACCCUUAGUGGGGAUUUUCGGGCCUAAGGGGAUUUUUGGUAUUUAAAUAUUAAUUUUUCGGAAUUAAAUUAAAUAAUUAUUUAUUUUCCGAAAAUUCAACUGGGAUGGCCCGAGAAUGAAAUAUUAUGUUGAUGACUGUGGUGAAGUCUAUUUAUUUAAAUGAGCACCAAUUUGAGCUAAAUUGGAUUUAUUAUAAUUAAUUAUUAAUUCUCGAAAUUAAUUAAUUAAUUAAUUAAUUAUUUUCCGGAAAUUUAACUCGGAUGGCCCAUGACCGAAUUUUUAUGCUGAUGAUUGUGGUGCAGUCUAUUUAUUUAAUUGGGCUUUAUUUUGGGCUAAAUUGGAUUUAUUGUAAUUAAUUAUUAAUUUUCGAAAUUAAUUAAUUAAUUAUUUAUUUUUCAGAAAUUAAGACUGAGGUGGCUGACGACCGAAAUCUUGUGCUGAUCGUCGUGGCGUGGUCUGUUUAUUUAAUUGAGCUGCAAUUUGCAUGGAAUUGAUUUAAUUAGGAAUUUUUAUGAGUUAUUCAUAUUGACUUGAUGGUUAAUUAUUUGAUUGAGCAAUCGUUGGGUAUUGGUUAUUACCUGAAAGGAAAUACGUGGGCUCGGUGAAUCGGAAUAUCACCUGGAGAAUGCAUGUGUAUUCAGUGGUUGAAUAUGUCAUCUCGGCGAAGAGGUUGCCUUAGAGAAUGCUUGUAAAUUGUUGAAAGUUGAUCAUGCCUGUGUGGCGAUAGUUGAUCAUGCCUGUGUGGCGUAGAUUGUGCCUGCGUGGCCGUAUUUUUGUGUAUCAAGUAUCGGUUGCCAGUGAUAAAGGUAUUGUGGUAGACUACCGAUCAUACUAGAAAUUGUGGAAAUGAAAGUGAGUAUGUAAGAUGUAUGCUGACCUGAUGACUUGGCAUGUCAUCUAGAAAUUUGGUCAUGUGUAUCGUGGCUCGAUGAUCGAUUCCAUCACCUCAAAGAAUGCACGUGGCUCGGUGAUAAAUAAUAUCGCCUCGGAGAAUGCACGUGGCUCGGUGAUUGGUUAUAUCAGUUGAGACUGUAUAGCAAUGACUAGAAUGACCUAGAAAUGGUCCGGCUGACAUGUAAUCAACUAGGUCGAUUGAUCAUGAUUUCAUCUAAUGUUGUGAAAUGAUGGAUUGAAUGGAAAUGACCAAGAGUGGUCUUGUUGGCUUGUAAUCAACUAGGUCGAUUUGAUCGAUGCUUCGAUCUUUGAUUUGAUUGAUUGUGCAUUGAGAUAUUUGAAGUAUUUGUAUAUAACCUUGAAUUGCAGGUUGAGACUGAUGCCAAGGUACGUCUUCUGCCCUAUGUGUGUGUAGGCAGCCUAUAGUAUAAUGGUUUACUAAUCGGGCUUAGUGCGGUAGAACUCGCUGAGACGUAGUCUCAUCCCAGUUUGGGGAAAACAUUUCAGGACCCCGAUGAGAAGCUGAGGAGGAGGAAUCUGAGUGGGAGAACUCUGAGGUGAAACAUGAGGAGAAGAAUUUUGGAAGAAAAAAAUAAUCCCGAGAGGGGCCUUGAGUACGACCCGGAUGGACUGAGAUUCCAUCUUCUUUUGAGAUCUCCAAUUGAUGUGAAUAGUUAUGAAGUUCUCUAGUUUGCGUUUUGUAUAAAAGUUUGUUUAUAAGUUUCAAUAUGAAAAAUAUGGCCCUACUUUUCUAUCCCAUUGUUUUAUUGUUCGGGGAUUAUAACUGCUUCCGCAUGUGCUUAAUAAAAGAAAGGGUCAGCGAUAUGUAGUCCUGGGAUAUCGCAUUAUAAAAUCGACCAAGUGAGAAGGAUGUGUGCGUGCCCGAGGAUCGGGACGUGAGAGAGAGAGAGAGAGAGAGAGAGAGAGAGAGAGAGAGAUGAAGAAAGCUACAUAAGUCAACUAAAAGAAUAAACUAAAUCUAGUCUUCAACGACACAAGGUCCUCUUUCCUAACACCAUAAAUUGCAGAAUGCACAACUUGAUGCAGCUAAACCUAGUCUUCAACGAAAUGGUGGCUUGACCAUAUUGACAAGUUUACUCUAGUAUCAAUUGUCACCCAGCACGAAUUUCACGCAUAAAUGGCUAAAUACUAGAAUGAAGAAGGAUAGUUCACAAAUCACACUGUGACUCAAGACUUGAAGCUUCUCCACUUCAGUUCAGAAGUAACCAGAAAACACCUCCAAUUCUUUGUGAAGGAAAUAACUAAAUCACUCAUAUUGCAUAAUAGGUAUCAACGAUUCACUCUUUUGCUAACCAAGUAUUAAUUCCUUUAUUUCAGUCCUCACAAAUCAUGAUUGUUCUCUUCUGGUAUUGAAAACACUCCAUAAGGUGAGACCAGUACUCUCAAGUCUCAACCCCCUCAGCCUUACAACAAAACCUAGCAUUUGUCAGCAUUUUUAGUGUUCUUACUAUCUAAAAGUUCCCUUCCACUUUAUCCAUUUUUUCUAAGCAAAACAGGUGCAACGAAGCAUGUCACUCCCGAUGUUAUGCUGGUGCGCAACAUAAACCAGCUAAGUAUCACUAUCAUCAAGUCAAGGCAAGUCAAAGUAUCACACAUUUAUGAUACAUGAAAGAGGAUUUUCCCUUAGAGACAACAAGAUGAACUAAUGCAAGAGGUGGUUCUAGAACCAAGAUGAAAGGUUAGUUGAAGGAAAACUCACAAAACAGGACAUAACAAAAAACAAACUCUAGUUCUAUGGACUUACCAUCAUCGACUAUCUUUGCCAAUCAAUUGAUACAUAUCUUAUCCAUCUCUAUUAAACCUCGGGCAAUCAUGGACAAUUAGUUGACAAGAUUUUGGCACACCCAGCACCCUCUCUAGUGAUUCACAUCCAUAGAACCGCAAAAUUUUCAAAUUUUGUAGAUUAGAAAAAUCAUAUUCGUUUAAGCUUUUGAUUGAAUCGCAUAAAAAGAUCUGCAAAAACCGCAAUGAUUUCAAUUCUCCCAAACCCUAAAUCUCAGUUAGCUGAGGCAAUCCAAAUAGUAACAAACUCUGGAUCUCCUUUUAAACAGGCAGAACAGGUAGCAUCUUGAGCAAUGGACAGUCAUACAUACUCAAUUCGUUGAAUUUCCGUAGCUCUCCAAGCACCUCGAAUUGAAUCUCUCUCGGUGAAUAUCCAACAAUACACAGCUCCAACAAAUUCUCCAAGUUGGAAAAGACUGACCAAUCUAUCGAUGACUGGACAUCCCAUAACCGCAACUCUCAAAGGCUGGAUGGGAGCCCGACAAGAGAUUGGGGCUCAAAAUAUCUUAUUUGGAGUCUUUGUAGCUAAGAGAGGGAACUGAAAUCAAUUGGGGGCAUUCUUCCAACGUUCAGGUUCAUUUCCCUCAAAGUAGUUAGUCUCAUGAUCCCCUUUAUGUUGGGUUCUUGCAUUGAAUUGCUAAUUAUCACAAGGUCAAGGCCAACUAAAUUGGUUAGGUUUGAGCAGUCGGGGAUCGUGGUCACCGAAUCCGAUGAAAGGGCUAAAGACGCUAGACUCUUGGGAAGCUUAGGCAGCCGUUGGAUUGAAUUACAGUCCUUUAAAUUAAGUUUUUGGAGAUUUGUAAGCCGAUUGAUGGUUGUCGGCAAUCCACUAAAGCGACCUUGAGAUAAGUCUAGAACUUUCAAUGAGGAUAAUGCCCCAAUUUCACUUGGAAUUUCCCCCACCAAAUGUUUAGAUUCAACCCAUAACUUUUCUAGAUUUUCCAACAUUCCUAUGGUUUUCGGAAGUUCACUUAUGCGGUUGAAUAUGAGACUUAGUACCUUCAACUUUUUUAAAUUUCCAAUACAAUCAGGUACGAUCUUGAUACUUGACCCAAUUAAAUCCAAAUUGACCAAUGAUUGGAGCCUCCCAAUCGAGUAUGGUAGCUUUUCUAGGGGGCAAUGUGAAAUGCGUAAAACUUUCAACCUUUCAAGAUUUCCAAUAGAAUGAGGUAAUUCACUGAUAUUUAAACAUUGGACAUCUAGCACAAGUAGUGACUCCAAUUGUCCGAUAUAGUAUGGUAGCUUUUCUAGGGGGCAAUGUGAGAUGCGUAAAACUUUCAACCUUUCAAGAUUUCCAAUAGAAUGAGGUAAUUCACUGACAUUUAAACAUUGGACAUCUAGCUCAAGUAGUGACUCCAAUUGUCCGAUAGAGUCGGGAAGCUUUUGAAGUUCCCUGCAUGGCAAAAUUAGAGACUUCAUAUAUACCAAAUUAUCAAUCAAGAGAGGCAUCAUUGAGGGUGUCCAAUUUAUUCUUAGCACUGUCAAAGAUUUUAGACCGCCAGUGGACUCUGGUAGUGACUCAAUAGCUUCACUCUUGAUCUCAAGGUAAUCAAGAUGUUUUAGAUUGCCGAUGGACUUGUCAAUCUUUCUUAGUUGAAGGCAUCUAAGAAUCAACUUCUCCAGUUGCGAGAUUGCAAAGAACUUGGGCAUCCUUCUAAGGAAUGGACAAUCCUCAAGCUGUAGGAUUUUCAAUUGUUUUGCUAUCUAUAAAGUAAUUGAGUAGACACUCAGAAAAGAGGAGUAAAUAUAAUGCAAAAGGAUGUCAUGAGAUCAUACCAUGAUUUGACACCAUCCUCCCCAAUCUUCAGUAACGUUAUUCCCAGAUAGCAUGAGAAUCGUUAAGUUCUUCAACCCAAGGUUGGUAGCUUGGAAUUUUGAAGGGUAAUUGCUCCAAGAGAGCCAUCUCAAAUUAGAGAAAACAUUCUUAAAGUCUCCUUCUAAGUUUACGUGGUCCAAUUGAAGGAACCUAAGGUUGACUAAGCGCACAAAGUGCUUGUGCUUAAAUCUGUACGUCUUAUUGUGAUCAGGUGUACCAAGAUUGAGCACCACUAUGUCUCUGGUUCCCUGGAAAAUAAAAAGUAGCAACCGAUGAGUAAAUAUGUAAGUUUGACUUGAAAUUAGAUAAAAAGGUGAUGACGCUAAUGGAUGUAUUGGAAAACAUGUAGAGGUAAAGAUUACCAUUUAUGUUUGCACUACAUGAAAGGCAUCCUCGGGAGACCACAAUCUGCUACCCUUCAUAUGGAUUUCGCCACUUUCCGGAUGGACAAUACUCCUUCCAAGGUCUCUAAGUUGGUCGUGCAUCCAUAGUUUAUUAUUGUUGCAUAUUUUUAUCAGAGACAUUUGUUUGAGGAUAGUCAACUCGAUUUCGGUCGAAUACCCAAAAAUCGCAUCCCAAUAUUUAACUAAAGUUGUUUUCUCUUUGUUGAAGCAGAAACAUGCGAUAUCAAGAUAAAUUUAUUGUUGACUAGGCUCCAAUGCUUCAUAGCUUAUCAUUAGCUUCUUCCUGACAUCCUCAUUCAUCACAUUCUUUAACUUAUGUAGGGUGUCUUCCCAUGUUCUUCGGCAUUUUCCACAGAGCAUGGAACCUACGACAUUGAGAGCUAGUGGAAGUCCUCCUAGCACAUUGAUUAGCUUAUAUGCAAUAUCCAUGUAAUCAGUUGGAGGCUCGACACAUCCCAAGGCACGCUCACUAAAAAGUUAAAAAGCAUCAUACAAAUUCAUCACUGGCAUAUUGUAGAAUGAAAAUUGUCCGCUAAUAGAGGCUAGGACAUUGUCAUCCUCACCUUCCUUUACUAGGAAUUCAAUAUUCCUAGUUGUUAUGAUGAUUCUACUACCCCCACCAAACCAGUUGGGCUCACCAGCAAGUCUCAUGAUUUGGUCUCGAUUGUCAAUGUCAUCAAGAACAAUGAGAACUUUCUUGUCAUGAAAUCUCGUCUGGAUCUUGUCAGCCCCUUCAUCAAUGAAGGAUUGGUUUGAGCAACUCAAAUGGAAUAUGUCUGACAACAAUUUCUAUUGUAAGUUUAUUAUAUCAUGAGUCCAAACAUCCUUAAGAAAGCAGCAAUGUCUUUGAAACUGAGGGGAGAUUUGUCUAAAGACAGCCUCAGCCAGUGUUGUCUUUCCAAUGCCACCCAUACCAUAAAUCACGAUAAAUCAUACAUCAAAAGCUUCUAGAUCUAACCGCUUCAUAAUCUCAUCCAUUUGAUCUUUAAUUCCCACCAAAUGAUCAAGCACAUCUGUCCUUCUUGUCCAUAACAAACUAGAAACCUCUUUGAUUGUGAGAUUCAUAAGUUCAUAUAGGCUGCCACAUGCAUGACAUGCAAUCAUCUCAGAUUGAAAAACCAUAUAUAUGGAAACUGUGCACAUAUUAUGUGGCACUAGAAGGUUACCAUCAAGUUCAAAAUAAUUUGCUUUAAAAGAAACCAACACAGAAAAGUGAUCUUUCAAGCUGUGAGCCGUUUGAAAAAAAAAAAAAAACAGAUGUUUUCAAGAGAGGAGGAGGAGAGGGGACUUUAUUCAUGGUUGAAAGCUAAUCCUAUCAAGGUUCGUUGGUUUAGUCAAGAAUGGGAAAAGGUUAUUUUGUGACAAGGGUCUAACUGGGCUUCGACUAGAAGUCAUUGGCAAAUUGUGACUAACUAGUGCUGUGAGCUGUUGUGUUGGAAUAGGUUGUGGGCCUUUGUUCCAUUUUUAUGGAAAAAUUAUGAAAUCAAUCUUAAAUUAUUAUACAAAUGUCAAUUCAGUCAUAAACUUUUCAAUUUCAAUAAUAUUAUCCUAAACCUUUAUACAAAAUUUCAAUGUAGUCCUUGCAGUCAAUGUCCACCGAAAAUUGCUGAAGUGGCAAUCUAUGUAGGAUGUCAUUUCAAGUAAAAUUGUCCACGUCAACUAGCCACGUAGGACAAAGGUGAUGAAUAGAUGUCAUGUUAGUAAUUUCUCGCGGCAAUUGGGCAGAAAGAUUACAUUAAAAUUUCACACAAAAUACUUAUGACCACAUUGGAAAAAUUAAAAUGUCUAGUACUCAAAUGUCAUGCACAAUGAAUUUAGAACUGAUUUGAUAAUUAUGCCUCCACUUCAUUUUAUACUUUUUCACACCGGUUGGUUUCUUCUUGUUGCACACAGCUAAGAGCGAGACCUCUAGAAGUUUGGUUAAAUAUCAAGUCCUUGGUAGCUCGGUCUUGAUAAUCUCUUCAAGCAAUAGGGAUGAGUUUGAAGGUUAACAGAAAAGAAAAAAUCUCACUCGCAGUUGCCUUGAAUAUCGGAAACGAGAAUACUAUCUCAAAAGCAUUUUUCUUAACGUACCGAUGGAGUAGAAUGCUAACCGAAAAUGAGGAAGAUUUUCUGGAAUAUAUAUCAACCUUGAUUCGAGUUACCAAUAAACAUUUCUCCAAAUAAGUUAGAAAUAAUUUUAGGUUACCCAUUCUUUUUAUGAUAUUGGUAAUGGCAAACUAGUUGGUACCUCUUUACCAAAAAAAAAACUUAGUUGGUACUUUAAUCAGAACAAAUUGGUGAGUAACUGAACUUAGGAUUGGUAAUUUAACGACAGAUUUCGUUGCCUAAUGAUGUUCAUAACCAGUGCAAAUAAAAGUUUCUGCGUUAUUAACGAAAGUUUUUAUGAAGGUUGUUAGUUUUGAAACAAAUAAUAACUACUGAUAAGUAGCUCAAAUAAGAAUGGGUAGCUUAAACUAGUUGUUAACUUCAUUAGAGAUUAGUUAAUAUGACAAUCAUAUUAGAGUUAGUAAUUCGGUACAAGAUUUGGUAAUUUUGAAAUGUGGAGUAAACAAUAUGGUGAGUUUGUACAGAAGUUGUAAAUUGGCAAACAAUCUAAUAAACUUAGUAAAUGAUUCACAAAAAAGCCGGUAAGCUAAAACUUGUUUGUAAAACAAUGGAAAAAGAAGUUGGUAAGACACAAAUUAAAGUUGAUAAUUUCAUAUAAAAACCGAUAACUUUAAAAUUAUGGAUGGGCAUGGAGCAUUGAAAUCCGCACCUCACAGUGGCCUGCCUUGGAUGAGGCAAUUUUUUUUAGGAAAUUUUUUCUCAAAACAAUUGCCUCCCUAGGAAUGUUGCACGACACAAGUUGGGCAUGGGCAGUAAUAGGCUAGCCCUUCCGUUCUCGAGGAUUGAAACUAUUAAUGCGUUUACUUAAAGAUAGAAAUCGUAAGCUUUAAUGAAGAAGGAUGCAAGUAAGCAGAGAGUAACGGCUAGGGUUUAUAGAAAAACUAUCACAAACUAGGAUAGAGGGUAGCUCCAUAUCUCAAGGUAAUUUAUGACUGUUAAAGUACUUAUCCAUUUUCUAGAGGCUUUUAGAUUUCUCCAACCAUAACUACAACUACUUGGUGAAUUUUUAGUUAAUCAAGAUUUGAGGCCAUGAAUAGGUCCAUGUUUAAAGCAAUAGCAAGAACCAAUUUUUAUGUUUUAACAUUCUACUAUAAAUCUGUCACGCCUCGAUCCUCAGGGACGCACCCAUCCUUCUACUGUACCGUGGUGUUGCCAGACCACUUUGACCAAUAGAAUGGUCUUUGUACGCAGAACUUGCUCUUUGCGAUCGACAAUCUGGACCGGUCUUUCGACGUAUGACACACGGUCAUCCACCUCAAAUUCUUCAAAAUUGAGCACGUGGGUCGGGUCAGGCUCAUACUUCAUCAAUAUUGACACGUGAAAAACAUCAUGCACUUGCGUCAAUCUUGGCGGCAACGCAAGACGAUACGCUAAAGUCCCGAUUCUCUCGAGAAUCUCAAAUGGACCUACGUACCUCGGACUCAAUUUGCCUUUCUUUCCAAAGCGCGAAGUUCCCCUCAUUGGUGAUACUUUCAAAAAAACGUGAUCACCAACUUGGAAUUCCAAAGACCUCCGGUGCUUAUCUGCGUAACUUUUAUGCCUGCUCUGCGGUGUCUUUAAUCUGUCUUUGAUCACUGCCACGACAUCUACUAACUGCUGAACCAACUCUAGGCUUGUAAUCUUUCUUUCCCCAACUUCAUCCCAACACACUGGUGUUCUGCAUGCUUUGCCAUAUAACGCUUCGAAUGGAGCCAUUUGAAUACUCUGUUGAUAACUGUUAUUGUAGGCGAAUUCUACUAGAUGAAGUUGAUCUUCCCAACUUCCCUUAAAGUCUAUUACACAAGCUCUUAGCAUGUCUUCGAGGGUCUGAAUUGUCCUCUCAGAGUGGCCAUCCGUCUGAGGAUGAUAUGCCGUACUAUACUAAAGCUUUGUACCAAGAGCACUCUGCAAGCUCUUCCAAAGAGCGGCUGUAAACCUCGGGUCUCGAUCUGACGUUAUCAUAACUAGCACUCCAUGCAUUCGAACCACUUGACGCACGUACAGGUCUGCGUGCCUAUCUAGACUAAGGUCCUUUCGAACUGCAAUGAAGUGAGCCGACUUUGUUAGUCUGUUGACUACUACCCAGAUCGAAUCAUUCCCUCUCUGACUUCUUGGUAGUCCAGUCACGAAGUCAAUCGUGAUAUGCUCCCAUUUCCAUUCUGGGAUCGUGAGAGGUUGUAGAAGUCCUCCUGGCUUGCAAUGAUGAGCUUUUACUUGCUGACAUGUCAAACACUUGGCCACAUGUUUGGCGAUAUUCGCCUUUAUACUUGACCACCUAUAGUGUUGACACAGAUUAUGAUAUAUCUUAGUGCUUCUAGGAUGAAUGUUGUAACUGCUACGAUGUGCUUCAGAUAAAAUUUCUUCUCUAAGCUCUGCAUCGUCAGGUACAACCAAACAUCCUUAGAACCUUAGAGUCUCGUCAUCAGCAAUCUGAAAAUCAGCCUUCCUUUUAUCUGCGUCUUCCUGAAGAAUUCUCUGUACAUCUGGGUCUGUCGGUUGGAGUUGUUUAAUUCUGACUUGGACAUUCGGUUCAAUUCUGAGGGCGGCCAUAAAACUUGAAAGGUGGCCUACCUUAAAUUUGAAUAUCAAAUCUCGAGCUCUCUCGAUUAAGUUCCACUCCUUAAUCAGUAUAUGAGCCAAUCAUAGUCGUAGUCCUUCAGUAAUUCCAUCCAUUGGCGCUGUCUCAUGUUCAACUUCUUCUGAGAGAACAGAUACUUGAGACUCUGAUGGUCCCUGAAGAUUUGAAACUUUUCCCCACACAAGUAGUGCCUCCAAAUCUUCAGGGCAAAAAUAAUCGCGGUAAGCUCUAAGUCAUGCGUCGGAUAGUUCAAUUCAUGAGGUCUCAACUGACGGGAGGCGUACGCAACAACCCUACCAUGUUGCAUCAGCACGCAACCUAACCCUCUAAAUGACGCAUCACUGUAGAUCUCAAAUCCUCUAGGACCAGAUGGAAUUGUCAGCACAGGUGCGGUAGUUAGCUUUUCCUUCAGCUCUUGAAAAUUACGCUUGCACUUGUCUGUCCAUAUGAAUUUCUCGUUUUUCUUCGUGCGCUUAGUUAGAGGCGAUGCUAAUGUUGAGAAACUUUCUACAAACUGUCUGUAAUAACCUGCCAAUCCCAGAAAACUUCUUAUUUCUGUCACUGAUGUCGGUCUCUGCCAAUUGAUCACGGCUUCUAUCUUGCUCAGGUCGACGGAGAUUCCUUCUCCGGAAAUCACAUGACCUAAGAACGCAACACGAGUCAACCAAAACUCGCAUUUGCUAAACUUAGCAUACAACCGAUGCGCCCUUAAAGUUUGGAGCACUAAUCUCAGAUGAUUCUCGUGCUCUUCGUCACUUCUCGAAUAGAUCAAGAUAUUAUCAAUGAACACGAUCACAAACUGAUCUAGAUAUUCCUUGAAUAUUCUGUUCAUCAUAUCCAUGAAAGCAGCUGGAGCAUUCGUCAACCCAAAUGGCAUCACUGUGAACUCGUAAUGACCAUACCGAGUACGAAAUGCUGACUUAGGAAUGUCCUCUUUCCUAAUUCUCAACUGAUGAUAUCCCGUCCUCAAAUCAAUCUUCGAGAAUAUUCGCGCUCCUUGCAACUGAUCGAACAAAUCAUCAAUCCUUGGGAGUGGAUACUUAUUCUUAAUGGUCACUUGGUUGAGUUGUCUAUAAUCGAUGCACAAACGCAAUGAACCGUCUUUCUUCUUUACAAACAAAACUGGUGCUCCCCAAGGUGAUGCGCUAGGACGAAUAAAUCAUUUGUCUAAUAAUUCCUGCAUCUGGACUUUCAAUUCUUUCAGUUCUGUCAAUGCCAUUCUGUAUGGUGCCUUUGAGAUCGGCUCUGUUCCCAGUGCUAGUUCAAUCACAAAUUCAAUUUCUCUUUCUAGCGGUAGACCUGGCAAUUUUUUUGGAAAGACAUCUGGAAAUUCUUGAACUACUGGAAUGUCUUCCACUUUCAAGUCCUCAACUGUUGUAUCCACCACCGUUCCCAGGUAACCUUGACAACCCUCGUCUAACAGACGAGUUGCCUCUGGUGACGAGAUUAAGGAAACCGUGGGUCCUCCUCGAUUCCCAACAAAUUCGAAACUCUUACCCCCUAAUGGGUCAAAUUGAAUCGCUUUGUGAUAGCAGUCCAUUUUAGCUCUUUGCUUGGUGAGCCAGUCCAUGCCAAUUAUUAAAUCAAAGUCAUACAUGGUUAGGACUAAAAGAUAUAUUUUCCCCUCUUGCUCACCAAUCACUAACUUGCACCCCGAACAACCCAAAGCAGUAAUAACUUUAUCUUUCAAGGGUGUAGAUAUGCACAUUGCCGACUCCAAUAAUAUAGGAUUGACUCCUAUCAACUUAACAUACUACUCAGCAAUAAAUGAGUGAGUUGCUCCCGGAUCAAACAAAGCAUAAGCAGGUUGGUUGUUGAACGAAACCAUACCUGUUAUCACAUUAGGCACAGCUUUCACCUGACCUUGUGUGAUUGCAUACACAGUGCUCUGAACUGGAGGUCUCUGCUGUCCUCCUUGCGGCACGUUCUGAGGGGCAUACCCUCUUAUCUGUCCUCUCGGUGGUGGCGGUGGCAAUUGCGGUUGUCCUCUCUGCUUCUUUGGACAAUACCUUGCAAUGUGGCCCUGUUGGCCACACUCGAAACAGGCUCCUGUCCUUGCUGGGCACGGAGCUGUACCGUGUCGCCUUCCACGAAAGCGACAUAUACUCGUGUUAUUGGACAUCUGUCUAUUGAAUCUGCUCCUCUUGAAAAGUGAUGCAUGGGAUCUGCCUCCGGGCAUGGGUCUUUUUCCCUAACGAAUAUUCUCUCGAUGAGAGUGAAAUCUGGACCCAGAUGAGGUUGCUUGGUCAUUCUGAUCUCUCUCGAUCAUCUAAGCCCUCUCAUAAAGGUCAUUAUAAGUCCUCGGGUUCAGGGAAAUCAAUGUACUUCUUUAGUCUGGCUUAAAUCCUUCUCUGAACCUCCUCGCUCUAUUUAUUGGAUUCGCAAUUAAUUCAGGAGCAUACUGUGAAAGUUCAGCGAACUUCGCCUCAUAUUGAUCGACAGUUAGGGAACCCUGGCGAAGACGUUGAAAUUCUGACAUCUUCACCUCUCUAGCAUUUUUUGAGAAAUAUUUGACAUUAAAAGCCUCUAGAAAGGUGUUCCACUUUGGAAUAACGCCUUCUGGGAAUAUGGUUCCUCGAGUCGUCUUCCACCAAGUAUCUGCAACUCCAUCCAGUUCGUAAGUUGCAAGUAGUACCUUUUCAGUCUCAUUGCACAUUAGUAGUGCAAAAGCUUUCUCCAAUUUCCGGAUCCAUGAAGUAGCAGCUUCAGGGUCUCCGGUCUCGGUAAACUGAGGUGGAUACAGCUUUAGGAAUUGCUCUACCAACUGAUGAAUUGGUCUGUUCCCGACCACUAUUCUGGGUGGACCUUCAGCUUGAGCUGCGGCAGGUGCAGCGACAGUUGCGGCAGCAGGUACAGCGGCAGCGUUGGCAACGGCAGUGGCGGCGGCUUCAACAGUGGCAGUAAAGGCAGCAAUUGAUAUCGGGCCUGUUGCCCCAUCAUCUCCCGCAUAACAUCUAGAAGCCUGGUUUAUUCCAACAGUCCCUUGCUCACCCGGGGCUGCUACCCCNNNNNNNNNNNNNNNNNNNNNNNNNNNNNNNNNNNNNNNNNNNNNNNNNNNNNNNNNNNNNNNNNNNNNNNNNNNNNNNNNNNNNNNNNNNNNNNNNNNNNNNNNNNNNNNNNNNNNNNNNNNNNNNNNNNNNNNNNNNNNNNNNNNNNNNNNNNNNNNNNNNNNNNNNNNNNNNNNNNNNNNNNNNNNNNNNNNNNNNNNNNNNNNNNNNNNNNNNNNNNNNNNNNNNNNNNNNNNNNNNNNNNNNNNNCAAACAAUUUUAGCACUCAACUAACACAGACAUGCACCGGCAUGAAUUUAAAGGCAUUUCCUACCAACUAUCCCACGGUCAACGCUCCUUAUCACUCCAAUCUUAAACUUCGCUCUGAUACCACAAAAGGGGAUGUUACGCCCCGAUCCUCAAGGACGCACCCAUCCUUCUACUUGGUCGAUUUUCUUGUGCGAUAUUCCAGGACUAAGUAUCGCCGACCCUUUCUUUUUAUUACGCAUGCGGAAGCAGUUUUAAAUCCCCAGACAAUAAAACAAUGGGAUAGAAAAGCAGGCCAUAUUUUUCUUAUUGAAAUUCACAACCACACUUUUACUAACAGCACAACUCAUAGUAUAUUUACAAUACUAUUUACAGCAAACAAGUCCCACACCUAUCUGCACUAAGAUAGGGUGAACAAAAGGGAUGGGAUCUCAAUCCACAUUUGGGUUGUACUCAAGAUCCCUCUCUGGAUCAUCUUCUACUUCAAAAUACUUUCUUCUCUUCAGGUUCUUCCUCCUCAGCUUUUCCUCAGGGUCUUGAAAUGGUUAUUCAAUAACCAAUGAGACCACAUCUCAACGAGCCCUACCCCCUAAGACUCGAUUAGUAAACUAAUACGCCAAACGGUUGCCUAAGCACAACACGAGUCGGAGGACUUACCUUGGCCUCAGUUCCAACCUGCAAUUCAAGGUUAAACACAGAUAUUCAAAUAAUUCACGACAUCCGAUCAAGCACUGGUCAAUCGACAAAGUCGAUUACAUGUCAGUCAAACCCUCUCUAGGUCAUUCCCACUCAUAUCACGAAUUCCCAGUGGUGUACUCAUUCACCAAAUCACAUGUGUUUCUCGGGUGUUGUUUUCGCCAAUGACAUACCGAUCACCGACACCGUGCGUUCUUUAAGGCGCCCUUUUCAUCAGUGAUAUCCUCGAUCUCCGAACCACGUGUCCUUUCUAGGGCGUCGUUUUCGCCAAGGUGACAUCGGCAAUAGACAACAUCGUGAGUUCUUUAAGGCGUCGUUUUCACCAGUGAUAUUUCCUUAAUCACCGAACCACGUUUGUCUAUAAGUCAUUCACAUGCGUUCUUUAAGGCGCCGUUUUUGCCAGUGAUACUUCCAAUCACCGAACCACGUAUGUCCAAUAAUAUCGUACCUGAUUGGUCUCAACCAAUAAUGUUCUCAGUUAGCUCUCACCAUUCUCCCUACUAUAUAGCCCAUCAACGUACUGGCGCUAUAUACCCAUGCUUGGCCAUUACCAAUCAAAUAUUCAAUAACAAACAAUUAAGGAUAAAUCCUCAAAUUUCACAAUUAAUUCAAUUCCAUACAACGUAGAGCUCAAAUAAAUAAAUGGGCUGCACCACAACAAUCAACACGAAAUUCCGGUCACCGGCCAUCCCGGUUGAAUUUCCGGAAAAAAUAAUUAAUUAAAUAAUUAAUUUUGAAAAAUAAAUAAAUAAAUAUUAAAAUCCAAUUUAUGCUCGUAAUGCCUGAUUGUAGCCCGAAAUGGCUCGGGAAAAAAUCCCGAGAUGCAUUCAAUAAAUAACCGAACCUUUCUACUUGCUAAUAACUAGGUCUAACCACCUAACAUGCAUCAUUAAGUCAUUAAAUUAAUUGUUCUAACCUAAUCUAACCACCUAAUUGCACUUAAUUAAAUAUAACAAACCAUAAGCAUAAUUAGCAAACUAAUAAAGCAUUAGUGAGUAAAACUCAAUUGGUCAAAAGCGGGGAUUGAAUCACCACGACGGCGGCGCGACGGCGGCCGAAAUUGGGCUUUCGACAACACCGGCGAGCUUGGACCGGACUUAAGACUUGGCCCUACAAACUUCAGCAAGGCUGGGCUUUACUGUUGGAAUCUUGGGCUGAACUUGAUCUGGACUUAAUUCUGCUUGGGCUGAAAACGUGGUUCAAACUAUUGUUCACUUGGGCUGGAAUUCUGCAAGCUGAGCUGGAACUUACAAGCUGAUGGGCCAAAUUUCGUUGGGCUUUGAAUGGGCGUGAGGUUCGUGGACUGUUGCAGUGGAAUUGGAUCGAAGACCUGAAGACGCUACGCUGCUUCAACGAAACGCCGGUGCUGGACUGCUGACCUCAAUCGGCUUGGUCGACUGAACGCGCGGCAGAAAGAAGACGCGGCAACAGCUCCAUUGAGUCCUCCAGCUACUUCGACUGACUGACCAGAGGAAGGCACGAGAAGGCUGGUGCUCGUAUGGGUCUUUGAGGAGAUGGGCUUCAACGUGGCAGCUUUGGCGAGGCUGUAGUUGGGUAUCGUGUCUUCGUCGGCGGCUGAGUCGAAGACACGAACGAAUGGUGGAGUCAACGAACGAAAAAGGAAUUCGUUGGUGGAGGCUUGCGGAUGACAAGAAACUGAAGAGAAUCAGCUGCGUGAGACCAUGUGGGGCUUCGAUCUUCAGAGAUGGGCUGGUUUGCUGACCUUCGGAUGAAGACACGAAGAUGAGUGGUCUUCAACGCUGGUUUGUUGACCAAACAACCAGCAGACGCGGCGAAGUGGCAGCGUGGAGAGGAGAGAACUUCGGUGGGACGUUGGCAGCUUCUGAUUUCUGGCUUCUUCGCUGCUGUGCGUGAGAACAUGAGCGAAUGGAGAGAGAGAGAGAGAGAGAGAGAGAGAGGGAGUUCACGAGUAUGGAUAGGAACGGAGGAGAAGGCAGAAGCGGUGAUGAUGAAGACAGCGACGGGAGGGACCCAAAAUCAACAAACCUAAGCCAUUCCCUUAAUUGCUUGUCCCCCUCCUUUUUCUUUAUCCUUAUCUUGGUUGGUCUCUAAUACUUUCUUGUAAAAAUCUUUAUAAACCAAUCAAAUUUGAAGCCUAAAAUUGCUGUCACUUUCCAAUCCGAAUUUCACAUAUUUAUCUUUAACUUCAUCACUCAAUUUCCCAAAUUCGACGUCAAAUUUUGGUGUAGAAAAAUCCCAAAUGAUUUUCUAUAAAUCCCUGACACACAACGGCUCAGUCUGGAAGUCCAAUUUUCUAUCAAUUAAGCCCAUCUGAAUUUCUGCCAAAUUUUUGCGACGUCCGAACCCAUUUUCCGUAAAAAUCUUGAGACCUCCACAAAAUCUUCUAAGACUGAGUUGACGUUCCUAGAAUAGCUCGUGACACCAUAGAACUUUCAAUUUUUGAAAUCGAACUCAAAUUGACGGUUAACUUCACUCUGGCACUCUUUUAGCGUGACCUAGACUACUAGGUAGUUUUCAUAACUUUUCAGGGCAAUUAACUCGUGGUCGAUUUUCUUCGAGCCACAAUGAACCCACUCGACACAUUGGCGACUUUCGAUUGUCGUGAAAAUCUCGAUGACUCAAUUAUAGACACAGGGUACCAAAACGAUAGAAAAAUCAAAUUAGUGCCGAUCGAUGAGAAUUGUCCAAUUUAGUGGAGUCACCCACGAUCGGCCACUCAUCACAGUCGAACCGACCUAUCUCUGAUCUCAAUUCGAUUUUUAACUGUGCAGUAAUGACCUCUAAAGAUGAGCACGGUCGAGAAGCCGAUUCCUGGUCGAAUUCUCAAGUCUAUUGCCUUAAUAUUCUUUAAUGGCUUACCCAGCUAGUCUAGUUAUCUCGAGAGUGAUCAGCUCCGAGAACAACCCUAUAGACGUGUCAAUGAAAUGCCCAAUUAAUUUAAUAGAAAACAAUACUGAAAAUUCUUGAUGUCACAAAAUCACUAUAGAAGAAUAUUCAGUUUAAGGUUGCAGAUCUUGUCUAUGCACAACUUGCCACUAGAGGAGCCGAUGACCCUUGCCCCAUCACAAUGAAAACAAAAGCCCAAGAUUGAUAACACACCUGAACCUAAGUCAAUCCUUUGCAAAUUAAUCAAGAAUUACUCUAAUCAGAAAUAUACAGGAAGAUUGAACCUCUAACACUUACAGAGAUCCUUUUUCUUUUUCUUUUUUUGGUUCUUUUGGAUAAUGGCAUACAAAGAUCUUUGCAAUGUUCGGUCUUGUAUACUCAAACCAAAUAUAAAAACGAUGACCCAAAGUAUCCUCUUACGGGGUUAUAAAACUAUCAUCAUAAAAAUCUCCAUUAUUUUUGUGUAACUCGGUGGUGCGACCGUAAUUAGCCGGUUAUUUCAAGGAAAACAGCAGCAAAGCAUAUGAAUUCCCUAGGGCUGAAACCAAAACCACAAGGAUCGGUCUUUUCCUCUUGGCCGUAAGUUUUGGGAUAUCGUAUAGACUGCGAUAGACUAAGUCUAUGCUAUAAUUUCUCUAAGUUUCCUUAAUGUAACAAAAACAGAAAGAUUUAACAUCAAACUCAAUCUAAUUUUUCAGGAAAACAUUAUAGGCAUAGGUCAAGGAAAAUUACACCAAAAGUCCUUAAAUUCAUAUACGCAAUGCAAUUGAAGUUAAGAAACUUAGAUUUUUUAUUUUUCACAAAUAUAUGGUCUUACUAUUUUAUCACAUCUUAGAUCUUCGCAGAUAUCUUGGUUUUUUUGCAUUAUAGAUUAAUUAAUUAAGUUUCGAUGCCUUAACUUUAAUUGUUAUAAAAAUUUGAUAGUAAAAGUGAAAAGUCAACUUGUGCAAGAAGCCUCGUCCUCUGAGCAAAAUUUCUAGCUCCCUCAUUGCGUCAAGUCCAACAAUAUGUUGCAUAAGGUUGGACAGCAGUAAAUCGAAGAACUAUUCUUUAAAGGAAGAAGAAAUCGAAAAUUUUCAACAAAGAAAAUAAAGUCAAUGGAUAGGCAAAUAAUACCCGUGAUCUUUUAGAUUCCUUCCUCUAAUUCUGACAACCUCUCUUAAAGCCUUCUUCCACUUCUUUGCUAAUUCUUUCCCAUAUUCGCUCUUGUGCUUCCAAAGGGCUUUCCGAUAUAACUUAGUCUUAAGCUUGACAUCAUUCACGUCCACGUCGUAAAAUAUAGGGAGGAUAACUUUCUCAUCGUUACCUCUCGAUAGCUCCACUAUGUGUGCCAGCUCACGGAGGCACCACUUACUUGAAGCAUAGCCUUUGGAGAAUAUCGGGAUGUAAAUUCAGGAGUCAUUGAUAAGCUUGCAAGAGACCGCAUUCGAUCUCUUCGCCAAAUCGAAGCUCUUCGCUGUCUUUGAAAUCAUGGAUCCCUGCACCAAUCAGGCCAUUGUAGAGACAAUCAGCCAUGGUUAAACGGGUGUCGGGACCUCUGAAAUUCAGGAACACCUCAUAGCCACUCCCCGACCUGUCAUCAUGGCUACUGCUUGUUGAAGCUGCCGUCUCCGUCUCUUUUUCCUCCCUCUUUCUCUUCAUUCUGAAAGGACGAUGCAGAGAUGGAUCUCCGAAUUGAGUCUGCCCGGUGACUUGGGAGGUCUAAGUUUGAUCUUUGUAACAACUUGACGAAGCAACGGAGAGAGAUCUCUCACUUACGCUGCGUUCGCCUGGAAGUUACCUGCGGCCUUCCUUCGCAAGUGAAAAAACCAUUCAGAUCGACAAAAUAAUUGCUUCGAAGAGGAAACACGGAAGGAGAGAGAGAGACAGAGAGAGCUGUGCAUCAGUUUUCACCUUCAAGCAAUGAGUGGGGAGUGGAGGACCAUCGCUUCCAAUCUCGCCAAGCCCAGAUCCGGCCUCGUCGGCUUCGGGCGACCUCAGAUCUGGUGUUGCCCACGGCCACGAAUAGACGGAGCAAGGCUGCCUCGAGGAGAUAGAGUCGGGGACAGAGAUGGUGGCUUGGCCAAGACGGGACGCGAAACGAUCGGCGCAGGCGAUGGCGAGGGGUGACGGCACGGGAAGGGGAUACGACGUCAACGGCGAUGCAGCGGCGAGGUGGCGGAGGCUUGCGGUGACCGGUUGGUGGAGGGGAGAGACUGAGGGAAGAACAGGGGAUUUUUCAGAGUCCGGAUUUUUUAUUUUUUUUAUGGAAAUUCGUCAAGAAGUGAGGGUAGUUUGGUCAUUUAGGAGGGGGUAACCGCACCAUGGGGGAAAAGAGACUGCCGGAGUCGCGCGUUUGAAGUGCUUUGCGAUAAGAAAGGAUUAAAGCUAAAAGGAAACGGAGUGAGGGUCAGCUAAGGAUUGCACAUCUAAGGUGAAAUCGGUUGACUUUUUUGAUCGGUUUCCAUCUUUUACCUAUUUUCUUCUUUUUCUAAUUUUUAUGUUUUCUUAAUCACCCUGUCAAAGAUGGAGUCACGGUCAGCUAAGCCGCACUCAAACUAAAACGAGGUACUUUGCCCAAGCUUUAUGUGGACAUAUAUUGAUAAAUGUACUUUAAUUAUGUUUGUUUUCAUUUUUAUUUUUAUUAAUGUCAUUAAUUUGGGAUUGUUCAUGACACUCCGUUUGUUAUCCAUUAGGUAUAAAAUUACCAAGUAAAACCAUUUGUCAAAUCAAACAUGAAAAAUAUGUUCUAUAGUCAAGGGGUAAUUCUACAUCUUAAAUUUUCUUCCUAGAGUAGUUGAUACCAUAUUUAACAUAUUAAUAAUGUCAUCAUGUCCUGAACAUAUUAUCAUGUCAUAUUCAAAGUGGGUACCGAGUUUGAGAAUCUAACAUUAUGAGAUUGUAUAAAUGUAAAGCAGACAUAUGUGAAAUAUUUUAUCAAUAUUGAUGAUUAACUUCACAUAAAAAAUUGGUUUCUCAUACAUGCGCCUCAAGUCGGGAAACAAGAAGGGAGAAGGAAGAGGCAAAGGAAUCCAUUGGGAUUGUAUUUAAUUUUUUUUGGCGUGGAUUUGCAUUGAAUUAAAUUAUGCAAAUUAAUCAUUGCGUGAAUCACAGGAUCCGCAAUCUCAACCCUUUUCCUAGUGCCUCCCAAAAAUAAAAUAAAAAAAAUGGCGCGUUCAAUACUAUGAUCAGCCACAUCAUCUAAUGGCGAAGGCAGAGUAAGCCCACAUGCGCCAGAUGCAUAUUAGACCUUGCUCCUUCUACACGCGCAAGCUCCCCAGGAUGAUGCCUGGAAGAGAAAACGAAAGACCUACAUGGAGCAAUGAAGGGAAUGACCAUUCACCGGAGUUUAUAAUUCUACUUACAUCAAUUAUAUUUGUUCGUAAGCCUAUUUUAUUUCUAAAUGAAGAAAUAGUGACUCCUUAUAGCCAAUAGAAAUAAUAGGCCGGUUGUUAAGGCCAUUAGGGAGCAUACGUCGGGGACCACACGAAGGCAACGACUGAGAAAUUCACAAAAGAGAUUAUUUUAUUUGGCGCCUUAGCUCCACACAAAGACCAAUCGGAGUCGAUUGCAGUUCGGGCUCCCGCCAUUUGCGGAAAUGAUUGUCGGCUUUUAUCAUAAAUAAAAAAUACAUUCGAAAAGUUGCAAUUAUUUACUUAAGAGAUGAAAAAGAUCCACAGCCCUAACAUUAAUCAUGUGAUGCGAUUAUUUUCAUCCAUUACAUAAGUGGUAAAGUGAGUCUACACAAUCAUGCCAAUAUACACAAGUACGUUUUUCAACAAUAUGCAUGAAUUCACAGUUUGUUAUAGGUUUGUUAUGUUUAAAAAGAAAAAGAAAGGCUAUUAACUUGAUUCAGUUACAAUUAGCUACAUUUUAGGCAGCUAAACAUUCAAAAAGGCAAAAUGCCAAAUAAAGCACCUUUGACUUCAGCUUUUUGGCUCUUCAUUAUCAUAUCAUCUCGCAAAUUGCUUUGCGCUCUCUACCUCCAUUAUUGAACUCCGUCCAGUGAAAGCUGAGAAAAUUUACGAGUGCAUACACCAAAUGAUGUUUUCUUCAAGAAAAGCAAACGUCAUGUCAUUAUCAACAAAGCUUGACUUGAAUAACUACUACUGUCAAUCCAACAGCCCUUUUCAUCAUCAUAUGAUGUCUAAAAAAAAUUACAAAUACAUGGGGCAUUAAUUCAUGUAUUAGAAUAUGUUUGUUUUGCGAAAAAUAAAUUAUUGAAAAAAUAUUUUCCUAAACAUGAUUAUUUACAAAAAUGAACAAAUGAAAUACAUGAUGAAAAUAUUUGAACGUUAAUUAUUGUCAAUAGCAAAGAUAUUUUACACUGACUAAUUAUUUUAAGCAAGUCAAGCUAUUAUUUGCUUCAAGCAUUUUGUAAUAUUUCGUUUAUCCUCCAUAAAUUCAACAUCAUACAAAUAUAUUGUUUCUCUUUUUUUGCCUCUCCUCCUUUUACUCCCCAAUCUAAGGUAAUACACUAAGGCAAUAGUACAGUUUUUUUUUUUUGGUCGAAAAGGCAAGAGUACAAUUUGACAUCAAAUAGUUGACGUGUUAUAUAACAGUUUACAUAUCUUAAUUUAUUUGGGCCAAAAUUACUUUAUUUAGUCGGCCCCUAAGCUUUGUGGGAUAUUGGACCUCACUAAAUUUGUUAAUGGGUUUAAGGUUUCGACUUUAACUUACAUACUUUCUACGGUUGAUAGAAAUAGUGAUUAAGUGGCCAAGUGAUCCCUUCUAUUCAAUUUCUUCUAAUGCAUUGACUACCAAUGAAAUCUACACUAAUUGACCUUGGGGUGAGCAUCGGUCCAGGGUCAACCUUGGACCGACCUUGGACCGGCCCAACCCUACCGAUCCUGGUUCAGUUCCCAGGGAGACUAGGUCGGUCCUUGUGUGACAUCCCAAAUUUUCAACUCUGUUUUCUUCAGAAUGAAUCGGGCAUUUCAUUGAUGCGUCUAUAGGGCUGUUCUCAGAAUUGAUCAUUCUAGAGAUAACUAGACUAGCUAGGUAAGCCAUUAGGGAAAUUUAAGGCAAUAGACUUGAGAAUUCGACCAAGAAUCGGCUACUCAACUGUGUCCAUCUUUAGAGGCCAUGACGACACAGUUAAAAAAAAAUGAUUUGAAAUCAGAGAUAAACUGGAUCGAUAGAGAUGUGUGGCUAAUCGUGGGUGACACCACUAAAUUGGAAAAUUCUCGUCAACCAGUACUAGACUGAUUUUCUUAUUGUUUUGGUACCCUGUGUCCGUAUUUGGAUCAUCGAGAUUUUCACGACAACCGAGAAUCGCCAAUGAGUCAAGUGGGUUCAUAGUAGCUCGAAGAAAAUCGAUCACAGGUCAUUUGCACUUAAAAAUUUCUGAAAGUUACCCGAUAGUCUAGGUCACGCUAAAAACGCGCCAAGUUGAAAUUAACCGUGAAUUCAAGUUCGAUUUCAGAAAUUGAAGUUUCUGUCAUGUCACAAUAAAUUCUAGGAGUGUCGACUCAGUCUUAGAAGAUUUUUCUGACAACCGAGACUUUUUGGGAAAAAGUCGUCACCGGGUCAUUUUUGUGUAGAAAAAGGCCGGUUAUUGUUUUUGAUGGCAAAUUUGAGAAGCAUGAUAGAUGUACGAGCGAGGAAAAUUGUCGAGACGGUCAAUAGAUGACCGAUUGAUUUUAUGGAGGCCAAUUGAGAUGGAAUUGAAGUGGAAUAAGCAAUCGACUGAAGCCGUUUCACUUCAAAUUCGUAACAUCCCCACACCUUAACAAGAAUGAACCGUUUGAGAGGUUAUAAGGGACAUUUUUGGUGUCCUAAUGAAGACCAAGUAAAUAUACAUGGCCUAGAAUGAUUUUUGGAAGAUAUUUUGCAAAAUAUCAAGCCAAGUGGAGCCCUUCACCUCUCAUCUCUAUCCAUCUCUCUUCCUCUCACCCUCAACCGGACAUCUAUCUCUCUCCCUCCCCAUUUCGUGCGACGCCUGCAGCUGAAGAAGACCGAGUAGCCUACUGAAGCAAACCCUGGCCGCAACUCCAUCUUUUCUUCGAGCUUCGUUGCCUUCGUCCGCGUGGCCUUCGAUCGCAACAACAUCCGCGGCUUCGCUCCUUUGUCCCUCCAUGCGUCCUCUUCGGUCAACAACCACACUCACAGAAGCCACCUUUGACCGAAGCUCCACCGAGUGCAGCUGUCUUCAGCCACGCGUCUCCACCGAUCCACCAGCGUGCGUUUUCUCUGUAGCAAACCGAUCAACACUCUGUAGCACAAAGCAGCCGGUGUUGACCCCAAGCAUCCAUGCGGCCAAUGCAUGCCAGCUCACAUCCACCACCAGCCGGUGUCGUCGAAAGCUCAAUUUCGGCCGCCGUCACGGUGUCCCGGUCUCCGCUUUUAAUCAAGUGAGUUUUACUCACUAAUGCUUUCUUAGUUUGCUAAUUAUGCUUAAGGGUUGGUUAGAUUUAAUUUAGUACAAUUAGGUGGUUAAAUUAGUUUAGAACAAUUAAAUUAGUGACUUAAUAAUGCAUGUUAGGUGGGUAGACUUAAUCAUUAGCAAGUAGAGAGCUUCUAAUAUUUAUUGAAUGCAUCUCGGGAUUUUUCUCGACCCGUCUCGGGUUCCAAUCAGGCAUUACGGGCCUAAAUUGAAUUUUUAGUAUUUAUUUAUUAAUUUUCAAAAUUAGUUUAAUUAAUUAUUUAUUUUUCGGAAAUUAGGCUGACAUAGCCGACGAUCGAAAUUUUGUGCUGAUUCUCGUGGUGUAGCCCGUUUAUUUAUUUGAGCUCUACGUUGUGUGGAAUUGAAUUAAUUGUGAAAUUUGAGGAUUUGUCGUAAAUUGUUUGUUAUUGAAUAUUUGAUUGGUAGAUGGCCGAGUAUGGGUAUAUAGCGCCAAUUACGUUGAUGGGCUAUAUAGUAGAGAGAAUGGUGAGAGCUAACUGGGAAUAUUAUUGGCUGAGACCAAUCAGGUACGAUGUUAUUGGACAUACGUGAUUCGGUGAUUGGAAGUAUCACUGGCGAAAACGGCGCCUUAAAGAACGCACGUAAAUGACUUAUAGACAUAUGUGGUUCGGUGAUUAAGGAAUAUCACUGGUGAAAAUGACGCCUUAAAGAACACACAACGUUGUCUAUUACCGAUGUCACCUUGGCGAAAACGGCGCCCGAGAAAGGACACGUGGUUCGGUGAUUGAGGAUAUCACUGGUGAAAAUGGCGCAUUAAAGAACGCACGGUGUUGGUGAUCGGUAUGUCAUUGGCGAAAAUGACACCCGAGAAACACAUGUGAUUUGGUGAAUGAGUACACCAUUUGGGAAUCAUGGUAUGAGUGGGAAUGACCUAGAGAUGGUCCGAUUGACAUGUAAUCGACUAAGUCAAUUGAUCAACGCCUGAGCUAGUGUCGUGAAUUGAUUGAAUGUUUGAUGUAUUAUAUGAAGAAUCUAUGUAUAACCUUGAAUUGCAGGUUGGCGCUGAGGCCAAAGUAAGUCCUCUGACUCGUGCUGUGCUUAGGCAAUCGUAUGGCGUAUUGGUUUACUAAUCGAGUCUUAGGGGGUAGAACUCGCUGAGACGUAGUCUCAUUGGUUAUUGAAUAACCAUUUCAAGUCCAUAGAGGGAACGAAGGAGGAUUACUUGUUGGAUGACCUCGAUGACGAACCGGCAGAAGAUGAAGAGCUUGAAGAAAACGAGCUUAGUGAAGAAGAGUCUGAGGAGGAUCGGAAUGAUGAUCCCGAGUACGACCCGGAUGAGGAUUGAGAUCCCAUCCGGUUUUGUGAACCUUGUGUACUUGUGGAUAGGUGUUAGAUUAGACCUAUGUUAAUAGUAUUGUAAGAUACUAUGAGGUGUGUGUGUAUAAAAGUGUGGUUGUGGAUUUCAGUAUGAAAAAUAUGGCCUACUUUUCUAUCACAUUGUUUUUAUUGUAUGGGGAUUUAUAACUGCUUCCGCAUGUGCAAAAUGAAAAUGAAAGGGUCGACGAUACAUAGUCCUGAGAUAUCGCAUCCUAAAAUCGACCAAGAAGAAAGAUGGGUGCGUUCCAGAGGAUCGGGGUGUGACACCUUGGUCCUAGAAUUCUUUGACCAGCACUAUGUGGGUCGGUCCUCGGUCCUGAAAGUUUCGGGUCGGUCUAAUCCGGACUAACCCUGAAUAUAUAUAUAAUAUUAUUUAUAAUUUUUUUACAUAGAGAAAACCUUAAAAUAAACGGCAUCAACAACAUUAAACAACUCUUUAGUGGAGAGUCCAAGUAAUUUUACAUUGCCCUUUAAUAACUUAGAUUUUUAAUGUCUUUUACGGUGUCAAUAGUCAUAAUUUAUGAAGGAGGAAGAUGUUUUUGUGAGGAGUCCUCACGGCAUCCAAAAAGGUAUAAACAACUCCUUAUGGCAUCCUUUUCUAGUAUUCGUUAUUUUCUAUCUUAUUUGUCCUCUUAGUCUUUAAGGUAACGCAUAGGAACAUUUCUGUUCCUCCGGAUUUUCUAUUCUUUUGUUCCCCGGAACAAAAAAAGAACAGAAAUCCAUUUAGUAACGCCAAGUUGUUUUUCUGUUCCUCGGAAUAGAAAGUUAGCCUGAGAAUAGAUUUGGAGCAGAAACGAGAAACAAAAAAAAGUUUAUUAUUAUUCUCGAGAACAAUUUCUAGAAAUAAGCCAAUUUUCUUUUUUCUUUUUCUUCUGUUCCUCUCUCUUGCCGCGGCCCCCUUCAACCGCUCAGAGCUACUGUUGUCGGCCGUCGCUUACAUCGUCGUCGGCCGGCCACCGUCGCUGCACGACUAUCUGCCGCCGACCGUCACCGUCGACCGCCGUUGCAUAGCCCAUCAGCCGCCACUUCCCGCAUCGACUGUGGCGGCCGAUGGGCUAUGCGGCGGCGGUCGGCGGUGACAAUCGGCGGCCGGCGGUCAUGCAGUGGCGGCGGCGAGCAGCGAUGGGCGGUCAGCAAUCCGUGAGCAAGAAUAAAAAAACGAAUAAAUACAAAAAGAAAUUGUUUCGUACCAAACGCAUUUCUAUUAUUUUUCUAUUUUUGGAGUAGAAAUUUUGUGUAGUUACCAAACACUUUAUUUUACUCGAAAAUUGUUCUCCAGAAUAGAAAUAGAAAAUAACUAUUUCUAAAAAAAAAAAAAACUCUUCCCCAGCCAAAAAAUGUUGUCAUGCGUAGCCUAAUUUGCCAAAAUCGAGAGAAAUAACUUCUCGGCUCGCCACUCCACACUUGCCUCACUCAGUUUGGGUCACUCAUGCCUCUCGCCGCCCGAUGCUCGCUUGGCUUGUUGCUUCCCGCUCGACAUUCGAUGCUCAUUUUGUUCAAUGCUCAUCCCGCUUGACCCUCAUCGCUUACUUUUCUUAGCUAACCUCGCUCAUCAUUGAACCCGUUAGGUUGGUACGGUCCUCGAUUGCCAUUUCAAGGAGUACAAAAAGUGAAAUAAAAAAUUAUUGAUUAGUUGUGGGUUGACCUUGAAACCGUAUUGAACCCAUUGGGUCAAUCCGAUCCUCAAUCGUAUUUUUAAGGAAUACAAAAAAUGAAAUUAAAAAGUUAUCGGUUGGUCCUGAGUUGACCUUGCAAUCGAACCGAACCCAUUGGGUCAGUCCAGUCGUCGAUCCCAAGCUCAAUAGGGUCGGUCCUCAGUUCCAAAAAUUGAGGAUUAGUAUUGUGCGGGUUGGUCUUAGAGUUAGGGGGUGGACCGGCCCAACCCAGACCAUGCUCACCCUUAAAUUGACCAGUUAAAAGAAAUGGUCCCAUUUUUCCCAAUUAUAAAAGAUUAAUUAGAUGAAAUCAGUAAAAAAGAGGUCUCUCCAUUUCACGAUGCCUCAUUUUUAAGCCAGUCACCUAUGCUCUUGUGCCUUGAUAUAUUCAUGAUUUAUUUGAAUUACUUCAAUUAGACAACAAUUUCAUAAAGACUCUUUCAAGCCAAGAACAAGAAGAAAAAAGCAUAUUCACAUAAAGACUCACUAUGACAAUACUUAUGAAUUGUGCCUUGAAAUAUCAUAUCAACAGCAAACAAAAUAGCAUUAUAGUGCAGAUGAUUACAUUAUAAUUUUUCUGAUAUGAAGUUUUUUGAAAGUAGAUGGUGCACCAUGCUAUUGACCCACCGAAGAGAUUGUUCUACCCGGCUAGAAGUACUCAGGCUCAUGUCCCUUGCCAACGCCAGGAUCUCGAGUCCACGAUUUGUUACGCUGCCCCUCUUUGAAGGUGAGCUCGUAGAGGUUGCCUUGAAAGACAAAUUGAGACCUAAAUUUUGACCAUGCACAUGCACUGAAUGAUUGAUUUUUUUUUCUCGGAAAAUGAAUCCCGUUUUAAAAUGUAGUUUAUAUGAUGCAUGGAAAUGCUAAUGUAAAUGCAUAAUGUGAAAGGAAAGAAUGUACCUACAGUUACCUACCAAUCAGUGCUGUAAAGCAUAUUGAGGUACAUGAUAAAUCCCCAUUUACUCCACAAGUACUCAGUUUUCACUUAGGUUCCUUGAAGAGUCUAACAUGUAAUAAAUUGAGACAUCGAGACUGAGAAGAACAUUCACAUCCAAAGUGAAAUGUUCAACAAAAAGAAUUGAGACAUCUAGAUCCAAACUGAGAUGUCAAGAUUUUUUUAAAAACUCGAAAUACCUAGAUCCAAACUAAGGUAUAACGAGAAGGAUCGAAAAACAUUAACAUCCAAAGUGAAAUGUUCAAUGAAAAUAAUCAAGACAUCCGGGCCCAGACUGAGAUGUCAUGAUUUUUGAAGCUCGAAAUACCUAGAUCCAGACUGAGGUAUAAUGAGAAAGAUUGAAAAACAUUCACAUCUAUAGUGAAAUGUUUAAAUAAAAAUAAUCAAGACAUCCGGGUCCAGACUGAGAUGUCAUGAUUUUUGAAACUCGAAAUACUUAGAUCCAGACUAAGGUAUAACGAGAAAGAUCAAAGAACAUUCACAUCCAGAGUGAAAUGUUCAACGAAAAUUAUCAAGACAUAUGGGUCCAGACUGAGAUGUCAUGAUUUUUGAAACUCGAAAUACCUAGAUCCAGACUAAGGUAUAAUGAGAGAAACAUUCACAUUCGGAGUGAAAUGUUUAACGAAAAGAAUUAAGACAUCCAGAUCCAAACUAAGAUGUCAAGAUUUUUGAACUCGAAAUACCUAGAUCCAGACUAAGGUAUAACGAGAAAGAUUCAAAAACAUUCACAUCUAGAGUGAAAUGUUUAAGAAUUAAGACAUCCAGAUCCAGAUUGAGAUGUUAAAAUUUUGGGACUCUGGGCUACGAAAGCACGCUAGGUCGAUAAAAGAAAUCCGGGUUACAGAAGCACGCCGGUUCGAUAAAAGGAACUCUGGGCUACGAAAGCACGCCAGAUCAAUAUAAAUGGACACUGGGCUACGAAAGCAUGCCGGGUUGAUAAAGAGGGACUUGGAACUACAAAAGCACGCCAGGUCAAGAACUUCAGGCUACGGAAGCACAUCCGAUCUAUUAAAAGAAACACCGGGCUACGGAAGCACGCCGAGUCAAUGAAAAGGGACACCGGGCUACAAAAGCACGCCGGGUCAAUAUAAAUGAACACCGGGCUACGAAAGCACGUCAGGUUGAUAAAGAGGGAUUCUCGGCUACAAAAGCACACUAGAACUCUGAGCUAUGGCAGCACGCCGAGUCUAUUAAAAGGGACAUCAGGCUACAAAAGCACGCCAAGUCAAUAAAAAGGGACACUGGGCUACAAAAGCACGCCAGGUCAAGAACUCCGAGCUAUGGAAGCACGCCGGGUCUAUAAAAGGGCUUCGAGGAGCAACUUGAACGUCAAGUAUUACUCGGUCUUCAAGGAAAUAUUACCCGUUAGACAUGAUUAGAGCAAAAACGGAUAUGCAUUCAUUAAAGACGUAGACAAUUUGAGCUACUCUAGAAUGCACACUUCAAAAUUCAAUGAGAUUUUCAUCAAUUCAAUCAAGUUUUCAUCAUUUAAUAUGGUAGACUUUACCAUAUUUGCAUCACCAAAAUUUCCACAGGUUAGAAUUGUCGUUCAAGACAAUGGCAUGGAUCUCCUAAGAAUACUAAAUGAGAGACUUUCAGUUAGCAAGGACUUUCACUCACUCUCAUUCAGAAAGGCUAUUUUAGGAGAAUCACUCAAUCUCACUAUCAUCAUACCAACAAGGGUUCGAGAAUUCUCACAAGCAGUACGACCCUACCAAUCUGAGAGGUCUUUAAUAGGGACCGUAAUGCGGGCUUGGUCAAUGGCUUAACAAAGGGACUCUUCGAGUCAAGGCAAUUGAAAGAACAAUUUUGUAAUCAUCUCCAGGUUUACAAGUCAAGAACCCUCCAAAUGAGAAAGAAAUAAUCUUGCUCGCACUUCUUCGAGCGAUGCUUAUAAACAUAUGAACUCCCAUGUUAAUUCAAGUGCUCUAAUCUGAAGAGACUUUGUAAGGGACGUAAUGUAGGCUGGGUUCAUGGGUUGAGAAAUGAAAAGAUCAUUAGGCUCAAAAUGUGUGUAAAGGGUGAGAGUUGAUGAUCAUCUUGGCAUUGCCACCAGUUUUCUUUUUCACCCAGGAUUGUCAUGCACUAUUGACCUUGACUCAUUGGGUACUGAUCCAUUGGGAUACAAUUUUGCAAUUGACAGCCAUCUAUUUGACAUUUCUAUGGUCAUUAGCCUUGCUUUUACCGGGCGUACUGCUUUUUUUGCUCCAAGUUUUCAUUCAUUUUUUUUUCACUUCUUUUCUCAUGGACAUUGGCCUUACUUUUACCAAGCACACUGUUUUUUCAUACCCCUUAAUUCUAUUUUGAUUUCGAUGCAUGCGUCAAGCAAUUACACUUUGAAUGACACUCGAACUUUCAAGGGUCUUCAUCUGCCUUUUGCCUUGCCCUGGUGUGGGGGAUGAUCACCAACUGGAUUUAAAGAAAUGAAAUUGCAGGCUCAAGUGGGCUAUGCAAAGGAUAUAAGUAUAUAGGAUAGAGAAAGAAAUGCUCUUCGUCAUCCUAAGGCACUUAAAUUACCACAUGAAUUCAAUGUAAUAGCACGACUUGAAGAUAAAUAUAAGUGAGCAAGAAAAAUUAUUUUCAUUUUCCUCACCUUAUGAUGCCAUCUUACCUCCCAUUUGCCCUGAUGUGGAGUGGUUCUUGACAGGGGUAAUUUGAAAAGAUCUUCACAAGUGUAUAAGGCUAAAAAAGAGUUAAGCAAUGGAUCACCUGUAGUGUUUAGAAUGGAGAAAUGAAUUUCCCCUCAUCAUUUUGGUCAUCGUACCUUUCGCAAGAAAACUCUUUAUCUUGUAGAUAUGAAAUUUUCUACACUCAUCUCACAAAUGUAUAAGUAGGGGGAUUGUGUAUAAGAUAAGGCUUGCCUUUCAUCAUCCUGACACGUCUCAUUCAACAUGCUCAAUCUAUUGAAUUGUCCAUCUUGACAAAUCUCCACAUGAAAUUAGUGAGCUAAAUAGGCAAAAUUACUAUGGAAAUUCUCUUUUCAAAAGAGUCCAGCAACUUUAAGCAUGAAAAGCUUUUGUGACUUCAAACAGACAAUUUAUCACACUCAAAAAUGUUUUCGUAAGUAUGAAAAAUAUGAUUUCAAGCAUUCAUUCAAGGAAUUGUCCCACAAAGGGAUUGUCUCAACAAUUGGUGUCCUUGAAUUGCCCCUAUCGAAAGGGAACAAACACACAAAUGAUCAAUCAAGGCUAAAAAUUCGAUUUUUGAUUUGAUGAAUUCUUACUUUUGCCCUUACACAAAACAACGUGCAUGAAUAGGAUACUAUGCAACAUCAAAGUAAAUGCACAUGGAAUAUCCAUUUUGGUUUUGGUCUCUUAGCUUUCUUCUUCAAGUUGCAAUUUCUCACUUGUUUUGAUCCAUCAUUUUAGCUCUUGAUCGUGUACGGAUGGGUGAGCAAGAUCGCUUUACAAUCACCUAAUUCAAAUGAACGGGAACAUGUAAGCAUGAGGUGUAAAUAGAAAGUCAAUCCAUGACAAUGAUCUAAUCUAUUUUUAGUCACGAAAAAUCCACACAUGAAGAUAAUUUCCUAAAAAUGGACUAGGAAGAUAAAGACAUGGGACGCCCUAGCAUGGACUGGAAAAUCAGGAUAUCAAAUUCCUGAACAUGAACUAGGAAAAGCAAAAAUUUGAAACUCCCUAAUUAAAACAAUAAGGAUAUGAAUAGAGAAUAAAUUCUCUAAAGUUUUUUUUUUCAAAUGAUUCAUUGCAUGACAAUUUUCUCAUUUCAUUUCUGAUUGACAAAGGAAUUAGAUCAACCGACUAACCUAGAUUGUCAUGGAUGAACCAAGAGUAUGACAAAGUAAGUAAAUUGCAUAGUAUAGAGGUAGAAGACUUACUUCACCAAGAAAAAUUGACAGCAACCACAUAGAUAAGCACAUGAAAUGUGGGGUUCGAUUUCUACUCUAGACAGGCUUAGCAAAGUGAAGUUAGUAGGGUUGGAUGACUAGUUGUAGCCUCGCAUACUAAGUCAAGUCCUCCUAAUUUCGGCUUAGUAAAAAAUGACACCCCAAUGCGACGCAAUCUCGCGGGCAGAGGUAAACAUUAUUGACAUGAAGAAAAAACUUUCAGGAUUGAGUUGGGCAAUCUCUACUACACGGCCUCGCGGUCAAAGUCGUAUCCAACUCAAUACCAUCAUAAGUGUCCUAGUGCGGCCCAGGUCUGACGGCAGGUUGUGUGGGCAAAAGUGUAGUGUAAAAUGCAAAGCAUGCACAACAGUUUAUAUCAAGCAGCACUUCAUAUAUGAAAGUAAACCAUUCAUUCUACACCUCCCUGCAAAACAAAUGUUAGCAAACACUUCUCCUUAUACCUCUCAUCCUGCAAGAACAUUUAACACCUUAAAUGUUAGAGACGUACUUGGGAUCAUCGCUGCCAAACAAAAAUAUUUUUUCAAAAAGAAAAUUGGCCAAAGCCCACUAAGAGUUUUAACUCAAGUCCCUAGUGGAGUCGCCAAGCUGUCGCGACCUAAAUUUCGGGUGCACCACCUAAAUUUAGGUUAAUGGACUACUAAGUCUAACUUGGCUCGGGCUCUCCCAAGCCCAUACUAAUUCGCAACUUGGGUUCAAAUUUUUAGCAUGCAAAAGGGAGUCGCCACUAAUCAGUUUGCGGUAGGUCGAUUAGACACCUAAGUAAAAUAAUGGGAAAAUUAUUUUACUUCUACGAACUAGAGAUUGUGAGUUCGGGAACUUGAUUGCGCUAGAUUUCUCUAAUGCCCUUUUGGUACCUUUCUCUUUAUUUUGAAAAAAGUUUGGCAAGCAGCUUGAAUUGAUUUUACUUCCCUAACAAGUGAGGUGACCAUGCGGGUGCGCAAACUACCAAUUUAACAACCAGAUAAAGCAGUGAAUAAAUUGCAGGACUUACCUCAUAGCAACGAAAGCAUUUGUGAUGUUAGAUCAGAAUUCACAUCGACAAUCCUAGAUAUGAUUUCUAAUUAACACGCAAUUUCUUUUUUUCUUUUUUUUUUCACUUGUUUAAUGAGAAUCAUACUUUAUGCAAUGCAUUCUACUAAUCUAACAUGAAAUAAUAUGACAUGACAAUAUGACCUAAGCUAUAUGACAUAAUAAGAUGCAGUCUAUACUAAAAAAUGGAAUCAAUUUAUUCUAAGGCAUUUUUUUGGGUAUUUUCCCAUUCGAAAUUAUAAAAAUGCGAAAAUUAUCUAUCUAAAUUAAAAUAUCAUCUAAUUUGUAUUAGGAAUGAGGCUAAGCCAAAUCCUAAUUUAAACUAGCAUGUUAUACUAAGUUAGAAAUCCCUAACUAAAAUGUAAUCUAUCUAAAAUUAUCUAAACUUAUAAUAAAUUAAAAACUAUUAUCUAGAAUUAAACUAUAUGAAAUUUUACCCUAAAAUGCAAUGACAUGUAAAGAAUGCCCUAAUUCUAAUUUUUUUUUUUGUGUUUUUGUAUUAAUUUCGAAAUUAAAAAAUUGCCCCAUAAUUAAACAUGCAACUUAAAUCAAACAAAAACUAACGUCCUAAAUGAAUGCAUUUUUUGGAUUUUUUAUUUCGAAAAUUCAUGAUAAAUAAAAUGCUUAGUCUAAAUAUGCAAAUAACCCUAAAGCAUGCAACAUCUUAAUGUAAAUCUAAUCUAGCUCAAACAUAUUUAAAGAUAAAUAAAGCAAUCAAGACGAGACGACCAUUCAAAUCAUCAAAGAUAUCAUACAUCGUUCAGAUCAAGGGAUGGUAUCUCGCUAGUAAAAUCAAUAAAUUGAUCUUAAGCCUUAAAGAUCAAGAUAUCAAUUUUAUUCCCGUUUGAAUAAUUAUUCUAUCUAAAGCAUGGAAUAAAAAUUUGUGCGGUUGCGAAUUGGAUGCUACAUCAGGGAUUUCAAUUAGGCAUCAAGAAAUAUUUCAAAAAAUGAGACAAAAUACCAAAAACUAAAUAAGAUAAAAUGAAUCUACCUAAAAAUAAAGUAAAUCUCUACCUAAAUUGGAAUUUUUUAAAAAUCCGAUUGAUUCAAGUAAACCACGAUGGAGGCUCGGCGCGACCGCGCCAAGGACGGGGGCUGUGAUGUUGGGUCAACCACGGGCUCCAGUGAGGGUGAUGGCACAGUCGUUGGAGCUCCAACGAAGGGCGGCAGCCAACAGACCAGGGGAGUCCGGCGUCGGGGCAGUAGGGCAAUAACUGGACUAGCACUAAAACAAGGGAGACAGCAGGGGGCUUUGCUCAGGCUCGAGCAGAGGGAAAACCUAGCAGCAGGGAGGCUCGGCGAGGGGCCCUGGGUCGCAGGCAAAGGCGUCACAAGGGCUUCAUCGCAGCCGGGGAUCGGCGUUCGGUUCGAAAAUUGCUGUAACAAACAGAGUAGCGUCGGGUCGUUGGAGAAGAGGCGGAAUAGCUCAGGUUGCAGUGUCGGGUCGCUGGUCAGAGGUCACGGUGGUCGGAUCUAAGCGGGCUCAGACGGAGCAAUAGCUGCGUCACAAGGCGUGGUACGGGGCUUGCUCGACGGUGGAGCGACGACUGGCUCAGAGCUGCCAUCGUUGAGGCUUCUGGGAAUGCAAGCAGAAGCAACGUCGUGGACCGGUGCGGACUGGAGGCAACGCAGGACGUGGCUGUGGUCGACGGCUUCGCGGUUUUUGGGAAAGCGAGCAGCAGCGUCGUUGUGGACCGGGACGGGUUCACGGGUGAGGAGGAUCUCUGGCAACUGGAGGGGGCGCGGAGGUGGCUAGCGAAGCUGGUGCCGGCAUGGCGGCUUCGCAGUCUUCACGGACAGGAGCAGCGUCGGUCGCUGGUGGAGGCUGGCAAAGAUGGACGUAGAUCUGCUGCAGAGGCGGGUGUCGGCGAUAGGGCUGUGCGUCGUGGUGAGACCGGCGGAGCGGCGGUGCUAGACUUGUGAAUGGCAGAUGCGGGCAGGGGGAAGAAGAUGAAUAAUGAUUGCUUUUCCCCUCCUUUCCCUAUUGUUGGACGUCACACCCACGUCCCUCUCUGUAUACCUUCUUUUGCUGCCUUUUUCUCUCUUUGCAUAAGCAAAAGCUUCUUUUGGUCCAGCCUAGGGACCUUAAAGCAAGGCCGUCUUGACUGGGGUUUCCCGGACGUAAAACGGGAACGACCCCCGCAGGGCUCUCCCGCCACACCCCCCCUCGAAAGAGGUGGGGAAGGGACCCCCCCUCGGAUCCCCGCGAUGCCUUCCCCCAGGUUGCUGGGGCACGGUACAGGGAAAUGAAGAGGCCAGGCCUAACAGCCUGGUGUAAGCUUCUUUUGCUAUUGUCUUUUCUCCUCUUCCCCAAAAAGCUUUUCUUAAGGAACGAACGGAGAAAACUCAAAGCUUUUCUUCUCUUUUCGUGAUGAAUUUUUUUUUACCUAAAACUCGAGAGAAGACCCCUUUGGUAUGGCCGUAUGUAUCAAUAUGUGUGGCCCCCCGAAACCCUACGCAUUUUACCUUUUUAUAGGCCACUGAUUAGGUUUUUUUUUUUAAAAAAAAAAAUCCAAAUCAAUAUCCACAAAGAUUCUUUUUCGCAAUAUUCACUUUUCCGAACGCAAUAUUUGCUUUUCACAUCUGCCCUAUCCAAAAGAUUCAUCAUAUCCUGGAAAAAUUUCAAAUUCUUAUUUUUCACGAGAUAAUUAAAGAAAAUGGGCUUAGGCCAAUUUGCUCGCUUCGUGCGCUUAGUCCGGUCCGCCAAGUUAAAGCUCAAAUUCACUAAUUUGAACCCAUCCACCACCGGUCCAAUAAAUAAAUCCAAAAAAUGCAAAUGCAAAAUAAAUGCACCUAAACCUACAUGCUACGCAAUUAAUAUUUUUUCAGGGAUAAAAUUAACCCCUAAUUUUCUAUGCAAUAAAUAAAUGAUCGGGCCGCCAAAAUUUAGGUGUCAACAGUUACACUUUUUGGUUUCUCAAAUGAACAACAUUUGGGUAGAGGCAGAAGCUUAUUACAAUAAGAGAUGAAACAAUACAAAGAUGGGGUUCCACAGCUUUCGUCGAUUAUUACUAAGUGGUAAACAUUGUCUCCUCACUUUGAAUGUGAUGCUCAAAGCCAAAAAAACCCGUGGAAAUAGCAGCUGCUAUGAAAAGGCAAUCUUUUCAUCCUCAUUUCUUCGAUUUUCUAAUGCAAAAGGAUCGCCCCAGCAACUGCUCACCGUUUGAAUUUUCAGACUGUAAACUGAAAAACCAACCUGAGCUGGCCAUCUUAUUGAUUCACUGGCCAAGAUGAAUAUCCUAGACAUGAGGAUGAGAAUGUUGUUGGCAAGGAUUAAGCUGUUUGACAUUAUUGGACUCACAAAAAUUAAUAGUCGUAUAAACUACGAGGCUGGGUAGACUAUUCAGAGGAGGUAUGCCGAUCAAUGAUCUACUGACGUACAAAGAUGCAUUAUAAGUGUUAGGGAAAUCCCUUAUGAUGUUUUGAAGAUGACAAAAUAAAUCAAAGGCUACUAACAUGUUUGAUGGUUGAGUAAUAGACCAUGCAUAUAAUAGAACAUGUAGAGGAUAUUAUCAAAGUCUGAAGACUGCCAGACUCGAGACUCAAAGUCUGAAGACUGUCAGACUCAAGACUCAAAGUCUGAAGACAGACUCUAUGCUGAAGCUGAACUGGGUACAGACUCAGAUUGUAAAGUCUACAGACUCAGAUUGUAAAGUCUAAAGACCCAGGUUGUAAAGUCUCAAGACUCAUAUCGUAAAGUCUCAAGACUCAGACUUUACAUCCAGAUUCGAUGAAUCGUAACUCAAGCCCAAUCAUACAACGGCUAGUGAUCUGGUUUGGAUUCCACAUCAAGAUUGAUUUGAUUGAAGACAAGAUCUUUCUAUACGAAGAAGCUUUACUUAUGGAAACCAAGAUUUCGUUUGUAUGGGCGAUCGGAAUCAAUUUGGGAUUUUACCUUUGUCACUCAACGGCUACCAAAUCUUCUAAGAUACAGAGCUGUCCAAUGGGUAUAUUGGAAGACGAUUCUCCGGGAUGCUGUCCAACGGUAGUUUGGAAGUGGAGGAGUAUUUAAGGAGAUCAUGGACCGAUGAGCAAGUAAGAGACGGAGCGUAGAAUUUAUAAUUCCAAAGUCUAAGCGACUUUAGAUCAUAUACUUGUCUCUUGAGAGCUUAAACGUUUGUAAUCGUGAGAGAAAUACCAAGAGAGUGACUUAGUGAGAUAGUGUGAUCUACUACUAAGUGUUUGCACUCGGAGUUGUAAUCUCUUGUUGAUUGCAUAGUGGAAUCCAGCCAAGAAGGCUGUUAUCGUGGAAGAGUGGACGUAGGCUUGGAUUAAGCCGAACCACUAUAAAUCUCGUGUUCUUAUUCUCUUCCCUAACUCCUUUAUUUUGUUCAUACUAGCACUCUCAAUAAGUAACUGUCAAAUUCCCCAGUUGAAUUUUUUGAUUGGAGAUGCACAAUUUGUAGUUUUGGGUAGAGAUGAUAGAAUUUAAAGAAUGAAAAUAAUUUUUGUGGAGUCUUCUCUUCUCGGCAAAUGAGAUUGACGAGCUGGCCUUUGAAGCAGGGAACUUCAGAAGAGUCCAUUAUAACUGUCUUUCCCAUGCUUGAUAACUCUCUCCGCUUGCAUCUGUGCAUCUGGAAGCAGAGCUUGAAGAACCGUUGAUUAUGAUAUAGAUCGAUUAGUGUAGCAUCCAAGUCCAUGUCACUGGCCAAAGGAAGCUGCAUAAGGGCAUUAAAGCAGACAAUUAGCAAAACUUUAGCGACGCCCAUCGUUGCCAUUUUAAUUGCCUGAUUAUGCUGAACUGGUGUAAUAGGAUUAAAUGAAUUCGCACAACAUCUUCCUAAUUAGUCUCAAGAAAAUAAAAGGAGAGGGAUGACAAUGUCUUUGAAAGGUUUAUACAAGAUGAUACCCAAAGGUAACUCCUAGUCCUGUUUCAUGGAAUCAGCUGUAAAGGCCUUUUCAUUUUUUUUUUAGCAACAUCAGUAGGUGUUAAAUCUGUCAGUUUCAAGGUCCGAGGUUGAAAGUGAUUUACUAUUGCACAUCUAAACUUACCUAAGCCUCACCCAAGCAGGUUGUAGAUCCAACCCACAAUGCCUUUUACAACGUUUUCUUUUAAAAGUAUUGUGUCAGAUGCCUCGAGUUCUAAACAGGAUCUUCAGCUGCUCAAAUUGACUCUGUUUCUAGCUCUCCCUAUUUUUCUUUUUUUAACAAUUCUCUGUUCAUAUAUAAUCUUUCUUAUGCAUCUUCUCAAAAAGUAAUGUGGAUAUGAAGUUGUUUAACAAAGUAAUCUCAUAAAUUUCAAUCUGUACAACUUAUUUUCGAACCAUGUCAGAGAUGAAAUAAACUAAAAGCAAGUGUUGGCAGAUGGUGGAAGCUAAUUUUUUACCUUCCCUGAUAAAACUUCAAGGAUAUCCAGGCUCUCCUGUAUUGAAGAAAAAUCACAGAAGUGUUCAAGCCUGCCAGGUCUCAGAAGCGUGCCAUCAAGUAAGGCCCGGUCUACUACUUCACACCAAAUGCAACUCGAUUAGAACUGAAAGCACAUAACUGAACAACUACAAAAUAAAGAAACAGGAUCCCAAGAAGGGAAAGUGAAUUGGAGUUAUUAAGAGAUAGAUGAACUGAUGACUCCUAAGGAAAACAAAAGACCACCUCAUGCCACAAAGAUGUUAUGAUAGAUAUGCGAAAUCGCCCUAUGCUUGAUGUCACAAGACUAUCAAAAUCCAUUGAUGGUGUUGUAGAUGCACAAGUCUAGCUUAAUACACUUCUUGCACGCUACUUCAGCAACUGAAGAUUUAUGCAAUCCCAUCUUUUGUUACCUUCUUUGAUACAUAUGUAGUUUAUCCAAUACUGUGUAUCUGAAGUUAAACAGUUCUAAAUCAAGUAGAAGUCAAGUCUAGCAUUUUAUAGUCCACCUUAAAGGUUAAUAACAUAGUCUCCAUGCUAAAUGCUUGGUGGAAAUAUUUGUCAAAGCAUUCAUAAUGGCUGCGCAACUUCAAAUAGUAGUUUACAGGUAGUGUGCUAUUGGAAGAGUGUACUUUUGUUACCAUGUAAGAUGAAAUCAUUACCUUGGUUGCGCGAACGGCAAUGGACCAGUUAACUUCAACGCCAUCUAAUAUAGUAAAAAACCGCACCAAUGAAUAACAAACCAUUAGUAAGUCAUACCAUUGAAUAUAUUUCACUUGACCACCAUAUAAGUGCUGUGAAUGCAAGAAACCGACUUGAUUGAUGACAUGGUCAGUGAAACCCUUAUUAUCCCUCUUUGGAGCAUUGGAAUCAAUUUCAUUGAAAAAGAGAAGGCAAGGAACUGCAGCUACUGCCUUCGAGAAUAUAUCCAGAACCUGUAUUUUCUAAUUGCCAAUACUCUUGAAUAUUCAAAAUUUCUCCUUUUUGCUGACAAAAUCAAUGCCAUCAAUGUGCAAAAUAGAAAAUCCAGUAGACAUUUGAUCACCGAUUCCAAAUUUUUAGGAGAGUAAACCUCCAAAUACUUCACAUCUUUAAUAUUUCUCUUAAUCAAAUGGUCAUAGACGAUCCUCUCAUUCAUGCAUUAGAAACUCAUCAACCAUUUUAACUUGGCCUCUUAAUGGUUAUGGGAGGAUCCUUAUUGUUGUUGCUAGUUAUCCUAUUUCCACUGCUAGCAUAAUUGAAGAGACUCUAUUAAAUGCAUACAAAAGCAACAGAAGAAAGCACAAAAAUGUGAAAUGUCUAAAAAUAACAAAGUAUAAUACAAGAUUGCACAAUGGAAUUCAAUCAGCAUCAGUGCAGUUGAAAAGAAGCCUCUUACAGCCUGCUCAGCAGUACCAAUGUACUUACUCAACAGCUCAGCCUUUCACUGAUAUGGAUUGAAGAGAACAAGCUGCUGCUGCUGCAGCACCACCAAUAUGUGUGUCUUGCCAAAGCCCAGACGUCCAUUUAAAAGAACACUUGACCAUGGCCUUAGAGGAGCUUGCCCAAAAACAUUUUAUCAGCAAAUAUAAGAAUGAUAGACACGAAGAUGAAGUAGGUUUAUUUAACAAGUUAACAAUGGCCACAUUUUAGCUGAGUAAGAUAGAGAGAGAGCAAGAUGAGGAAAGGUGUAAUGAGUCACUAGAGAGAAUAAAACAAAGCUACAGCUAAGACACAACCAAUGCAGUUAUACAAACUUUCUUGAACAAAAUCCAUGCAUAAUUUAGCUCACUCACAAGAAUGCAUCAGGGAAACAAUGGUCGGUAGUUAAGCCCCACAAUCUCAGGUAAUCUCAUCAUCUCAGUGAAGAUUCUAUAGAGCCAGACCAUGUGGCAUUCCAAAAUUUCAUGGCAAUUUCUAGAGGCAUUACGACCUAUGGAAAAGUGAACGGUUGUGUCGUUGAAGUAUGUUGUGACCUCUAGACCGAAGAAUUGUAAUAGAUUAAGGCCGAACACUUUAAUGGAAAGGUAUCUUAUGUUCUUGGUUUAUCAAAGUUGGUGCUAUAGGAUAAUUUGAUAAUGAGAAUUUUGUUCUUGGCUAUGCACCUUAUGGAUUUGAUUUUUUAUGGAUUUAUGUUGCAAGCUUUAUGGCCAAGUGAAUAAGUGUAAUUAGGUAAUUAUAUGAUGGGUAAUUAGGUGAUGAUUAAAGGGAAAAAUUAGAGAAGAGUGGGUUGAAUUUUUAGGCCCAAGACCAGCCCCACCAUUCGGCACUUUUGGCGUGGCCUGAAAAGCUCAAAGGAAAGGAGCUGCUGUCGACCAAGGGGAGGAGGCCUGGCCCAUGAAGCCCAUAGGGCUGUCGAUGGAAGGAGGGGUGGCCCAUGAGAGGCCCAUCCUCUUGCAUGGAAAUUACCAAGUGGCAAGGGGGAUUAUCCAAGUGUCCCCUUGCAUGUUUUGUGAUGAUUGCAUGCUAAUCAUGAGAGGGAAGAAAAGAAGAAGGGGCGGAUUGAGCAAGGGGGGGCAUCACACGAGAGAAAGGGGAAAGAGAGAGAGAGAGAGAGUGAAACCGGGAGAGGGAAAGCAAGCGAGCGAGAGAAGAAGGGGAAGAGGGAGGCCGUUUGCUGCCAUUCGUCGCCGCCGUUGAGCCGCCGAGUCCCGCCUUGCCCCGCUGUCUUUGCUUGAUGUGUUGUGCUCGGAUUAGAGGCAAGUAGAGUCCAUCAAUCUACCCUUUGCUUGCUGUGAUGUGUGUGUAGAAAAUGGUAAAUUUCGGAUGUGGAUGAAGUGUGAAAUCUCGAAGCUACAAGAGUUGUGAUCUACCCUAGUGUUCUGUUUCUGGAAAAACAGUCCGACCUUUGAUGAUUUCGUGAGUUGCAUGCGAUGUUCUAGUGGGGAUUUGGCUUCGACUUCUUGAUGAAAGUUUUAAAGAACUUCUUGAGGUAUAACAUGUAAAAAUUUCAGAAUAAAUGAACAAGUAUAGACCGGUGAAACUAUUUUUCUUUGAAGAAGUUAGAUCUGGAAAUCGUAAUGCUGACCUAGUGUGAUUCUGUUAACUUUAUAAAAUUUUCCGGUUGAAAUAUGAUUUCUAGUUCUGCAUGAAAUAUUUACUUCUGGACCUUUUCUAUAACAUAUAAAAAUUUCAGAAUUUUUGGAGCUGAUUUAGGCUUUUUACUGAAUUUGUGAAUGAAACUGUGUAUGGCAAUAUUCCGAAAUUAUAAAGACUGUGAUGUGUGGACUGUACCGAAUUGUGUGAUGUUCUUUUGAUAUGGUGUUAUUCACGAAAUAUCUUCCUAUAGAUCUUUUAUAUAACAUGUAAAAUUUUUGGAAAUUAUUAAGGCUAUUUGCUAAUUUUUCAAGAAUUAUGACCAAGGGAGUGCAAUCUGUUUUUAUCCGAAAUUUUGCUGUAUUUUCAAAAAUAAAUGAAAUUGCUCCAUGUGCUAUAAUGUCUUGAGUGGUUGAUUAUGCUGCAUAUGUGGUGACAUAUGGCAUGUUAUAUGACAUCAAAAGUUGGUUGAGAUCUUUGAUAUUGUUGCAUCAAAUGCCAUGUUGAAAUUGAGAUACAUGUGUGAAUAUAAAUUAUGAUAAUGAUGAUACCGUCGGAGGUGUGAGCCGACGAUGCCCCGGGAGUGUUGGGAUGCCCGGAGUGUGGGUGCCGGAUGCCCGGAGUGUGUGUGCCGGAUGCCCCGGGAGUGUUGGAAUGCCCGGAGGUGUGUGCCGGAAGCCCUGGAGGUGUGUGCCGGGGGCAUACCUCGUGAUGCCAGUUGGGGUACGGGAUGUCCGGAGUGUGUGUGCCGGAUGCUCGGAAGUGUGUGCUGGAGGCCCUCGCGAUGCCAAGUUGGGUGCGAGCGAUAAAUUGUGGGAUGCAAACACUAGUCCUUGGGAAGAAAAAUGAUGUGAUCUAAUUUAAAGAUAAAGAUCGAGAAUUGAAUCAUGUGCAUAGAUGUGUGCAUAUGGCAUGGGAUGAACCUCAUGGGAAGGCAAGCAUGAAGUGCAUGGUGGUAUGUGCACGUUGCAUGGUGAUAUAUGCAUGGCUGCUUGAUGAUACAUGUAUAAGUGCAUGGUGGUAUAUGCAUGUAGCAUGGUGAUAUAUACACGUAGCAUGGUGAUAUAUGCAUGGCUGCUUGAUGAUAUAAGUACAAGUGCAUGGUGAUAUAUGCAUGGUUGUAACGUGAGGUAUGCUUGAAUGCAUGAUGAUAUGUGUUUUAUUAAUGAUACAUUGAUUGUUCUGUUUGAGGCAUAGUGUAGUUUGUUGGAUCUUUACUGCUGAGUGGUUAUACUCACCCCUUUUGGGGAUUAACAUAUCAGAUUAGAAAGAUGCCCCUUUCACCAGUCGCGCAUGGUACCUUCUAUGGCAUACCUACUGAUGUUGAGGUGGAGUGCAUGGAGCAUUCCUGUGUUAAUGUACCUGGUCUGGUGUAUGUCCGAGUCCAUGUCGUGGUGAUGUACGACGUGGGCUUUGCUGAUGGCCCUGUUAUUAAAGAGUUUUUGUCUGUUCAUGUCCAGCGUGAUGGAGUGAUGCUAGGGAUGCUGCCGCCGCCGCCGCCGCCGCCGCCGCCUGAUGCAUCGGGUUGGGUGUGAUGGCGCGUAUGACUAGUGGGAGCUAACACUUUUUGGGGAUAGCCAACGCUUGUUGAUGGAGGGGUGUACAUGUUUGAUGUAGGGUCGAGUUCUCUUUUGAGUUAUAACCAAGUAUAGUUAAAAAUCUUGGCCUUUUGCUGUACCAACCCGAGAUGUCCAUCAUGAAAAUGUAAAUAAAAAGCGACUCUGCUUUAUCGUUUUAUAUGGUGAAUAGUUGGUGUGCAAUUGCAUUAUUGUUAUUGGAGUAAGGGAUGGUGAGACUCGUUUAUGCUUCCGUUGAUGAGCUGCGCUGGACAGAUGGAGGUAGGACAUAGUACUACUUGCACGCUCUGUCUGUGUUUUGGCAAAGAGGCUGAGAUGCCUGGCUACCUCGUAGUUGAUUUUUUUGAAGGACUAAUGGUGUGAAAUAAAUCUAGCAGAUUCUUGUGCACUACAGAGAUAUGCAAAAUAACAGCACGCAAGUAGGAAACUCUAUUGAUGGCAGAAAGUACUGGAAUGUACAAUUUACCAUUUGCAUGGAGAAUGGUGACCAGAUGAGAACAAGAUUGUCAAACACACAAGUUAGCUGGUGUGAAAGAGAUGGGGAACGACUAUCCAAAGCAGGCAAGGGCUAUUAGCUGCUUACAAAAUGAAAACCACAUGGGACCAUUCGGCACCGUAGGUUUUCCACAAGUGAUUGCCUUGGGAGUGUUUAAAAGUAGCCGAUAUACAAAAAGAAAAAAGAAGGAUGCAUACAAAUCGAUACUAGCUAUAGCAAAGUCAAUGAGAAUCCUCAGGUCACCUGCUUAUUACGUUGCGAUUGGACUAAAUCUCCUCGGGACAUGGAUCUAUCAAAGAGCCGAAGAUAAGAUGGUGACCACGGAAUUGAGUCAUAUCCAAUUCAAACUCGACAUUUUUGUUAGUUGAGAGAUAGAAGAAAGAGAGCCUUUCAAUCUUGCAUUGAGGGAAGAUGGCUUUAGACUUCACAUUAUGAUUUACUCUUUGUACGAUUAAUUUCUUACCUCGACUUUGUCAAAUUCACUCUGGUUUAAAUAGCUCUGUUAAAAGGUUUGCUCCCACUUGGUGUGUUAGCAAUUAAACUAUCGCUUUCCAAAGAAUAUUACAACGGCAAGGAAGCAUUAUCCUAUUCGAAUGAUGGGACACAUGAAAGUUGAUACUACCAGCUCUGAGCUCCCUUAAGUGUUCAGUGAAAAAUUGAAAACAACCAAUAUGAAACAGUUUUAAAAAAGAGAAAACAAAAGAAGUCGUGAAUUAGACACAUUUCAACUUUCUUUUGUCACUUUUUUGAAACAAAAGUACUCAUGAACUCCACAAGAAUGCAUCAGGGAAAUAAUGGAGGGCAGUUAAACCCCACAAUCUCAAGUAUCCCAUCAUCUCACUGAAAUUCUAUAGAGUCUGACCACAAGCUCCCUUCACUACAUUGUCAAUCUGCAAAAAGGUUUAGACAGCUCACCACCAUAAGAUGACUCUAAUGUUACACAAAAAGUAAAGCACUCAGUGGAAAACAAACACUUGGGAACCUACGCCAGAGAUUAGUAGUGCUCAUCUAGGUACUCAACUAGGAAAGACACUCAUAAAACAAUAAUAGGAUCCUCACACGUAUUGAGUAUGAGGAACUACUCCUUUUUCCAACAAAAUAAUGAAUUCCUCAUCCACCAAGACAAAAUGAAUUAAGCAAUCAAACAACGUGAAGUACGUGGGAAGCACACUCGAGAAUACGAGAGGAAGUCGCGGAUCUUUCAAGUUUUAGUCCCCAACAUGUCCACUUCUAGAAUGACUUACCAAGAUCUAUGAAAUAAAUUAUUUACUUUGAUUAAGCUAAUUAUGAGUACUGAAAAAUACUUCAGCAAACAAAAGCUGAAGUUAAUUCUCAAUACAUUAAGCCAUUGAAUGCCUAAGCAGAAUAGGACUAUUAGCCAUACAAAGUUUGGCUAGCAAACAACUUUAAGUUGCUCAUAUAGAUCCCCACCGUUACACUGGAAGACAUUUCAGCACGAAUAGUUGACUGCAUUCCAGGACUCUGCAUAAAUAGAUGAAAAAAGUUAAUAAUUAUAGCUAGAGAAGCAGAACUUCUACUUUAAGAAUGGGAAUGCUUGAAAAUUGCAACUAUAACCAUUGGCAUCAGAUGUGGAGCAAAGCUGACAGUGAUCUUUGAUUGUACAGCAUCAAAUAGUCCAAUUCAAUCUAUGGAACUACAGGAAACAAAAAUUAUACAAAAGGUAGCAACCGAGAUUAUUGCAUUUGCCUUAUUUAAUUCGUCAAUGAGUCAGAGUUAUCAAAUUCCUAGACCUAGCUCAAAACAGCAAAGGAUUCAGAAGUCAUCGGCAAAACAAAUAAGAAUUCAAGAACGUAAAUGCCUUAUUGGGCAAAUUGCAACAUCUUCCCCAAUUGUCUUUGGUAAUUUAAGAUGAGAGGGAAUGAAGUAAUAGCAAACAAACAGACAGAGAAUAUAAGUUCAGAAGUAAAUAGAAAAGCACCUUCAAUUCUCCAUGAAGGAAGUAACUAAAUUGCUCAUGUUGCAUAAGAGGUAUCAACAAUUCACUCUAUCGCUAACUAGGCAUUAAUUCCUUUAUUUCAUUCGUCACAAAUCAUGAUUGUACUGCGGUGAAAUUGAAAAGACAUUCCAUAAGGUAUGACUAGUACUCUCAACCACCUCUGCCUUUCAAUAAAACCUAGCGUUUGUUAGCAUCUUCAGUGUGCUCACUCUAUAAGCAAGUUAUGUGCUGCAAAGCAUAUGUUGAUGCGCAACANNNNNNNNNNNNNNNNNNNNNNNNNNNNNNNNNNNNNNNNNNNNNNNNNNNNNNNNNNNNNNNNNNNNNNNNNNNNNNNNNNNNNNNNNNNNNNNNNNNNNNNNNNNNNNNNNNNNNNNNNNNNNNNNNNNNNNNNNNNNNNNNNNNNNNNNNNNNNNNNNNNNNNNNNNNNNNNNNNNNNNNNNNNNNNNNNNUGAUUCACAUCGAUAGACCCCAAGUUUCAGAUUCUGCAGAUUAGAAAGAUCAGAUUGUUAAGCUUUUGAUGGAAUUGCAUCCCCAGAUGGUCAAAUCCUGCAAUGAUUUCAAUUCUCCCAAACCCGAAAUCUCAGUUAGCUGAGGCAAAUCCCGUAGGAACAAAUGCUGGAUCUCCUUCAGACCAGGUAGAACGGGCAGCGUCUUGAGCAAUGGACAAUUGCACAUCCACAAGUCAUUAAAUUUCCGUAGCUCUCCAAGCACCUCAAAUCGAAUCUCUCCUAACGAAUAUCCAUCAAUAUGCAGCUUCGACAAAUUCUCCAAGUUGGAAAAGACUGACCAAUCUAUCGGUGACUGGACAUCCCUUAACCUCAAAUCUCGAAGGCUGGAUGGGAGCUCGAUAAGAGAUUGGGGCUCAACACAACUUAUGUGGAGGUAUUGUAGCUGAGAGAGGGAAUUGAAAUUGGUUGGAGGCAAGGCCAUUCUUCCAACAAGCAGGGUCAUUUCCCUUAAAGCAGGCAGUCUCACAAUCCCCUCCGUGUUGGGUUCUUGCAUUGAAGAUCCGAUUAUCACAAGGUCAACUAAAUUGGUUAGGUUUGAGCAGUUGGGGAUUGUGGUUAGCGAAUCCGAUGUAAGGACCAAAGACGUUAGACUAUUGGGAAGCCCCGGCAGCUGUUGGAUUGAAUUACAAUCCCAUAAAUUAAGUUGUUGGAGAUUUGUAAGCUGAUUGAUGGUUGUCGGGAAUCCACUAAAGCAGCCAUCGCUUAAGUCUAGAAUUUUCAACAAGGAUAGUGCCCCGAUUUCACUUGGAAUUUCCCCCACCAAAUUAUCAGAGCGAGCAUGUAACUCUUCUAGAUUUCCAACAUUCCUAUGGUUUUCGGAAAUCCACUUAUAUGGCUAUCAUUGAGAUUUAGUACCUUCAACUUUUUGAGAUUUCCAAUACAAUCAGGUAAGCUCCUGAUUCUUGAAUAGCGCAAAUCCAACUCGACCAAUGAUUGGAGCCUCCUAAUCAAGUCUGGUAGCUUUUCUAGAUGGCAUUGUGGGAUACGCAAAAAUUUCAACCUUUGAAAAUUUCCAAUCGAAUGAGGUAAUUCACUAAUCUUUGAAUAUUGGACAUCUAGCUCAAGUAGUGACUCCAGUUUUCCAAUAGAGCCAGGAAGCUUUCGAAGUUUCGGGCAUUCCAAGAUUAGAUGCUUCAGGUUCACUAAAUCACCAAUUGAGUAAGGCAAAAUUGAGAUUCUUUCAGAUUUAAUUCUUAGCUCUGUCAUAGAUUUUAGAUUGCUGAUGGACUUUGGUAGUGACUCAAUAUCUUCACACAUUAUUUCUAGGUAAUCAAGACGUUCUAAAUUGCCGAUGGACUUGUCAAUCUUUCUUAGUUGAGAGCACCUAAGAAUCAAUCUCUCCAAUUGCGAGAUUGCAUAGAACUUGGGAGUCUUUCUAAGGAAUGGACAAUUCUCGAGUUGCUUGACUUUCAAUUGUUUUGCUACUUAUAAAAAAAUUGAGCAAAGUCUCUCAAAAGAGCAAGAGUAAAUGUAAUGCAAAAGUAUGUCAUGAGAUCAUACCAUGAUUUGACACCAUCCUUCCCAAUCUUUACAAUGCUAUUCCCAGGAAGAAUGACAACCGCUAAGUUCUUCAACUCAAAUUCGGUUGCUUGGAAUUCGGAAGGGCAAUUGCUCCAAGAGAGAAAUCUUAACUCUGAUAUAAGAUCUUUAAAGUCUCCUUUGAAAUAUCCAUGGCCGAAUUGAAGGAACAUCAAGUUGACCAACCUCGCAAAUUCCUUACGUCUAAANNNNNNNNNNNNNNNNNNNNNNNNNNNNNNNNNNNNNNNNNNNNNNNNNNNNNNNNNNNNNNNNNNNNNNNNNNNNNNNNNNNNNNNNNNNNNNNNNNNNUGCGAUUCAUCUCCGGCAUAUCGUAGAAUGAAAGUUGUCCGCUAUUAGAGGCCAGGGCAUUGUCAUCCUCACCUUCCUUUACUAGGAAUUCAAUGUUCCUUGUUGUUAUGAUGAUUCUACUACCCCCACCAAACCAGUUGGGCUCGCCUGCAAGUCUCAUGAUUUGGUCUUGUUUGUCGAUGUCAUCAAGAACAAUUAAAACUUUUUUGUCAUGAAAUCUCAUCUUGAUCAUGUCAACCCCUUCAUCAAUGAAGGAGAGAUUUGUGAAACUCAAAUGGAGAAUGUCGAACAACAAUUUCUUUUGUAAGUUUAUUAUAUCAUGAAUCCGGACAUCUUUAAGAAAGCAACAAUUACUCUGAAAUUGAGGGGAUAUUUGUCUGAAGACAGCCUCGGCCAAUGUCGUUUUUCCAAUGCCACCCAUACCAUGAAUCACGAUAAACCGUACAUCAAAAGCUUCUAGAUUUAACCGCUUCAUAAUCUCAUCCGUCUGAUCAUUAAUUCCCACCAAAUGAUCAGGCACAUCUGUCCUUCUUGUCCAUAACAAACUAGAAACCUCUUUGACUGUGAGAUUCUUAAGUUCUUCUAGGCUGCCACAUGCAUAACAUGUUAGUGGAAGGUUAUCAUCAAGUUCAAAAUAAUUUGCUUUAAAAGAUACCAACACAGAAAAAGCGAUCUUUAAAGCUUUGAGCCAUUUGAAAAUAAAAGAACCAAAAAAAAAAACAGAUUUUCUCAGAGAGGAGGAGGAGGGACCUUAUUCACGAUUGAAAGCUAAUGCUAUCAAGGCUCUUUGGUCUAAGCAGUGGGAAAAGGUUAUUUCGUGAUAAAUGGUGUAAUUGGGCUUCAACUAGAAGUCACUCCAGCAAAUUGUGACUACCUAGUGCUGUGGGCCAUUAUGUUGAAAUAGGAUGUGGGCCUUUGUUCCGUUCAAUGUGAAAAUUACAAAAUUAGUCAUAAAUUUAUUGUACGAAUGUCAAUUCAAUCAUAAACUUUUUAAUUUUAAUAAUGUUGUUCUAAACCCUUAUACAAAAUUUCAAUGUAACCCCUCCAGCCAAUAUCCACCAAAAAUUGCUAAAGUGGCAAUCUAUGCAGGCUGUCAUUUUAAGUAAAAUUGUCAAUGUCAGCUAGCCACGUAGGACUAUGGGGAUGAAUGGAUGCCAUGUUAGUGAUUUCUUGCCGCAAUUGGGCGGAAAGAUUAUUUUAGAAUUUCACGCAAAUGCUUAUGACCACAUUGACAAAAUUAAAAUGUCUAGUACUCAAAUGUCAUGCACAAUAAAUUUAGAACUAAUUUGAUAAUUAUGCCUCCACUUCAUUUUAUACUUUUUCACACCGGUUGGUUUCUUCUUAUCACACACAGCUAAUAGCGACACCUCUAGAAGUUUGGUUAAAUAUCAAGUCCUGGGUAAACUCGAUCUUGAUAAUCUCUCCAAGCAAUAGGGAUGAGUUUGAAGGUUAACGGAAAAGAGAAAAUCUCACUCACAGUUGCCUUGAAUAUGGGAAACAAGAAUACUAUCUUAAAAGCAUUUUUCUUAACAUACCCAUGGAGUAGAAUACUAAUCGAAAAUGAGGAAGAUUUUCUGGAAUAUAUAUCAACCUUGAUUCGAGUUACCAACAGACAUCUCUCCAAAUAGGUUAGAAAUAAUUUUAGGUUACCCAUUCUUUUUAUAAUAAUGGUAAUGGCAAACUAGUUGGUACUUUAAUCGGAAUAAAUUGGUGAGUAACUCAACUUAGGAUUGGUAAUUUAACAACAGAUUUCGUUGCCUAACAAUGUUCAUAACCAGUGCAAAUAAAAGUUGGUGCAUUAUUAACGAAAGUUGUUAUGAAGGUAGAUAGUUUUGAAACAAAUAAUAAAUACUGAUAAGUAGCUCAAAUAAGAAUGGGUAGCUUAAACUGGUUACUAACCUAAUUAGAGAUUAGUUAAUAUGACAAUCAUAUUAGAGUUAGUAAUUCGGUAAAAGAUUUGGUAAUUUUGAAAUGUGGAGUAAACAAUAUGGUAAGUUGUACAGAAGUUGUAAAUCGGCAAACAAUCUAAUAAACUUAGUAAAUGAUUCACAUAAAAGCCGGUAAGCCAAAACUAGUUUGUAAAACAAUGGAGAAAGAAGUUGGUAAGACACAAAUCAAAGUUGAUAAUUUCAUAUAAGAACUGAUAACUUUAAAAUUAGGGAUGUGCAUGGAGCAUGGGAAAUCCGCGCCCCGCGGUGGUCUACCUUGGAUAAGGCAAUUUUUUUUUUUAGGAAAAUUUUUUCUCCAAACAUUGCCUCCCGGGAUAUUUUGCAAGACACAACUUGCGCAUGGGCAGUAAUAGGCUAGCCCUUCCCAUUCUCGAGGAUUGAAACUAUUAAUGCGUUUAACGAAAGAUAGAAACAGCAAGGUUUAAUGAAGGAUGUAAGUAAGCAGAGAGUAACGACUAGGGUUUACAGAAAACCAUCACAAACUACGAUAGAGGGUAGCUACAUAAGGUCCCUUAUAAUUGUUAAAGUACUUAUCCAUUUUCUACAGGUUUCUAUCCAACCAUAGCUACAACUACUUGGAAGUCCCUUAGAUGAAUUUUUGGUUAAUUAAGAUCUGAGGCCAUGAAUAGGUCCAUGUUUAAAGCAAGAGCAAAAAUCAAUUUUUAUGUUAUAAUAUUCUACUAUAAAUCGCUAUAGAAGAAUAUUCAGUUUAAGGUUGCAGAUCUUGUCUAUGCACAAUUGGCCACUAGAGGAGCCUCUGACCCCUGCCCCACCGCAAUGAAAACAAAAGCCCAAGAUUGAUAAUACACCCGAAGCUAAGUCAGUCCUUUACAAACUAAUCAAGAAAUAAACCUCUAACAGUUUCAGAGAUCCUUUUUUUUUUCUUUUGGAUAAUGGCACACAAAGAUCUUUGUAAUGUUCGGUCUUGUAUACUCAGACCAACAAGAAAAACCAUGACCUAUAGUUUCCCCUUAUGGGGUUGUAAAACUAUCAUCAUAAAGAAGCCCCAUUAUUUUUGUGUAACUCGGGGAUGCGACUGUAAUUAGCCAGUUAACUCAAGGGAAACAGUCGCAAUGCAUAUGAAUUCCCUAUGGCCGAAACUGAAUCCACAAGGAUCGGUUUCUUCCUCUUAGCCAUAAGUUUUUGGAUAUCGCAUAGACUAAGUCUAUGCUAUAAUUUCUGUGUCUCCAGCAUAUUUUUAUGUCUCCCUAAAGUACAUCAAACACUAACAAGUAUGAAAUAACUAUAAUCAUUAAUAGCUUGGAACACGUAAAGAAGCUCCUUGCUGAGCUCUCUUAUUUUGGGCCAAUUCUUCCUCAGCUUUUAUUAGUAUAACAAAAAGAAGAAAGAUUUAACAUCAAACUCAAUCUAAUUUUUCAAGAAAACAUUAUAGGCAUUGGGUCGGGGAAAAUUGCACCAAAAGUCCUCAAAUUUAUGUACGGAAUGCAAUUGAAGUUAAGAAACUAAAAUUUUAACAUUUUAGGCAUUGGGUUGGGGAAAAUUGCACCAAAAGUCCUCAACUUUAUGUACGGAAUGCAGUUGAAGUUAAGAAACUAAAAAAUUUCAUAUUUCACACAUAUAUGAUCUUACUAUUUUAUCACAUCUUAGAUCUUCAUGGAUAUCUUGGUUUUCUGGCAUUAUAGAUUAAUCAAUUAAGUUAAUAUACCUUAACUUUAAUUGUUACAAAAAAUUGGUAUUAAAAGUGAAGAGUCAAUUUGUGCAAGAAACCUCGUCCUCUAAGCAAAACUUCUAGCUCCUCGUUGCGUCAAAUCCAACAGCAGCAAACCGAAUAAGUAUUCUUUAAAGGAACGAGAAAUCAAAAAUCUCUACAAAGAAAAUAAAGACAAUACAGAAGCAAAAAAUACCCGUGAUCUUUUAGAUUCCUUCCUCUAAUUCUGGCAACUUCUCUUAAAGCCUUCUUCCACUUCUUUGCUAAAUCCUUCCCAUAGUCGCUCUUGUGCUUUCGAAGGACUUUCCUAUAUAACUUAGUCUUAAGCUUGACAUCAUCCGCGUCGACGUCGUAAAAUAUAGGGAGGACCACUUUCUCAUUGUUAUCUCUUGAUAGCUCUACUAUGCGUGCCAGCUCACGGAGGCACCAUUUACUUGAAGCAAAGUUUUUGGAGAAAAUAGGGAUGUAAAUUCUGGAGUCAUUGAUCGCUUGCAAGAGGCCACCUUCGAUCUCUUCGCCAAAUCGGAGCUCUUCGUUGUCUUUGAAAGCACGGAUCCCAGCACGGAUCAGGUCAUUGUAGAGACAAUCAGCCAUGGUUAAACGGGUGUCGGGACCUCUAAAACUCAGGAACACCUCGUAACCACUCCCCGAUCCGUCAUCACGGCUCCUGCUUGUUGGAGCUGCCGUCUCCAUCUCCUUUUCCUCCCUCUUUCUCUUCAUUCUGGAAGAACGAUGCAGAGAUGGAUCACCGAAUUGGGUCUGUCCGAGGUGACAAGGGAAGUCCGAGUCUGAUCCUUGUAGCGACUCGAUAAAGCAACGGAGAGAGAUCUCUCACUUUCGCUGCGUUUGCCUAGAAGUUACCUGCGGCCUUCGUUCGUAAGUAAAAAAACCAUUCAGACUGACCAAAUAAUUGACGAAAGUCUGCGAAGAGGAAAACGCGAAGAGAGAGAGAGAGAGAGAGAGACCGCUCUGCAUCACUUUCAACCGCACGAUUUACUUCUACUUCAAGCAAUGAGUGGGGAGUGGGGGCAAUCGCUUCCUCUUAAAAAAUAUCUGAUUAGCCGAUAAUAAUAACCACUUCAUUUUAAUAUUGGGUUAAUUUACUUUUCAAAUAUCGGACGCUUUUUAAUAUUCCACUUAAAAAUAUCUGAUUUCACCGUAAGUAUGGACAGCACAAUUUUGUUAGUAUAUAGAAAGGUCGAGUUGUUCCUUCAAUUAAUCCACAUUUGCUUAGGGCUAUUAGUUUUUUUAUGCAUAUAUCAUGCUCAAAAGAUUCAAUAGUGGCAUAUGCAUGUCCCUAUCAAACAUGAUUCUGCAUUAUGGAAAGUGAGUUAAUUAGGGAUGCAAAUCAAGCGGCUAACUUGAGCUCGGCUCAAUCUUUACAGUUUCAAAUAGCUUGGGUAUCAAAACAAGGAGAUUUUGUUCUUCUCUUCUGAUUCAAAACGUACAUAGAUGCGAAAUUAUCAAACAUGAUUGAAUGCUUCCCGAGUACCUCAUUGAGUAAAUUUUAAAAGAUAUGGAUGUUAGAGAAAUCACUCUUCCGAAAAAUUUAAGUAGUUAGGAAUCAGAGCAAUAAUAGUUCACCUUACAUGAGGGGGUAUGUCGAUUUUUACAUGCAUGACACGUGAUGUGAAUAAAAACAUACGAAAUAGACAACUUACAAAAUUUCCACACUAAAAAAUUCAUCCGAGAAAUGUGGUGUCAAAAAGGCAUUGUUAGGUCAAUUGCUAACCCUACUGCAAGCAUAAUAAAAUCCCUAAACCUUAUAUUUUCGUUUCCGCAUUUUUUUCAAGACAGUUGUCCUUCUUAAAUUUUUAGUUGACCUCCCCUUUAGAAAAUUUUAAAAAGUGCAAAAAAUUACACUGUUUGUAUCCGUCAGAGCUAUGCCAAAAAGAAAAGGCUACUAAUUAAAGUUGCUGAGCGGUAUGCUUGGGAAAACAUAUUUUAAGGGACCAGCGAAUAUGUUUUGCCAUCUUAUAGUGUUACGAUUUGAAUAUAAAUCAUAAGAUCCCGACCACGGGUGGGUCCCGGUCCUCACUGCUACGGGCAAGGGGUGCCCUCGCCUAGAUCUAGUCACAUUGUAAUUUUAGUUGGCCGACAUACUUAGAAGUUCCCUCACUUUAAAUUGACUUAAUUAUUCAAAAAAUUAGAAGACAAUGGUUAAAGUUUUCUAUAUUCUUUAAUUUCAAGUACAUGUUGAUUUUAAUCUUUCACGCAAUUUAAGUUUUGCUUUACAAACUAGGUGUACAGUAUAGAUCACUUUCAUUGAGAAAAAGAGUCCUCACCGAACUUUAGUUGAUUCUUGAUGGAAAUUGCUAAGAUAAUGUGAUUCCUCCUUGACAAUGAUGCGGACAAAGUUGAGAUUUUUGAAACAUUUUAUUCUCGAAUGAAUGUUUUUAUGCUUUUUUUUUUCAUGAUAUCAAUCCAUGUUUCCCGGUAUUUUCCGUGAGCCAAACACGUCAUGCCAGUCUUGUGGGUGAGUCGCCAAGUCUGUUUGAUGUGCAAUUUGGCUGUGUGCAGACCAACGCAUGCUAAGCAAAUUGACUAGAUAAAUGUACUUUAGUGCUUUUUCUUUGCCUUCACAAGAGGAUCAAACAAACACUUGACGAUGGACCUGCGUAUGUUCUAAGCAAAGACAAAAGGCCACAGAUUUGUUUCCAAUUCGAAUUAUGCAAUUCAAUCUUGGCAUGAAUCACGGGAUGCCAAUUGAGAGACUCGCCAUUAAUGAACUUUCUAUUGUUUUAUUCAGUUAAAUAUUUGUUAGUUACAGAAAAUAAAGGGUGAGAUAUUUAAAAUUUGUGAUAUACAUAUGGAAUUACAUAAAUGCAAAGGAUAAAAUUUGAACAUAUUGAGCUCAAACUUGAACUCAUUUUAUAACAUGAUUGUAUCGAGUCUACAUGAGCUUGAUAUCUCGAUUUUUUCUAGUCAAGCUCAAGCUGGAAAUUGAAUACUCAUAAUCAGGCUUUCUUUUUAUGGAAGAAAAAUCUAACAAUGAAAAAAGAAAUGGUGUUUUUAAUAUAUUUGAAACUCCUACAAUAAAGAAAAACUAAAUAUGUGAAAUUGUUAAUUAUGAUAAUUGAACCAUACAUUGAAAUAGAAAAACUAAAAAGAAAGGAAAAUUAAUGAAUUUGGAGCCACCAAUAAAAUUGCAAUUGAUGAUUUGGAGCAAUUUUGUCUUUUUAGUGAAAAUUUGGUAAAUUUAAUUUAUAGGGAUGAAUUUCUCCAUCAAAUUUUUGGUGUGGAUCAAGUGAGGCUUGGUAAUCACUUAUCAAGAAAAUGUGUGUAACUCGAGAAAUAAAUGCAGGCUUUUAAGGUAAGAAUGCAUAAAUUGUGGGAGUGGGGAUAAACUUUGCUAUAUGUGCUCUUUGAAGAUACAAACUUCUGAAAAAUCAGUCGGGAAUUGGUUAAACGAUCGAAACACCCAAAUCACCAUAAGAUCACAAAUAACAUUAGUCGGAUCAUCAAAUGCAUCAAUCCGGCAACGGAAAUCUCUUACAGCAGCCCACCUUGCUGCUACACAAUCACCACAAGAAUUUGUUGCACUAAUGGAGAAAAUCAUUUCCGAAAUUAAGGAGUCCACCAACAGUGAAAAGCUCCUACCAAUCAUAUCGUAGUGGAGAUACGAAAGAAGAUGACUGGUAUGGGGUCGAACUACUAGAAGAAGAACAAAAUCACCAAGAGAAGAUAGCCACCAGAAACUAUAGCAACAUAUGCAUUAAUACUAUUCCCCACCAAACAUUGCAACAAAAUUAUUGCUUACUUUCACUAUGCUAGCAGACUCCGGUACUGACAAACAAGAUGCUGUUCACCUUCAGAUCAUUGCAACAAAAUUUUUGCUUACUUUCAUUGUACAAUCACGUGCAAUUGGUUUUGUUUUGCUCAUUAAAUUCAAAAGGAUUAGCUUUUGUCAGUUGGAGCGAGAAUUCUAUUAUGCUUUUGCUAAGCCCAACAAAGCAGAUCUCCUUAUAUUUAAUUGCAUGAUCAAUUGAUCCUCGAUCAACUAGGAGAGUAAUUAUAUUUGUAACAAGUAUCGUAUUGAAAUGAAAUGCACCGUUAAAAUCUUUGCUGGUCCUUAUUGAUUAAUAACAAAAAUCUAAAGACCCUUUAAUUCAAGAUUUUGAUCUAACAAUUUGAAUCUUUAUUUUGAAAUAUGUUUGAUUUUAAGAAGAAUAACGAUUGCGUAACGCGCCUAUCAUGUCCUAAACAUGUUAUUAUGUUGCGACCUUAUUUUUCGGGGUUUGGACCACCUAUGGUUUGGCUAAUGGAUUGUUAAGCCUAAACUUAACUCGGGCUCUCCCAAGCCCAUACCAAUUCACGACUUAGGUUUGAAUUGUUAACAUGCAAAUUUUUAAUUAGGAGUCGCCACUAAUCUAUUUUUUGAUGGGUCGAUUAGAAACCCAAGUAAAGUAACGGGAGAUUUUACUUUACUCCUACAAACCAGAGACUAUGGGUACGGGGACUUGAUUACGCUAGAAUUCUCUAACGCCCUUUUGGUACCUUUCUUUUUAUUUUGAAAAAAAUGUUUGGCAGGCAGCUUGAAUUGAUUUUAAACUAUCUCCCUAACAUGUGAGGUGUUCAUGCAGGUGUGCAAGCCACCAAUUUAACACCCAAGAAAGUAAUUAAAUAAUGCAUGACUUACCUCCAAAGCUACGAAAGCAUCUGCAAUGUUAAAUUAAAAUCCAUAUCAACAACCCUAGAUAUGAUUUCUAAUUAACAAGCAAUUACUCAAUUUUUGUUUUUCUCUUUUUCAAUGAAAAUAUAGUCCAUAUGCAAUGCAAUGCUUCUAAUCUAAUAUGAAAUGAUAUGGCAUGGCAAUAUGUCAUAAACUAUAUGAAUGAAUAAGAAUUUUUGUAAUUUCUUAAUGAACAUGCAAUAAUUAAAUAUGCAAUCUAAAUUAACCAAAAUGAUUUAAUUCUAAUGACGUGCAAUGCAAUGCAACGACGUACAAAAUUAUUUCAACUAAAAUGACAUGUAACAUGCAAUUUAAUACGUGAGGUAUAUGUCACACGACAUUUAUUGAAUGACCCAAUCUAAUGAACCUAACAAUAAUCACUAAAAUGACGUGCAUUUUAUGAAGCUAAUUCUAUAUGACAUGCAAAUGACAUUUUUUAUUUUAAAAAUGCAAUCUAUCCUAGAAAUUGCAACUAAUUUAUCCUAAGACAAAUUUUAUGAAAUUUGAAAUGAUCUAGCUAGAUUAAGAUUCUAUCUAAUUUAAACUAGGGAUUAAGUCAUAUUAAAUCCUAAUUUAAACUAAGACAUUAUCUAAAUCUAAAAAAGAUGAUCUAAAUUUAAAAUGAAACAUGCAAUUCUAAUCUAAUAUGCACAAUGAUUUUUUUUUGUGUUUGUUUUUUUUUUUUAAGAAAUUCAACAUUAAAACUAACACAUAAUUAAACAUGCAAUUCAAAUAAAAAAACUAACAACCUAAAUGAUUGCACUUUCUUUUUUGGGAAUUUUUUUUUUUAAAUUCAUAAUAAGAUUGCAAUCCUAAAUAUGCAAGAUAACAACAAACCUAAUCCUAAUAAAGAUUUUUUUGAUUUUUUAUUUUACGAAAAUAAGAUUUGACUCAACCAACUUGACGAUAGAAAAUCAAACAAAAGAUAAGAUUGAUAUCCAAAAAUUGACGAACCAUAUCUCACGCAUGAGAUCGGAUUGGCCAAUUUUAAAUUAAAUCGCGAAUCAAAUCUCGGGCUUGAGAUUGGAUUGUCAAUUUUUGUAAGGGAUUGCGAGUCGGAUUUCGGGCGCGAAAAUCGAACUGUCAAUCCCUAACUUGAGGAACUAUUUCAUAUUGGGAUUUCAAUCACAUAUUUAAAGGGAACAAUUUUACUAAAAGAAUAAAAUAAAAAGGAAAGAUAAAAAAACAGUAAGUAAAUAAAUAAAAACUACUGGCGGCGGGGUAGAGGUUCGGAGGUGGAGCGGCAAGGCGGCGGCGCUGGUGCAGUGAGAGGGACAACGGCUACUGGCAGAACGGCGGUGGCGACCAGCGCAAUUAGCAAGGCGAUCGGGCAGCAAAGGUCUCCGGCGAAGGAGUCCCACGAAGAAGAUGCAGCCCUUUUCUCUCCUUUUCUUCACGUCCUUUCGCGGGUCUUCUCUCUCAGGUCUCUCUGUACUCUCUCUCCAGAAGCAAAAGCUUAUGUUGACUUUUCCCUUCUUUUUUUCACCGGUUUCUCUCUCUCACUUUUUCAACUUUUUCUCCUUUCUCGAUCAAAAGAAAAACCCAGCCAAAGCCCCCUUCGUACCUUGUUGCUUUUAUAGGGGGUAGGAGAUAAGUUUUCGAUUUCCCAUUCAAAUCUACAUCCGCGAUACCUUUUCACCAACUAAUCACUAUUGAUAAAAAUUCGAGAUUACGAUAAAUAUUUUCUCGAAAUCCAAAUCUCGCAAAGAUAAAUCACAAUAUUUUUUCACACGUGUGCUCUAUCAAAAAUAUUUAUAUCCCGGAAAAAUUUCAAAAUUUUUAUUUUUCACGAGAUAAUUAGAAAACAUGGGCUUGGGCCAACCAGCUCGCUUCGUGGGCUUAGUCCAACUAAUUUGAACCCAUUCGCACUGGUCCAAUAAAUAAAAUGCCAAUAACAAAAUAAAUGCAAAUAUAAAUCUAUAUGCUAUAAAAUUAACCCCUAAUUUCCUAUGCAAUAAAUAAAUAAACUAAAUCGUCAAAAUUUAGGUGUCAAGAGCUGCCCCUCUUUGAAGGUGAGCUCGAAGAGGUUGCCUUCAAAGACAAAUUGAGACCUAAAUUUUGACUAUGCACACGCAUUGAAUGAUUUUUUGUCGGGAAAUGUAUCCCAUUUUUUAAAAUGCAACUCAUAUGAUGCAUAUAAAUGCUACUGCAAAUGCAUGAUGUGAAAGGAAAGAGCGUACCUACAAUUACUUACCAGUCAGUGUGGUAGAGCAUCUUGAGGUACAUGAUAAAUCCCUAUUUACUCCACAAGUACCCAACUCUCACUCAGGUUCCUUGAAAAGCGUAACAGGUAAGAACAUUCACAUCCAAAGUGAAAUGUUCAACGGAAAAAAUUGAGACAUCCAGAUCAAAACUGAGAUGUCAAGAUUUUUGAAAAACUCAAAAUACCUAGAUCUAGACUAAGGUAUAAUGAGAAGGAUCGAAAAACAUUCACGUCCAAAGUGAAAUGUUUAGACGAAAAUAAUUAGGAAAUCCAGAUCCAGACUGAGAUGUCGAAAUUUUGGAAAUUGAAAUACCUAGAUCUAGACUAGGUAUACGAGAAUAAUUGAAAAAACAUUCAUAUCCAGAGUGAAAUGUUUGAAUGAAAAUAAUCAAGACAUCCGAGCCCAGACUGAGAUGUCAAGAGUUUGGGACUCGAAAUACCUAGAUCCAGACUAAGGUAUAACGAGGAAGAUCGAAGAACAUUCACAUCCAGAGUGAAAUGCUCUAACGAAAAUAAUCAAGACAUCCGGGUCCAGACAGAGAUGUCAAGAUUUUGAACUCGAAAUACCUAGAUCCAAACUAAGGUAACGAGGAAGAUCGAAGAACAUUCACAUCCAAAGUGAAACAUUCAACAAAUAGAAUUGAGACAUCCAGAUCCAGACUGAGAUGUCAAAAUUUUGGAAUGCAAUUUGUUUGCAAAUGGUAAAGGAACUUACCUGGAAUAUCUUACCUUCAAGGAGGGUAGAGUGAUUCAAGAUAGUUGGUGUUACAUGUUCAGGACCCGUACCUUUCUACGGUCGCCUAAAAUAGUAACGAAGAGACUACUUUCCUAGGACCCGUACCUUUCUACAGUCGCCUAGUAGGGCAGCAAGGUUUUGUAAGGAAACUAUUUUCCUAGGACCUGUACCUUUCUAUGGUCGCCUAGUAGGGCAGUGUUUGGUUGUGUCUAGGACCCGUACCUUUAUACGGUCGCCUUGACAAAAAAUCAAUUUUCCAGGAUCCGAACCUUUCUACGGUCGCCUGAAUGGGAAAAUUGUUUUUCCAGGACCCGUACCUUUCUACGAUCGCCUGUUAGAGCAAUAAAUGUUGUCUAGGACCCGUACCUUUCUACAGUCGCCUAAACGGGGAUUCACUUUCCAAGACCCGUACCUAUCUACGAUCGCCUGGAUAAGGAAUCAUUUUCCAGGACCCGUAACUUUCUACGGUCGCCUGAAUUGAGGUAAUUGCUUUUCCAUGACCCAUACCUUUCUAUGGUCGCCUGUUAGAGCAACAAGGUUGUCUAGGACCCGUACCUUUCUACAGUCGCCUAAACUGAGGUUUUGCUUGGCUAGGACCCGAACCUUUCUUCGGUCGCCCAACAUUACAGUAUAGAUUAUCUGACCAAGACCCAAACCUUUCUUUGGUCGCCUUAAUUUGAUUGAAUCUAGAGAAAAAUCUUUGGGGGACAACUCCAUCGAGUGUCGAUUAAAAUGGACUCUAGGCUACGAAAGCACACCAGGUCGAUAUAACUAGACAGCUUGACCAAGUCAAGUGUCGAUACACUUGAGAGAGAAUGCCUGCACAAUGACAAGUAUUUAAGGUAUGGAUAGAGAUAUACUUACCUGGUAUCAUCUCUAUUCCUGAGGGAAAUGUCUUCUGCAAAACAUGGUCAUAGGAGAAGCGAUAUGCAUUUAUGAUCACAAACAUGCAUUGAUUUAAGGGCGGUUCAUGCGUUGUGAUUUAUAUAAAGCCUGCAUCACCUAACUUCCAUUAGGAAGGAUUUCACAAAGAAUGUUCCAAUCUGAACACAUGAGUGUCAUGGAUGUGCCAAAUGGGGGACCUCUUGGUCUGAAAUGAUUUUUCACUCAUCCUCAUUAAAAUGGACUGUUUCAUCCUUACCUUUGAUGUAGGAUUUUUUACAAUCACUCUAUCUUUCAUCAUCAUGCCAAACAAGAAUUCAAGCAAUCUCGCAAGUGGUACGAACUUACCAAUCUGAGAGGUCUUUAACAGGGACCGUAACGCUGGCUUGGUCAACGGCUUAGUAAAGGAGACUCUUUGAGUCAAGGUUAUUAAAAAAUGAAUGAUAUUUCACCAUCAUCGUGGAGUUUACAAGCCACGAAACAUGAGAAAUGAGGCAGAAAUUAUCUUACUCGCACUUCUUCAAGCGAUGCUUCCAAACAUAUGAACUUUUAUGUUAAUUCAAGUGCCCUAAUUUGAAGAGACUUUGUAAGGGACGUAACGUAGGUUGGGUUCAUAGGUUGAGAAAUGAAAGGAUCAUUUGGCUCAAAAAGUGUUUAUGGGGUCGAAGUUAUUGAUCAUCUUGACAUUUCCAACAAUUUUCCUCUCCAUUGUCGAAGAUUUUCUUCACAUCACAACUCCACUGAUUGCAACAUCUCAACAUUUGAGUUUUUUUUUUUCUUUUUUGGGUACCACCUUGUUGGGGAUACGACUCACUUCAUCAAGUGUUUGAUUUUUUCUUUGGGCAUUGGCCUUGCUUUUACCAGGCACACUGCUUUUUCAUGCUCCAUUUUUUUGCACUUUUUUUUUACUUGCACAGCCUUCAUCUUUUAUCAGCAUUGUAAACCAUGCUACUUGAGUGGUUUGAUUUUUCUUUUCUUGCCCCAGUGUGGGGGAUGAUCACCAACUGGGUUUAACAUAAAAUGAAUUCAUAGUCUUAAGGGGCUAUGCAAUGAAUAAAGUGUAUAGGAUAGAGAAAGAACCACUCUUCGUCGUCCUAAGGCACUUUAAAUUAUCGUACAAGUCACACUGUAAAAGCAAUACUUGAAGAUUGAUGCAAGUGUGAGAAAGAAAAUUCCUAUCAUUCAUUUCAAAUCUUGUCCCAAUAUGGGACGACUCUUGACAGGGAUAAUUUAAAAGCUCUUUAUGUGUGUGGGCUCAAAGGGCUAAACAAUGGAUAUACCUUGAGUGUUUCGGGUAGUAGAAGAAACUACCUCUCAUCACCUUAGUUGACGUACCCUUGGCGAGAUCACCCUUUUCCUCGUGGGCAUGGAAUUUUUCACACAACUCGUUGGGGGUCAGUGUAUGAAACAAUGUAUGGAAUAUGGUUUGCCUUUCAUCAUUCCAAAGUAUCCCAUUUGACACAUUCAAUUUAUCUCACAUAAUUCAUCAAGGAAAACAUGCAAUAUUUGCAACAAGUUUAGACAAUUGAAUUUGCAACUCAAUGAGGCAAUUUAUUCAUCAUAAAAUGUUUGCAAUUCAAAACAUGACAUGGCAAAUUCUAUCAUGGGUAAUACUUCUUGACAGCGUCUGAAUUAAUUGGAGUAGAAAACUCAUGACUACCCAUUUAUGCUAGGACGACACCUCCUGAAAGUACCUUCUUUACCACAUAUAAGCUAUAAUUUGGAGCAAACUUGCCCCCAGGAUCUUCCACUGAAGAAUGAUGGUUCUCUUUUACUUGCCCCAAAUCUUUUUUCAUUGCAAGUGCGCUCUAAACCUGUUGAUCACAAGUUAAGUAUAUGAUCAUUGAAACUUGAUACACUAUUCUCAGAUGUCCCUUGUCAUAACAAGUUAUAUAAUUAUGCUCUAAGACAAGAAGCAAAUGAGUUAGAAAAACAAACAGGUUUAAUCUGCUACAAGCUUUGGGAAAAUGUUUAUCUUUUCUUUCUUUUUAACAAUGAAAUGCUUUUGCUUUCGAAAUUUUUUUUGAGAUGAAGCAUGAAAAAGUCCAGCCCUCAGGAUUCCUCCGUGGAUGAUAGUUUUCUUUUUCAUGGUUGGAUAUCGUCAUUGGACUGGUUUGGAGUACCCCGUCAUGCCCUCAAAAUAAAACUUGUAAUUUCAUUGAUAUUCAUCAAUCAAUUACAUUUAUUGAAUGGAAAAUGCGAAUUCAAGUCCUAAAAAGAAAGUGAAAAAGAAGAAAUUGAAAACAAUCGCUAAAUAGAGAUAAUAACUCCUAAAAAGCGAUAAAAUUCCUAGAAAGCGAUAAAAAUUCCCGCGCAGGGGAAUGAGCAAAAGUAAUAAGUUACUCUUGUGGGCCAGGGCCCAUUUCUUCCAAAGUUCCUUCAUCAAUGGCAUUCACCCUAUCCUCAUGCUCAGGUAGAGGAUUCUCUUUGACAUUCGGUUGAGCGGUACUAAAGGCAAAUGCCUUGGUGUCUAGUAAGUUUUGGACCUUAUGUUUCAAAGUCAAGCAUUCAUCAGUCGAAUGUCCUACUUCCCCCAUAUGAUACUCGCAUUUCUUGGAGGGAUCAUAGUUGGAAAGUUUUUCAGCAUUGGGUCACUUCGGCUCAUAAGACAGCAACCCCUUCUUUUGAAGAACCUUUAAGACUUGGGACAGAGGGCCAGGAAGAGGAGUGAAUUGCCUCUUAACAAAUUGCCGAGGGGCAGACGAUCGGCCUUCCCUUUGUUGAUUCUUAGGGACAUGAACAACUGGAGACUUGCUAGAUUGUGCAUAUGUGACAUUGACUUCCGUGCUUGGUUCUUUGUCUUUCUUCAUGGUGAACCUUUUGCCUUGAUUGGUUGGUUCAUUGCACCAUCCAUCUCUUAGCCCAACUUCAAUCUAUUCACCCACCGGGAUAAGUUGGUUGAAGUUCUCAACGUACGUGCUAGCCAUUCGGUUGCGAAACUCAAACGGGAGGGUCUUGACGAACAACUUCAUUAGCUCCUUGUCAGCAGGCUCCGGAGUGACUUGAGCGGCCAAAUUUCUCCACCUCACAGCAUACUCCUUGAACGACUCGCUUUUCUUCUUCUCCAUCCGUUCAAGAUCCUCUCGGGAAGGUGCAAUAUCCAUGUUGAACUUAUAUUGCUUUAGGAACGCAUCAGUCACUUCAAUCCAGGUGUCGAGAAGGUUUAUGUUCUUCAUUAUGUACCAAUUCAGUGCAGGCCCAAUCAAACUAGCAUGGAACGAUUGAAUCAUGAGAGGCUCAUUCUUGAUAUAUUGGGCCAUGCGUACGUGGUACAUCUGCAAAUGAGCUUUCGGGUAGGAAGUACCAUCGUACUUCUCGAACUCUGGCAUUUUAAAUUUCUUUGGCAUCUUGACUUUCUCAUACACUAACAAGUCGAAUGGAAGUGAGCUCCGUGAUCCUUGCAAUUGCUUCACCUUCUCUUCCAGCUUUGUGAAGCGUUCAUCUUGCUUCGUCUUAGGAACGUUAUCAAGCUUAGCCUUUUCAGUGGUGAUUAACGGUGGGUCAUCUUCCAACCCAGGCAUGUCGUCGUUAAUCGUUUGAACCUUGUUUGCUUACUUCGGGAUAACUACUUCAGGAAGAGCGGGUGCAGCCGUUGGAUUUGCUUGGAGGAAUUGGAGUUGAUCCGUCACAAGCUGUAUAGAGGCGAGUACUUGUUGGAGUUGAGUCUCCACAGCGGACAUACGAUCACACAUUUCAGCUUGAUCAGCCAUUCUAGCUCUUAAUCGAGUGAUGAUGGGAGAGCGUGAAGGAUCCGUUAUCACCUAAUUUGAAAUAAAUGAAAAUAUGUAAGCACGAUGUGUAAAUAGAGAACCAAUCCAUGACAAUAAUCUAAUCAAUUCUUCAUUUUUUUUUCAUGAAAAGUUCGUACAAGAAGGGAAUUUGACACCCUAACAAAAUCGAAUUUCAUAGUCAUGAAUCGAAGACAAAUUCUCCAAUUUUUUUAUUUUCCAAAUGAUUCAUUGCAUGGCAAUUUCCUCAUUUCAUUCAUAAUUGACAAAUGAAUUAAAUCAAUGAUUGACCUAAAUCGUCAUGGACCGACUAAAAAUAUGACAAAAUAAGUAAAUUGCAUAGUAUAGGGAUAAAAGACUUACUUCACCAAAGAAACGGCAAUCAAAUAGACAUGCACAUGAGAUGUGGGCUCGAUUUCUACUCUAGACAGGCUUAACAAAGUGAAACCAUAAGAAUGAUCGGACUAGCCGCGGGCAUGCGGAUUAAGUCGGGUCCUCAUGACUUCGGCUUGGUCAAAAAGCCGACCUGGGUCACGGGCAUGCGGACCGAGGUGGGUACUCUUGACACCAUGAAAGAAACUUCGAGAUUGAGAUAGGCAACUCAUACCGCGAGCAUGCGGUCGGAGUGGUAUCCAUCUCAAUACCAUCCUAAAUGAUCCUAUGCGGCCCAGGUCCGGCGGCAGGUCGUGUGUGCAAAGUGUAGUGAUAAAUGCAAAGCAUGCACAGCAGUUUAAAUCAAACAACACUUCGUUCAUGAAAAUAAACCAUACAUUCCUACAUCUCUCUGCAAAAUAAAGGUUAGCAAACACUUCCCCUUAUACCUCCCAUCUUGCAAAAACAUUUAACACCUUAAAUGUUAGGGACGUACCUGGAAUCCUCACUGCCAAACAAAAACUUUUUUCAAAAGAAAAGGAAAAUUGGCCUAAGUCCACUAAGAGUUUUAACUCAAGAUCCCUAGUGGAGUCGCCAAGCUGUCGUGACCUUAUUUUUUCGGGGUUUGGACCACCUAUGGUUUGGAUAAUGGAUUGUUAGGCCUAGACUUAACUCGAGCUCUCCCAAGCCCAUACCAAUUCGCAACUUAGGUUUGAAUUGUUAACAUGUAAAUUUUUAAUUAGAAGUCGCCACUAAUCUAUUUUUGAUGGGUCGAUUAGAAACCCAAGUAAAGUAACGGGAGAUUUUACUUUACUCCUAUGAACCAGAGAAUAUGGGUACCGGGACUUGAUUACGCUAGAAUUCUCUAACGCCCUUUCGGUACCUUUCUUUUUAUUUUGAGAAAAAUGUUUGGCAGGCAGCUUGAAUUGAUUGUAAACUAUCUCCCUAACAUGUGAAGUGUUCAUGCAAGUGCGCAAGCCACCAAUUUAACACCCAAGAAAGUAAUUAAAUAAUGCAGGACUUACCUCCAAAGCUACGAAAGCAUCUGCAAUGUUAAAUUAAAAUCCAUAUCAACAACCCUAGAUAUGGUUUCUAAUUAACAAGCAAUUACUCAAUUUUUGUUUUUCUCUUUUUCAAUGAAAAUAUAGUCGAUUUUUGUAAGGGAUUGCGAGUCGGAUUUUGGGCGCGAAAAUCGAACUGUCAAUCCCUAACUUGAGGAACUAUUUCAUAUUGGGAUUUCAAUCACAUAUUUAAAGGGAACAAUUUCACUAAAAGAAUAAAAUAAAAAGGAAAGAAAAAAAACAGUAAGUAAAUAAAUAAAAACUACCUAAUUUUCCCUUUUCCUUUUUUUUGUUUUUUGUUUUUNNNNNNNNNNNNNNNNNNNNNNNNNNNNNNNNNNNNNNNNNNNNNNNNNNNNNNNNNNNNNNNNNNNNNNNNNNNNNNNNNNNNNNNNNNNNNNNNNNNNNNNNNNNNNNNNNNNNNNNNNNNNNNNNNNNNNNNNNNNNNNNNNNNNNNNNNNNNNNNNNNNNNNNNNNNNNNNNNNNNNNNNNNNNNNNNNNNNNNNNNNNNNNNNNNNNNNNNNNNNNNNNNNNNNNNNNNNNNNNNNNNNNNNNNNNNNNNNNNNNNNNNNNNNNNNNNNNNNNNNNNNNNNNNNNNNNNNNNNNNNNNNNNNNNNNNNNNNNNNNNNNNNNNNNNNNNNNNNNNNNNNNNNNNNNNNNNNNNNNNNNNNNNNNNNNNNNNNNNNNNNNNNNNNNNNNNNNNNNNNNNNNNNNNNNNNNNNNNNNNNNNNNNNNNNNNNNNNNNNNNNNNNNAGCGGCUGAGCAUCAGGGAGAGCUGAGCGGUCGUCGGGUGUAGUGGCUUCGUCGGAUUGGUGGAGCUUCAGCGUCAGCGGGGCAGAGGUUCGGAGGUGGAGCGGCGAGGCGGCGACGCUGGUGCAGUGAGAGGGACAACGGCUACUGGCGGAACGGCGGUGGUGACUGGCGCAAUUAGCAAGGCGAUCAGGCAGCAAAGGUCUCCGAUGAAGGAGUCCCACGAAGAAGACGAUGCAGCCCUUUUCUCUCCUUUUCUUCACAUCCUUUCGUGGGUCUUCUCUCUCACGUCUCUCUAUGCUCUCUCUCUAGAAGCAAAAGCUUCUGUUGACUUUUCCCUUUUUUUUUCACCGGUUUCUCUCUCUCACUUUUUCAACUUUUUCUCCUUUCUCGAUCAAAAGAAAAACCCAGCCAAAGCCCCCUUUGUACCCUAUUGCUUUUAUAGGGGUAGGAGAUAAGUUUUCAAUUUCCCCUUCAAAUCUACAUCCGCGAUACCUUUUCACCAACUGAUCACUAUUAAUAAAAAUUCGAGAUUACGAUAAAUAUUUUCUCGAAAUCCAAAUCUCGCAAAGAUAAAUCGCAAUAUUUUUUUCACACGUGUGCUCUAUCAAAAAGAUUCAUAUCCCGGAAAAAUUUCAAAAUUUUUAUUUUUCACGAGAUAAUUAGAAAACAUGGGCUUGGGCCAACCAGCUCACUUCGUGGGCUUAGUCCAACUAAUUUGAACCCAUUCGCACUGGUCCAAUAAAUAAAAUGCCAAUAACAAAAUUAAUGCAAAUAUAAAUCUAUAUGCUAUAAAAUUAACCCCUAAUUUCCUAUGCAAUAAAUAAAUAAACUAAAUCGUCAAAAUUUAGGUGUCAACAAUAUAUAUAUGAUUUUAUGAGAUUACUACCAACUAUUCUAUUCUGAAAGUAUAAGCUAUUAGAUAAAAGCUUAUUUAAUAUUUGAAUAUUCUAACAAUAAAGUAAUUGUAUAUGUUAAAUAUUUUAUCGAUAUCAGUGAUUAACUUCACAAAAAAAAUUAGGCUUCUCAUACUCGUGCUUCAAUUUUGGAAACAAGAAGUGAGACAGAUGAGACUCACAACUCAAAUGAAAUCAUAUAUAACUUUUUUGGCAUGAAUCAAGGGAUCCUAAUUGAGAUGCUUUUUCUAGUGCUUUUGCUUUUAGACAAAAUUGAAUUAUGAUCAUUAUAAAAAAGAUGAUUUGAAUUGGUCACUUAGCUCCACUCAAGUCUGGCGUGACCACAAAGGAAGCAUAAUGGAUCCCCUUUAAUCUCUUUCUUUUUUUCGUUUUUAGGGAGGAAUCUCUUCCUUCAUUUCUAGGCUAGAAAAACAUAUUUUGAUUGCUUUUGUUUUCCUCAUUAAAUUAAGAAGGAUUAGCUUUUCUUAGCUAGAGCCAGAAUUCCAUUCUGCUUUUGCUAAGCCAAAGAAAGCAAAUCUUCUAAUAUUUAAUCCCAAUUUGCACUAAUUGGCAUGAUCAAUUGAUACUUGCCUUUUUUCCACUCGCUAAUCUUUUUCUUUUGCCAUGUAAAAGUUGUGAAAUGUGAAUUCGGCUCUAGGUUGCCUUCUGCUUUCAAGAGUCGUAGAACGAUUGAAAUGCAUGAAGCACCAUUAAUAGAUUAUUUGAGAAAACACACAAAUUUUCCCAAAUUUACUAAUGGCCUUCUACAUUCGAUCAUCUUGGUAUAUUCAUGAUCAUAGGAAUAAUUAGCAUGCAUAAUAAAUAUACAUUCCUUCUACAUAGAAACAAAAAUAUUAUCCCAUUGUGACUUUUAAUUGUCCCAUUGAAUUUUGAUAAUAUACUUUUUUCCAUCAAUUUCCCUAGAUAGUCGCGUUUAUUUGGAAGUCAUAAUUCCCCGAGAAGAUGUGCGUGACCCUCCUAUCAAGGAAGAGUUUACAUCACAUAACAUGGAGUUCAAUGUCGGAAAUACUAUUUGGCCCAUAAAAGUCCUCAUACAUAUAUCGGACUUUGCACGCCUAGUACUAGGGGUGAAGUUGAGUCCAACUUACGUCUAAUUCAAGCUUGACUUAAUUAUUAGUUGAUAUCAAUUGGUCUAGUUUCGAGUCAAGCUUACAUUUGGAGCUACGCCAAGUAUUUCAUCGAGUCAAGGUCAAGCUUACUAAGACUUUGCCUGAGAGACUCGCAAUUCUAAUCCAAUUUCUAUUAUUUUGUUCAAAAAAUAAUCGAUAGUUACGAAAAUAGAGGGUAAGAUUCUGAAAAUUGUGGUAUACCUCAAGCACAUAUAUGUAGAGGAUAAUAUUUGAAGUUAUUGAGCUUGAGGUCAAGCCCAUCCUUUAAUUUGAAGCUCGAGCCGAAAAUUUAAUACUCCAUGAGCAUCGAAUAUCUAAUAGGAGUUGAACUCGAGCUUGGGCACUACUAUAUUGGCUCGAAUCGAAAAUCUGACUUAGUAAUGUACCUAAAUACUUAAAAGUUGCAAAAAGUUUAUUUUAAUGAUAUAUAUACAUAUUGUCAUGGCACGGACUUUGUAACCAGACUAUACCUGCAUUGCUCUAAUAUAAUAGAAAUCUCCAAGAUCUGGCAACAAGAGACCCAUUAAAUUACAGCACCAACUAACUUGAUCCGAAAACACUCUGCCUGAUAUGUAUUCCACAGCGGACCUCAGGCAGGCCCAUGUUUUUCCCCCGAAUUCAAACUUAAAUUGGCUCUUACUAAACAUAAAUAGUCAAAGGUGAAACGACACAAAAUAGCUGGACCCCACAUUAACUCAAAACUGGUGCACCGCACACAGAAAGUGAAAACUCAAGCCCAAGAGGUUCUCAAUCAAAAUCGUUUACAUGACAGGCUUUGUGUGAUGCUGUUAAUCUAACUAAACCUAAGUAAAAUACUCAUAGUCAGGGUCUCAACCAUUGCGAUCACAAAGCGAUACAUAAUUCAUUCACCUAAUCGAAAAUAGUGAGAUCAAAGUCAUACUCUCAUCUCAGCCGGGAGCACACAUUCUGCUACCUUGAUCCGAGCUGAAAAGAUUCCUCUAAGAGGUCUUUGGCAGGAGCACCACCUCGACGGAUUCUUUUUUGGUGAACAUCCCAAUUAUACACAUGAGCAAUCGUAACCUGCCAAAUAAAAAUUCACCUCUCAAGGGCUGUUUCAAACACCCCCCCCCCCCCCUCCCACAACAACAAAAAAAAAAAAAAAAAGAGAAAGAAAGAAAAUUUCCCAGGGCCACCAACUUAAUUACCAUGAUAAACUAAAGGAUAUGGUCCUACAACAAGCUUUGAAUUUUUUCAAGUUCACAUACGUUUGAUAUCACCGCCACAAAUCAGCAUGUCUUCCCAAUUUAUAGCUUCACGCCAGUUACAAAAUUCAGAGCAACAGUAGUUCCACCCUAAUAGACCUACCCAAUUCUGACAUGGUAAACAGGUUGAAACAAACAUGGACCUCCAAGUUCCAAAUAAGUCUGACUUACCUGCGUGAUUGUUACUUGGUCCCUUAAGAAUUGUAUAUGAGCAACAAGAACUUCUAAACUUGCUUUAGUAUUUUCUAAGUUCUUUUGUAGAAGGGCUGUGGCCUGCAACAUAAAUUUAUGCAAUAAAUAAUAUACUUGACAUCAUUAUUGAAGAGAAAGGGACAUUGCUUAAACUCGAAUACAACCUCUUCACAAGAAUACUCCAACAUAACAUUUUCUCCCAGCCAUAAACAUACUGACUCAGCAUUUUCAAUUUGAGCUCGUGAAUGCCUUCAGAGACUUCAAAAUCAGCAAGGAGUGCCUGCAGACAAAAUAAAGAGCCAUAAACACCCGUCAGCUUGGUGCCUAAUUUGUUUUGCGCCGUAGAAGUUUGGAUAGUCUUAGGUCCUAAAGCCCAAUACAGUAAUCCUACCCCAUGUCGGUUUCUAAUUGGACCUUCAGACAUCGAAGCAACUAGCUAAAUAUUACUGGUGAUAUUCAGGUGUUCAAAUCUAAAACCACCUCAUUAUUGAGAUCAGCAUGGGCUCUUCAAAGGACUAACCUAGAUUAUUAGGAAUAUUGCUUCCAGAAGUGCAUUUGCAAAGGAGAAAAGACAAUCGGAUAUUUCAUAUCAUGUCAACCGCACCAAAAGUAGUUCCUAGUAUGGCAAGAAUUAAACUAGCUUAUCCUCCAUUUUGCUUUGUAAAGAAAGAAAAGGGGUGAUAUGAUCAGUUAAGAGAACAUCGAGGAGCAAGAAGAUUUUUUUAAGAUAAUAUUUUCUAGCAUAACACGAUCAUGAGGAAAAUUUAGUUGACAUUAUACAUAAAAGAUGACUGAUAGACUGUCGCGGAUUCCAGAUGAAAAACAGAAAAUGCAAAGUAAAACAUUGGUGGAUUCUAAGACAAUACAAAGAACCCCAGGGGAUAUGAUAAGCAAGAACUCCAGAUUGAAAAAAAAUAUGAUCUGGUCACGUGAUAACAAGUUUACUUUGUAAAAAGUCUCAAUAGUCAACAGCAUGAGCCUGACAGAUACCCAUUAAGUAUCCUCAGUAAAAAUACACGCGCCGAAAAGCGUUCAGCUUGAAUUUCCAAAUUAAAUUCCAGUUCUGAAGCCAUGAUUCAAUCUUACUGUAAUAGAAACACAUGCUUAUUGUGCACGCAUACAAUGGCAUCCUCAAUCACAGGUCACUGUGCUAUAACAACUAAGCCAGUUUGCUUCAGUCGUUAUGCAGCUUUACAUAUCAAAUAAACAAAAGAGGAAAUUGUUGAGGUGGAAUGGAGUGGUGAAGUAAUUGUUGCAACAAGGUGCCCCAAUUUGAAAUGAUUGAUAAAUUCAAAUCCUGGAUUUUUGUAUGGAGAGAUAUAUCAGAAAUGGUCAUAGCCUAUUUGAUGGACUACAAAGAAAGAUGGAGGCAGCACAUAAUAGUACUUGUGUUUGUGUGUGUUUGCGUGCGUUUGCAUGUGUCUGUUGAGAGAAAGAGAGAGAGAUGGAGGCAGCACAUAAUAGUACUUGUGUUUGUGUGUGUUUGCGUCCGUUUGCAUGUGUCUGUUGAGAGAAAGAGAGAGAGAGAGAGGGAGGGAUCUUGGUGGAGGGGUUGAGAAGUCUAGCAACCUCAUAGUUGAUGUUUUGGAAGGACUAAUUGUGCGGGAUAAAUCUCACAGAUUCUUGUCCACUGCAGAGAUAUGGAUUUACAGCACAUGAGCAGGAAACUUUGUUGAUGGCAGAAGGUAUUGUUAGGAUUCACCAUUUAUGCAGAGAGUGGUAACCAGAAGAGAAUGAGAUGGCCAAAUUUUUAGUUCUCUUACAAAAGAUAGCUGGUAGUAAAGAAACAAGGAAGGACUCUGUCCAAAGAAAGCAAGGGGAUAUUAGCUGCUUAGAUGAAAACAAUAUGGAACUAUUCGGCAUCACAGGUUUUCCACAUGUGUGAUUGCCUGGGGAGUGUUUGCAAAUAGCCAACAUACAAAAAGAAACCAAAAGCAAGAAGAAGAAGGGUGCAUACAAACAGAAACUAGCUAUCGCAAGGUCAAUGAGAAUCCUCAGAUCACCCACUGAUAUGUUGCCCUUGGACUAAAUCUCCUUGGGACGUAAAUAUGCAGGAAAAGAUGCAGAUAAGAUAUGGUGACCAUGGAAUUGAAUCAUACCAAAUCCAAAUCUCGACCUUUUCGUUAGUCUAGAGAUAGAAAUAAGAGAGCCUUUAAAUGUUGCAUCAAGGAAAAGGAUGGCUUUAGACUUCACAUAUGGUUAACAAUUUCUAAGACUAACUUCUUAUGCCAAGUGUGUUAGAUUCACUCUGAUGUAAAUAAGUCUGUUAAAAGGUUUGCUUGAUAAAGCUAUUGCUUUCUGAAGAAUAUUCAAUCAGCAAGAAAGCAUUCUCCUAUUUAAAUGAAGGGAUGCAUGAAACAAAUGAAUUGUUUAUUUCAUUCUAUACACAAGAUACUGAUACCAGCUCUGACCUCCCUCAAGGGUUCAGCGAAAAAAAGAAUAACAACCAAUGAGAAACAGUUUAAAAAGAACAAAAAAGAAAAACGAAAAAAACUCCUGAAUUAGAUAUAUCUCCGCCUUUCUUUUUCAGAUUUUUGCAAUACCAUUAACCAGGCUCUAAACAGAAUAACAAGCAACACAAUAUCUCUUCCUAUACUCUUGCACUUUCUCGAAGGAUGAGAAAUAUCCGCCAAAGUGAUUUCCUUUUCUGAAAAGAACCUAAAUGCAGGUAAUUCCUACUCAUUUUAAGAUAAGCGAUUGAAAGCCUCUAAUGCACGAUCACCAAAUAUGGAAGAUAAUACCAACGUUUCUCAAUGACAAAACCAUUUGAUGUGAUAAAGUAAAAGGAAGAUUUAUAAGAUAUAACAAGCAAGAUGCAACACCUAAUCAGCAUGUUCCCCGUACCUUUAAAUGAGAAAAAUUCCUAACGUGGAGAGCAUAAACAAGGCUUACUAUUUACUGAUGUGCACCGACAUUUCAUUUCCAUAAAUAAGCCAAGCAAGCAUUUUAGAAGUAUAGUCUCUUUCUCAUUCUAAUUACCUGUGAACAUCUUGACCUAAUUUACUCAGAGGUAAGUAACCGCAAUCAUCUCAAGAUUUAAAACCUCACAAUUUCAACACAAGGUCGUCAAUCAAUUGGACAACCAUCAACUAAAUUACCAAAAUCCACAGCUUGUUGUUAAAAAGCAAAUAACCACCACUUCCCUAUCAACUUGUGGAAAUAAAUGGAAAUUCUCCCAAAAUCUUGUUCACGUAGUCAGUAGUAUGAGUCGCGUGAGACAACAGACCUCACCAGAACCCUUCUUGGCCUGUAGAGCGGCGACUAUGUUUAAACACUUCUCAAUAUCAUGAAUUUUUUGCCUGGCAUUUAAUAUAGACAUUGAAUUAACAACCCAGUAAAAAGAAAAUGAACAAGUAUCAUGCUGACAGAGUAACAACAGGAUACUAACAAAGUGAUCAAGCUCUGUGGGAACAAAGAACCACAUGCACUCGGUUCUAUCAGGUCAAUGUAAAGAGAAAUUCAUUGUGAGACAUCAAGAGGUGCUGACCAUCUGGAUUUGUUUUAACUUUUUAUUCUAGAUUAGAUCACAAUAACUGCAACAGUAAGCCAAUUUCUCAUCCUUUUUUAGGGGAGAAGUAAAACUCCCUCGAAUUGAGACGAGGUUUAAUUUGAACUAGAAAAACAGAAACUAGAUGAAAGAAAUAAGGAGAAAGAAAUCUGCAAGAGAGUGUAGCAACCUUCAUAAUUGAGGACAUGCCCAUUCCACUAAUGAAAACUGCAAGAUACUUAAUAAACAAUGCACUACGAAAGACAGAACUCAGGGCGGACAAGCCUCUUGUUGUGUUGCUUGUUUGUCUCAACCCAGUAUAUUUCUUUUUCCUGAAACUAUAUAUUUAUCGUGAUUAAGCCUUUGGUAUCAAUAUCUCUAAUCAUGUCUUUAUACUAGGGGUGAGCAUGGUCCGGGUUGGUCCGGGCCACCCCCUAACCCUAGGACCAACCCGUACAGUGUCGGUCCUCAAUUUUUAGGACCGAGGACCGACCCUACUGAGCCUGGGACCAAGGACCGGACCGACCCAAUGGGUUCGGUCCGGUUCCAGGGUCAACCCGGGACCGAUCGAUAAUUUAUUUUGUCUUGUUUUUUAUACUCCCUAAAAAAGUAAACCUACAAAUUCAAAUUACACAUCCAUCGACAAUGUGGUAUUGUGCAACUAAACUAUAAAUACCAAUACAAGAUCUCAAAUGAAGCACAAAGUAGAUAUCACUAGUCAAGUUGUGUUUGGAAAGCAAGGGCAAGCUGAGCAUUAGGGUUUCUAAUUAGGGCUUCUUCUUUUUUCCUUUUGAUUUACUCGGCGAUAAGUGAGGCGACCGGCCUGAGUGGCGAGCGCAAGCGUCAAGUGUUGAGUGGGGUGAGCGUCAACUGGCAAGCGGCAAGCGGCAAGCGUUUAGUGAUGCCAGCGGCAGUGACGAGCGUUGAGCGAGCGGCAAGUGGUGNNNNNNNNNNNNNNNNNNNNNNNNNNNNNNNNNNNNNNNNNNNNNNNNNNNNNNNNNNNNNNNNNNNNNNNNNNNNNNNNNNNNNNNNNNNNNNNNNNNNNNNNNNNNNNNNNNNNNNNNNNNNNNNNNNNNNNNNNNNNNNNNNNNNNNUGAGGAGAUUUACGGCAUAAACUUCGCGCCAUUUUGGACAUUGCGAGUCCAUGACUAUGAGGAGUCCUUGGUCCUUCGCGCCAUUUUGGACAUUGCGAGUCCAUGACUAUGAGGAGUCCUUGGUCCUCACGGUGAAGAAUGUACUCUGGAGUCUAGACUAUGGAGGAGGAGGCCGUGAAGACCUUUACAACGUAAACUUCAUGCCUUUUGGAAUUGGAUGCCAUCUGUCUAUGACUGUGAGCAUGAGGAAUCAACAACUUUAACAUCAUUUACUUAGGUUUGAAUAUAUAAAAGAAUUAUAUAUAAUAUAAUAUAACAUAAAUUUUACUUAAGUUUGAAUAUAUAAAAGAAUUAUAAAUAAUAUAAUAUAAUAUACAUGGUUGGUCCAGGGUUGGACCGACCCAAAACUCUCAGGACCGAGGACCAACCCGCACAGUGUUGGUCCUGGAAUUUCAGGACCAAGGACCGACCCAGUCCCCUUGGGAACCGGACCAAGACCGGCAGGGUUGGGCCGGUCCAGGGUCGGUCCAGGGUCGACCCUAAACCGCUGCUCACCCCUACUUUAUACCUCUUGAGAAUCAAGAAAAAAGUUGCACACUUAAAUGAUUCAAAGUUCUAAAAAUUGCACGUACGCCCACCUGCAUGGUAACCGUUGCACAACCGUUUAGCACUGCAUUGGUUGUACUAUACUAGAAAAAAAAAAAAAAACAACAACAACAAAAAAACAAAGAAAGAGAGAGAGAGAGAGAGAGAGAGAGAGUCAAGGUCCGGUGGCAGCACAAGGGCAGAGAGGAGGGAUAGUGUCUAUGGUAUUCAACAGUGCAUCUGGGUCUUUGUUUGUGAUCACACGAAGAAAAUGAACAACGAAAUGUAACUCAACAGCGAAUUCAAUAGCAGAUAUCAUGAUACAAAAUAAUCAGUCGAUGAGAAAUUAUACACAAACAUCUAUAGGGAUGUCGAUAAUAACAUCUCCUUCACCAGCACCUUCAGCCUAGCGGAAGCAAAAGCCCCAAACUCAGGAACACCUCGUAACCCCUCCCCGAUCCGCCAUCGCGGCUGCUGCCUGUCCCAGCUGCCGUCGCCGUCUCUUCUCCCUCCCUCUUUCUCUUCAUUCUGUGAGGACGAUGCAGAGAUGGAUCUCCGAAUUGGGUCUGCCCGGUGACUUGGGAAGUCCGAGUCUGAUCCUCGUAGCAACUUGAUCAAGCCAUGGAGAGAGAUCUCUCUCACUUUCGCUGUGUUUGCCUAGAAGUUACACGCGACCUUCCUUCAUUAGUGAAAAAGCCGUUCAGAUUGACAAAAUAAUUGCUUCGAAGAGGAAACACGGGGAGAGAGAGAGAGAGAGAUGGUGGCUUGGCCGAGGUGGGACGCGAAACGAUCGGCGUAGGCGAUGGCCGGGGGCGGCUCGACGACGAGGGGUGACGGCACGGGAAGGGGAGUCGACGGCGACGGCGACGCGUGGCGGAGGCUUGCGGUGACCGAUUGGUGGUAGGGAGAGACUGAGGGAAGAGUAGGGGAUUUUUCAGAGUCCGGAUAUUCUUUUUAAGGAAAAUUCGUCAAAAAAGUGAGGGCAGUUGGGUCAUUUAGGAGGGUAACCGCACCAUGCGCACACGGCGAGUGAACAGAUUUACCGGAGAUUCUCCAUAGGUUUUUUUUUUUAACAUGAGAUUCUCUAUACUUAAGGAGUAAUUUAUCUUAUAUUUUAUUCCUGGAGAAGUUGACACCACAUUUAACAUAUUAAUAAUGUCAUCAUGUCCUGAAUAUGUUAUUUUGUCAUAUUCAAAGUGGGCAUGGAAUUUGAGAUCUAACAUUAUGGGAUUUUAUAAAUGCAAAGCAAACAUAUGUGAAAUAUUUUAUCAGUAUUGACAAUUAACUUCACAUAAAAAAUUGGCUUCUCAUACAUGCACCUCAAAUUGGGAAACAAGAAGGGAGAAGGAAGAGGCAAAUGAAUCCAUUUGUAAUCGUAUUUAUUUAUUUUUUUUACCACAGAUUUACAUUUAAUUAAAUUAUGAAAUGCAAUCAUUGCGUGAAUCACGGGAUCCUAAUAUUGACACUUAUCUUAAUGCCUCCCUAGAUAAAAUUCAGCACAUUAAUAAAUAUGAACACCCACAGAAUCCAAUAGCUAAGAUGAAGUAAGCCCCUAUACAUCAGAUGCAUAUAAGAUUUUGCUCCUUCCACACGCGCAAACUCCUAGGAGGCAACGUGCGCAGAGGCAGACUACUAGAUGUGAAAACGAAAGGCCACCAGUUUAUUAUUCUAUUUGGAUCAAUUAAAUUUGUUUGUAAGCCUAUUUUACUUCUAAAUGGAGAAAUAGUGACUCCUUAAGGCCAAUUGGAAUAAUAGGCCGGUUGUCGAGGCCAUUAGGGAACAUGCGUCGAGGAUCGCUAGAAGUCAACUACUGAGAAAUUAUAUGAUAAGAUGAUUUAAGCAGUCAAAUUCACAAAAGAGAUGAUUUUAUUUGGCGCAUUAGCUCCACAUAAAGCCCAAUCGGACUCAAUUGCCAUUUGGUCUCCCGCCGUUCGCGGAAAUAAUUGUAGGCUUUUAUCAUAAAUAAAGUAUACAUUGGAAAGGUGGCAAUUAUUUACACGGGAGAUGAAAAAGAUCCACAACCCUCACAUUAAUCUUGUGAUGCAAUUAUUUCAUCCAUUACAUAAGCGGUAAAAUGAGUCUACGCAAUUAUGCCAAGAUACACAUGUACGUUUUUCAACAAUUUAUUUCUAUACAUGAGUUCACAGUUUGUUAUAGGUUUGUUAUGUUUAAAAGGAAAAAGAAAGGUGAUUGACUCGUUUCAGUUAAAAAUGAUCUUGUUACAACUAGCUACAUUUUAGGCGGCUAAACAUUCAACAAGGCAAAAUGCCAAAUAAAGCACCUUUGACUUCAGCUAUUUGGCUCUUCAUUAUCAAAUUCAUCGCGCAAAUUUCUUUGCUCAGCUUCACAAAAAUGCCCCCUCAAUUGAUAUUGCAUCUUCAUUUAUUUAUGCUUCCAUUAUGGAACUCCAUCCGGUAAAAACUGAGAAAUUAUACAUGAGCAUACACCAAAGAAUUAAUUCUUCAACAAAAGCAAACGUCGUGUCAUUAUCAACAAAGCUUGGCUUAGAAUUAUCACAACUACCAAUUUCACAGCCCUUUUCAUCAUCAUAUGAUGUCUAAAGAAAAAUAACAGAUAUAUGGAGCAUCAGUUCAUGUAUCAAACACCGUUUGUUUUGCAAAAAAUGAAUAAUUAAAAAAUUAAUUUUCUAAAAAUAAUCAUUUACCAAAAUGAAUGAACGAAAUAUAUAUUUCCCUUGUCCAUGAAAAUAUUAAAACAUAAAUUGUUAUCGAUAACAAAAAUAUUUUCCAUUUACUAAUUAUUUCAUUAAGCUAUUCUUUGCUUCAAAUAUUUUGGAAUAUUUUAUUCAUUCUCCUCCAUAAAUUCAUCAUAUAACUCGUCAUACAAAUAUGCUGGUUUUUUUUUUUUUUUUGCCUCUCCUCCUUUUGCUCCCCCAAUCUAAGGUAAUACACCAAGGAGAUUGUAUAGUUGACAUCAAAUAGUUGAUGUGUUAUAGAACAAUUGAUAUAUUUUAGUUUAUUUGGGCCAAAAUUACUUUAUCUAGUUGACUCAUAACAGGGUAAGCUUUGUGUGAUUGGACCUCACUAAGUUUGUUAACAGGCUUAAGGUUUCAGCUUUAACUUGCAUACUUUCCACGGAUGAUAGAAAUAGUGAUUAAGUGACGAAGUCCUUCAAUUUAAUUUCUCCUGGUGCAUUGACUACCAAUGACAUCUAUAGUACUUAUGUUGACUAGUUAAGAGAAAUGGACUACUAUUCCAAAUUAUAAAAGACCAAUUCGAUCAAAUCAAUUAAAAAGUGGUCUCUCCAAUUCACGUUGCCUCGUUCUUGGGAAGUCUUGAGUUUGAUCCUCGUAACAACUUGAUGACGCAAUGGAGAGAGAUCUCUCACUUUCGCUGCGUUCGCCUGGAAGUUACCUGCGGCCUUCCUUCGCAAGUGAAAAAACCAUUCAGAUCGACAAAAUAAUUGCUUCGAAGAGGAAACACGAAAGGAGAGAGAGAGAGCUGUGCAUCAGUUUUCACCUUCAAGCGAUGAGUGGGGAGUGGAGGACCAUCGCUUCCAAUCUCGCCAAGCCCAGAUACGGGCCUCGUCGGCUUCGGGCGACCUCAGAUCUGGUGUUGCCCACGACCGCGAAUAGACGGAGCGAGGCUGCCUCGAGGAGAGAGAGUCGGGGACAGAGAUGGUGGCUUGGCCGAGACGGGACGCGAAACGAUCGGGGCAGGCGAUGUAAGAAUUAUCGUGGCCCACAUGAUAUGAUUUAUUAUAUGAUUUAACAAUAAUUGAAAUGCUAUAAAAUAAAUAAUGUAUUGGUUAUGAGAAGUUACGACUCUAAUAAAACAAAGAAGUAAGACUUUUAUGAAAAUUGAAAAUGCGCUUUAAUGGAAGGCACCCGUUAAAAGAACAUAUAAAUAGAGUCCGGUCCUCUCUCCGCCUACAACGAACAACAAUAACAAAAAAGCACUUAGUAUUCUCUCCUCCAUCAUUUGAAUAAAUUAAAGUUUAGUGGGUUAAGGGAGAGAAAUCAGAUUUAUUCAUUUGAUUCGAGUUGUUUGGUUUUUCACAACGAUUAUCAUCAAAGGGUAACGCUAUGGACAAAGGUAUGUUUUCAUCCAUUUAUGAAAAUCAUGAAUAUCAAAUAUCACUGUUUUAUUAUGAAUUUCCGCAUUAAAGAAUCAUUUAUAUUAUCUAACAGGCGAUGGCCGGGGGCGGCUCUACGAUGACGACAACGGUGAUGAAGAGGUGGCGGAGGCUUGCGGCGACCGAUUGGUGGAGGGAAGAGACUGAGGGAAGAGUAGGAGAUUUUUCAAAGUCCGGAUAUUUUUUUAAGGAAAUUUGUCAAAAAAGUGAGGGCAGUUGGGUCAUUUAGGAGGGUAACCGCACCAUGUACACGCGGCGGGUGAACAGAUUUACCAGAGUCACGUGUUUGGAGUGCUUUGCAAUAAGAAAGGAUUAAAACUAAAACUAGGUACUUUGCCCAAGCUUUACGCGAUAUCAUAAUAAAUGUACUUUAAAUAUGUUUAUUUUCAUUUUUAUUUUUGUUAAUGUCGAAAAGUUCGGAUUGUGUAUAACACUUGUUUCUUAUCCAUUAGGUAUAAAAUUACCAAGUAAAAUCAUUUGUCAGAUCAAGCAUGAAAAAUACACAUGAAAGUUUUAAGUCAAAUUUAACUUUUCAUAAAGGUAUAAUAAUAAAAUUUAAAAAAUUGAAUAUUGCUACUUUCUAUACCAAUUAUGUAACAACCUGAAUUCUCAGAUUUCAUUUUCAAUUAAAUAAAUUGAGCAUUUUGUCGACGCGCCUAUAGUGCUAUUAUCUGAGUUGAUUACUCACAACAUAAUUGGACUAUCUGGGGAAGCAAUUAAGGAAUCUAAAUGCAAUAAACUUGAGAAUUCGAUCAGGAAUUGAUAUCUCGAUCAUGUUGAUCUGCAAGGGUCAUUACGGCAUUGUCGAAAUCGAUCAGAGACCGGAGAUAGGUCGAUUUAACUAAAAUAUGUGAUUAGAGUGUGGGUGAUUCCACAUAAUUGCAAAAUACUUGUCGAUCGACACUAGACCGAUUUUUCUAUCAUUUUGGUACCCGGUGUUCAUAAUUGAAAUCUUGAGAUUUUCACGACAAUCAAGAUUCGUCAAUGUGUCGAAGAUGUACAUUAUGACUCGAGAUAAAUCGAUCACAGGUCAAUUGCACCAAAAAUUCCUAAAGGUUACCCAGUAGACUAGGUCACGCUAAAAUUGCAUCGGAUUGAAAUUAACCGUGAAUUUGAACCCGAUUUCAGAAAUUGAAAGUUCUGUCGUGUCAUGAUCUAUUUUAGAAUUGUCGACUCAUCAUCCAAAAAGUUUUCGGAGAUUCCGGGAUUUUUACGGAAAAAUCGAUUUGGACGUUGCGGAAAAUAGUGAAAAUUUUGAUGGGCUAAAUUUAAAAAAAAAAAAAUUGGACUUACAAGCAGAGCCUUUGAGCGUUAGGGACUUACAGAAAAUUGUUAGGGAUUUUUCUUCAACGAAAUCGGACAUCGAUCGGAGAAUUUCGGAAAGAAAUUGAACCUAAAGUGGUGAAAUUCGGACCUUAGGAUGGGGGUGUGCAACAUUGGUAGCAAUUUGGAUAAUUGUGGAUUUAUACUUCAAAAAAAUAAUUGGGGGACAAUAAAUGAUAAACAUGAAGACUUUAAAUGCCGAAUUACGAUGAUUUAGAUAUUUUUUAUUGGACUUUUUUGUGCCCCUUUCUCUCCCCUUCGCACGCCUCAUCCAUUCCUUCUUCAUCGUGCGAAACCUCUCUCUCUUUCAUUGCAACCCACCGAACCAGCUUAUCUCACUUUCCUUUCAUUUGCUUUUUUUUUUUUUUCCUCUCUUUCAUUUUACUUCAAGCACCCCACGUGAGUCAACCUUCCAACAACAAACUUUGGUUUGUUGACCGCCCCCAUCAUCUUCGUUUUUGCGCCACCGAAGCAGCUCCGUGUCCCACGCGUCCGAAGCUGCCUCUUCUUCCUUCGCACGCGACUUCCCCCUUCGCAGCUUCUCUUUCUUUUUUUUCUUUUUUUUGUUUCGGCUCUCUUUCACUUUUCCCUUGAAGCAGCCCCUUUCUUCGAACACUGCAGCUCCUUCCUCUGAAAUUUUGAGCCCACGUUCCUCUGCCCACCAGUGGCCGAAGCCCACCGAUCUUCUCUCUCUCGCAUUGCUGUCCCCACACCGGUCAACUCCAGCAAAUCUUCUCCACCUUAGUUGACCCAACAGCUCCCUUUGUGCGCCAGCUGCCAGCGCUACCAGCCUGCUUCCAUUUGCUAGUUCGUGAGUCCAGCGAAGCCGUAGCAGCCCAGCUUCCAUGCCCGUGAGAUCCACCGAAUUAGUAGGCCCAUUCUAUGCAGCCAUCUGAAGCCGAAGUCCAGCCCAUGCAGUUCUUUUCUUCAGCCCAUUUCCAGCAGAAUUUCAACCUGCGAGCUCAGGCCCAAGUUCAGCCUAAGUUUCCAGCUCACUUGAGGCCUGUGCAGUCAAGCCCGCGAUUUUGAGGUCCAUUUGAAGCCCGCGAAGCAGCCCAACUUGGGUCCAGCCCAAAUCAAGAACAAAUCUCAGCUUGGGCGAGAUUUGUUGGGCCGGCUCUAGGCCCGGUCCAAGCCCAUUAAUGCCGCCGCAAACCCAAGUUUCGGCCGUCGUUGCAUCAUCGUCGCGGUGAACCAGUUUCUGAGAUAAACCAGUGAGUUUACGCACUAAACUCUUCUUAGUAGGCUAAUAACGUUUAAUGGGUGUUUAGAUUUAUUUAAGUGCAAUUAGUUUAACUAAUAAGUUAGUUAAAUUAGGAUAGUUAGAUAAAGUGAUUAGGUGGUUAGAAAUUUAUAGUUAAUUAGAUUAGUGUAUUGUUAUAUAGCUAGGGUGCUUAGAAUAAUUUAUUUAGCUCAAUAGGUGGUUAGAUUAAAUUUAUUUAGCCUAAGUUAGAAUUUUAGUAUUUAAUGCAUUUAUUUAAUAAAUUUUAGAAAUUAUUUAAUUAUUAAAUAUUUUUCCAGAAAUUAAGCUGGGAUAGUCGGUGACCGGAAUUUCGUGUUGAUUGCAAUGGUGUGGUUAAUUUUUGCAAUCGAGUGUUAAAUUGUGAAAUUUGAGUGUUGAUUGAAAAUUUGAUCAAUUAUUCCAAAAUUGGUGAAUUUUGACAUUUAUCUAGAAAAUCCUGGGUGUCGGGUUUUAAACACCAAAAAUGGUUUUUAUAUACUAUAUAAACUAGUGGGAUUUUUUUUUUUUUUAAAAAAAGAGGAUUAUGAAUUUUCUGAGUCCAAUCUAACCGUAUACCCACACAUGACUAUUUUCAUCGGGUGUUUUUACUACGAAUGAAAUAAGCAAGGAUCACUAUUUUAAUUGAGGCAUUUGAGUGCAAUGCACGGUGUCCUGGGCCGAAAUUAAGUGGUUGUGUGUUGGUUAAGAGAACUCGUCCCUGAACUGUGUCGAAUGGAUGUUACCUUAUGUGGGAUACCCAUUUAUUGGAUUUUGGGUCGUAGUAGAGGCUAGAUCUAUACUUCUUCGGGAAAGUCGUCUUUGAGAGACGUAACCGUGCUCAAUGGGUUAAGACGAUGCCUGGCUACGCCAGCAGACCGCCAAACUUCUACUAGGUCGUACCCUAGAGUGGGCGAAAUUAUCAAUUGGAACGCAUGUUGAGUGGAGUAAAUGCGCUGGAUUAUGGGACAAAAUUAUGUGACAUAGUAUGGGACGUGUCAUAAUAAUUUAGCCUUAUAAUGUGGACCCCUGUGAUUUAUUGAGUUGAGUAAUGCGUUUCAAUUGUUGUGUGCAUUGAUUUUAUGCAUAAUGUGUAUAAACUAUGCUGGCCUGCAAGGUGAAACUGAGGCGAGGUAAGUCAUCUAUACUAAAUGCGUGAUUGAGUGGUUAGGACACCCUUGGGUGUAUUUCCCUCCUAAUCGGGGUAUAAAGCGUGAACUCGCUAAGAUUUAUAUCUCACCCCGUCGUGGGAUAAAUUUUCAGAGUUGUCGAGUGGAAGACUUGAAGCCGAGAGGAGGUGAUUAGAAGUGUAGGUUACUUAGGACUGUUUCUUUUUGGAAAGCCAGUCUGUGUAGUCUUUUGGUCAUAGACCUUGUACAUGACUCAAUGUGUAUAUAAAAGUGUGUUUUGUUUGUGAAAUUGUUGUCCUGCUUUUUUAUCAGGGGAUUUAUUUUUACUUCCGCAUAUAUAAUAAAAUGAAAAGGGUCGGCGACUCACCUAGGAAGUCGCAAAAUUUUAUUGACCAGAGAGGGAUGGGCAUACGUUCGGGGUUCGGGGCAUGACAAAUUGGAUUCUAUUUUCAAUUUAGAAUAUGUGGAUUUUUUUUUAUUCAGUACCAUAUCUCCAAAGGACAUUUUAAUUUGAUCUCAAUUGUUGAGUUAAACCUCAAGACCAUCUCAACUUGUUCCUUGUAUAAAAAUUCCUAUGUGACAUCUAAGAUUGAAAGGAAACCCCAUUAGAAUAAGUCAAUUUUGGAUAGUUGAUCGUCAAGACUAAAAAGCAUCUAGCAUCGAGUCUUUAUCCCAUGCUCACAAUCACAUUACAUCUAUUGCUUGCUAUUAAAUGGUUGUUUUGUAGAAAAGAAAAAAGAAAGGGUAAAAGUCAUCCAAAAUCCUAAAUUAUAUUUAUUGUGAUACAUUUACUCUAAUUUUUUUUUGUGACACUAGGAACCUAAACUUGUAUCUAUGUAACACAUUUAUCUCAAAUUUGUAUAGUGAGACACAUUUAUCCAAAACUUCUUUUUGUGAUACCAAAAAUCCUAAAUUUGUAUUCGUGUGACAUGUUCACCCUUAAAAUUUGGCAUCGAUUUUAAUGUUACAAAAAACAAUCUAGAAUAAAUAUGUCACACAGAUAUAAGUUUGGGAUUUUUAGUGUUGCGGAAAAAAUUUGUGGUAAAUGUAUCACACGGGUAAAGUUUGGGAUUUUUUUUUUUUUUGACUUUUUACCUUUUAUUUAUUUUUUUCUUCUCUAUAUGGGCUAAAGAACGUAGAUCUUUAUACAUUGACAAGCAGUGAUUCACCUUUUCUCUCACCACGAUGAAAAAGGUUUCUUUCUGUCAUGCCCUAAAUCUUAAGUGUGCGCACAUCCCUCGGUGGUCGAUAAAAUUGCAACGUCCCGGGACGUGUUGCUGACCCAUUCAUUUUAUUGUACAUGCGGAAGCGAAUAAACAAAUCCUCAUACAACACAAAUAUGGGAUUGAAGAGCAGGACCGCAAUUUCACCAAAACCCAAAUUUUCAUAAACAAACUAGUCUGUCUACAAAAAGAUCGACUUUAAAAAAGAAGCUGUCCUACGAACUACUAGUCGGACACGUUUGCCGAUCCUUCGGACUCCACCUCCACAGCUUCGGAGGCUUCGGGUCCUCCACAACCCCAUCAAGAGGGUCAAUUGCACCCUUGCCUAGAGCAGUGUUGACCGCAAUGAUGGGGAUAUCAAAACCCUGAACGGGACCUUUCUUAUAUCCAUUGAGCCCAUGGUGAAACCACACCCUGAAUCGAUGAGGUACCCUUUGAGGUAAGCCCUCAUCAACCCAGAUAGUGGUCACAACAAGCUCAUGGAUCCAGUGACUCUCGAGGAUAGGGACAUCUAUACUCCACUCAAUAACCCCCCAAGGCUAUCUAAAAGAACCAGAGGGACUGCCAUCUAAGGACCUGAAAAGGUUAAGCCCAUGACCAAGGUGAGACAACGUCUCAGCAAGUCUCCCUAAACCCCAAUUUAGAAAGAAAAUACGCCUAGAGGUAAUCUAACCACACAUCACAGAAGACUUACCUUGCCUGUGUUCCUUCAUGCACGUUAGUACAAUUCAUAUCACAUAUAAUUGCAUUAAAAGCACUCAUCAAUCGGGAUGUCUCAACUUAUAACCCGAACAAUUAGGGAUGUCUCAACUUAUAACCCAAACAAUUACAGGGGUCUCGAUUAUAAGGCCAAAUCAUUAUGACACGUCCCAUUCUGUGCUACACAAUUUUGUCUCAUAAUCAGUUGCGUCAAUUUCAAUCAAUCAUGUGUCCCAAUUGAUUACGACCCAACGGCCACAGUCAACUCAACAGUUAGUAGUCCUUCGGCAUAGUUGGGCGUCGUCCGGCACCAUCGAGCACGGUAACGUCUAUAUCUAGACAGCAUUCCAUAUAGGAGCAUUGGCCUAGCCUCCAUUGCGAUGGGCAUUAGUUGACUUGGGGCAUUCCCGAAGGAGCAUUGUCUAGCCCCAAAGGCUCGUGACGGGUUCUCAUAUCAUUCAUGCACCCAUCCAAUCCCAGCCAAGACAUAGUGCUUUGCACUCAAAUAUCCCAAUUAAAAUAAUGUAUUUGGCCCACUUUCUUCGUAUUAAAAACACACGGUAAAAUAAUCAUAUGUGAGUACAUGGUCAAUUUAAACAAGAAAAAUUAAUAUCCUUCUUUUUAAAAUCCCACUGUUUGAUAUAGUCUUUAAAAAUAUUUUAGGUGUCAAAACCCGACACUCGGUAUUUUCUAAUUACAUACCAAAAUUUCAUAAUUUUAAAAUAAAUACUCAAAAUCGCAAUCAUCACUCAAUUUGCACAAAUUAACAAUUAAUUGCAUAAACUAAGCACACAAUUGCAAUCAGCACGAAAUUCCGGUCACCAGCUAUCCCAGGACAAUUUUUGGAAAAUAUUAAAUAAUUAAAUAAAUAGCAAAAAUAAUUAAAUAAAUGCAAUUUAAUCCAAUUAAUGCAAACCUAGGUCGGAAACGCUAAUUUAACCACCUAAACGGGCCAAGAAAAUUAAUGCACUUAUCUACAUAAAUAGUACAAUCUAUUUAGCCCUUAAUCAAUCUAUUCUAACCACCUAACCAUCAUAAUUAAGCAAUUAAAUCAUUAAUCAAAACUAACUAACCACCUAAGCCAUACUUAGCCUAAUCUAAUUACAUACUAAACAUCAUUAACUCCCUAGAUUGGUGAGUCCAAGGUGACGAUGAUGCAGAGGUGGGCGACACACAAGCCUGCAGCGACACCAAGCGUGUCACGCCCCAAUCCUCGACACACGCACAUCCUUCACACUUGGUCGAUUUUAUAAUGCGAUAUCCCAGGACAAUGUAUCGCCGACCCUUUCAUUUAUUAAGCACAUGCGGAAGCAGUUAAAAUCCCCAGACAAUAAAACGAUGGGAUAGAAAAGCAAGGCCAUAUUUUUCAUAUUGAAAUUUAUAACUAAACUUUUAUACAAACACAAACCAGAGCACUUCAGAACUUUUUACUUUAAACUCUAUUCACAUCAAAAUGAAGAUCUCAAAAGAAGAUAGAACUUCAGUUCACCCGGGCCGUACUCAAGGCCCCUCUCGGGAUUAUCUUCUUCUCCCAAAAAUCCUUCUUAGACUCCUCCUCCUCAUCUCCUCAGCGGGGUCCUGAAAUGAUUUCCCCAAACCGGGAUGAGACUACGUCUCGGCGAGUUCUACCCAACUAAGGCCAGAUUAGUAAACUAUUAUACUACAGGCUGCCUAAACACGCACAGGGCAGAGGACUUACCUUGGCCUCAGAUCUCACCUGCAAGUCAGUACAAUUCACAAUAGGCACCCAUUUACUCAAAACAAAUCGAACCAGUCGAUUACAUGUCACACAAAUCACUCUCCACGGAGGAGUAUUUAAAAGCGAGGCCAGGUGCAUUCUCUAGGACGACAUUCCAAGUCUCCGAGUCCACGUGCCUCGAACCUUGGGCCCACGUGCAUUCUCUCAGGCGACCUCUUCGCCAAAGUGAUACAUCAAGUCACCGAGCCCACGUGCCUUUUUAGAUGCCUGGGCCCACGUGCAUUCUCUUAGGUGCUAUCUCACCAAAGUGAUGCAUCAAUUCAUCGAGCCCACGUGCCCUUUUUACGAUGCCCGGGUCCACGUGCAUUCUCUUAGGUGCUAUCUCAUCAAAGUGAUGCAUCAAUUCACCGAGCCCACGUGCCCUUUUUACGAUGCCCGGGUCCACGUGCAUUCUCUUAGGUGCUAUCUCAUCAAAGUGAUGCAUCAAUUCACCGAGCCCACGUGCCCUUUUUACGAUGCCAAACUCUGUCACCGAGCCACGUGCAUUCUCCAGGAUGACAUACCGAGUCUUCGAGCCACGUGCAUUCUCUCAGGCGACCUUUUCGCCAAAGUGACAUAUUCAACCACUGAAUUCACGUGUAUUCUCCAGGUGAUAUUCCAAUUCACCGAGCCCACGUGUUUUCUUUCAAGUGAUUACCAAUCUACUUUCAAUACCGACAACCAAUGCCCAACAAUUUCUCAAUCAAAUAAUUAAAUCAACUCAACAAAGCAUAUAAAUGCUGAAUAACAUACUUGGCCAUUUACCAGUCAACAAUUCAAUCUCAAUCAAUUCCAAUCAAUUUAGGGUAAAUCCCUAAAAUAUCACAAUUUAUUCAAUUCCAUACAACGUGGAGCUCAAAUAAAUAAACGGACUGCGCCACGACGAUCAGCAUGAGAUUUCGGUCUUCGGCCAUCAAAAUCUUAAUUUCCGAAAAAUAAUUAAUUAAUUAAUUAAUUUCGAAAAUUAAUUAAUAAAUAUUAAAAAUUCAAUUUAGCUCAAAAUAAAGCCCGAUUAAAUAAACGGACUUCACCACGGUCAUCAGCAUAAUUUUCCAGUCCCGGGCCAUCUCAGUUGAAUUUUCGGAAAAUAAAUAAUUAUUUAAUUUAAUUCCGAAAAUUAAUAUUUAAAUACUAAAAAUUCCACUUAGGCCCGAAAAGCCUAAUUAGAGCCCACUAAGGGUCGGGAAAAAUCCCGAGGUACUUCCAAUAAUUAGUAGACCACGUCUACUUGUUAAUUGCGCAAUCAAUUUAUCUAAAUCGCAUCACAAUUGACUAAUAAUUGCUAAUUUAUUCUAGAUCUAACAACCUAAACAUAAUUAAUUAAAUCUAANNNNNNNNNNNNNNNNNNNNNNNNNNNNNNNNNNNNNNNNNNNNNNNNNNNNNNNNNNNNNNNNNNNNNNNNNNNNNNNNNNNNNNNNNNNNNNNNNNNNUGGGGAUUCGCACGAGGGGGGGAAAGGGGAGAGGAGAGAGAGAGAAAAGAAAGAAAAGAAAAGAGAGGGGGAGAGAGAAAAAGUAAAAUAAAAAUAACACCAUUUUUCUUAUUUUCUUUUCUUUUCUCUUUCCCUAUUUAUUUCCUUUCGGUCUUCGAUUUUUCCUCCGCUAAUUUCUUUCUUGAAAUUUCGGACUCGGCAAUAAAUUGAUGGACGAUGAGACGGUCCUAAAAAUGAAUUGUGACACGCCCGAAUAUUCGAUUCUCAAAACCGAAUUAAAUUUCAUGAUUAAAAUCGAUCGGAUGCGAUUUUAGUCCAAUCCAACCAAUUAGGUAGCUUUUAGGGAUUUUACCGCGGUUAUAUCCCUUAACGGCUUCACCCAAUAGGUUAGCUAACUCGUGAGUGAUCAACUCAGAGAAAAAGGACCAUAGACGCGCUGACGAUAUGCACAUUUCACUUUAUCGAAACGGGGUCGAAUUUUAGGAUGUCACAAAGCGAGGUCCGGAAGAGACCUAAAACGGGCCACGAAGCCUAACAGCCACUGCUGGCCUUCGGUUCUGUCCAAGGAUCGAAGGGGCUGGGUCGAGUGCUGGAUCGGCUAGAACAACCAAGGCGGGACGGCGGCGACUGUUGUAAUAUCUUGAAAUUUUCAUUUCUACUUUCAAUUAAAUUAAGCGUGCCUUUCGUCAACACGCCUAUAGUGCUAUUCUCAGAGCUGAUCACUUCUGAAAUAAUUUGACUAUCUAGGGAAGUCAUUAAGGGAUUUUAAUGCAUUAGACUUGAGAAUUCGACUAGAAAUCAGCUACUCGAUCGUAUUCAUCGGCAGAGAUCAUUACGGCAUAGUUAAAAGUCAAUUAGAGAUCAAAGAUAGGUUGGUUCGACAGAGAUUUGUGGCUAAACAUGGGUGAUUCCACUAAAUUACAAAAUUCUCGUCGACCGACACUAAACUGAUUUUUCUGUCGUUUUGGUAUCCUGUGUCUGUAUUUGAAAUCUCGAGAUUUUCACAACCACCGAGAGUCACCAAUAUGUCGAAGAGGUUCAUUGUGACUUGAAGAAAAUCGGCCACGGGUCAUUUGCACUAAAAAUUUCUGAAAGCUACCCAAUAACCUAGGUCAUCCUAAAAUCACACCAGAUUGAAAUUAACUGCAAAUUUGAAUCCAAUUUCAUAAAUUGAAAGUUUUGUCAUGUCACGAGUCAUUUUAGGAACGUUGACUCAGUCUCCAAAUAUUUUUCUGCAAACCGAGAUUUUGGCAGAAAAAAUCGAUAUGGGGCCGUUUUCGACCGAAAAAUGUGGAGGACUAUUUUUUUAUCGCGAAAGUGGGAUGCAAGUAGGAUCUAUUGGUGAGGAAAAAUGCCAAGUUGAUUGAGGACUCAACGGUUGAAUUUUUAGAAGCCAAAUGGAGUUGAUUCAAAGAGGAAUUGAAGUCCAAUUUGGGGAAAUUCCAAUCAAAAUUCAUAGCUCCCCCUUGGACCCAACAUUUGGACCACUCCAAGGCUUCUAGAGGAAGAAUUGGUUGCUAGAAAUUGUAGAGGAAUCCAGCUGGGCAUUGGUGGGACACACCAAGGGGACAAAGAGAUGAGAGAGAGGCCAAGGUGGCCCCCCUUAUAGCAGUCGGUUCCCCUCCUUCUCCUUCCUUCGGUCGAGCCUCCAUUUCCAGUAGCUAGAAGACUUCAAAAUUUCUAGCAAAACCAGAGAAACCGCAGCCCCUUCCCCCUUGACCAUUCGAGCAGUCCGCUGGAGCCCAGAGCCACCGUCGCACCGUUUGGCCGUCCGCCGAGCCACCGCAUGCCAGCCUCACGCCUGCACGUCUCUUGCUGUCAUCCCUACCCGUUCCCACUUCCAGUAGCUUGCCGGGCCAGGUCAGGCCACCGUCAGAGCUUCCACCACCGCUGUACGCCAUCGCCUUCGCCCAUCCAAGCCAUAGCAGCCUCAUCGUGCCCGUUUCUAGCUCAACCGACCACCAGAGCAGUCUUCUUUGCCCUUGACCAAAACCGGAGCUAGUGGGUUUUCAACCCGCUGUUUGGCCCAUUUUCGAGCCUUUCCCGGCCCCGCUUGGUGGUCCCGCUUUGGAGUUUGUUGUUCCUCUCCGCGUCCCUGUCGUUGUGGUCUAAGCAGAUCGUUAAUCAAGUGAGUUUAACUCACUAAUCCCUACUUAGUAAGUUAAUGAUGUUUAAGGGUUGAUUAAUUUAGACUAAGUAUGGAUUAUGUGAAUAGUUAGAAUAGAUUAGUGAAUUAAUUUAUUGUUAUUGUAUGUUAGGUGGUUAAAGUAUUGUAAUUAGAGCCUAGACAAGCUCUAGUAUUUAUCUAGAGUGGUUUAGAAAUUUUCCGGGCCCGUCUUGGCUUUUAUUUAGGCUUUUCUAGCUUAAGUGGUAUUUAUCGGUAUUUAAUAAUUAAUUUUCAUAAUUAUUUAAUUAAUUAUUAUUUUUCGAAAAGUAGACCGGGAUAGCCGGUGACCGGAAUUUUGUGAUGAUUGCAAUGGUGUGAUUUUUUUUUUAUUAAUUGACUGCUAAUUUGUGCAAUUGAGUGUGAUUUGUGAUUUUUGGUAUUUAUCCCAAAAUUUUAUUUAAUUUCAGCAAUUAAUUAGAAAAUCACCGGGCGUCGGUUUACAACGCGAAAAAUGAAUUUGAGGACUAUUGAAAUUAGUGGGAUUUUCAAGGAGGAAAAUAUUGUAUUUUGGCUAACGCCGGUACUCACACACGAUUAUUUUUAUCGGAAAUGAUAAAAAUGGUGAAAUGGUUAGAUGAUCAGGAUGGUAUACUAUAUCAACUUGCAGGCUCGAUAUGUCAGCUUAGAGUGAGCAGUAUAUCGAUAUAUUAUAUCAACUUGCGGGCCUUGAUAUGUCAGCUUAGAGCGAGCAAUGUACCUUAACAGCUUCUGGUGAGCAUUAUUAGUAUACUAUAUUAGCCUACGGGCCUUGAUAUAUCAACUUAGAGCGAGCAGUAUAUUAUUUAUCAGCUUAGAGUGAGCUAUACUAUCUAUUUAUUAGCUUAGAGUGAGCAGUCCUGGUUAUGAUUGAACUUUAUAGAUAGUAUGAUUGAGAUGACCGGGGAAUGGUCUUGAUGAUAUGAAAUCGGCUGAGUCGAUUAAUCGAUUGUUCAAUAUGAGUGGAUGAAUUAUUGGUUGAAAUGAUUGAAUGGUUAUAUGAAUUGUAUUGACUUGUAGGAAGAAAUGGAGGCAAAGGUAAGUCAUUUGACCCGUGCUUGUGCUUAGACAGCCCUAAGGGCGUAUUUUCUUCCUAGUUGGGUCUUAGGGGGUGAACUCACUGAGACGUUGUCUCACCCCAUUGUGGGAUAACUUUUCAGGUCCCUAGAUGGCAGCUUCUCCCAAGCAUUAACUUCCGGUAAACUCUGCUAAUCAUAGGGACCAUCGGGUAUCAGAGCUUUGGUCCAAUGGCUCCUCCUAUAGGUGGUAGGGUAGGGUGGGUGGUACUGCUCAAAUUGCGGCCAAUCUUCCUAACCGCGUGACUUUACGUUUAACUGGUAUUGACUAUAACUGCUAUUGAUCUCCCACUACACUGUCAGUAAUAGAAGGAGCAAAGAGUCUACUAUACCUUGGCCCCUCCUUCUCUAAUCUUUAGAUAAUUCUCAUGGAAUGUCUCCAAAAUGAUCGCCCGUGUUGACGCCAUUAACAGAGUCUACAUUCUAACCAGAAAAUCUUGGAAUAGGUGGUUCUCUCUCCAACUUGCUAGGGUGACGAAUUAUCCUCGUUGGCUGAGGAAUGACUCUUCUGAUUUCUUGUUUUUUCCAUUAACAGUUCCUAUGAAUGGAACACAAUGGUCCCAUUGGGUGUGCCAAAAAGAUGUUUGUCGAGGGAAGUUCCCUCGACAAAAUCUUUCAUCAAAGGGGUAAAGUUUCAACUUUAUUAUUUAAAAUGGAUUAUGUGUCACUCCGGAAAGGAAGCAACUGAUCUAAAUUACAGGCAAACAUAGAUGCAGGAAAAAAAGGAGACAAAAUAAAACUACGAUUCAAAUUAAAAGUGUGAUCAAAGAAAUAGAGCGAUUGAAAAGUAGAUGAUCAAUUAUUGAUUUGGGAAAUUGACCUUUCUAUUGAUGCCUCUUCGGCUAUUUAUAGUGGCGAUUUAUGGGUAACUGCUCUUUAGUGGUUAUCAUUUCGAUAUUCAAAAUGUUUCAGAAGCUUUGGCUCCUUAUCGAUAACCACUUUGCCAUAUCGAUAUUUUCAUUGGUAUCGAUUCCCGUAACUACUUCCUUUCUUGUCUCGCUUGCCUUGGCAAGUUCUAAUGUCACACUAUUCGAAAUCUUCGUUGUUGACUAUUGGUGUUUUGGCCCACUACCCAUGAAUUCUUGUGUGCUAGGCCUGCUUUACUCUCUUCUAUUUCCAAAGCCCAACAAGCAAAUUUUGGAUGCCAACAGAAGCACAUGCAAGAAUAUGAGAGGAAGUCGUGGAUCUUUCAAAUGUCCCCUGAAUGUGACUAAUUGACCAAGAUCUAUAAAAAAAUAUAAGGUAGUUUGAUUAAGCUAAUUAUGAGUGAAAAUAGUACUUCAGCAAACAAAAGGUAAGGUUAGUACAUUAAGCCGUUGAAUGCCUAAGCAUAACACAACUCUUAGCCAGAAAUAGUUCGACUGGUAAUAAUUAUUGCUCAUAUAGAUUCCCAACCAUUACACUUGAAGACAUUCAGCAUGAAUAGUUGAUUGCAUUCUGGAACUCUGCAUAAACAGAUGAACAAAGGUAAUGAUUAUUGCCGGAGAAGUAGAAUUUCAACUUUAAUAAUGGGAAUGCUUGAAAUUGCAAUUAUAACCAUUGACAUCAAAAGUGGAGUAAAGAUGGUGGUGAUCUUUGAUUGUGCAUCAUCAGAUAGUCCCUGCUCAAUCUUCAAAACUACAAGAAACAAAGGUGAUACAAAAAGGAGAAAUCUAAGUUAUUGCAUUUGCCAUAAUUAAUUCACUAAAAAGUUGAGUCAUCAAAUUCCCAAACUGAGCUUAAAACAACAAAGGAAAAAGAAAAGGACUUGUCAUCCGCAUAACAAAUAAGAAUUUUAAAAUAUAAAUGUCUUAUCGGGCAAAUUGAAAUAUCUUCCCUAAUUGUAAUUUAAGAUGAGCAGGAACGAACCAAUAGCAAACAAAUAGAGAAGAAAAUUGUAGUUUCACUCUCUUUUGGAGGUGAACAUUAAAGAGAAUUGAUAUAGAGAAAAUUUGAGUUAAUUGAUUGUUCAAAAUACCUCUUGUCAAACCUAAUUUUGUAUGUUGACCAAAAAAAUAAUAAUUUUGUCUAGUAUACCUAACAUUACUUAAAUAUUUUUAUGGAUCAAAGGGACUAAUUAUAUUCAUUCCUUUUCUCACCAUGAUAACCCAUGAGAAGUUUCCAUAUUGACAAUUUCAUGAACUGAGCAAAGUAGGUGAGUCACCUAAAUCUUUUAAUUAAGCAAAGUCUUAGUAAACAAUGAUACAUACCUCAUCCAUCUUUGUUGAACCUCAGGCAGUAACUUACAGUGAGUUCGCAAGAUUUUGGCACUCCCAACAUGCUCUUCAGUGAUUCACACCGAUUGAAAUCCAAUCUUUUUAGAUUUUGUAAAUUAGACAGAUCAUAUUUGUUUAAGCUUUUGAUGGAAUUACAGUUCCAAAUCCAUAGCGUCCGCAAUGAUUUCAAUUCUCCCAAACCCUGAAUCUCAAUUAGGUGAGGGAAUUGACGCAGGUACAAAUGCUGGAUCUUCUUCAGACAAGGCAAAAUGGGCAGAGUCUUAAGUAAUGGACAGUCGAAUAUCAUCAAUUCAUUGAAAUUUUGUAGUUUUCCAAACCCAUCAAAACGAAUCUCGCCUAGCCAAUAUCUUUCAAUAAUCAAUCUUGACAAAUUCUCCAAGUUGGAAAAGAGCGACCAAUCUAUGGGUGAUUGGACAUCGACUAAAGUCAACCGUUGAAGGCUAGAUGGAAGCCUGAUAAGAGAUCGAGGGUUGGCAUAACUUACAGAGAGUUCUUGUAACUGAGAGAGGGAACUCAAAUCAGUUGGAGGCAAGGUCAUUUUUCCAACCCACAGGGUCAACUUUCUUAGAGCACUUGCUCUCAAAAGCCCCUCUAUGUUGGGUUCCUGUACUGUUGUUCCGAUUAUAUCAAGAUGAACUAAAUUGGUUAGAUUGGAGUAGUCAGGGAUUGUAGUCAAUGAGUCCAAUGAAAAGCUUAACGACUUUAGACUCUUAGGAAGCUCUGGCAACUGUUGAAUUGACCUACAGUCCCAUAAAUUAAGUUUUUGGAGAUUUGUAAGCCGAUUGAUGGUUGUUGGCAAUCCACUAAAACAGCCACCUGAUAAAUCUAGAAUUUUCAAUGAGGAUAGUGCCCCAAUUUCACUUGGAGUUUCCCCCUCCAAGUGUUCACAUGAGGCACUCAACUCUUCCAAAUUUUCCAACGUUCCUAUAGUUUUCGGAAGUUCACUUAUGCGGCUAUGAUCUAGAUUUAGUGCCUUCAACUUUUUGAGAUUUCCAAUACAAUCAGGUAAGCUCCUGAUGUGUGAAAGACUCAAAUCCAACUUGACCAAUGAUUGGAGCCUCCCAAAUGAGUUUGGUAGCUUUUUUAAAUAGCCAUUUGGGAUCAUAAAAAUUUCCAACCUUCCUAAGUUCCUAAUGGAAUAAGGUAAUUCUCUCACACUUGUAUGUCUGACAUUCAACUCAAGUAGUGAUUCCAAUUGUCCAAUAGAAUCGGGGAGUUUUUGCAAUUCCCAACAUGACAAGAUUAGAUGCUUCACAUUCACUAGAUUGCCAAUCGAGUGAGGCAACACUAAAAGUUCUUGAGAAAAUAUUUCUAAGUAAUCAAGAUGUUGUAAAACACCGAUGGACUUGUCGAUCUUUCCAAGUUGAUUGCAUCUAAGGAUUAAUCUCUCUAACUUGGAGAUUGCAGAGAACUUUGGUGUCUUUCUAAGUAAUGGACAAUCCAGGAGUUUUAGGACUUUCAACUGUUUUGCUACCUAUAAAACAAUUAAGCUGAAAUUAGAAAAGAAAAAGAGUAAAUGUAAUGCAAAAAUAUGUCAUGAGAUCAUACCAUGAUUUGACGCCAUCCUCCCAGUCUUUAGUAAUAUUAAUCCCAGAAAGCUCAAGAACUGCUAGGUUCUCCAACCUAAAGUUGGCAGCAAGGAAUUUCGAUGGGCAAUUGCGCCAAGAGAGCCAUCUUAACUCGGAGAAAUGAUCCUUAAAGUCUCCUUGGAAGUUUCCAUGGUCCAAUUGAAGGAAUCUAAGAUUGACCAUCCUUGCAAAUUCCUUGUGUUUAAAUCUAUACGUUGCAUCUGGUUCAGGUGUACCGAGAUUAAGUGCCACUAUGUUCUUAGUUCCCUAGAAGAUAAAAGUAGCAACCAAUGAGUACAUGUGUCAAUUUAAGUUGACGUUAGAUUUAAAAGGUAAUGAUAUUGAUGGAUGGAGUGGACAACAUUUAGAGGUAAAACUUACCUUUUUUCUUUGCACCAAAUGGAAGGCAUCCUUGGGUAACCAUAGUCUACUACCCCUUAAACGUAUGUUGCAACUUUCCCGGUGGAUAAUAUCUCGCCCGAGGUCUCUAAGUUGGUCAUGCAUCCACAAUUCAUCGUAGUCUAUGAUCUUUAUCAGAGACAUACGUGUGAGGAUAUUGACUUCGAUUUCGGUGGGAUACCCAAAAACCGCAUCCCAAUAUUUAAUUGCAGUUGUUUUCUCUUGAUUAAUGAAGAAACAUGCAAUAUCAAGAUAUAUUUGUUGCUGAUUAGGGUCCAAUGCUUCAUAGCUUAUCAUCAACUUCUUCUUGACAUCCUCGUUCAUCACCUUCUUUAACUUAGAUAGAACAUUUUUCCAUGUAAUUUGGCAUUUUCCACGGAGUGUGGAACCUACGACGUCGAGAGCCAAUGGAAGUCUUCCAAGUGCAUUGAUUACCUUUUCUGAAAUAUCGAUGUAAUCAGCCGGAGGCUUGGCACAUCCCAAGGCACGCUCACAAAAAAGUUGAAGAGCAUCAUCCCAAUUCAUCUCAGGCAUAGUAUAGAAUGAAAAAUGUGUAGUAUCUGAGAUUGGGGCAUUGUGGUCUUCACCUUCCUUUACUAGGAAUUCAAUAUUCCUUGUUGUUAUGAUGAUUCUAGUACCCUCACUAUACCAGUUUGGCUUACCAACAAGUCUCAUGAUCUGGUCUUGGUUGUCGAUGUCAUCAAGAACAAUGAGGACUUUCUUCCCAUGGAACCUCGUCUUGAUCAAGUGAGCCCCUUCAUCGAUGAAGGAGAGGUUUAUACAAUUGAGUUUGAGGACAUCAGACAACAAUUUUUUUUGUAAAUUUAUUAUAUCUUGAGUCCGGACAUCUUUAAGAAAACAGCAAUGACCUGAAAACUGAGGGGAGAUUUGCCUAAAGACAACCUUGGCCAAUGUUGUCUUUCCAAUGCCACCCAUACCAUGAAUCGCGAUGAAUCUCACAUCAAAUGCUACUAGAUCUAACUGCUCCAUAAUUUCAUCCAUCUGAUCCUUAAUUCCCACCGAAUGAUCAGACAUGUCUGUUUGUCUUGUCCAUAACAAAUUAGAAACCUCCUUGAUUGUGAGAUUCUUAAGUUCAUCUAGGCUGUCACAUAAUAUGCAACCAUCUCAGAUUCAAAAACCACAUAUAUGGAAACUUUGCACGCAUUUCAUGGCACNNNNNNNNNNNNNNNNNNNNNNNNNNNNNNNNNNNNNNNNNNNNNNNNNNNNNNNNNNNNNNNNNNNNNNNNNNNNNNNNNNNNNNNNNNNNNNNNNNNNNNNNNNNNNNNNNNNNNNNNNNNNNNNNNNNNNNNNNNNNNNNNNNNNNNNNNNNNNNNNNNNNNNNNNNNNNNNNNNNNNNNNNNNNNNNNNNNNNNNNNNNNNNNNNNNNNNNNNNNNNNNNNNNNNNNNNNNNNNNNNNNNNNNNNNNNNNNNNNNNNNNNNNNNNNNNNNNNNNNNNNNNNNNNNNNNNNNNNNNNNNNNNNNNNNNNNNNNNNNNNNNNNNNNNNNNNNNNNNNNNNNNNNNNNNNNNNNNNNNNNNNNNNNNNNNNNNNNNNNNNNNNNNNNNNNNNNNNNNNNNNNNNNNNNNNNNNNNNNNNNNNNNNNNNNNNNNNNNNNNNNNNNNNNNNNNNNNNNNNNNNNNNNNNNNNNNNNNNNNNNNNNNNNNNNNNNNNUAUUGACAAAAUUGUAUAUGUCAGCAAAGAUAUUACAUUGUACAAUUUUGGAUAGAUUGAUAAUAUCCUCCAUUCAUUUUAUACUUUUUACACCAGUUAGUUUCUUCUUGUCGCACAGAGCUGAUAUCAAGACCUCCAGAAGUUUGGCUAAAUAUCAAGUCCUUGGUAAACCAGUCUUGAUCAACUCUUCAAGCAUUUGGGAUGAGUUUGAAGGUUAACGUAAAUAUUUAAAAAAAAAAACAAAAAACAAAAAACUCACAAAGCAGUUACCUUUUAGUAUUAAAGUUAGUAAUUUGGUACAAGACUUGGUAAUUUUGAAAUGUGGAGUAAACAAUGUGGUAAGUUGCAAAAAUAUUGUAAAUCGACAAACGAUCUAAUAAACUUAAUAAAUAAUUCACAUUAAAGCCGGUAUGCAAGAACUGGUCAGUAAAUUAAUGUUAAAAAAAAAAGUUGGUAAGAUACGAGUUAAAGUUUCGUAAUUUCAUAUGAAAACUGACAACUAUAAAACUAGGGAUGGGCAUGGGGUAUGGGAAAUCUGCACCCCGCGGUGGCCUUUUUGGACGAGGCAAAAUUCUGUCUUGAAAAUUGCCUCACAGGGAAUUUUACUCUCGGCACGGUUGGGCAUGGGCACUAAUAGGCCAGCCCUUCCUGUUCUCGAGGAUUGAAACUAUUACCGUGUUUAAUGAAGGACGGAAACAAGGGUUUAAUGAAGAAAGAUGAAAGUAAGCAUAGAAUAACGACUAGGGUUCUUUACCAAAAAAAAAAAAAAAAGCGACUAGGGUUUAUAGAAAAACUAUCACAAACUAGGGUAGAGAGUAGUUACAUAUCUCAAGGUAAUUAAAAUGAUUAAAUUUCUUAUCCAUUUUCUAGAGGUUCCUAGAUUUCUCUAUCCGUAACUACAACUACCUAGAAGUCCCUUAAUUGAAUUUUUGGUUUAUUAAGAUCUGGGGCCAUGAAUAGGUCCAUGGUUAAAGCAAGGGCAAUAACCAAUUUUUUUUUCACUUUUUACUGGACAGAAAUGGGUCCAAUAUUGGCAAACUUUAGAUCACUCGUAGAAGAAUGUUCAGUUUAAGGCUGUAGAUUUUGUCUAUGAACAAUUGGCCACUAGAGACGCCAAUGACCCCUACCCCGCUAUGAUGAAAGUAAAAGCCCAAGAUUGAUAAUACACCUAAAUCUAAGUCAGUUCUUCACAAACUAAUUAAGAUGCGAUAAGAUGUGUACUAGAAGAUUGAACAUCUAAUACAUGCAGAAAUCUUUUUUUUUUCUUUUUGCUCUUUUGGAUAAUGGCAUGCAAAGAUCUUUUUAGUGUUCGGUCUUGUAUAUUCAGACCAAAUAGGAAAACCAUGACCUAUAGCUUCCUCUUAUGGGUAUGUAAAACUAUCAUUAUGAAGAAGCUCUAUUAUUUUUGUGUAACUCAGGGGUGUGACCAUAAUUAGCCGGUUACCUCAAGUAAAACAGUAGCAAGGCAUAUGAAUUCCCUAAGGCCGAAAAGGAAUCCACAAGGAUCACUUUCUUCCUCUUGGCCGUGGAUUUUUGGAUAUUGCAAAGACUUAGUCUAUGCUAUAAUUUCCUUUUAUUCCUGCACAUUUUUACGUCUCCCUAAAGCACAUCAAACACUAACAACUAUUAACUAACACCGACCAUUAAUGGCUCGGAACACAUAAAGAAGCUCGUUAUGAGCCCUCUUAUUUUGGGCCGAUUCUUCUUCAGCUUUCAUUAGCAUAACAAAAGGAAGAAAUUUACAGGAAAACAUUGCAGGCAUAGGGUUGGGAAAAUUGCACCCAAAGUCCUUAACUUUAGCAAAUAAGUCUACUAGAAGUCCUAAAACUUGUUGUGAAAAGGGAAUCGAGUCAUAAAACUUGCAAAAACCGUAAUCAAGCCUUAAAACUUAUCAAAUUAGUUGAAUCGAGUCAUUCCGUUAACUCCGUUCAAUUAAGCUAACUGAAAAUGCUGGCGUGUCUUAUUUUAUUAUUUUCUUAAGACAUGUGGCGAUGAUGUAGCGCCCACCAAGUGCCACAUCAGAAAUAAAAUUUAAAGAAUACAAACAAAAUUAAAUUAAAAAAUAAAAAAGCUAAAAAUUUUAAAAAAGAAAAAAAAUCAAGUCGUGGCUAAGCCUCGCCCUAGCCUUCUCGAAGCCUGGGGACCCUCGUCUGGGCAUGCCAAGGCUCGCCAGGGCCGGCAAAGGCCUAGGCGACCUCACUAACCCCUCUCGGUGGCUGUGGCAACGGCCACCAGCAAGGGCUUGGCCAAGCCGUGGGGUGAGUUUUUCUUUUAAAAAAAUUUAUAGCUUUUUAUAUUUUAAUCUAAUUUUGCUUGUAAUUUUUAAAUUUUUUCUAAUGUGGCACUUGGUGAGCACCACGUCAUCGGCACUUGUCUAAUAAAAAAUAAAAUAAGACAUGUUCACAUUUUCCGUUAGCUAAUUGGACGGAAUUAACCAAAGGAUUCAAUUGAACCAAUUCGACAGGUUUUAAAACUUGAUGGCAUUUUUUGCAAAUUUUAAGAUUCGAUUGUACUUUCAUGAUAAGUUUUAGGAUUUUCAAUGCACAUAUCCUUAACUUUAUGUACGGAAUGCAAUUGAAGUUAAGAAACUUAAUUUAUUUUUUUCACACUUAUAUGGUCUUACUAUUUUAUCGAAUCUUAGAUCUUCAUGGAUAUCUUGGUUUUUUGGCAUUAUAGAUUAAUUAAUUAAGUUGAUAUACCUUAACACUAAUUGUUAUCAAAACUUAGUAUUAAAAUUGAAAAUUCAAUUUGUGCAAGAAACCUCUCCAUCUGAGCAAAAUUUCUAGCUCCCCAUUGCGUCAAAUCCAACCAUGCAUUACAUAAGGUUGGACAGCAGCAACCUGAAUCUAAUUAUUCUUUAGAGGAAAAAAAAUCGAAGAUGUCAAUAAGAAAAUAAAGUUAUGGAGAAGCAAAUGAUACCCAUGAUCUUUUAGAUUCCUUCCUUUAAUUCUGGCAACUGCUUUCAAAGCCUUCUUCCACUUCUUUACUAAAUCCUUCUCUGAGUCACUCUUGUGCUUUUGGAGGGCUUUCCAAUAUAAAUUAGUCUUAAGCUUGACAUCAUUCACAUCCACAUCAUAGAAGAUAGGGAGAAUCACUUUCUCAUCGUUAUCUUUCGAUAACUCCACUAUGCGUGCCAGCUCAUGGAGACACCAGCGUAGUUUUUGGAGAAAAUUGGGAUGUAAAUUCUGGAUUCAUUGAUCGCUUGCAAGAGGCUGCCUUCAAUCUCUUCACCAAAUCGAAGCUCUUCAUUGUCUUUGAAAGUGCAGAUCCCCGCGCGGAUCAUGUCAUUGUAGAGAGAAUCAAUGAUGGUUAAGCGGGUGUCAGGCCCUCUGAAGUUGAGGAACACCUCAUAGCCCCUCCUUGAUCUGUCAUCACGGCUGCUGCUCAUUGGAGCUGCCAUUUCUGUUUCUUUUCCCACCCUCUUUCUCUUCAUUCCGUGAGGACAAUGGCUAUUGAUCUCUGAAUUGAGUCCGAUCCUUGUAGCAACCUGACAAAAAGCAACAGAGUGAGAUCGCUCGCUUACUUCCACUACGUUCGCCUGUAAAAAAGACCAUUUAGACUCGCACAAAAUAGGAGGUUGAGGCAACAAUUGAUCAAAGACUUCGAAGAGGAAGAGGUCGUCCCGGGGAUGUUUAUUUUAGCUGAAGUGCAACAUGAUUGAGAGUAUAUGGAAGCAUGUAAUUGAUCAUAUGGAAACAGAUAGCUCAUAUGUAAUUAUCACACAUAAACACAAGUUGUCCUGUGUAAGUCACAAUUCUAUAUAGUCAAGCUAUCACUGACCAUGUCUUCAUCUUCUAACAACUUGAUAAACAAACAGAGUGAGAUCACUCACUUCCACUGCGUUUGCCUGGAAAUUGUUGGGAAAAUAUGGCUUCGAAUUGGGUAGAACAAUGAAGUCGGAUCUUUAGAGUACUCAAGUCGGACUUUGAGGCGUGAUAUUACUUUCUUUAAGGAUUUAUUUGCCCCACUACGUUGCUAAUGGUUACCGGCAAAUUUCCUCCAGGAUACAACAAAGUCUCAAGUGAGAAUACUAGAUAGCAAUUCUAGUAUUUCUCCAGGGUCUCUCAUGGGAAACAAUUAGAAACAAUGGCUGUAAUUUCUUUUGAAAGAAGACGAAAAUUGAAAGAUGAUUAUUAUUUGAUCUCAAAACAAACGUACUUAUAUAUGUCUUUCGAAUAGAGGCAACUCUUCAAAAGAUUACAAAUGAACAAAGGCAACCUUUCGGGAAAGAUUACAAAAUGAAUAAGUAUGUCUCAAAAGUUACGUUGAAAAGACAUAAGAAAUUCGAAAUUAAAUAAAUAAAAAAUAAAUGUAACUUUUCGUGAACAGUCGCACUGUUUCAACAAAACUUUAUAAUUAUUUUUUUUAUAAAAUUAAAUCCGAAUUUUCAAUAAAUAAAAUUAACGAUUGUUGGUUAGUGCCAAAUCUCGUCCACGUGCGCACUCACAUCUUUUCGAUGUGGGACAAGGCACUUCUUCAUUUGUUUUAUAAACAAAUUACCAACAAUCCCCCACUUUUGUUUAUAAAACAAAAAACAAAAAAAUAAAACGUUAAAGAUAUACAGCCAAAAUUUCCGUGAGAUUAAUAUACAUACAUAAAGGUCUCUUUCGAGUUAAACCUUUACUUAGUGCAAGCAUCUCAAAGCUCCAUCAAAGUGACAAGUAGCUCGGCUUUAAACUUGUACUUUUAUAUAAUAAAACCGGACAUACCGCACAUACACUAACCUCUUGUUUCAGCGAGAAGUUCUAUAUUACUCCGCACUAUUAUGGCCUUGUGCUUGAUCCUGUUUCAUGAGCUCUCUAGAAAGCAACCCUAACUUUCGUAAGAAGCGGCACCACUUCUAAGCUCAUAUAGGUGAAGUAUCUACCAUGUGUUUUUGUUACUAUCAACACAUUACAUGUUUGUAUUAUACUUCAUUAAGAAUUUAAUUCAACCUACAAAACGUAACGGACGAUACUGACUUCUCAUAUCAGGGCCAUGUCAGUAUCAAACAAUCACAUUCAAUAACUUGUUCUUACCCAUUAAACCUUGUAACUAGUGAUAUUCUAGAAAAAGGUCGGGUUACCAUUAUUGGUGAUUUCAAUUAAAGGAUUUUAGCCCCGUUUCUUAUGAGGUCAUUAUUACCAUGUCUCUUGGUAAAGCCUUUAUCAAAUGAUCGGCAAGAUUAUUACUUAACCUCACAUAGACAAUUGUUAUGGUACCAUCUUUAGUCAAUUGUCUCACAUAUUCAUGUCUUAGACUAAUAUGUCUAGACUUUCCAUUGUAGGUUCUACUAUAUGCUCUUACCAAAGUAGCUUAACUAUCACAGUGGAUAGAAAUAGGAGGGAUUGGGCCAUAAUUUGAUAUCCAACAACAGAUUUCUAAUACAUUCGGCCUCUUUCCCAGUUGCUACCAAGUAAUGAUUCAAAUGUCAUAGUUGAGUGAAUUAUGCACAUUUGUUUCUUGCUCGCCCAAGAAACAACACAUUCACGUAAUGUGAAAAUCCAUUCAGAAGUUUCAUCUCCCACACUUGUAAUCCAAGUAGCAUCGGUGUAUCUUUCUAAUACAUCCGAAUAAUUAUUAUAGAACAAUCACAAUUUUUUAAAAAAAAAUAAAUAACCAAAACUCUAAUAAUAGCCUUUCAAUGUUCUAUAUUUGGAUUACUAAUGUACUCACUCAACUUGCACAAAAUUAGAUCUAGUUUAAUGCAUCGCAUACAUUAAAGAUCUUAUAGCACUAACAUAUUUAAAUUGUGCUAUUGCUCUACUAGUAUUUUAAUAACCAAAACUCUAAUAAUAACCCCCACUAUUUUUUUUAAUUUAAUAUUUAAGAUAGUAUUGUUUCACCCAAAUCUUUCAUUUUGAAAAUGAAAGUCAGAUACUUCUUAAUCUCAAUGAUUCCAAUCAUAUUAGUUCCAAAGUCCCCUUUAGACAUAACCCCACUUCAAGAAUAUUCCAAGAGGUACUUAAUCGAAAAUAUGCAUCAUCAAAUUUUCAUCAUCGAUGAAAUACAUACAUCAAAAUAGUAAAUCAAUGUAAUUAUACUCUCUUGGCUCAUUUAUGCUAUUCCAUAGAAUCAAAUCUACGAGGGGCGAGGAAAACAAAUAAAACACAUUAGAACCAAGCAAGGGGCACCUGAAAUCCCAUUCAGUAUAUCUAUUUCACCUCCAUAAAUAGAGCGCUACAUAUUAGCCCAUGCAUGUAAUGACAUUCUCUAACAAUCCAAUAAAUGCGAGCAAAUCGAGUAUGGAGGUAUCAAAAGCACAUAAACUAGGAUUGAAAGGGGAAAAACAAUUCUUGGAACGGAAUCAACAACAUCAUAUAAGCCGAAACCUUCCGAAAUAUACAAUAAGAUCCAUACCUUGGCACUGAUCAGCAUCAAGACCAACGUCAUCAAACACAAAUCCAAUAGACCUGCAUGUGUCACGGACAAUUUUCUCAUAGUCUUCAUUGGCCUUGGUGGUAAUUUCUCUGAACACCAUGACCAUGUUGGUCUUGGUGCAUGUUUCACAAGCAACCUUGCUGUCGGGGUUCGGUUUUGUAGAGUUUAAUGUCUCCAUCCCCGGCAAGGCUCUUAUCAAUAAGAUUAGUCUUAUUCCCAAGUAAAAGCCACCGUGGAUAUCAAACAAAGGAAGCGCAUGCCCACUUUCUUCCUGCCAGUGAAUUUGACAAUCCAGUGAACGAGCCUCCCCAAAUAAUUUGGCAUCUUGCUCGGCUUUUGGAGCGGCAACGGAGGAAGCGGGGUCGUUUGGAUUUGCAACCCAUCAUUUUGGAGGAGCAGCUUUUGUUGUUUUAGAGAUCCAUAGCUACCAAAGCGUAUUCCCAAUGACCCUCUAGUCAUUGUUCCUCCAAACCCAUAUUUGGCGUUAUCAUCUCUCUCCUCGUUUUGCCAAACAAAUCAAAAAAUAGAUUCCAUCGAUUCAAUGAAAUCUGAACAAAAAGAAUGAACGUCACCUUUGCUUAAUCAAGCCAAAGACUCAGAGGGUGCCUCCGGUCCAUCUGCUAAACAAUAUCUUUCCCCCGGUAAGUGUUCACGUCACAUGGCAAUUUUUGCUAGACACGCGCCACUGACAAAUUUUCGUGUCUAAUUCAUCGGCCUAUUCCGAUGCGGGUAAUAAUCAUCAUUUAGGCCUUGGAUCCAGCAACAUCAUCUCACCCAUAACCACCAUUAGUAACCACGGGGCAUAAAACAUAAGACAAAGAAAAUGAUGAAUUAGAAAACGCAUUUGAUCAUUGAAAUGACUGAGAAAAUAACUAACAUGACUUAAUUCAAGUCAAAAACAAAACCAACUAGCAUUAGAGAUAUCGUGACAAAAAGUAUUAGCAAAUGGAAAACAUCAUCAGCACAUGAUCAAACACAAAACUUGGCGAUAGUGUUCGACCACACUUGAACUACUUACACAGAAUAAUCAUCAAGAAAAGUUUCUUUUCUAUUGGAAGAAUGAUCGAACGCACCGUGAGUAUGAAUGAUUUCUAUAAUCACCAGAGAACAAUUGCAAUUGUAUGGAAGUAGAGGCGCUGACCAAUUUGCGAGCAGCCUUUGCAAGAAAUAGUUCCAAUCCUCUGGUCAUUGAUAGAAGCAAUCUUCUGCGCCGUCAUUGCUCACCCAGGAGGAACCCGCAUGGGAUGAACCGGCACCUUUGUUCCCGUUACCAUGUUUGUCCCUUAAACAUGUGCCAAACGGCGGGAUCAUCAAAUGGGUUCGGGUUCCGAAUCCCGUUGUCAGACCAAGGAGUGUUGUCAUUGGACUUCUAAAUGAAUUCCGGAUCGAGGAGCAACAGAUCAUCCUCGAGACUAUGGUUGAGGUUUAGGAGGAGAUACUCAAGAUAGUCAUCGCCCUUCAUGAUCCUUGUCUUCUCGUUCAAACAACGGAACUUCGGAUCUUUCCAUCUCCGCGUCUGCAUACGCUUGAUAUAAAAACGAUGGCUUUUACGUGCUCCGCCAGAGAAAGGCGAUUCGCAGAUUUUUCCUUGCCGGUCUGCGAUCACAGCAUUGACAUCGAGCAGUGCCUCAUAUUACUCUGGACCAAAGGAUCGCUGAAUCUCCUCCCGAACAACCAAUUUGCAUCAGAGACGGAGUUGGUGGAAUUCAUGGCGACCUGGUUCUUGGUGGCGUCGUCGAUCAAUUUAUCUCAUUUUUCUGCCAUCGAUUCCUUUGUAUGCACAUCCACACCCUUCGGACAUCUUUCUCGGACGAUCAGCAUGGACGGAUGUGGGAAUACUCCAAGAUACAGAGAGACAAAGAAUGACAAAAAAAAAAAAUGCUCAGAUUUUCAAUCUUAAUGACAAAGAAACGUAGGCAAAAUUAAAGUCUACGCAAUAAUGAGAUUAUUAAACCACAUCCCCUUCUCAGAUUUACACAAAAAUCGCAAAUUACUUUAGCAGGGAUGUCUAAAAGAGCAUUUUGACAAACCAUUCUGUGCGGUUCAUCCACUUGACUCCAUUGUUGCGAAAUAAAUCCUUAAAAUUAUUGGGGAAAAUAUGGCUUCGAAUUGGGUAGAACAAUGAAGUCAGAUCUUUAGAGUACUCAAGUCGGACUUUGAGGCGUGAUAUUACUUUCUUUAAGGAUUUAUUUGCCCCACUACGUUGCUAAUGGUUACCGGCAAAUUUUCUCCAUGAUACAACAAAGUCUCAAGUGAGAAUACUAGAUAGCAAUUCUAGUAUUUCUCCAGGGUCUCUCAUGGGAAACAAUUAGAAACAAUGGCUGUAAUUUCUUUUGAAAGAAGACGAAAAUUGAAAGAUGAUUAUUAUUUGAUCUCAAAACAAACGUACUUAUAUAUGUCUUUCGAAUAGAGGCAACUCUUCAAAAGAUUACAAAUGAACAAAGGCAACCUUUCGGGAAAGAUUACAAAAUGAACAAGUAUGUCUCAAAAGUUACGUUGAAAAGACAUAAGAAAUUCGAAAUUAAAUAAAUAAAAAAUAAAUGUAACUUUUCGUGAACAGUCACACUGUUUCAACAAAACUUUAUAAUUAUUUUUUUUUAUAAAAUUAAAUCCGAAUUUUCAAUAAAUAAAAUUAACGAUUGUCGGUUAGUGCCAAAUCUCGUCCACGUGCGCACUCACAUCUUUUCGAUGUGGGACAAGGCACUUCUUCAUUUGUUUUAUAAACAAAUUACCAACAGAAAUUACUUGCGGCCUUCCUUCACAAGUUAAUAAAAUAAAAUAAAAUAAGCAUUCAGGCUCGCGCCAAAUAGAAGGCCAAGUUGAGGAAAUAAUUGAUGAAAGUCUUCAAAGAGCAGGAGGUUGUCCUGGAAAUAUAUUUUUUAACUGCAUGUUGGUUAAAGUGUUGGAUGUAUUGGACAACUUGCCAUUACUUUGUCAUUAUUCUUCCUUUUGUAUGGAAGUCACCUGCGGCCUUGCUUCAUAAGUUGAAAAAACCAAUUCAGAUUCGCACCAAAUAGGCAGCUAAGGGAAAUGGUCUGACCAACUGGAUGAGUGGAGUCCUCGAACGUGGUCGGUGCAUGACCCGAGACUCCAUGUAUGUGAUAAUUUUUUAAUAUGUAUUGUAAUGUUAAAAAAAAAAAAAUGGCUUUCCGGUGACACCAACUCCACUUUUUGAAAAAUUUGCAUCCAUUCAUUGAAUGCCAUGGAUUCAUUUUCUGAAUGUUGACUUGCGACAUGAAAUUUGAUGAUUGCAUGUCGUUGCAUUAUGAAGGAAAUAUUGUAUUUUAAUCAAGUACAUCAUGAUUAUGCAUGUUGUCGCGGCCCAGCUGAGGUGAAACUUGAGAGAAUUCAAUUAAUUGCUAGGCGGAGACAUAUAACUCUCUUGCAACUCGGCGCUUACGCUUCGUAUGGCUCACCCAAAUCCUAUGGACCACAACUUGAUUUCUCUUUUAAUGUAUGAUUGAAUUUUGAUCAGAGCUGUCACUAAUCUAUUCAAGGCCGGUUGUGAGCUAAGUGAGGAAGAAGAGCUCGUCCUACUUCAGCAAAUCAAAGAUUUUGGACCGAGGAUUUGGUUAAGUUAGUUUUGCCUAAUGCCACCACCAGUAGCUUUUUUUCUUUUAAUAAAAAAUUAUUUCAUUCAAUAUAUUUUCAGUUUCUAUUUCUUACCAUGUAUAAGUACUCUUACAAUAAAUUUAAACAAUCAAUGAUGAAGUCAAAGAAAAAUAAAGAACAUAAUAAAGCAACUCAAGCAGUAUCGGACAAAACAAUACAACGCGCUUUGAACUAUUCAUAGGAAUAGACUUGCACUAUUCUAAUAAAUGAAAAUUUCCUAAUUUAUGCCAUGAGAAAUGAAUUCUGAAUACAAUAUGACAAAACUAGCAAUAAUAAAAAUUAGUCUCAUCCUAUAAUGUACCGCGAAGAAGGCCUAAACUAAUCAAAAUGCUUCUUUUCGUACUCUUUUUAUAAUAUAUAUAUAUAUGAAAAAAUUAAACUAAACUUAAUUAAAGGAAUAUAAUAAACGCGUAAUCAGAAAGAGACGACAUCUAAACUCUAAGCCGGAAGGGAGUAUGGGGGAAAUUGAUACCUAUUUGAACAUCUCUGUUUUCACGUCUGCAGAAAAGACACGUGAAUGCAAACUCAUGUAUAUGAAAAUGCAAUAUGCUGGAAUUUCAUGAAAAGUGACUCGAAAUGUGUAACUAUAUUUUAUGUGAUGCUAAAACGGACUAAUAAACAAAGGGGGAUCCCCGAGUACCGCUUCGGCGAAGAGCAAACCAACCGGGAUUGGGCUGGAUGAACAAUGUUCAGACAGAAGACGGUCUGGACAAUGGACAUUCGACCUAUCCCCGAGUUUAAAAACAGACCCGAAGCGGGCCUUGACAAUCCUAGAGCAAUUACAAACCAAAGGGACCAUCGAGGACCAACCUUGAGAGUCUCAAACAGACCAAAAGUGUUAUUAAGUAUUAUCAAACUCAAGUGAAGUCAGAGUCUGAAUAUUGACAGUAAUAUGAUAAUAUUCACUAGCGUGCAAAAAUAAUAAACGAAAGUUAAGAAAUAGAAGAAAUUGCACAUAAGAUUUACAAUGCUUCGGCUUAGAGUAAACCUAUAUCCACUCUCCCACACUGACAACCUACUAGCUGAAUUUCACAAGAUGUUAUAGAAGGGAGUGAUGAUACUCAGGUUUGUGAUAUACAAUCACUCUUUCAAUGCCUCUCAAGGAUUACAAUUUGUAGCUCACGAAAGGCAAGUACAUAAGAUUGAAGUUCUCUUGGACUUUGAAAUUUUUAAUUCUGACCUCUCUCUUCUCUUUGGUACCUUGGUCUUCUUCUAUACUCCUUCACUUCUAAUCUAAUGUUGGACAAUUUUUAGAGAAAUAUUAUCCAAUCAACCCAUUGGACAAAAAAGAUUGAGUAGCCGUUGAGGGAUAAGAUUUUAAUCUCCAUCUAUUUUGUUGCCCAUACAAGCAAAUAUUGGCUUCCAUAAGUAGAGUUCUUCAAUGAAGGAAAGCAGCUUACCUUUGGAGUGACUAUCAAUCAAUCAAGAUCAUUUGCAUAGAGAUUUUGUUGGCAAACAGUCUUUAAAAUUGAAGAUCAGUCAAUGCAUUCUAUUUUGGAAAUCUAAGCCAGGUCACUAGCUAUGACGAUAUAAGAAGUGGGGUUUGUGUCUAAACAUAUCGUCAUAAAUAGAUUUCGUAAUAUGAUAUUCAAAUUUAGCUAAGAAUCUAAAAACAUCAAGUAAUAUGAUGAUAUCUGUGUAUAAGCUAUUACGUUGAUGAUAUUUCUACAUAAGCUCUGUUGAUAUCCUUACUCUUGCUCUGAUGACAUUUGCAUAUAAGUUUUGCUAAUAUCCUCACUAUUGCUUUGGUGAUAUUCAUGCAAUAAUAUUGAUGAUAUCCAUGAAGUAAUUGUCUUAAACUUCAAAGGCGAUACACAAACAGCAAUAGAUAGAUUCUGAAUGUGAUCAAAAUAUAUAUAGAUUUAUCCUUCAUGAGUAGUUCCUAAAAUAAAACACUUAUGCAUUUACCAAUAUCAAUAUAACCUUUGCUGAUAUCCUUAAUAUUUCCCAUUUCCGACGUGAGGUUGGUACGCUUGUGGGCCCAUAUAGUUAGGCAAUACUUAUUGGCCUUUUGUGCGGGCAUCUUUGAAACGGGGUCAUGUACGGAGGACUCCCCGCCUUGGUGCACUUUCGCUUCCAUCUCUUCGUUUCUUUUUUAUUUUUAAUUUGGUUUUAUUUUGAUAACUAUUUCUCUUUUCUUUUUACUUUGGCUAUAUGAGCUCGCAAGGAAAUGAGAAAUGAGAGAGAACCUUUGUUCCUAGCUCGAUCAUGAUGGCUGGGAGUCUCUUUGAACCCGAGAAUGGCGCUAGUUGAGUAUGUAAUGUAGACACCGAAGAUUUGAGCAAAGUUGACCGAGAGUCAAACUUCAUUAAAAGUUGAGUCGAAGGGCAUAAUUGGGUUGUACUUGUCUAGAGCUUUCCAAAUAUACCCAAUUUUCCCAAAUUGAACGGCUAAUCUUAAGAUAUCAAGAUCAGAAUCACAAAGAUCAGAAUUUUAUGGCAAAAAUAUUAUAAACUUUUUGCUAACUUCAUCCAUUUGACCUGGCUGCCCAAAAUCCACAAUCCGAGGUGGACAACAUUUUAGCUUUCCGCGUGGGGAAGGAGAAGGGGGGGUGUUUUGGGUUCAAUUGUACAUUAUACGGAAAAGUUAUGCUCGCCCAAGUUCAAUCAAAUUUUGGUAAAAAAUGCGUAAACAUUAAUUUUUGAGAUUUAAAAAAAAAAAAACAAUGUUGAUGCUCCGUCGAAGAGGACAAUUACUGGAAUAUGUACUACUUAUUUAUAAAACACAUUUUUAUCCUAUUCGUUGUUUAAUUCAAUUACUUCGGCUAAGUUUAAAUUAAUUGUUCUGCCUAAGCCUACAUCCAGAUAUAAUCAUUUUUAGCUUUAAAUGUUGACACAAUAUAUACAUAGCACAGGGAAAUAACACGUAAGUAGGGGAUGACAUGUAANNNNNNNNNNNNNNNNNNNNNNNNNNNNNNNNNNNNNNNNNNNNNNNNNNNNNNNNNNNNNNNNNNNNNNNNNNNNNNNNNNNNNNNNNNNNNNNNNNNNNNNNNNNNNNNNNNNNNNNNNNNNNNNNNNNNNNNNNNNNNNNNNNNNGAUUUUAGUUGGCUGACCUUCUUCGAAGUUUAUGUACUUUAAUUUAACUUAAUGGUUCAAAAAAUCGAAAGAUAUUGGUUAAAGUUUUCUAUAUUUUUUAAUUUCAAGUCCACGGUAAUGUUAAUCUUUUACCCAAUCUGAGUUUUGCUUUGCAAACAAAAUGUACAAAAAGGAUCCCUUUUGUUGAGCUGAGAGGGUCCUGAGAGAGAAACUUUAGUUCAUUCUUUUUGUGGAAAUUGUGAAGAAAAUGCAGUUCCUCCUACAUAAGGAGAUCAAUAAAGUUGAGAUUUUCAAAAAAAAUUAAUAUUGAAUGAGGGUAUUUAUGCUUUUUGAUGAUAUCAACCUGAUUUUCUUGGUAUUUUCCAGGUCUUGAAAUUGCAAAACACGUCGUGCGUGUGAACACACGAACAGAGGAAUCUAUUUGAUGUGGAAUUUGGCUGUGUGCAAACGAAUUGACUAGACAAACAUACUUAGGUGCUUUUGUUUUUGCUUUUGCUUUCACAAGAGGGUCGGACAAAGACUUGAGGAUGGACUUGCGUAUAUUUUAAGCAAAGAAAACUUAUUUCAUCUUUAUUUCUUAAGGAAGUUCACUCUCUCUCCUAACUCAUAUAGACUUCAUUGGAUUAGUCUUGCUAGUACUCAGAUCCACAUAAAUCAGGUCCAUCACAAAAUUGCUAAUCAAAUAAAUUGUACAUGGAUCACCAAAAAAUAUAUGGAUGUGAUCACAAUGGGUCUACAGACCAUGAUCUAUGCAACUAUUUUCAUGUAAUGGUUAAUUGAUUAACCAAUAUUAGUCAUAAUGCAAACUGUUGCAAUUUGUAAAAACUUGAAAAGCUUUAUUUCACAAUUGACAUCCAUUACUUUGUGAUGUAACAAUUGGGGACCCUCCUAGAAUUCGUUUUGGAAAGAUCGUAGAAACAUCCACGUAAGGACCAAAUAUUUUUUUCUUUUUUCUUUUUUCUUCUUUUUUUAGCAUAAUUUUCUUUCUUAUUGGAGCCAAACCCAGACUUUUGACUUAAUCAUGGUUAAAAUUGACUGCUUUUCGCCAAUGUCAGGAAUUUAAUCUAGGCGAUGACGUCUCUAAUGGAUCAAUGGAUUUGAACCUUUCUCUGGCUCCAUUGAAUGAAGUCUAGAUUUAUUAUUCACACACGCACAUACACAUAAAAUGUUACCAUGUCCUGAACAUGUCAUUAUGUCUUUUUUAAGAUGGGCACCAAGUUUGAAAUCUAAUAUUAUGCAAUUGUAUUGAAUCACUAUCCAUGUGUGCAGACAUCUAAAAUAUUUUAUCAAUGUUGAUUAUUAACUUAAUAGAAAUAUUAGGCUUCUCAUACAAGCAACUCAAUUUAGGAAACAAGAAGUGAGAGGAAAGAGGCUCGCGAAUCAAUUAGAAUUGCAUCCACGAUGGACUAGUGGUGGUCCUACUUACGUUAUGCUAACUUAGCUAGAAAAACCUAUAUUUAUCACCUAAUUUUCUGCAUUUGUUGCAAAUGUUUUGUAUGUGUGAUGUACUUUAGAUCGGUAGUAAAGAGUAGCAUAAAUUCAUCACAUGGAACAACUUUUCAAUGCAAGGAUUCAGCCUCUACCUCUUGUUCUCCCAUUUUUCUUAUCUUUCUCUUGUUCUCUCUGAAUAGAGCAAGAGUUCCCAUUGGCAAGAUAGUAUCUCCUGCAAGGGUUAAUUUCUACACACGACUCGACUGCAAUUGGGAGUAUAAUUUUAAAUGUCAUUUUUUAGUAUCAACUUUUAAAAUAUCAAAGUUGUGACUAUUUGAGCUUUCUACACAGUAGUGGCGUGGGUACUGCAUUGAUUGACUUAAAAUAAACAUCUCAACAACUAGGCUUCUUGCAAAUAUCCAGCUCAAAGCGUGAGAAAUACUUGUCCAGACCUUGACCCUUGGAUCACGUGCAAUCAUAAUCAUUAAAAACUCAAGGGAGUUCUGUAAACCCAGGUCACUCACAGCUAUGGUUGACUCCAGGUCACACUGAUUGUGCUUGAACAAUGUCAAGACAAAAAAUUUAACCCCGAAAUACACGCAUAUGUAUAUGUAUCAGCAUCACAGUGGCUCCUCCUGCACAUAUGACCAGACAAAAAAGUCUCCUCCAAAAUCAAUGUAAAAGGAUCGUUGUCCAAUGACUAAUGAUUCUUGGAAACUACUGGAGACAAGAAAAAGUAGGGCAACUUAGGCUUUGUUCAUUCGUUUCAUGGAAAAUGAACAAGUCAAGAAAAUCAUUCUUUGCUGUUAAAAAAAAACACUUUCAAAAGUGAAGAAAAUAUUUUUUACAUUUCAAAAAGUGCAAAACAUUUUCCAUAAUUUCUUUCACCUCACUUUCUUUCACCAAACACAUUUUCUUUUUCUUUUUAUGUUUUCUUUUUAUUUUUUAUUUUUAAAAAAAGUGAGUUUUUAAUUAUUUUUUCUUUUUCUUUUUCUUUCCUUUUCUUUUUCUUCUUCCUUGGUUGGUCGUUGGCCACAGGCUAGCUCGAGCCUUGCCACAAGUCAGUGAGGCUCAAGCUCACUAGAUACCGGCUAGGCUUGAGCUCGCCAGCUUAUGGCAAGGCGAGUGAGGCUCUAUCUUACCUAAUCCAAUGAGCUCAAGCUCACCCUCACCAAAUUUGGCAAGGCCCAAGCUCGCCUAGCUUGCCGGAUCUGAUAAGGCUCGAGCUCGCCCGACCCACCUUAGGUGAGCUCGAGCUCGCCAACCUUGGCGGAGCUUAGGCUUGCUUGGAUCGACUGAGCCUUGAGCUCGCCGAUCCAUGUCUUGGUUAGUCACCAAGUAGCUAGCCAUCAUCAAGGCACGUGGCGGCAGAGGAAGGAGGAGGAAGAAGGAACAAGGAAGAAGAAUGAAGGAAAAGAAAAAGAAAAACAGAAAAAAUAAUAAAAAUAAUAAAGAAAUCAUUAAAAAUUCAAAAUUAAAAUAUAUAUAUAAAUUAAAAUUAUUUUUCUGGUCAAUUUAGAAAAAUUCAAAUUCAAAUUUUUUGGCAAUAUUUCCAACAAAAUCAAAUCAAAUACCGAACAGUGAAAAUUUCCACUUCAUUUUUAAGUUUCAGUCGAAUACCAAAAAAUAUUGUCAUAUUUUUGGAAAAUACUUUUAGUUUUUGCAAAACAAAUGGAGCCUAGUGAAUGGACAAUGCAAUCAAGGUCAGUGACCGAUGGUUGAUGGUUUUGCAUGGUACUCAUUGUUGUGACUUGUCUGCAGGGAAAAGAAAGUCGUCCUUCGAAAGUGACUUGUCUGCAGAAAAAUCAUUGUUGUGACUUGUCUCCUUUCUCUUGAUUAUUAUUCUAUUCAACUAGAAACCGAUCAAUUAGGUUUUUCUAGCUUCGCUAGCAUACCGUAUUUUAAUUCAAGCUAUGCAAUUCGAACAUGGGAUCUCAGUCUAAACGCUUUUCCUAGUGCCUUUCAUUUAGACAUAUAUAGGAUUAUAAUAACAUAAGAUGAUGUAAAGUGGUUUGGCUCCAAAAACAUACUAUUUUGCGCGACCUCUAAGAUAGCAUUGUGGAUCCCCUCUAUAUUUUUUGUCUGUUUUGGUUUUGGAGAGAAAUCUCUUCAUCGAUUUCUAGGCAAAAAAAUAGCAGACUGUAAUUGCUUUUGUUCUGCUUAUUAACUUGAAAAGGUUUAGCUUUUCUCGGCCGGAGCCACACUUCCAUUCUGCUUUUGCUAAGCCAAACAAAGUAGUUCUUAUAUUUAAUCCAGAUUCGCGCUAAUUGGCAUGAUCGAUUUGCCUUUAUUCCACUUACUACUUCUUUUUUUCCUUUUGUCAAGGCAAAAUUGUGAAAUGUAAAUAUGGCGCCAAGUCGGCUUCUGCCCUUGAGAGUCGUAGAUUGACCGUAAUGCAUGAUGUACAGACAAUUGUUUGUGCAAUCCCGCAAAAUUUUUCCAAAUCUACUGAUGGCCUCUGCACUUUAUGGCCUUGUUAUAUUCAUGAUGUGGGAAAAAUUACCGUAGAUAAGAACUAACAUUCUUUUUUUCAUGGAAAAGAAAAUGUAUCUCGUUGUAACUUUAAUUUACAAUUCCCUAUUAAAUUUUUACCAUAUACUUUUGUCCAUUAUCUGUUCGCGCAAUAACUAGCAUGAGGGAGAGAGAGAGAGAGAGAGAGAGAGAGAGAGAGAGAGAGAGAGAGAGAGAGAGAGAACAAAAAUGGAAAAGAAUAGAAAACAAAGACAAACAACCGUGAAUCCAAGUGCCUACAAGGCCGGAGGCUGUAGAGAGUGAUGGAAGCAGAGCUCGACGACUGGAGACGAUGGCCGAAGGUGAUAGGCAGAGUGGAGUUCGAGGGCGGUAGAUUGUUGUCGAUGAAGAAAGUUAAGCUUUGGAGGUGUGAGUGCAUUCAGGAACAAGAGUACUGCCGGUCCAAUUUUGAGGAUAACGUUUGUGUGCUUGGUGUUUUUUUAAGAUAUAAAGUGGUGUUUUGGAAAAUAGAGGAUGAAAAGUAGUAGUAAUAUGAAUAGUGCGGGCAUAUUCUAGUACUUUCCUAACAGAAGAAUAAGAGAACUUAAUGGAAAUUAGUGCGCACUAGGUUGGUCGUGUAUAUUUUUUACCUUCUUAAAAGAAAUAAAUCUCUUUUACACGCUCUAUGUGUAUAUUCUUUGAUCAAAGAGAUAGAUUAUUAUCUUGUAAAAUAUUUUGAUUGGAAAAAUUCUCUCAAAUGAUGAAAAUUGUCAAUGACAUCAAGCAUUCAAGAUCAAAUGGUUAAGUUAAGAAUAGCAGUUCUAAAAACUCCCUAUGAAAUUAGUUUUAGUCCGAAACAAGUUUUUCCAUCUUUGCGAGAGGACCCAUUUUCCAACUUGAGUGUUCAAUGUCACUUUCACUGAGAUUGACUUAUUUAAUUGAUCAAUUACACUGAAUUUCGUUUACCUUGCAAUUCACUAUAACUAAUCUUCCUGGUAACUUUACACACGGUGAGCUAUGUGGCAUUUUUGGCCAUGUAUGCACAAAAAAUUAAAAAUUAAAAAUAAUAGAAAAUAGAAAAUAAUUAACGCAGAGAGAGAGAGAGAGAGAGAGAGAGAGAGAGAGAGAGAGAGAUGGCAUUUUUUGCCAUGUAGGCAAAAAACUUGAAAAAGGAUAGAAAAUGAGAGCGAGAGAGAGGGGCUUAACAUCACUUUCCACAAGGUGAUUCCACUUAAAAAAUCUCAUUACUAUUUUUUUGAAAUGUCUAAACUUUAAAUUGGCUUCAUCAUUUGAAAAGUCAAAAAGUGUUGGUUAAAGUGUUGUAUAUACUUUAAUUUCAGGUCCAUGUAAUAGAUCCUUUUUAUUGAGUGAAGGAGUCGUGAUAGAGACUUUAGCUAAUUCUUUAUGGAAACCACGUGGACAUUGUGGUUCCUCCUUCACAAUGAUUCCAACAAAGUUGAGAUUUUUGAAACAUUUUAUUCUUGAAUGUGUAUCUUUGUGCUUUUUUUUUUAUGAUAUCAACCUGAGUUUCCUAGUAUUUUCGAGGAACUGAAAUUGCAAAACACAUUGUGCUUGUGUGAAAUUGACUAGACAAAGCAUACUUCAAUGCUUUCUCUUUUGCCUUCACAAGAGGGUCAGACAAAGACUUGACGAUGGACUUGUGUAUGUUCUAAGCAAAGACAAAAGGUCAAAAAUUUGUUCUUAAUUCGAACUAUGCAAUUCAAUUAUGGCGUGAAUCCUACAAUCCCAAUCAAGAUAUUUUUCAUAGUGCAUUUCUAUUUGGACAUACACAGAAUAAUAAUAACAUAAGAUGAUUUAAGGGGAUGAUUCAAAAAAUAGAUUAUUUCAAUUGGCACAUUAGGUCCACUCAAAUUUACAAAGCAAGCAUAAUGGAUCUCUUCCUUCAUUUCUAGGCUAGAAAAAACAUUGAUUUUGUUCUGGUAAUUAAAUUAAAAAGAAAAAGAAAAAGAAUUAACUGUUCUCAGCUGGAGCCAAAUUCCAUUCUACUUUUGCUAAGCCAAACAAAGCAGAUCUUCUAACUUUCAAUCUAGAUUCGCGCUAAUCAGCGUGAUCAAUUGAUUCUUACCUUUAUUUCACUUACUACGCUUGAUGUACAACUAAAAUGCCAAUUGUUUAUGUUUGGUGUUCACACAAUCUUAAAUUUUUCAAUUAGAAUUUUGUUCAUGACCACCCUCCCCCCCCCCCCCCCCCAAAAAAAAAAGAUCUAGCUCAUUAAUAUUCUAUUUGAACGGCCCACAAUACUAAUCAAGUUUUUAUUAUUUUGUUCAGUAAAAUAUUUGAUAGUAACAAAAAAAUAAAGGGUGAGUUAUUUAAGAUUUGUAAUUUACAUAUAUAAUUACAUAAAUGCAAAGGAUAAUAUUUGAACUUAUUGAGCUAAAGCUUGAACUCAUUUUAUAACGGUGAUUGUAUCGAGUCAGACUUGAGCUUGAGCUUGAGCUUGAUAUCUUGAUUUUCUAUUGGUCAAGCUCCAACUAGAAAUUGAUUUCUCUAUAACUUGAGUGGAGUUUUGAGUGAUCUAAUAUUUGAUAGGAGUUGAGCUCGAGCUUCACACUAACGGAGUAUUAUACAUCUGAACAUUGGUAGGUUAGAGUGCGAAGCAAUGGUACUGAAAAGAAUAUCAAUAGUCGUUAAAACCAUAAAUAAAAAUUCAUGUCAUUCUAGAACUAUGUAGGGGUUGAAAGACAAGCCCAUGGAAAGAAAUAUGAACAUGCUGGCGACUCUCGAAUAUUUGUGCUUAAUUGUUUCUACGAGUAAAAAAAAAACAUCUCACUAACAAAAAAUAAAAAAUAAAAACUUUAACUCAGAAUAUACAAGAAGGAUAAUUAUUGCAUGAAAACUCAUUAAGAGGAAGUCCGCUGACAUAAUGCAACUCUGGCUUCACAACGCUAUCUUCUUCUGAACUGAAGCACUUAAACUGUCUUAGAACAUCAACUUUUAACGUAACCCCACUUUGUCCUUCAAAUCUCCACGAGCUCUUCAUAGUAAAAAGGCAUGCUGCCUGAUACCCUCAAUAACAAAUUGAAAGUAAAAUGAUUGCUUACCGGACAGACCAGACCAGUCAUGUAUAAUUGUUUAGGGCUGGGCAAUGGGCCAUGUCAGCCGUGUGGUCCAGACCCGUUGUGCUCCUAGGCCAAAUCAAGCUCAUGGUCCCUAAUUAGCCGAUCCUGGCCCGACAGAUUUUUGAUGGACCAGUUGAGGCCACAUGGGCCAAACCUUAAGGAACUUUGGGGCUCCAAAAAUACAGUCGUUGGACAGUCACUUAUCUAGUGACCCAAUCCGGCCCAACGAUGGGCUACUCACUUGGUCAGGGAAUGGCCGGAAGGCCCCCAAUAGUUGAUUCGGAUUUUCAUUAAUUUUCCUCAAUUACUUUGUUUAUUAUUCACAUUUUUUUUGGUUUAAAAAAAUCAUUAAAUUAAAAACAACCCAAGCUCGAGCCAAUAGUGCCUUGGCCCGACCUAGUGUCUACUCCUACUGGCAAUUGGAGUUCGGGUCAGCAAUUUAAAGGCAAAUCGAGGGAAGACGUGGUGGAUAGUCCUAAAACCCUAUCGGCAACUGUAUUUACUUUUGCGAUAGGUAAGUAAGAAUGUAAAGGAGGAGGUGGUCACAAAUCCUCAAAAUUCUCUCCCAAAAUCCCUCGGGCUUCUCCAUCCAAAUCCUCAGUUUAAAGAAGCAGAAGUUGCAGCAGCAGAAGAAGAAAAUCCAUCGGAAUGUCGGAAUGUCAGCAUCAACAAUGAACAAUAUGGUUUAGCAAUCGUGGGCAUCAAAUUCAGUGCUCCUCGAAUUGGCAGUCAUGGCAACGAGAAACCUCUACGGUCUUUUCUUCUUGAAGUACAAAUCACAGGAUCUCUUUACAACCUCUAGCCAUGGUUCCGAAAGUUUAACAAAGAAAGUCUUUGAUACAAACUUCUCCAUAUUUCCAUAUGGAGAAAGAAUGAAACUUAAGCUUUUUGAAGGAAAUAUAGCUCUUAUGAUAUUUCUUAAGUACUUGAAGUUGUGAAGGACAUAAAAAAGUAAUAAAAUAAAUUUUUUGACUAGGAACUAGCCAGAUUUGUCUCAUCUGCAAAAGUUGGUGCCUUUACUUGUCUCUCUUAAAAGCAGAGGUUAUGAUUGUCCUAAAAUGUAUAGUUAAUACCUCUUAGAAGGAAAAGCAUGUUAUACAUAAGACGUUGUGUAAGUAUAUGUUGUUUAUAGGAUGGAGGGGCCUAUCACCAUCUUCUGUUACCAUCUAAGAAAAUGUUGUCCAUGGUCACCUGCAACUUUAUAAAACUAAAAGAACUAUUUGCUGUUGUAAUUAUGGUUAUAAUUAUGGUUAAUAGAUCAACGAAAGCCAAUAAAUUAAGAUACAUCUUUUUUGUUCAUGUAUCUCUUUUGGAUUCAUGAAUUUCCUAAUCUUUUAUGUUCACGUAUUUAUUGAGUUCAUGAAUUUUCUAGAUUCAUGUAUCUUUUAGUUCAUGUAUUUAUUGAGUUCAUGAAUAUCUUGAAUUCACGUAUCUUUGGAUUCAUGAAUCUCUUGGAUUCAUGUAUCUCUUUAUUAAUGAAUCUCGUGGAUACACUCGUCUAUUUAAUUCAUAUAUCUCUGUAGUACAUAAACUAAAAAGCUCUAUAAAUAGAUAUGAGCAUAGAGCUUCAUUAGAGUUUUUAGUUUUUGGUUUUGGUUUUUUUGAAUCGAUUCCAAAAAGGCUUUGAUAUACUUUUCUACUCUUCUGUUUUAUCUGGAUGUGCUGGUUCAAUUGAACGGUUCGACUGGUUCAAUUGAACGAUUCAACAGAGUCCUGUUUGCAUAGUGCUAAUCCAAAUAGGUUCGAUGCGUUGUAUCUUGGGAGGCAUAGUUCAUGAAUCUACGGGGCACCACUACGGGGCACCUUUGGCAGGAACUAAUCGCCUUAAGGAGAUUCGGUUAUUCGUACAUCACCUCCAAUUUUAUGUUAUUUUUCCAGUGAUAUCUUAUUUUAUUAUUUUCCAAGAUUUGUAAGUUUACAUAAAAAGAAUGAUAUUAUAUAACUGUUAUCAUCUUCUUUAUAUUGAUGUUCUGAUUACAACAAAUAGUGUGUAUUCUCUGGAUAUAAUUUUCAACAUUUGCUCCUUCCUUCCGAGACUCCCAUAGCCCCUAACUUAAUUUUCCAUCACUGUCUUUAGGAAAGCAACUGUUUGCCUAUGCAUGUGACAAUCACAAUCGCCGAUCCUCAUCUCUCUCCUCCUCUUAGUUCUCAUUGUCAUGACUCAUGGAGAGAAAAUGGAUUUAGAAUUAACCAACAGUCCUCAAUCAACAUAAGUUCUCCUAGGCUCUUACUUUGCAAGAUAUUGGGAAGUCACUUCAUUUUAUUAACCUAUCAAAACUGAGUCACUAGUAGCUACUAAGACUAGUUAGAGCCAAGUGAGAUGUAGGAAUAUACCUCACAUCCAACACAAUCAAAGAUCUAAGUACGAAGACUUAAUUACACUAAUUAUCCAAUUAAUAUUAUUUCCGUAUCUAAACUUGAUUAUUUGUCAACCAACUGUCACAUGCAAGUUUUUUUUAUUUAUUUAUAUAUCCAAUUAUGAUUCUAAUGUUCUUAUUUACUAAAUGUACAUGCAACGUUUUUGCAUUUAUUAUGAUCCUAAAAUACAAUCUAACCAUUCAACUAAAAUGAGGAAAUCACCACAUUGAAGCAAUAUAAAAGAAUCAUUUCAUCAAAGAUGGUAAUAAAAGAAAGAGUAAAAGAACAAAAAAAAAAAAAGGCAAUAAAAUAAUCCGAUGCAAGCUGAGUAAAGAAUAUAAUAUGACAUUAUUAUUGAGUAUCCAAAGAACAACCCCAUGAGUUAAAUUCAAAACAAAUCCAAUUUCUUGAGAAAGGGCUAAUCUAUCUAAACCCAAGAUAUCCAUUAAAAUCCCUAAACUAUAUGUAUACCAACUAUGGUCCAGCCUAAGGACCUUAAACAAAAGCCGUGGUUAUCGGAGCCCCCGUUCCACGUAAAUAAAAUGGAAGGGUUAACCGUGGGGGGAUUUGUAACCAAAUUUUGGAAACACCCCUCGGCUUGAUCCUAGCUCUGCUGCAUUGGGCUCUCGACGACUGCCAGUCCAGUAUCUUGGAAAUGAUGGCAGUAGGAUAUGAAACUAAAUAUAAUAUUAAAAUCUACAACCAAAUGAAAGCCUGUUUUUCUAAUCAUUUUCGAAUUCUUUGUAUUAGAAUUUUUUUUAUUGGGCCGGCUUGUACGGAAGCUUGAUCUCUAGGUGGAGUGGGUUAGAAUUUAAGAAAACAUGUAGGCCCUUGUAAACGAAAUGGGCUUACUUGCUAAAGCCCAACCUGCGUAUAGCCUAAACAAAGUCCAGAUCUAUCAGACCAAAUUAGGCUCAUAUUCACCAAACCAAGCAAAGCCCAAUUUCAUUAAGCUAAUAAAACCCAAAGCUCAUUAAGCCUAAUUAAGCCUAUUUUUUUAUUCUCUAUUUUUCUCUUUUCUUCUCCCUUUUUUCAAGUUUAUUUUAUGCACUAUGUCUCCUCACUUUGAAUUCGGUGCUCUAAGCCAAAGAAGCUGUGGAAAUAGCAGUUGCCAAAAUGCCGUGACUGCUCAAAAUUCGUGGUUGGAAAUCGCAAACCCACCUGAUGAAUUGUUCUAUAAAUGCCGCAUCCCCAUAUAUGAGAAUGAGACUAUUGCAAGGAUUAACUACAAUAGCUGGAUGAUAGGCCACUCUCAGAAUCUGCAGUUAAAAUUCUGACUGGAGGUGCACAACCCUAGUCUUGGGGAGAGAUGAUAGAAUUCAACGAAUGAAGAGAAUUUCUAUGGGGUCUAUUCUCGGCAUCAAAGACUGAUGGCCUUGCCUUGGAAGCAACGAACUUUAGAAGCGAGUCAGUUAUAGUUGGCUUUUUCCCAUGCUGACCUCUGCUAUCGAGAAGAUCGUCAACAGCUUGAAGCUGUGCAUCUGAAAGCAAAGCUUGAAGAUCCACUUUGCUGAAUCCUUCUAUCAUAUGAGCUAUAGCAUCAAAGUCCACAUCACUGGCCAAAGGAAGCUGCACAAGGGCAUUAAAGCAUACACUUAGCAAAACUUCAACAUUGCCUGAUGGUUGCCAAUUUCGCUGACUGAUCAUACAGAAACGGAGAAAUAUAAUUAAUUGAAUCCACCCAAUAUCUUCCUAAUUAGUGAAAAGAAAAGAAAAGAAAAGGAGAGGAUGGUGAUGUCUCAGAAAGGUUAUACUAAAUGAUACCCAAAGGUAAGUCUUAGUCCCGUCUCAUGGAUUUUCAGCUAUAAAAGCCUUUCUCAUUUUAUUUUUUUUCUGAGCAUCAUCGGUAGAUGUUAAAGCUACCAGUCUCAAGGUCCGAGGUUGAAAGUGAUUUACUACUGAUCAUCUAAACUUUACCUGAGCCUCACCUGAGCAUGUUGCAGAUUCAACCCACAACGCCUUUUACAAUGUUCUCUUGUAAUUGACAAUGUUUAGGGUGAUUUGGGGUGCAAGGACUUUUAGAGAACUCCACAGAGAAGGGGUUUUAACUUUUAACUCAAUGUGUUUCGCCAAAUGUACUCUGUCAGAUGCCAUAAGUUCUAAACAGGAUCUUAGCUGCUUAAAUCGACUCUGUUUCUAACUCUUUUUGUUUGUUUUAAGCAAUUCCCUGUUCAUAUGAAAUCUCUCCUAUGCAUCUUUCUAGAAAAAAGUAGGAUUGUGGUAAUAUAGUUCUUUAACAAGCAAUCCCAUAAAUUUCAAUAUGUGCAACUUGUUUCAGACCAUGUAAAAAAUGAAAUGCUAAAAGCAAAAAAACUGGCAUAUGGAUGGAAGCUAAGGCCCUGUUUGGUAAAUUUUGUUUCUAUUCCUCGGAAUAACUAUUUCUAUUCUUUUGUUCUAGGGAACAAGAAAAGAACAUAAAACUGUUUAGUAAAAUUUUUGUUCCCAUGAAACAAAAAAUCCAUUUUUUUUUGUUCUCGAGAAUAGAUUUGAAAUAGAAGUAAAAGUAGAAAAAACAAACUUCUUGUUCUCGGGAACAAUUUCUUAAAUUUAUUUUUUUUUCUCUCUUAUCUCUUCUUCUCUUUCUUCUUCUUCUUCUUCUUCUUCUUCAUUUUGGCCGGUUGCUGGCCAUGGCCGGCGACCUCUCUGGAGCGUCGCCGACCCUUGGAGACGUUGAGCCACGGCGAGGCUCGUCGGCCUGAGUUUUGCCAUGGCUGGGCGAGGCUGGCCUUGCUAGGCCACCUCUAGGAUGGUGUCGCUUGGCAGUGGCCCGACAAGGUCGAGCCUCGCUGAUAGCUAGGUGAGCUCGGCCUCGCUAGGUUUGGGUGACGUCUACCUCUGUCAUGCCCCAAUUCUUGGGGACGCGCCCAUCUUUCGACUUGGUCAAUUUUCUCAAUGCGAUAUCCCAGGACUAUGUAUCGCCGACCCUUUCAUUUUUAAUACACAUGCCGAACUAGUUAUAAAUCCCUAGACAAUAAAAUGAUGGGAUAGACAAGCAAGGCCAUAUUUUUCAUAUUGAAAUCCACAACCAUACUUUUAUACAUAGCAUAAUUCGAAGAGCUUCAGAAAACUAAUCACAACUUUUUAGUCUCAGUCUAUCCACAUAUAUACAGGGUUCACAAAAGAGGAUGGGAUUUCAGUCCUCAUCCAGAUAGACAAGAUCAAACUGAUCCUUAUUCAAUUCUUCUCCACUAAGCUCGUUUCUUUUAAACUCUUCAUCAUCUUCUUUAAGCUCAUUCUCGGCUCUAGAUGCUGGCUCAUCCUCACGUGAUCUGGGGGCCUGAAAUAUUAUCCCACAACCGGGAUGAGACUACGUCUCAGCAAGUUCUACCCCACUAAGACUCGAUUAGGAAACCAAUACGCUAUCUAGGCUGCCUAUGCACACACGGGUCAGAGGACUUACCUUGGCCUCAGAUUCCACCUACAUAUUAGUACAGUUCAAUAAGCACCCAAGCAAUCACAUCAUAGAUCGACAUCUCGAUCAAUCGACCUAGUCAAUUACUUCUUAAUUGAACCAUCCCAAGGUCAUUUCCAUUCAAUCAAUCAAUUCACGAAAUUAGAUUAAAGCAAUGAUCAAUCCACUUAGUCGGUUACAUAUCAAACAGACCAUUCUUGGUCAUUUCAAUCAAUACUAUUCAUUCUCUAAAAUAACCCGUCGGGUUAUCAAGCCAAUAAUUUAUACGAUUCAAUCUCCGAGAUGACACACUAAGAUGACACACUAAGUCACCGAGUUAUUAUAACAUACUAUUCAUUCUCCAAGAUAAUGUAUUGAGUUACCGAGCUAGUAUAUUAUAAUAUUCAUUCUCCGAGAUGACAUAUAGAGUCACCAAGUAUAUUCAUCAUAACGUACAUUCUCCAAGAUGACAUGUUGAGCCACCGAGCUGUUAUGGCAUGUCGUCCAUUCUCCAAGAUGAUCUAUAGAAUCACCAAGCCGACAUUUAAUAUAGUCCAUUCUCCAAGAUGACCUAUAGGGUCAUCGAGCCGAUAUACAAGCAAUUCUUUCUCAAAAUGACAUGAGAGUCAUCGAGCUGUAAUAGUAUAACGUCCAUUCUCUAGAUGAAAUACGAAUCAUCGAGCCGUUAUAGUAUUUUUUUGUUCCGAAGACACAAUCAAUUUCACCAUUUUCAUCAUAUUUGAUAAAAGUACACGUGUGUGGGCACACGGUCGGCUUUAGCCAAAAUACAAUAAUUUCAUUUUUAUUCACUCACUCCCUUCAGCAGUACAAAAAUAGAUUUUUGACGCUGUAGACUGACGCCCGGUAAUUUUCCACUCAAUUACCAAGGUUAUUCAAUUUCUGAAAUAAACACCCACAACUACUAUUUGCACUCAAUUUGCACAACCAGGUACUCAAUUAAAUAAACAUAGAGCACCACUGAAAUCAGCACGAAAUUCCGGUCGUCGGCUAUCCCAGCCUAAUUUCCGGUAAUUAAUUAAUUAAUUAAUUAAUUAAUUUCGAAAAUUAAUAAUUAAAUACUAAAAAUCCAAUUUAUGCCCGUAUUGCCUAAUUGAAGCCCAAUAAGGGUCGGGACAAAUCCCGAGAUGCAUUCAAUAAAUAGUAUAGGCAGCUCUCUAGCUAAGUACACUAACCACCUAACUAAUAUGCAACCCUUAAGCAUCUUUAGUCUACUAAGCAAGGAUUAGUGAGAUUACUCACUUGAUUUGCGAAGAACGGAACACCGCGACAGCGGCCGAACUUGGGCCUACGACAAACUUGGGCCGAGCCAAUAAACUUUACAAGCCCACAUAAAUUUCUGGACUUGGUUGUGCUAGAAAUCUUGGGCUGAACUUGAUCUGGGCUUCAAGACUAGGCUGAAAUGGGUUUGAAACAAAGUUGAACUGGGCCUGUCUUCGCUGAAGCUGGGCCGGGCUUCAAGUGGCUGAAUUGCUGGACUUCACUGAAUUGGGCCGAGCUUCAAGACUGAAGACUUGGGCUGCUGUGGAAAUUUUUUUGUGGGUUGAACAUUUUAGGAUGCUGGGCCGAAUCCUUGCAGCCUCGUGACGCUGAGGCAGCUGGGCCGAUAGGCUGAGGAAAUGAAAACGGCUGAAGACACGUGAUGGAGGAAGGUUGGCAGGGGGAAGGACGUUCGCCGGUGGGGACGAACGUUGUAGCAAGCAGCUGGGCUUCGGUCUUCGUAGCUGGGAGUCAACACACGGCCAGGGGAUGAAGCAGAUGAGUGGUAGACGGGCUCGCUGGUGGAGCAGUUUCUGCUGUGGACUGCUUCAAUGGGGCUGAGGGCAGACGGAAGACACACAGAUGGAAGCUCGUUCGGUGGGCGUGUGGGGAAGGCACUGACUGGAGGCUCACGGCCAAAUGGCAGCAAAACAAAGCCGCUCAAUCAACCACUGAGUUUCGGUGGGCUUGCUGUUGUUGACCGAAGGAGUUCGGGCCAUGGAUGCGUGGAGUUGUGCGUGGAUGGAGAGAUCGUGAGCUUCAACGGCAGAGAACGUGGCUUCUUUGGGCUUGCUGCUGGCAAUUCGGCAAAGGGGAAGAACAAUCGUGGGCGUGGGGAAUUGAGCUGGCCAGUUCGCUCGGUGAGGAAGCAGAACCAAGACGAAGUAGCAGUUAAUCUUUGUUGCUGUGGGUGCGCGAAUUCCCGGGAAGAAAGAAUUGGCUGCACGAUCUGAUGGGGGGGAGAGGGGUGAGAGAGAGGAUAGAUAUGAAGGAUGAGGGGCCAUUUGCUUUUAAUUCUCACACAAAUAUCUCCCAAAAACCAUUCUUAGCCAUAUAUAGUUUCCUUGGCUCACAAUGGACCACUCAUGCACUCUUCUAGAAGCCAAAAUGGUCCAAAUGUUGUGGCUUGGUGGGGGUACACGAAUUUAGAGGAGGAUGGACUCAAUUGUACAUCAAUUCUCUCUUGAUUUACUUUCAAUUGAUUCCCAUAAUUUCAGUUGGUACUUCAAUGCCUCAAUUGAUAAUUUUCCUCAUCCAAGAACCCAUCUUGCAUCUCAAUUUUGCCUCCAAAACUAAUCCUCGACUUGUUCUGCACAAAAACGGCCAUGCGAUGACUUUUCCCCAAAAAGUUUCGGUUGUCAGAAAAAUCUUCUCAGACUGAGUCGAUACUUCUAGAAUUUAUUGUGACAUGAUGGAAACUUCGAUUUCCAAAAUCGGACUUGAAUUCGUGGUUAAUUUCCACUUGGCGCUUUUUAGCGUGACCUAAACUAUCAAGUAGUUUUCAGAACUUUUUAGAGCAAAUGACCCAUGGUCGAUUUUCUUUGAGCCAUUAUGAACCCACUCAACUAAAUGGCGACUCUCGAUUGUUGUGAAAAUCUCGAGGAUUCAAUUACGGACACAAGGUACCAAAACGAUAGUAAAAUCAAAUUAGUGUCGGUCGAUGAGAAUUUCCCAAUUUAGUGGAGUCACCCACGAUCGGCCAAACAUCUCAGUCAAACAGAUCUAUCUCUUAUCUCAAAUCGAUUUUUUUAACCGUGCCAUAAUGGCCUCUGAAGACAAUCACGGUCAAGAAGCCGAUUUUUAGUCGAAUUCUCUAGUCUAUUUGCCUUAAAGUCCUUAAUAGCUUCCCCGAAUAGUCUAGUUAUCUCAAGAGUGAUCAGCUCUGAGAACAACUCUAUAGGCGGGUCAAUGAAAUGCCUGAUUAAUUCAAUAGAAAACAGAUCUGAAAAUUCGAGAUGUCACAACUCUUCCCCUCUUAUAAAAAUUUCGUCCUCAAAAUUUAAACCUUACAUACUUUGAUAAAAAAAAAGGUGGGGGUACAAUUCUCUCAUAGACUCUUCAGUUUCCCAGGUCGCGCCUUCUGUACCGUGGUGUUGUCAGACUACUUUGAAAAACGGAAUGGUUUUUGUACACAGAACUUGCUCUUUACGAUCAAUAAUCUGGACUAGGCUUUCAACGUAUGACACACGGUCAUCCACGUCCAAUUCCUUGAAAUUGAGCACGUGGGUCGGGUCAGGGUCGUACUUCCUUAACAUCGACACGUGAAAGACGUCAUGCACUUGCGCCAGUCUUGGCGGCAAUGCAAGACGAUACGUUAGGUUCCCAAUUCUUUCAAGAAUCUCAAACGGACCUACGUACCUCGGACUCAGUUUGCCUUUCUUACCAAAAUGCGAAGUUCCUCCCAUUGGUGACACUCUCAGAAAAAUGUGAUCACCAACUUGGAAUUCCAAAGACCUUCGACGCUUAUCUGCAUAACUUUUCUGCCUGCUUUGCGUUGUCUUUAAUCUGCAUCUGAUCACCGUCACAACAUCUACUGACUGCUGAACCAACUCUAGGCCUGUGAUUUUUCUUUCCUUAACUUCAUCCCAACACACCGGAGUCCUACAUGCUCUGCCAUACAAUCCUUCAAAUGGAGCCAUCUGGAUGCUCUGCUGAUAACUGUUAUUGUAAGCGAAUUCCACUAGAUGAAGUUGAUCUUCUCAACUUCCUUUGAAAUCUAUUACACAAGCUCUCAACAUGUCCUCGAGAGUUGGAAUUGUCCUCUCAGACUGGCCAUCCGUCUGAGGAUGAUACGCCGUACUAUACUGAAGUUUUGUACUUAGUGCACUCUGCAAGCUCUUCCAAAAAGCAGCAGUAAAUUUCGGGUCUCUAUCUGACGUUAUCGUAACCGGCACUCCAUGCAUACGAACCACCUGACGCACAUACAGGUUUGCAUGUCUAUCCAUACUCAGGUCCUUUUGAAUUGCAAUGAAGUGAGCCGACUUCGUCAAUCUAUCGACCACUACCCAAAUUGAAUCAUUCCAUCUUUGACUCCUUGGUAGUCCAGUCACGAAGUCCAUCGUAAUAUGCUCCCACUUCCAUUUUGGGAUCGCGAGAGGUUGCAGAAGUCCUCCUGACUUGUAAUGCUAGGCCUUUACUUGCUGACACGUCAAACCUUUGGCGACAUGCUUGGCAAUGUCCGCCUUCAUACCUGACCACCAAUAGUGUUGACGCAGAUUCUGAUACAUUUUAGUACUUCCAGGAUGAAUGCUGUAACUACUACGAUGUGCUUCAGAUAAAAUUUCUUCUCUAAGCUCCACGAGCCAAACCUUUUUAUACAUAUGGUAUUAAAGUUAUACCUAAGCAAACCCGUCAAGUACAACUAUAGUCAGAGAUUCAUCUUUCUACCACUUUAUUACAACAACAAAAAAUUUUACAACCUUCACUCAAAAUUCUGCUACACUACUCUGAUAAAAACACCUCAAAAGCAUUCUUCCAUUGCUCGGUGCCUAAUUGGUCCAUUCUUGUUUCUUGCGUCAUUCUAGUGGUGUUCUAUCUGCGGUGCUUUCUCUUUGUCCGGUCCUUCGGUGAUGGCGUACACUCUUCCCUGCUUUGGGGAUCUGUUCCGCAUAGCCGUACCUGUAAUCGCGUCAGGCGCAGCUUUUGCCUGACCUUGUGUGAUGGCAUACACCGUGUCUUAAACUGGUGGUCUCAACUGACCUCCCUGUGGCACGUUUUGAGGGGCGUACCCUCUAAUCUGUCCCACUGGUGGCGGUGGCAGCGGCGGUAACUGCAGUUGUCCUCUUAGCUUCCUUGGACAAUCUCUAGCCAGGUGGCCUGGUUAACCACACUCGUAACAAGCACCCAUCAUUCGAAGGCACUGGUUCGGUCCAUGUCACCUUCCACAAGCACGACAUAAAUCAUUCCUGGUUGGCACUGGCUUGCCAACUCCUCCUCUCCUAUCAGGCGAAAUCGGGAAUUUAUUCUCAGGCAUGGGCCUCUUCCCAUGGUGAAUACUCUCUCUGUGCGAGCUAAACCUCGAUCCAGAUGAGGCAGCUUGCUCAUUCAAUCCUCGCUCUAUCAUCUAAGCUCGGCGAUAAACUUCUCUAUAAUCCUUCAAGUCCCAAGGUAACAAAGGUUGUUUCAAUUCAGUACGAAGACCACUUUUGAAUUUCCGAGCUUUCUCUUCAGGGUCUUCUAUAAGUUUAGGAGCAUACUGUGACAGUUCUGCGAACUUGACCCCAUAUUGGUCAACUGUCAUGCUCCCUUGGCGGAGACGGUGGAACUCCUCUAUCUUUUGUUCCUGAGUAGUACUCGAAAAAGUACUGAUCAUUAAAGGCUCUGAGGAAGGUGUCCCACACCUGGACCACACCUUCCGGGAACACUAUAUCCUUGGCAGCUCUCCACCAUAUAUUAGCGCUACCUUGAAGUUGGUACACAGCUAGUAACACCUUUUCCUCAUCAUUGCACAUCAGAAGUGCAAAUGCCUUCUCCAAAUCCUCUACCCAUAGAGACGCGGCCUUAGGGUCUCCGGUACUAAUGAAUCUCGGUGGAUUCAUUUUUAAGAACUGAUCCACUAACUGGUGAAUCGGCCUCCCCGCGGCCACAACUCCUAGUAGUAUUUCAGCAAGGGCGACGACAGGUGCAACUGCAGGUGCAGUGACAGAGGCAGCUUGAGCAGUAGCGGCAGUUGCGGCAGUGGCAGCGGCCUGAGCGGCGGCUUCAACUGUAGCGGCUUGUUGAUCCAUUCUCGCACUAAUCGCUUCCAGAACACACAAGAUCCCAUCCAACCUGGGAUCAUUAGGGGCUGCUACCCUAGCAUCUACGACAAGUGGAAUCACUCCACUCGUGCUAGCCUGUGCUGGCGCUCGACCACGUUCACCUCGGGUCCCGACACGAGUCGGAGCUCUACCCAGAACAACGACCCUACUGGUCCUCUUAAUAGGAGUCCUCGGCUCCUGAUUGCUCGUAGUGUUGUUUUAAAUCUACCAACACAUGCUUUCAAUUCAACAUCGAAUUAGAAACAAAGCAAUCUAAACAACAAGCAAUUUUAGCAUCCAGCUAACACAGACAUGCACAAGCAUCAAUUUAAAGGCCUUUCUUAUUACUAUCCCAAGACUCAUCGCUCCUUAUCACUCCAAUCUUAAACUUCGCUCUGAUACCACAAAAAUGGGAUGUCACGCCCUAAUUCUCGGGGACGCGCCCAUCCUUCUACUUGGUCGAUUUUCUUAGUGCGAUAUCCCAGGAUUAUGUAUUGCCAACCCUUUCAUUUUUAAUACGCAUGCGGAAGCAGUUAUAAAUCCCCAGACAAUAAAACAAUGGGAUAGACAAGCAAGGCCAUAUUUUUCAUAUUGAAUUCCACAACCAUACUUUUAUACAAAGCAUAAUUCGAAGAGCUUCACAAAACUAAUCACAACUUUUUAGUCUCAGUCUAUCCACAUAUAUACAGGGUUCAAAAAAGAGGAUGGGAUCUCAGUCCUCAUCCAGAUAGUCAAGAUCAAACUAAUCCUCCUUAAAUUCUUCUCCACUCAGCUCGUUUUUUUAAACUUUUCAUCAUCUUCUUUAAGCUCAUCCUCGGCUCUAGAUGCCGGCUCAUCCUCACUUGAUCUAGGGGCCUUAAAUAUUAUCCCACAACCGGGAUGAGAUUACGUCUCAGCAAGUUUUACCCCACUAAGACUCGAUUAGGAAACCAAUACGCUAUCCAGGCUGUCUAUGCACACACGGGUCAGAGGACUUACCUUGGCCUCAGAUUCAACCUGCAUAUUAGUAUAGUUCAAUAGGCACCCAAGCAAUCACAUCACAGAUCGACAUCUCGAUCAAUCGACCUAGUCGAUUACUUGUUAAUUAGACCAUCCCAAGGUCAUUUCCAUUCAAUCAUUCAAUUCACGAAAUCAGAUAAAAGCAAUGAUCAAUCCACUUAGUCGGUUACAUAUCAAACGGACCAUUCUUGGUCAUUUCAGUCAAUACUGUCCAUUCUCUAAAAUAACCCAUCGGGUUAUCAAGCCAGUAAUUUAUACGAUUCAAUCUCCGAGAUGACACACUAAGUCAUCGAGUCAUUAUAACAUACUAUUCAUUCUCCAAGAUAACCUAUUGAGUUACCAAGCUAGUAUAUUAUAAUAUUCAUUCUCCGAGAUGACAUUUAGAGUCACCGAGUAUAUUCAUCAUAAUGUACAUUCUCCAAGAUGACAUGUUGAGUCACCGAGCCAUUAUGGCAUGUCGUCCAUUCUCCAAGAUGAUCUAUAGAAUCACCGAGCCGACAUUUAAUACAGUCCAUUCUUCAAGAUGACCUAUAGGGUCAUCAAGCCGGUAUACAAGCAAUUCUUUCUCAAAAUGACAUGAGAGUCAUCGAGCUGUAAUAGUAUAACGUCCAUUCUCCAGAUGAAAUACGAAUCAUCGAGCCGUUAUAGUAUUUUUUUUUUUUGUUCCGAAGACAAUCAAUUUCACCAUUUUCAUCAUAUUUGAUAAAAGUACACGUAUGUUGGCACACGGUCGGCCUUAGCCAAAAUACAAUAAUUUCCUUUUUAUUCACCCACUCCUUUUAGCAGUACAAAAAUAGAUUUUUGACGAUGUAGACCGACGCGCGGUAAUUUUCCACUCAAUUACCAAGGUUAUUCAAUUUCUGAAAUAAACACCCACAACUACUAUUUGCACUCAAUUUGCACAACUAGGUACUCAAUUAAAUAAACAUAGAGCAUCACUGAAAUCAACACGAAAUUCCAGUCGUCGGCUGUCCCAGCCUAAUUUCCGGUAAUUAAAUAAUUAAUUAAUUAAUUUCGAAAAUUAAUAAUUAAAUACUACAAAUCCAAUUUAUGCCCGUAUUGCCUAAUUGAAGCCCAAUAAGGGUCGGGACAAAUCCCGAGAUGCAUUCAAUAAAUAGUAUAGGCAGCUCUCUAGCUAAGUACACUAACCACCUAACUAAUAUGCAAUGCAAUUAACUAAUAAUCACUAAUCCAUUCUAGUCUAACCACCUAAUUGCACUUAAUUAAAUCUAAUCAACCCUUAAGCAUCAUUAGUCUACUAAGCAAGGAUUAGUGAGAUUACUCACUUGAUUUGCGAAGAAUGGAACAUCGCGACAACGGCCGAACUUGGGCCUGUGACAAACUUAGGCUGGGCCAAUAAACUUUACAAGCCCACAUAAAUUUCUGGGCUUGGGCCUGCUAGAAAUCUUGGGCUGAACUUGAUCUGAGCUUUAAGACUGGGCUGAAAUGGGUUUGAAACAAAGCGGAACCGGGCCUGUCUUUGCUGAAGCUGGGCCAGGCUUCAAGUGGCUGAAUUGCUGGACUUCAUUGAAUUGGGCCGGGCUUCAAGACUGAAGACGUGGGCUGCUAUGGGAAUUUUUUUGUGUGUUGAACGUGUGAGGAUGCUGGGCCGAAUCCUUGCGGCCUCGUGGACGCUGAGGAAGCUGGGCCGAUAGGCUGAGGAAAUGAAGACGGCUGAAGACACGUGAUGGAGGAAGGCUGGCAGGGGGAAGGAUGUUCGCUGGUGGGGACGAACGUGGCAGCAAGCGACUGGGCUCCAGUGUUCAUAGCUAGGAGUCAACACACAGCCAGGGGAUGAUGCGGAUGAGUGGCAGACGGGCUCGCUGGUGGAGCAGUUUCUGCUAUGGACUGCUUCAAUCAGGCUGAGGGCAAAUGGAAGACACGCAGAUGGAAGCUCGUUCAGUGGGCAUGUGGGGAAGGCACCGACUUGAGGCUCACGGCCAAAUGGCAACAAAACAAAACUGCUCGAUCAACCACUAAGUUUCGGUGGGCUUGCUGCUAUUGACCAAAGGAGUUUAGGCCAUGGACGCGUGGAGUUGCAUGUGGAUGGAGAGAUCGCGAGCUUCAACGGCAGAGAAUUGGAGGAGCACGUGGCUUCUUUAGGCUUGCUGCUGGCAAUUCGGCAAAGGGGAAGAUCGAUCGUGGGCGUGGGGAAUUGAGCUGGCCAGUUCGCUCGGUGAGGAAGCAGAACUAAGACAAAGCAGCAGUUAAUCUUUGUUGCUAUGGGUGCGCGAAUUCCCGGGAAGAAAGAAUUGGUUGCACGAUCUGAUGGGGGGGAGAGGGGUGAUAGAGAGGAUAAGGAUGAGGGGCCAUUUGCUUUUAAUUCUCACACAAAUAUCUCCCAAAAACCAUUCUUAGCCAUGUAUAGUUUCCUCGGCUCACAAUGGACCACUCAUGCACUCUUCUAGAAGCCAAAAUGGUCCAAAUGUUGUGGCUUGGUGGGGGUACAAUUUAGAGGAUGGACUCAAUUGUACAUCAAUUCUCUCUUGAUUUACUUUCAGUUGAUUCCCAUAAUUUCAAUUGGUACUUCAAUGCCUCAAUUGAUAAUUUUCCUCGUCCAAGAACCCAUCUUGCAUCUCAAUUUUGCCUCCAAAACUAAUCCUUGGCUUGUUCUGCACAAAAACGGCCAUGCGAUGACUUUUCCCCAAAAAGUCUCGGUUGUCAGAAAAAUCUUCUCAGACUGAGUCGAUACUUCUAGAAUUUAUUGUGACAUGAUGGAAACUUCAAUUUCCAAAAUCAGACUUGAAUUCACGGUUAAUUUCCACUUGGCGCUUUUUAGCGUGACCUAAACUAUCGGAUAGUUUUCAGAACUUUUUAGAGCAAAUGACCCAUGGUCGAUUUUCUUCAAGCCACUAAGAACCCACUCGACUCAAUGGCGACUCUUGAUUGUCGUGAAAAUCUCGAGGAUUCAAUUACAGACAUAGGGAAUGAAAACGAUAGUAAAAUCAAAUUUGUGUCGGUCGAUGAGAAUUUCCCAUUUUAGUGGAGUCACCCACGAUCGGCCAAACAUCUCAGUCGAACAGAUCUAUCUUUGAUCUCAAAUCAAUUUUUUUAACUGUGUCGUAAUGGCCUCUGAAGACAAUCACGGUCAAGAAGCCGAUUCUUGGUCGAAUUCUCCAGUCUAUUUGCCUUAAAAGUCCUUAAUAGCUUCUCUGAAUAGUCUAGUUAUCUCGAGAGUGAUCAGCUCUGAGAACAACCCUAUAGGCGUGUCAAUGAAAUGCUCGAUUAAUUCAAUAGAAAACAGAUCUGAAAAUUCAAUAUGUCACAACCUCACCCAGCUAAGGCGAAGCCGAGCCUCGCACAACCACAAUAAGGCUCGGCCUCCCUAGCUGGCGCGAGGCUCGCCUGGCCAUCGGCAAGGCUCGGCCUCACCCAAAUCUGGUUCGGCCGAGGCUCGCCGUGGACAGGCUGGCCUUCAGCGAGCUUGCCGGACCUCACCCAGGCAGUGGUCGGCAACUGGCCAAAGAGAAAAAGAAAAAGGAAAAGACAAGAAAAUAUAAUAAAAGAAUUAAAAAAAAUCUAACAAUCAUGCCAAACGUAUUGUUGUACUGAGACUAGAAAUUUUGGAAAGUUACCAAAUGAGUUCUUUUGCUCAGAAAUUGUUCUUGAGAUGAGAAUAAAAAAAAACAUUUAUGAUAAAAAUUAUUCUCCAGAACAGAAUUGUUACCAAACAUGGCUCUAAGUUUCUACCUUAUGGGAUAAAAGUUGUGAAAAUAUCCAGCCUCUCCUUUAUUGAAGGAAAAUCACAGAACAUAAGUUGAGCCAGCUAGGUCUCAAAAGUGUGAUCUACUGCUUCUCAUCAAAUGCAACACAUAACUAGACAAUGAUAAAAUAAAGAAAAAGCAUCCUUGGAAAGAAAAUUGAAUUAGAAUUAUUAGUAGAUAGAUGAACCCAUGAACCCUGUGCAAAACAAGAGAGCACUUCAUGCAGCAAAUGUCAUGAUGACUGAGAAAUUGCAUGUGCUCAAUGUAACAAGACUCAAAUGAUCAGAAUCAGUUGAUGCCAUUAUAAAGGCUCAAUACCAGCAUAAUACAUGUCUUGCAAGCUACUUCAACAACUGAAAAGUAAUUUAUGGAAUCCCAUCAUUUGUUACCUACUUUUUGAUACAUAUGUAGUCAAUAUUGUGCAUCCAAUGUUAAACAGUUCUAAAUCAAGGAAAAGUCCUGUCUAGCAUUUUAUUGUCUAACUUGAAGGUUAUUACAUAGUAUCCAUACUAAAUGCUUCAUAAAAAAUGUUUGUCGAAGUGUUCAUAAUGGCCAUGC
rnacentral:lncRNA from 1 species